GGAUAGGCUGGCGCUGCUUGCCAUCAAAGCUCAAAUAAAGCAAGAUCUCCAUAAUUACAACGUGAUGAGCUCCUGGAACGAAUCCACGCACUUUUGCAUGUGGCAUGGUGUGACGUGCAGUCGACGACAUCGCCAAAGGGUCACUAACCUGGACCUGCAAUCUCAAAAUCUGGUAGGGAACCUAUCCCCAAACAUUGGAAAUCUAAGUUUUUUAAGGGAGCUGUGGCUGCGAAAUAACAGCUUCAGUCAUGAAAUUCCUCCACAAAUUGGGAAUUUGCGUAGAUUGCAUGUAUUGCGAUUAGAUGUUAACUCGUUUAGUGGUAGUAUUCCACACAAUAUAUCACAUUGCUUCAACCUUAUCCUUGUGAAUUUCACUCGCAACAAGUUGGUGGGUAAAAUUCCUUCAGAAUUUGGAUUGCUAUCGAAGCUGCAACAUUUUUCAUCAAAUGUUAAUAAUGUAACGGGACAGGUCCCUCUUUCCUUGGGCAACCUUUCGUCUCUCCAGAGACUAAGUCUUGUUAGUAAUAACUUGAUGGGAAACAUCCCCAGUUCUCUUGGCCAAUUGAAAAAAUUAACCUUCUUGGCAUUGGGGUUAAAUCAGUUGUCUGGUAGCAUCCCUUCCUCCAUUUAUAACCUUUCUUCUCUUGUUACAUUUUUCAUAGGAGGUAACCAAAUUCAAGGGAGUAUUCCAUCAGAUAUUGGCAAAAGUCUUCCUAAUCUCGGAGUCUUCGACGUCGGCUCAAACCAAUUUACCGGGUCCAUUCCUCCCUCAAUAUCCAAUAUCACAAGUGUUUGGUCAUUUGAAGUUGGGCCAAACAACCUAAUCGGACAGGUACCGAAUCUCCAAAAGCUUCACAACCUCCUGUAUUUCAACAUUCAAUUUAAUAAUAUUGGAAGCGGUAAAGAUGGUGACUUAAGUUUUCUCUCGGACUUGGCCAAUGCCACCAAGUUAGAAUGGUUGGUUAUUAGCGACAACAAUUUUGGAGGGACAUUGCCCAUGUCAAUAUCCAAUCUCUCAACCAAACUUGAAAUGUUUUGGGUUGGCAGUAACCAAAUAUAUGGAAGCAUCCCAUCUGGGAUAGGGAAUCUGGUGAGCUUGCAAUCGUUGCCCUUCGGGAUUAAUAGCUUCACAGGUAACAUUCCCUCUGACAUCGGCAAGCUUUCAAACCUUGAAGCAUUACAAAUUUCCAUGAACAAAUUAUCUGGAAAUAUUCCGUCUUCCGUAAGAAAUUUAACCAAGUUAUACUAUCUUGCGCUGGAUGGAAAUCAUCUUGAGGGCAGCAUUCCUUCAGGUCUGGGGGAAUGCCAUGGGUUGCAAUUGUUGAAUCUUUCUUAUAACCUCCUAAAUGGCACAAUACCAAAACAAGUUUUUAGACUCUCCUCCUUAUCGAUUUCUUUGGACUUGUCUAAUAACCUCUUCACAGGUUCCCUUCCCCCGGAGGUUGGGAAUUUCCAGAGUCUAAGUGAACUUUAUCUUUCUGAUAACAUGUUAUCUGGAGAACUCCCCAGUAGCCUUGGUGGUUGUGAGAGUUUAGAAGUCCUGCAUUUGCAAGGAAACUUUUUCAACGGGUCCAUUCCUUUGUCUAUGAGUUCAGUGAGAGCAAUUCGAGAUCUAGACCUUUCUCGCAAUAAUUUUUCAGGGGAAAUUCCACAUUUUUUAGAAGGUUUUAGAUUCUUGAAUAAUCUGAACUUAUCAUUCAAUCAAUUUUGGGGAGUGGUACCAACUGGAGGUGUUUUCAAAAAUGCGAGUGCUAUUUCAGUUGUUGGCAAUACUAAUCUGUGCAGCCCUGUUGAUAAUUUAAAGCUUCCCAAGUGCAAGUCUAAAGAGACCAAGAAACGAAGAUUGUCUCGUAGCUUGAAACUAAUACUCCCUUUAGUAUUUGGACUUACUCUUCUAGGAAUAGCCAUGGUGUUCUUCUAUUUCUUUCUUUGUUCGUCAAGGAAGAAAAAGAAAGAAAUUUCAUUGAGCACUUUGGGGAACACUAUUUUGCAAGUGUCAUAUGCUACUCUACUCAAAGCUACUGACGGGUUCUCAAAGGCUAAUUUAAUUGGUGCUGGUAGUUUUGGGUAUGUGUACAAAGGAGUUCUUGAUGAGGAUGAUAAAUCUCAACUUGUUGCCGUGAAGGUGUUUAACUUGUUACGCCAUGGAGCUUCGAGGAGUUUCAUAGCCGAAUGUGAAGCUUUGAGAAAUAUUAGGCACCGAAAUCUUGUCAAGAUUAUAACCGUGUGUUCAAGUGUUGAUUUUCAUGGUAAUGAUUUCAAGGCUCUAGUUUAUGAGUUCAUGAACAACGGGAGCUUAGAAGAGUGGCUGCGUCCACCUACUGGAACUGAAGAGUUAAGAGAUCAUAUACCCAAGAAGUUAAGUCUUCUUCAUAGGCUAGAAAUUGCCAUUGGUGUUGCUUGUGCACUGGAUUAUCUUCAUAAUCAUUGUGAAACGCCAAUAGUUCAUUGUGAUCUCAAGCCAAGCAACGUUCUCUUGGACAACGAAUUGACUGGCCAUGUUUCUGACUUUGGAUUAGCAAGGUUUCUCUCACAAGUAACGAGUAAUGUUUCAGCAAUUCAGAGUCAGACAAGUUCCGUUGGAAUAAAAGGAACGGUUGGUUAUGCAGCUCCAGGUAUACAUAUGUUAGAUAUAUACUUCAUUAUAUUUCCUUUUUUAUUUUGUAGUAUUUAAUUUACAAAAUUCAAACUGAACUUUUUAUACACAAAUGUGAUGUUUGAAUUGUAGAGUAUGGCAUGGGGAGUGAGGUGUCAACGAACGGUGAUGUCUACAGCUUUGGCAUUCUCUUGUUGGAGAUGUUUACAGGGAAGAGACCCACUGACAACAUGUUUGGUGAUAGCUUGAACCUUCAUAACUUUGUCAAGAUGGCUCUCCCCGAGCGAGUUAUUGAGAUUGCAGAUGCACCACUUCUUGAAGGAGGCACGAACGACAAUCCCAAUCAAUGCAGUGCAAGAAUUCAUAAAGUUGAGGUGUGCUUGAGUUCAAUAUUUAGAAUUGGAAUUGAUUGUUCUGCUGAAUCCCCAACAGAUCGACUAAAGAAUAUCAAUGAUGCUGCAUCUGAACUUCAUUCAAUUAGGAAUACUUUUCUUGGGUAGAAACUCUUUUUUAUGUGCUUUUGUAAUAAGAGAAAUUUCGUUUACUGCCUAUGAAGUCUAGCUUUUACGUUACCGCAGUAGAUGUGGAAGUUUGCAAUGUAAAUAAUCACCAAUGAGGUUUGUUGUGUGAAGAUUGUAUUCCUACUUUUUGUACUUGGUAUUUUUGUGUAAUAUUCUCAUCAAUUAAAGUCUAGUUCGUGCCACAAAAUUGUUGAAUAUUCACAUUGACAGAUUCCAAAUUUUUGAAAGAUUCAUAACCUGAAGAGCCUCAACAUUCACAAAAUUAUCUUGAAAGCUGUAAAGAUGGUGAGUUGAGUUUCCUAUCAGACUUGACCACCAUCAAUGUAAUGUGUUUUCGAAAAUGAAAGUGCUAUUUCAAUUGUUGACAACACUAGAUUAUGCACGGCAAUUCCUAAUCUCAAGUUGCCCAAUUGCAAGUCUAAAGAGCUCCAAGAAAAGAAGAUUAGCUUAUUGCUUGAAAUUAAUAAUCCCUUUCUCAAAGGCCACUGAUCGGUUUUCUUCAGCUAAUUUGACAAUAAAGCUCGGCUUGUACUUGUAGCUAUGAAGGUGUUUAACAUGUUACGUCAUGGAGCAUCAAAGAGUUUCAUAGCCGAAUAUGAGGCUUUGAGAAAUAUCAAGCAUCAAAAUUCGUCAAGGUCAUAUCUGCAUGUUUUCUCGAUGAUGAUUUCAAGGCUCUAGUUUAUGAGUUGAUGCACCAAAGGAGUUUAGAGGAGUGGUUGCAUGAUUUGCAUCCACCUCCUGUAAUUGAAGAGGUAAGAGAUCAAUACAACCAAGAAUUAAUAUCUUCUUCAAAGGCUACAUAUUGUUAUUGGUGUUGCUAUUGUGCAUUGGAUUAUUUUCAUAACCAUAGCGAAUGGUCAUUUUUUGUAGAAUUUUAACCCCAUUUUAAAGCCCAUGGGCUAUGAAAAAUCAAGGUUGUCUAGCAUUGUUGCUAUAAUUAUUCGCCCAUGUGCAUUCUGAAUUCAAAUCCAAUAGUUUUAGUAGUCGUUCUAUCAAUCUUGACAAUAAAAGAGUAUUUAUUUUAUUUUUUCAAACAAAUAGUAUUAUUUCCACUAAGGGGAAGGGGAUAGGCUUAGCCUCACAAUGAUGUAGUUCAAAUUCGUAUUUGGCAAUAAUCGAACAUAAAAUUUAUCAGUUACAAGUUAAGAAAAUACCAUUAGACCGUAGUACUAAGUGGCAUAAAAGAGUUUCUAUUAAACCAGUAAAAUGAAAAUUCUCAACCAUUCAUUAAUGGAUUUGAAUUUAGAUUUAUUACAAUUGAUAGAUACUUUUUUUGGGCAAUCAAUAGGAUACUAACAAAUUUGUUUUUAGAACAAAGAUAUGUCACGAUAAUGUGACUUAAAGCUGUGUCAUUGGCCUUUUCACUUAUUGCCCUAUCUUUAACGCACUCCAAUUAAUAUCGUCCACUAAUAUUAGUAUUUAAUGAAUCUCAUCAUAAAUUGUUACCCAAAAUAUUAAUUAUCAAAGCAAAUAAACUUGAUUGAGUUUUAAAUUUUUCGUGACUAACUCCCAAAUAAUUCUCGUUACCAAGCAAAUUAAAUACCUUUAAUUAAAAGCUUAAAAACUUUUUAAUUAUUACCUCUCUAUUUUGCUUUUGCAAUCACGAGCGUACAAUAUUAUAGGAAUAUUUUUGUUCUUCACACUCAAAUGAUGGUAAUGCUCACUACCUUAUUUAUCACCAUUAUAUGAGUUUAAUAUCUUGGAUAGACAAUUAUCAAAAUUUAAACUCAUCCAACGGUAAUAAAUAAGGUGGUAAGCAUUACCACCACUUGAGGAUGUUGAAUAAAAAUCGCCCCAAUAAUAUUAGUUAAGUUAGUUGGUGUGGUAAUUGGUCUUUAGCAAGCUUCUUAUAGAAAAAAGAAGAAUCUGAGUACUUUGGCUGUUUUGCAGAAGAAAAAGAAAGAAAGGGGCAUUUGAUGUUUGGACAGAUAUUAUGGCUGUUUGGAUGAAAUUAUUUAUUAUGGCUGUCUAUGACAAUGAGAAAUUUGAUUCUUCUAGUUGUAGCUAGUCCCGUUUUCUAUGUUUAUUUGCUUUCUUAUAUGAUGGAAUGGCGUUUUACCAUGAGAUUGAAUGGUUUUUUAUUUGGUUCUUUGUUUAGUUUGAACUAGAAAAAUUGCCCACGCGCUGCUGUGGGUUUUGAAACCAUAAUGCAGAACAUACUACGAAUAUUUUCGACAGAAAAAGACACAAAUUAUUUAGAUUCAGUUCACUUCACAUCAACAUAGUGUGCAUAAUGAAGAGAGCGUAUAUUUGAAAGUUUGAAUUAAUGAAACAUAAAAAAAGGUCGUACCCAGUGCACAAGGCUCCCGCUUUACGCAGGGUUUGAGAGAGGUAAAUGUCGGCUAGCCUUACCCCCAUUUAUAGAGAGGCUGCUCCCAAGUCUCGAACCCGAGACCUACCGCUCAUGGGCGAAGGCACUUGCCAUCGCACCAAGUGCAACCUCUUUGAAUUAAUGAAACAUGCAACAACGAAAUAUAAUGUUUUUUAUCCCCCCCCCCCCCCCCAGUCCUAUAAAAAGAAGCAUAAAUGGAAAGGAUGGUUCCCAAACUUUGUUUCAAUUUAAGUUUUAUGGCUUUCCUACUCUGCCCUACAUCACAGAACAAAAAGAAGGUUACCUAAGAAUUCAUGCAUUCAUCUUCUAAACAUGCAACAGAAAAGCACUCAUGCAUAAUAAAGGGUACAUUGACAUUAAAUAGAUCAACUUAAGUGCUAACAGCCAAUCAACAAAUUGAACAUAAUUGAAGUUUUAGUAGAAUGAGUUAACAAAAAGGAAGCUUGGUUUCCGCAUGAAAGAAAAGAUCCGCUUGAAAUGGUAGUCAUUCAAGAUGUUUUCUGGUAUUUAUGCGAAUUCGGAAAUGCUAUAAAUGUAAAAGUUACCUCAAAAGCCUUUUCUGCGUUGGUUUCUGUAAUCACUCCUACUGCAGCAUUUGCAGUCAGUAUCAUGAGAAUAACAUGUGUCUAAGACCAAGUUGUAUCCCACGUGCUUAAUCAACAACAAACAUAGAAAACAGUUAUCAUAUAUCAUAAAAUUCCAAGUCUUAACUUGUAAAGUUUCAAGUGCUCAACAAAUUUUGAACAAUGUAUGGUUCAAAACUUAAAAAAAAAAAAGACAUGCAUCAAAGACUUUAGGGAGAAAAAAUAUGCAUUGGCUGAAAUAGAUAAUUAGGAUUUUAAAUGUUAAAAUUUUCUUUUUGGCUCACUAAUUAGUGCAAAAGUGAGAUUGUAUGAACAAUUUUACACCCGGAAACAUGAACUAUACAUAAUCACAACUAAUCUAACAAUGAGAAAGUAUAUAAGACAAAACACUAACAGAAGGCUAAAACACUCUUUUAUUUGAUCUAACAAUAGGGUAAUAGGAUUAACUAAAUCAUUAGAGACUGCAACAAUGAGAAAGUCUGAAGAUUAAAGUUCUUGUUGAAUACCUUGAAAAACAUUUUCAGUAAAUCCGUUCAGGAAAAUAUAGAAACUUAAGAUUCUAUGCAAUUCCAUCAUCCGGGAUAGCACAUAUUUACUUGGAAUCCAACCUUAAGCCAACAUUUUUCUAUCUAUAGCAUCCAUCAUACCUAAGACAUUUCUCAGUAGGGGCACAUGAACAAUCAUAAUUGAGAUUUCAUAAGUUUAUUUUUUUGUUAACUAUAGUGAAAUUUAUAAAACAAUUUUAGCAAAACUCGAGUGUAGAUAAUGGACUUUUGUUCCAGUUUAAAAAAUAUUGACUUGUGUUCUAAGCAACAUAAUGCAUUCACAUUUCAAUUGUCAAAAGGCAUCACAGUAAUCCCCAACAACAACAACAAAGCUUUUUCCUACUAAGUGGGGUCGGCUAUAUGAAUCCUAGAACGCCAUUGCGCUCGGUUUUGUGUCAUGUCCUCCAUUAGAUCCAAGUACUCUAAGUCUUUUCUUAGGGUCUCUUCCAGAGUUUUCCUAGGUCUUCCUCUACCCCUUCGGCCCUGAACCUCUGUCCCGUAGUCACAUCUUCGAACCGGAGCGUCAGUAGGCCUUCUUUGCACAUGUCCAAACCACCAUAACCGAUUUUCUCUCAUCUUUCCUUCAAUUUCGACUACACCUACUUUACCUCGGAUAUCCUCAUUCAUAAUCUUAUCCUUUCUCGUGUGCCCACACAUCCAACGAAGCAUCCUCAUCUCCGCUACACCCAUUUUGUGUACGUGUUGAUGCUUCACCGCCCAACAUUUUGUGCCAUACAGCAUCGCCGGCCUUAUUGUCGUCCUAUAAAAUUUUCCCUUGAGCUUCAGUGGCCUACGACGGUCACACAACACGCCGGAUGCACUCUUCCACUUCAUCCAUCCAGCUUGUAUUCUGUGGUUGAGAUCUCCAUCUAAUUCUUCGUUCUUUUGCAAGAUAGAUCCUAGGUAGCGAAAACGGUCGCUCUUUGGUAUUUCCUGAUCUUCGAUCCUCACCCCUAACUCAUUUUGGCCUCCAUUUGCCCUGAACUUGCACUCCAUAUAUUCUGUCUUUGAUCGGCUUAGGCGAAGACCUUUAGAUUCCAACACUUCUUUCCAAAGGUUAAGCUUCGCAUUUACCCCUUCCUGAGUUUCAUCUAUCAACAUUAUAUUGUUUGCGAAAAGCAUACACCAAGGAAUAUCAUCUUGAAUAUGUCCUGUUAACUCAUCCAUUACCAACGCAAAAAGGUAAAGACUUAAGGAUUGUUAAUGCACAAAAUCAAUGAGGACUUUGAUACAACAGAAAGUAUUAAGCUUGUGAUCUUCGCUAGAUUGCUCCGGUCAUUAGUGUGGAUAAAUAUGUAAAUGGAUAGAAACAGGAAAGCAAACACAAGAUGUACGUGGUUCACCCAGAUUGGCUACGUCCACGGAGUAGAGGAGUUCUCAUUAUUUUUGAAGGGUUUACACAAGUACAUAGGUUCAAGCUCUCCUUUAGUGAGUACAAGUGAAUGAUUUAGUACAAAUGACAUUAGGAAAUAUUGUGGGAGAAUAAUCUCGUAAUCACGAAACUUCUAAGUACUGAAGUGUGGUAUCGUCUUCACUUGCCUUAUCUGUCUCAUAGGUAGAUGUGGCAUCUUCUCUGGAAGUACUCUUCCUCCAUCCAGUGGUGAUAUCUUUAACUGGUGGAGAUGCACAAGGUAAUGUAUCAAUUUCACUUGAAGCUUACUUGUAGUUUCGGGCUUGGUCAAGUGUGAUACAAACCAUAUAGUAGGAGUCCCCCAAGUCGCCGAGCUAGGAGGAUCUGCCGAAAGAGGUGACAGACAAGGUAAGCAAUCAGACUUCCAAGCAAGCAGUCCCAGGAUCAGAAGUUUGAUUUCGGCUUCCGGUUGAUUGUUCUCAUUCUCCUUAUCUUGCAUUCAAGCAUGCCAGGAUAAAGAGAAGAAAAAUGGAGAAGAGAUGAUAUGAGAUACUUUUGCUUUUGAAGAAGUAACUUUCCACAGGCUUAUUCUUGAACUGGGCUGGAGGGUUUUCUGGUUUCCUUCAGAGUAUAAGGCCGACUGAAAAAUUUGAGGGUCAAAACAAGUCCAUCAAAUCUAGAGUACGUUCGACCCUGAUGAUAUGGGAUACUUUUGCUGUUGACAAAGUAUGUGGUAUGUAUCGGCACGUGUUUCUGUUACGCUUGUCUCCACAUGCUUCCUUGUAUCCUUCUCACUUGCCCUAUCUGUUCCUCAGGCAGAUGUAAAGGCCAAUAUCUUCUCUGGAAGCAUGAAGAUGUUGAAGAUGAGUACUCGAGAGCAAUGCUAAGGUAAGCAAUCAGGUAAGGGGUUCCAGGCAGUCAGUUCCUGAUUGGAAGUUUGAUUUCAGGUUCCUGACUGAUUGCUCUCUUUUUCUCCUUGUCCUUGCAGGUAAGUGGAACAAGGACAAAGGAAAAGACAGGGAAAAGCAUGAUAUGGGAUACUCUUGCUUUUAACCCUGAUGAUAUGAGAUAUUCUUGUUCUUGGUGUGGCUUGUUUGCUGAGGUAUUAUCGGGGGGAAAUAAAGCUGAGUAUUUCGAGAGGUUACUUCGUUGAGGAGUGCCUUUCUCAGAUAUGAGGAAAGGGUUGAGCAUUUUUGCAGGUUUGCCUGUCCGUUGAGGAGGGAGGUCGACAUGUAUAUAGGAGUCUCCCUAAUAACAAGUAGUAAUGCUAUUCCUUUACCCUUCUUGGUCACAGCAAUGUAGUGGGAGCUGCCAGCUUCACGUGUUUUUAAUUUUGUCAGAGCACUUUGAAAAAGUGGUAUGUGGUAUCUGGAAAGCUGAUGUUACGUGUGAAGAUUACAGACAAGCUUUAUCUAAGGAAAUCUGGCUCUCGAAGUUCUGAGAAAGUUGUGCCUCUUCGGUUUUCGAACAAGCAAUCCCUGUCGGGGAUCUGACUCUCGAGAUUCAGAGAAUAGUGCCUCUUCGAUUUUUUAGAAAGCAAUCCUGCUGGGAGUCUGGCUCUUGAGAUUCGGAGAGCGGUGUCUCGUCGAUUUUUGAGAAAGUAAUCAUGUUGGGAGUCUGGCUCUUAAAAUUCGGAAGGCGGUGCCUCUUCGACUUUGAAGCAAGCAAUCUUGUUGGGAGUGUUUUCUCGAAUGUGAGUAAAGGUUGGGCAUGUUUGCUAGUCUACCUUGCCACAAGAGCACGGAGGUUGACACACAUAGGGACUUUCCAAUUGUCAAGCAGUGGUGCUGUUCCUUUACCCUUGUGGGUAAUAAUAUGGUAGCUAGACCUUCAAAAUUUAUGCGUCUAAACUUUGUUAGUGUUGUUUCUUUGCUAUUCUUUUACCCUUCUUGGUCAUAGCGAUGUAGUGGGAGCUGCAAGCUUCACGUGUCUAAACUUUGUCAGAGAUCUUUGACAAAGUUAUAUGUGGUACCCGAGGAGUUGAUGGUGCAUAUGGAAAGUGGUGAUUGAACAGUAAGAUUCACGUGCUUUCUACUUCACCAGAAAUCUUCGACAGAUUGCCCGUAAUUUCCGCAAAGCUGAGUGUGCAUGUGACAGGUGCUGACGAGGCUGAAAAAGCAGGUGCUUCUUCGAUUUCUGAGAUCGGCCCUCGUGGUCUCUGAGCAGCCCAGCUUUUGAGAAAGCAAGCGCCUCUUCGAUUUCUGAGAUCGGCCUUCGUGGUCUUUGAGCAGCCCAGCUUUUGAGAAAGCAAACGCCUCUUCGAUUUCUGAGAUCGGCCCUCGUGGUCUCUGAGCAGCCCAGCUUUUGAGAAAGCAAACGCCUCUUUCGAUUUCUGAAGCUCCGUCGAGUGCAGAUUUUUUAUAGAGGCUGGCAUUAAGUUCCAAAGCACACUUGAAUCUCUACCAGUAGAAGCUCCAUUUCUUGCACUUCUAAGAUCUUGAUUUGUCUGACCUCUUCUCUUCUUCAACACAUUUGAAAAUGUCUGGACCCUCCGACCGUCGUUUUGACUUGAACCUUGGAGAAGAGGACAGCCACGCCUUCUCCAGACAACAUAUGGCGCCCAUCCUUCAUAUCCCCUACUGGUCCUCUUACCGUUGGGGAUUCUGUGAUGAAGAAUGAUAUGACCGCUGCAGUGGUGGCCAGGAACCUUCUCACUCCCAAAGAUAACAGACUACUUUCCAAACGGUCUGAUGAGUUGGCUGUUAAGGACUCUCUGGCUCUUAGUGUUCAGUGUGCAGGUUCUGUGUCUAAUAUGGCCCAACGCCUAUUUGCUAGAACCCGCCAAGUUGAAUCAUUGGCUGCUGAAGUGAUGAGUCUCAAACAGGAGAUUAGAGGGCUCAAGCAUGAGAAUAAGCAGUUGCACCGGCUCGCCCAUGACUAUGCUACAAACAUGAAGAGGAAGCUUGACCAGAUGAAGGAAUCUGAUGGUAAGGUUUUACUUGAUCAUCAGCGGUUUGUGGGUUUGUUCCAAAGGCAUUUAUUGCCUUCGUCCUCUGGGGCUGUACCUGGUAAUGAAGCUUCAAAUGAUGAACCUCCAAUGCCUCCUCCUUCUGGGGUUUUGUCAAGUACUGAGGCUCCGGAUAACCACCCUCCGGUGCUUUCUCUUUCUGGGGCUCUACCGACUGCUGAGACUUCCCCUAAGCAACCUUUGUGAAGGCUCCCUUUUGUUUGUUUAUUUUGACUCAUGUAUAUGUACAUAUUUGUGGCUUAUCGAAAAUAUUAAUAAAUAAGCUUUGCUUCAUUUCAACGUAUUGUGUUAAAUACACCAAAGCCUUCUUCACUAAGUUCUUUGAAUUUUUCUUUUGUUGAAGCUUGUAUGUUGAAGCUUUCAUUCAGUUUAUUUCACUUGUCCAUUGGAAUUUUAUUCAAAGAAUUAUCAAAUAAAGACAAUAGCAUGCCAAAGAUUAAAAACCCUCAUUUCAAACUUUGCUAAUGCAUAACUCUGUUUGGUUUUCUUCUCCGAAUACCAGACUGAGAGAGGAGUCAAGUUCUCUAGUGCACCAUCAAUCUCCUGUUUGAGAAACCAUCACCACAGCCACUCCCUUGAGGCACCACCGUCGCCAUUUUUCACGGAGAACAACGCCACCACGAAACCACCACCAUUAAUCUCGCCACCUACGCAACUUUUACCAUCCCCGAACCCACCCUCUGCAAAUUGCCCUCAUCCCUUCUAAUUUCAUUUCUUGCAUUUCUUGUAUGGUAUCCAUUUCUUGCACACUCAAAUAUUUAUAUACCAACUGAGAAUAACAAUAUAAAUCCCACACCCACCCCUUUUCCCCACUUGAAAAAUUCACCAAAAGACCGCAUUAACCACCAUAGUUUAAGAAUCCAGACCCCAAAUUUCAAUCUAAUUAAUUAAAUUACAGAUGAUUCUAUCUACCUCAUGAAAACAAAUAUGUUCAGUUAAAGAAAUUCCAUAAUCACUGCAUCUUAAACCACUUCUUAAAUAUGUCCGCCAUACCAAUCUAAUAAAAAAUCCAUGUUCAAUCGAUUCUUAUUAAUUCCAACACCAAGUAUUUCAGCAUCUAGAUUAUAGAAAAAUCACAAUAAAACAAACUCAGAACACCCAGAUUCCAAUCUUGGUGCUAAAGCACACUUUGUUAACCUCACCUUCAUCAAGUCCAUGUUUCCUGCCAUGAGAUCUUUCUCUUUAUCCAGACUUGCCUUUAGCUGCAAGAUCAAAAUAAUGAAGCAUUCAAUUCCAUUUCUAUACUCAUAAAAUUAAAAAUUGAAAUAUGUCAUAAUUUACUCGGAAUCUUCAUAUGUAUUAUGAAAGCAUAUGAACAGAUACAUUUGAAAACUUAUAACGCUACCUAAUAAAGUUGAAAAGUAACUAAUUAAGAUCAAGUUCCAGUGCAUCCAGUGAGCCUUCCAGGGAAAGAUGGCCCCAUGGACUUAGACCUUGAAAACUGAGGCUUGUUUUGCCUUGUAAUUGUAUGAUCAGUAGCAUCCUUAUGGAUUGCAAUUGUAUGAUCAGUAGUAUCCUUAUGGAUUCCCAAAUUAAUCCUCAAAAUUUUGUUCUCAUCCGAUAGCUUAUGCACCUGGGACAAAAGUCGCUCAAUUGUUUCACUAUUCUCCUUGUUUCUCUUUAUCAACUCAGCCCGGUGCUGCAUAUUUUCGUCAAUGAGUUCUGAGAUCUUUUCGUGCAACAUUUUCUCUUUUUCAACCACAUUACCAUCACAUUCUACACCAUUAUCAAUAUUCUUCUCUUCCAUAUAUUCUUCGAAUGUACACAAAACCUUUUUUUAGGACAUACCAGCAUUUGUUUGUUUUGAUGGCUCUGAUUUUGGUUUCCGUUUUCUCUUUUGUGGUGGUCUAAUCAAGAUGCACUCCAAAACACUAAUUUGAGUGCCUACACAGAUGAACAUCGCAUAAAAAUCAUAAAAAAAAAUCCAAAACAGCAGCAGAGAUAAAAAAAUGAUAAUAACUCUAAAAAAAAUUUAAAUCAAAAGCUAAGACUAACUCACAGAAUUUUUGGGCAAAAAAAUUUCUUUAAAUACUAAUUUAAUGCAAUCCAGGAGCUAAAUGCUUAAAUCAGAAAAAAUCCUUUAACCCAGAUACUCCUAUGGUCACAAAUACUGAUAUUUGUGCAGUGCAGCAAAGUUUUUCUUGAAACUUGACGUAUGUCACUAAAAUUAUCCCAAAUAUAUCUCAGAGAUUGCAGAAAUUCAGACUAUCAAUAAUGAGACAGCCGGAAUGUUUUACCCUAAUCUUAUUAGGAUUUUUAACUAAACAACUUGCUCAUGUAACAGCUAUAUUACAGCAUAAAUAUUCAUGAACACUCAUCACCAAUAGCAAAAAGGAGCAAAGUACUAUUACAGAAAUCUAAAGAUACCCAUCAACAAUAUAACAAAAAAAAUUGCGGUGAGAUUUUAAAAUACCAACUUUAUUCGAUAUUACAAUGAAAUAUAACAAAAAGAAAAAUAAAAACAAAAUGUACAAAAAUCAUUAUUUUCAUAAAUAGACAGUGGAAUAACAGAAGAAGCCAAACCCAGAAAAAUUAAAAACAUAGAAUCACAGUAGAAGAAGCACACCAUUUCAGAUCUUUUUAUCCUCUUUGAAGAUCGAUCGAUUCCAGAGAGAGAGAGAGGAGGAGGGAGAAGACAAAUGGGAGAGGAGGUAGACGGAGGCGAGAGGAGGAAAACGACGGAGGUAGUUUAUCGGAAGCAUGUCUUGUCUUGCGUUGCUAGUCAACAAGUCAGUGGAAUCCUCACAAAAUCCCUCACUCAAUCGGGUCAGUGACAACUCCCUCAAUUUUCUCCCUCUCAAUCUCUCAAUCAUCGACAACUACCCAUUAAUUAAGGCUUCUAGUGGCAAUUUUGACCAAUCCCUUAAUCCCGACACCAACCCUUGAUUUGAGGAGGAAAAAUCAACCCUAACCCCCUUUAUGGCAACCUUACUAAGUCACGCCUCCCUCUCACUUCCCCUCCCUGCCAUCCCCCAACUAUCUCCCUCUCUGUCUCUGCACCCCAUGCUUUUUGGCAAUGGCACGAAUGUAAAUAAUACAAAAUCAAAGGAUCAUUUCAAAACAACAUAAAUAGACUGGCAAAACCGUAAAUAUUUCGAAAUCUGUUCAGAUACAAAAUUACCUUCCUAACUUUUAAUAUUUACCCACCAACCCAGUCUCAAAUUUGAUGGCAAUGGUGUAAAUAAAGCAAAAUCGAGUGACAUGUAGAAUAGGUAAUAUCUAUGUGUAGAAAACCUGUAACGGGAAAAUUGAAUUGUAGGAGCCGUAGCUCAUAUUCAUUCAUUGAUAGUGUAUAAAUAUAUUUGAUUACAAAGAGUCCUACAGGGCUCCAGUUCUGCUGUCCCCUUUUGUGUGUCUCCUUUAUGUUUCAACUUUCAUUGCUAAUAUUUUGACACAUGUCUUCUAGCUUAACUUAGUUUCUAACUUUGUUAACUUUUUAUUUAACAUUUAAAAGUAAAAAGAAAAAUCCAAAAUAAUCUGACUGUUGGGUUCUCGAGGUCUGCAAAUCCAAAAUAGAAUUCUUUCUGUGGCUGUCGGGUUACCAACGUGAGCAAACCUCUUCCCAAUUUUUCUCCAUCGUUGUACUGCUUCUUCACUUCUUUCCAGGCCAGCUCUGGUUGAGCUUGGAUUAUGUCCAGUUGAAAGUUGAAAACAAGCUUACCAUGAGACCCCAUAUCCUGCCAACUUUCUCUACCAAAUAUGCCAAAAGCUGUUGGCUGAAGUCAAUGAGAAGAUCAUGGAAUAUGGAUUUGCUGAGAGGUGGUAGAGUGAGAGAUUUUUCAGGUGUGAAAUCCCAUUGUAUUCUAGGAGUCAAGGAUUCUCUGGGAAUUCUGGAUCGAAGAAGACUUAUAAAUUGUUUAGUGAAGACGGAAACGAUUCGAAACAGUGGGACAAGCAUACUGGGUGAAUAGUUGAGUAAGCGAACGGAGGGCUUUAUUCAUUAUCAAUUGUGUGUAUGUUGCUGUUGUUACUGUCGUGCAGAAAAUCUCAGUUUGAGGUGACUGAGAUUACAACAAAUAUGAAAUCAUCCCUCACAGUUGUAGUGCUCUGUAUGUCCUUUAAAUGCAAGAACUGAUUUGUGACUCGAAGAAAGCUCUUGCAGGGUUCGUUUGCUUGGUGUCAAACGAAUUUCACUCUAAAAACAAAAUAAAAUUCUUUUUUCUCAAUCAAACUAUUUUAUGAGUCAUCAGAAAAUCACAAGAAUUGAUAGUCGCUACUACUUUCCAAACAUCAAACUAUUGAACUAAACAUGGUAAAUACCAAUAUUAAACUAAACAUGGUAAAUACCAAUAAUAUAUGAUAAUAUUUGGGAAUUUCUUAUAUUUCAUUAAUCUCCAAAGUGGAGUAUAUAUAGGAGUUACAAUUGGUAUUACAUAUGUACUUCACAAAUGUGGGACAAUAAACUACUAUUUACAUUUUAACUAAUGUAUAACUCGCAACACUCCCCCUCAAGUUGGUGCAAAGAUGUCAUGCAUGCCCAACUUGUCAAGCGAGUCGGAAAAUGCACUAUUAGACACAGCCUUAGUAAGAGCAUCAGCCAGUUGAUCUUCAGAUCUCACAAACGGAAACAUAAUAAUUCCUGCAUCCAAUUUUUCCUUAAUGAAAUGUCGAUCAAUCUCCACAUGUUUUGUUCGAUCAUGUUGCACUGGAUUAUGAGCAAUCUCAAUAGCAGCCUUGUUAUCACAAUGGAGUUUCAUAGCACUUUUGUGUUUAAACCCAAGAUCUCUCAACAAUUUUUUCAACCACAACAACUCACUUACACUAUGAGACAUACCACGAAACUCAGCUUCUGCACUUGACCUAGCCACCACUUUUUGUUUCUUGCUUCUCCAAGUAACUAAAUUACCACCCACAAACAUAAAGUAUCCAGAUGUAGAUCGUCGAUCAGUGAUAGAACCAGCCCAAUCUGCAUCUGUAUACCCUUCGACAUUCAAAUGAUCAUUCUUGGAGAAAACCAGGCCUCUGCCAUGAGCCAUCUUCAAGUACCUCAAAAUACGAGUUACUGCAUCCAUAUGAGCUUCACUAGGUGAGUGCAUAAACUGACUUACCACACUAACUGCAUAAGCAAUGUCAGGGCGAGUGUGAGACAAAUAAAUUAAUCUCCCCACAAGCCUCUGAUACCAUUCCUUAUGAGUUGAAACUUGAUCUGGAAAUAAGCCCAGACGAUGAUUCUGCUCAAUCGGAGUAUCAACAGGUUUGCAAUCUAACAUACCUGUUUCAGCUAACAAAUCAAGAACAUACUUCCUUUGAGAUAGAAAAAAUACCAUGCUUGGAUCGUGCAACCUCGAUUCCAAGAAAAUACUUCAAUUCACCCAAUUCUUUCAUCUCAAACUCAGUAGCUAGGUACUUUUGAAGGUGUUGUAUCUCCUUUUGAUCAUCACCAGUCACUAUCAUGUCAUCAACAUAAAUAAUCAAUGCAGUUAGCUUACCAUUUUGUCGCUUUAGAAACAAAGUAUGAUCUGAAUGACUCUGGAUAUACCCAAACUUCUUCAUUGAACUUGUAAACCUCCCAAACCAUGCUCUAGGAGAUUGUUUCAAACCAUACAAGGCCUUUCGUAACCUGCAUACAAUACCUUUUCCAGGAGAUGUUCCAAUACCAGGUGGGAGAUCCAUAUACACUUCCUCCUUAAGAUCACCAUGAAGGAAAGCAUUCUUAACAUCAAACUGCAACAGAGGCCAAUCCUGGUUUGCUGCCAAGGACAGAAGAACACGCACAGUAUUAAGUUUGGCAACAGGAGCAAAGGUCUCCUGAUAGUCCACCCCAUAGGUUUGAGUAUAACCCUUAGCAACUAAUCUGGCUUUAUACCGAUCAAUAGAACCAUCUGCUUUGUGCUUAAUAGUAAACACUCAUCUACAUCCAACGGCUUUCUUCCCGUUUGGUAACGGAACAAAAUCCCAAGUAGAAUUCUUUUCCAAAGCUUCCAUCUCAACUUUCAUAGCAUUAACCCACUUAGGGUCAGACAAAGCAUCUUGCAAUUUUGUUGGAAUUGAUACACUAGAUAGCUGACAUAUGUAAGAUGCAUAUGGUUGGGACAAACGAUGAGAAGACACAUAAUUGUUGAUAGGAUAUUUGGCUUUGGCAUGCAUAUCAGGCUCAUAUUGUACUUUAGGUUUUCCACGAUUAGCUCGUGGAGGCAACUGAUAAGUAGAAGAAUCGUCAGAAUUUACCUCAUGUAUGCCACCAUCUUGUACCAAACAGUUAGAAGAAUCAUCACUGGACGAACCAUCAUCAGGCAACUCGUUAGACAUAUCAGCAGCAGGCAACCGAUCAUCAGAAGGUAAUUCAUCAGAUAUAUCCGCAGCAGGCAACCGAUCAUCAUCUGUAGCCGACUGAUUAGUAUCACGCAAAAUAAUAUGUUCUGUUCCCAACUCUGUCUGUAACACAUCAUCCAUAUCAUCUCUUCGAAUCUGCACUUCACUCCCCCUCUCCCCUUGAAGUGGAGAGUCGGAAGAGGGCUUCACAAAAUACGAAACUUCCUCAUGGAAGGUGACAUCCAUGGUAAUAUAAGUUUUUUGAGUCGGAGGAUGAUAACACUUAUAGCCUUUUUGAUUGUUAGCAUACCCAAUAAAGACACACCAGAGAGCACAUGCAUCAAGUUUACUCCGCUGAUGAGAGUAGACAUGCACAUACGCAAUACACCCAAACACUUUCGGAGGAAGCUUUGAGACAGAAACAAGAGAAACAUGUUUUUGUAGCACAUCAAACGGUGUCUGAAAAUCAAGAACCCGACUUGGAACACGAUUGAUCAAAUACACAGCAGCCAAAACAGCAUGACCCCACAAAUGAUUAGGAACACAUUUAUCUAACAUCAAUGAGCGAGCAACCUCCAUUAUUUGACGAUUCUUCCGUUCGGACACACCAUUUUGUUGAGGUGUAAACGGAGUAGUCGUCUGGUGAAUAAUACCAUGAUCACGGAAAAAACAUGCCAAAGUGUGAUUCACAUAUUCUCCUCCGUUAUCAGACCUGAAGACCUUAACUUUGGUCUGAAACUGAGUAGAUACCAUUGUACAAAAUUCUUGAAGAAGUAAUGGAACAUCACUCUUAUUUUUCAUCAAGAACACCCAAGUUACCCGAGUACAAUCAUCAAUAAAAGUAACAAACCAACGGAAUCCAUUAGAAGUAACUUUUGCAGGACCCCACACAUUAGAAUGUAUCAAAUCAAAUGGUAAAGUAGCUUUAGAAUCACUUACAGGAAAGGAAGCACGAUGACUCUUAGCCAUGACACAUGUUUCACACUUGAACUCUGAAUCACUACAAGUGCGAAACAAAGAAGGAAAUAGAUGCUUCAUAUAACUGAAUGAUGGAUGUCCCAAUCGUCGAUGCCAUAACCAAAUUUGAUGUCUGUUAUCCACUUUAGCACUUAAAACUUGAUGAUGAUUUGAACCGGAAACAACAGUAUCCUCCAUAGUCAAGAUGUACAAACCCCUUAUCCUUUUACCAUAACCAAUUAUCUUCUGAGUUUGAAUAUCUCGAAAAUAACAAUACGUAGGAUAGAAGUGAGUAGAACAAUAUAAAGUAUCAAGAAGUUUUCCUACCGACAAAAGAUUGCACUUAACAUCAGGAACAAGUAAAGCACGGACCAGUGAUAAGGUUGGAGUCAAAGAGAUAGUGCCUUCACCCUUCACAGGGGAAAGUGCUCCAUUUGCACUAGUAAUAUACGGAUCACGAACAUAAUCACAUAACUCAUCAAACACUCUAGGGUCACUUGUCACAUGAUCAGUGGCCCCAGUAUCAAUUAUCCAUUUAUUUGUUCCACCAAGAUGCAUAACAACACUAUGAUUAUAUUGAGCCAUUGAACAAAAUCACGAACAAUAAAGGCACAAAAGAUAUGCAGCGGAAUGAAAACAAUUUACCAGAGUACUGUAGCAAUCACUGUUCACGGCACUGUAGCAAUACCAUUCACGGCACUGUAGCAAAUAACAAUCACUGUCCACGCACUGUAGCACGACACUUUUUUUUUCACACGGAGGAAAUCACGAAAAAUGUGGCACAAAAUUUAAAGCACAUAGGUCACCAAGAGCGAACUGCUCUGAUGCCAUAUUGAACUAAACAUGGUAAAUACCAAUAUUAACUAAACAUGGUAAAUACCAAUAAUAUAUGAUAAUAUUUGGGAGUUUCUUAUAUUUCAUUAAUCUCCAAAGUGGAGUAUAUAUAGGAGUUACAAUUGGUAUUACAUAUGUACUUCACCAAUGUGGGACAAUAAACUACUAUUUACAUUUUAACUAAUGUAUAACUCGCAACACAAACCAAAUAAAAUUAAUCUUUAAUAAAAAGUAUUAACUGAAACUUUAGUCCCAAAACAGAGUAAAUUCGUUGAGCAUUUUUCUCAUAGCAUCUUGCACUUUCAUAUCAUUAUCAUGAGUCUUUGUGGUGCUUGUCAUUUGAGAGCUGAUCAAAGCCUAAAUCCUUCUUUGGUGCUUUUCAUAUGCUUCGGUUCCAUUGGCUUCACAGGGAUUAUUUUAUCCGUCCAUGUCCUUGAGGAAAAAUGAAAAAUACAAUAUGAGAGCCAAAUUUAUAUAUGAAUAAGAAGCAAGAAAACUAUAGAUGAUUCAAAUAUAUAUAUAUAUAUAUAUAUAUCCUAUACUUGAUUCGUUGCUUAACUUCUCAAGGAUAAACUAUAGAGAAAACGCGGUACAACCAUGGCGAAAACGAACUCCUAUAAGAGCUUGUUUUCAAGUUUCAACAACAACAACAACAACAAAGCCUUUUCCCACUAAGUGGGGUCGGCUAUAUGAAUCUUAGAACGCCAUUGCGCUCGGUUUUGUGUCAUGUCCUCCGUUAGAUCCAAGUACUCUAAGUCUUUUCUUAGAGUCUCUUCCAAAGUUUUCCUAGGUCUUCCUCUACCCCUUCGGCCCUGAACCUCUGUCCCGUAGUCACAUCUUCGAACCGGAGCGUCAGUCGGCCUUCUUUGCACAUGUCCAAAUCACCAGAGCCGAUUUUCUCUCAUCUUUCCUACAAUUUCGGCUACUCCUACUUUACCUCGGAUAUUCUCAUUCCCAAUCUUAUCCUUUCUCGUGUGCCCACACAUCCCACAAAGCAUCCUCAUCUCCGCUUACGUGUUGAUGUUUCACCACCCAACAUUCUCUGCCAUACACCAUCGCUGGCCUUAUUGCCGUCCUAUAAAAUUUUCCCUUGAGCUUCAGUGGCCUACGACGGUCACACAACACGCCGGAUGCACUCUUUCCAUCCAGCUCGUAUUCUAUGGUUGAGAUCUCCAUCUAAUUCUCCGUUCUCAUGCAAGAUAGAUCCUAGGUAACGAAAACGGUCACUUUUUGUGAUCUUCGCUAUAUUGCUCCAGUCAUUAGUGUGGAUAAGUAUAUAAAUGGAUAGAGAUAGGAAAGCAAACACAAGAUGUACGUGGUUCACCCAGAUUGGCUACGUCCACGGAAUAGAAGAGUUCUCAUUAAUUGUGAAGGGUUUACAAAAGUACAUAGGUUCAAGCUCUCCUUUAGUGAGUACAAGUGAAUGAUUUAGUACAAAUGACAUUAGGAAAUAUUGUGGGAGAAUGAUCUCGUAAUCACGAAACUUCUAGAUGUGGCAUCUUCUCUGGAAGUACUCUUCCUCCAUCCAGGGGUGGUAUCUUUAACUGGUGGAGAUGCACAAGGUAAUGUAUCAAUUUCACUUGAAGCUUACUUGUAGUUUCAGGCUUGGUCAAGCGCGAUACAAACCAUGUAGUAGGAGUCCCCCAAGUCGCCGAGCUAGGGGGUCUGCUGAAAGAGGUGACAGACAAGGUAAGCAAUCAGAGCUCCGACUGAUUGUUCACCUUCUCCCCAUCUUGCAGCAGCAUGAAGGAUAAAGAGAAGAAAAAUGAGAAGAGAUGAUAUGAGAUACUUUUGCUUUUGAAGAAGUAACUUUCCACAGGCUUAUUCUUGAACUGAGCUGGAGGGUUUUCUGGUUUCCUCCAGAGUAUAAGGCCGACUGAAGAAUUUGAGGGUCAAAACAAGUCCAUCAAAUCUAGAGUACGUUCCACCCUGCUGAUAUGGGAUACUUUUUCUUUUGACAGAGUAAUGGAUGUAUCGGCACGUGUGCUGUUACGCUUGUCUCCACAUGCUUCCUUGUAUCCUUCGCACUUGCCCUAUCUGUUCCUCAAGCAGAUGCGGAAUCUUCCCUGGAGACAUAAGAUGUUGAAGAUGAGUACUCGAGAGCAAUGCCAGGUAAGUAAUCAGGUAAGGGGUUCCAGGCAGUCAGUUCCUGACUGGAAGCUUGAUUCCAAGUGCUGACUGAUUGCUCUCUUUCUCCUUGUCUUGCAGGUAAAAACAAGGCCAACAGAAAAAACGGGGAAAAAGCAUGAUAUGGGAUACUCUUGCUUUUAACCCUGAUGAUAUGAGAUAUUCUUGCUCUAGUAUAGCUUGUUUGCAGAGGUAUUAUCGGGGGGAAAGAAAGCUGAAUAUUUCGAAAGGCUUUGUUGGGAGUGCCCUCUCAGAUAUGAUGAAGGGUUGAGCAUUUUUGCAGGUCUGCCUGUCCGUUGGGGAUGGAGGUCGACAUAUAUAGGAGUCUCCCUAACAACAAGUAGUAAUGCUAUUCCUUUACCUUGGUAGUGGGAGCUGCCAGUUUCACAUGUUUUAACUUUGUCAGAGCACUUUGAAAAAGUGGUCUGUGGUAUCUGGCUCUCGAGAUUCGGAGAACGAUGCCUCUUCGAUUUUUGAGAAAGCAAUCAUGCUGGGGGUCUGACUCUCGAGAUUCGGAGAGCAGUGUCUCUUCGAUUUUUUUUAGGAAGUAAUCAUGUUGGGAGUCUGGCUCUCGAGAUUCGGAGGGCGGUGCCUCUUCGAUUUUGGAGCAAGCAAUCUUGUUGGGAGUGUUGUCUCGAAUGUGAGUAAAGGUUGAACAUGUUUGCUAGUCUACCUUGCCACGAAGCACAAAGGUUGACACACAGGGACUUUCCAAUUAUCCAGCAAUGGUACUGUUCCUUUACCCUAUCUUCGAUUUUGAGAAAGUAGUCAUGUUGGGAGUCUGGCUCUCGAGAUUCGGAGGACGGUGCCUCUUCGAUUUUGGAGCAAGCAAUCUUGUUGGGACUGUUUUCUCGAAUGUGAGUAAAGGUUGGGCAUGUUUGCUAGUCUACCUUGCCACGAAGCACAGAGGUUGACACACAGGGACUUUCCAAUUAUCCAGCAGUGGUACUGUUCCUUUACCCUUGUGGGUAAUAAUAUGGUAGCUAGACCUUCAAAAUUUAUGUGUCUAAACUUUGUUAGUGCUGUUUCUUUGCUAUUCUUUUACCUUUUCUUGGUCAGAGCGAUGUAGUGGGAGCUGCAAGCUUCACGUGCUCAACUUUGGCAGAGAACUUUGGCAAAGUUGAUCUGUGGUACCCAUGAGUUAUUGUUGCGUGUGGAAGUGGGUGAUUGAACAGUAAGAUUCAUGUGCUUUCUACUUCACCAGAAGUCUUCGACAGAAUGCCCAUAAUUUCUGCAAAGCUGAGUGUGCGUGUGACAGGUGCUGACAAGGCUAGAAAAGUAGGUGCCUCUUCGAUUUCUGAGAUCGGCCCUCGUGGUCUCUGAGCAGCCCAGCUUUUGAGAAAGCGAGCGCCUCUUCGAUUGAUUCGGAGAACGGUGCCUCACCGAUUUUUGAGAAAGCAAUCAUGCUGGGGGUCUGGCUCUCGAGAUUCGGGGAGCAGUGUCUCUUCGAUUUUUUGAGAAAGUAAUCAUGUUUGGAGAGUCUGGCUCUCGAGAUUCGGAGGGCGGUGCCUCUUCGAUUUUGGAGCAAGCAAUCUUGUUGGGAGUGUUUUCUCGAAUGUGAGUAAAGGUUGGGCAUGUUUGCUAGUCUACCUUGCCACGAAGCACAAGAGGUUGACACACAGGGACUUUCCAAUUAUCCAGCAAUGGUACUGUUCCUUUACCCUCUCUUCGAUUUUUAAGAAAGUAGUCAUGUUGGGAGUCUGGCUCUUUAGAUUCGGAGGACGGUGCCUCUUCGAUUUUGGAGCAAGCAAUCUUAUUGGGAGUGUUUUUCUCGAAUGUGAGUAAAGGUUGGGCAUGUUUGCUAGUCUACCUUGCCACGAAGCACAGAGGUUGACACACAUGGACUUUCCAAUUAUCCAGCAGUGGUACUGUUCCUUUACCCUUGUGGGUAAUAAUAUGGUAGCUAGACCUUCAAAAUUUAUGGGUCUAAACUUUGUUAGUGCUGUUUCUUUGCUAUUCUUUUACCCUUCUUGGUCAGAGCGAUGUAGUGGGAGCUGCAAGCUUCACGUGCUCAACUUUGGCAGAGAACUUUGGCAAAGUUAUCUGUGGUACCCAUGAGCUAUUGUUGCGUGUGGGAAGUGGGUGAUUGAACAGUAAGAUUCAUGUGUUUUCUACUUCCCCAGAAGUCUUUGACAGAAUGCCCAUAAUUUCCGCAAAGCUGAGUGUGCGUGUGACAGGUGCUGACAAGGCUGGAAAAGUAGGUGCCUUCUUCGAUUUCUGAGAUCGGCCCUCGUGGUCUCUAGGGAGCCCAGCUUUUGAGAAAGCGAGCGCCUCUUCGAUUUCUGAGAUCGGCCUUCGUGGUCUUUGAGCAGCCCAACUUUUGAGAAAGCAAACGGCCUCUUCGAUUUCUGAGAUCAACCCUCGUGAUCUCUAAGCAGCCCAAGCUUUUGAGAAAGCAAACGCCUCUUCGAUUUCUGAGCAGGCGCCUCUUUCGAUUUCUGAAGCUCCGUCGAGUGCAGAUUUUUUAUAGGGGCUGGCAUUAAGUUCCAAAGCACACUUGAAUCUCCACCAGUAGAAGCUUCAUUCUUGCACUUCUAAGAUCUUGAUUUGUCCGACCUCUUCUCUCUUCAACACCUUUGAAAAUGUCUGGCCCCCUCCGACCGUCGUUUUGACUUGAACCUUGUUGAAGAGGCAGCCCCGCCUUCUCCAGACAACAUAUGGCGCCCAUCCUUCGUCUCCCCAACUGGUCCUCUUACCGUUGGGGAUUCCGUGAUGAAGAAUGAUAUGACCGCUGCGGUGGUGGCCAGGAACCUUCUCACUCCCAAAGAUAACAGACUACUUUCCAAACGGUCUGAUGAGUUAGCUGUUAAGGAUUCGCUGGCUCUCAGUGUUCAGUGUGCAGGUUCUGUGUCUAAUAUGGCCCAACGCCUAUUUGCUCGAACCCGCCAAGUUGAAUCAUUGGCGGCUGAAGUGAUGAGUCUCAAACAGGAGAUUAGAGGGCUCAAGCAUGAGAAUAAACAGUUGCACCGGCUCGCACAUGACUAUGCUACAAACAUGAAGAGGAAGCUUGACCAGAUGAAGGAAACUGAUGGUCAGGUUUUACUUGAUCAUCAGAGAUUUGUGGGUUUGUUCCAAAGGCAUUUAUUGCCUUCGUCUUCUGGGGCUGUACCGCGUAAUGAAGCUCCAAAUGAUCAACCUCUGAUGCCUCCUCCUUCUAGGGUUCUGUCCAGUACUGAGGCUCCAAAUGAUCCCCCUCCGGUGCCUUCUCUUUCUGGGGCUCUACCGACUGCUGAGACUUCUCCUAAGCAACCUUUGUGAAGGCUCCCUCUUGUGUGUUUAUUUUGACUCAUGUAUAUGUACAUAUUUGUAGCUUAUCGGGGAUAUCAAUAAAUAAGCUUUCCUUCAUUUCAACGUAUUGUGUUAAAUACACCAAAGCCUUCUUCGCUAAGUUCUUUGAAUUUUCUUUUGUUGAAGCUUGUAUGUUGAAGCUUUCUGAGUGGAGCAUGUAGGUUGGGGUAGUGUUCCCUUAAUUUCCCGAGUGAGGAAAACUUCUUGGUUGGAGACUUGGAAAAUCCAAGUCACUGAGUGGGAUCGGCUAUAUGAAUCUUAGAACGCCAUUGUGCUCGAUCCUGUGUCAUGUCCUUCGUUAGAUCCAAGUACUCUAAGUCUUUUCUUAGAGUCUCUUCCAAAGUUUUCCUAGGUCUUCCUCUACCCCUUCGGCCCUGAACCUCUGUCCCAUAGUCGCAUCUUCUAAUCGGAGCGUCAGUAGGCCUUCUUUGCACAUGUCCAAACCACCGUAACCGAUUUUCUCUCAUCUUUCCUUCAAUUUCGGCUACUCCUACUUUACCCCGGAUAUCCUCAUUCCUAAUCUUAUCCUUUCUCGUGUGCCCACACAUCCAACGAAGCAUCCUCAUCUCCGCUACACCCAUUUUGUGUACGUGUUGAUGUUUCACCGCCCAACAUUCUGUGCCAUACAGCAUCGCCGGCCUUAUUGCCGUCCUAUAAAAUUUUCCCUUGAGCUUCAGUGGCAUACGGCGGUCACACAACACGCCGGAUGCACUCUUCCACUUCAUCCAUCCAGCUUGUAUUCUAUGGUUGAGAUCUCCAUCUAAUUCUCCGUUCUUUUGCAAGAUAGAUCCUAGGUAACGAAAACGGUCGCUCUUUGGUAUUUCUUGAUCUCCGAUCCUCACCCCUAACUCGUUUUGGCCUCCAUUUGCACUGAACUUGCACUCCAUAUAUUCUGUCUUUGAUCGGCUUAGGCGAAGACCUUUAGAUUCCAACACUUCUCUCCAAAGGUUAAGCUUUGCAUUUACCCCUUCCUGAGUUUCAUCUAUCAACACUAUAUCGUCUGCGAAAAGCAUACACCAAGGAAUAUCAUCUUGAAUAUGUCCUGUUAACUCAUCCAUUACCAACGCAAAAAGGUAAGGACUUAAGGAUGAGCCUUGAUGUAAUCCUACAGUUAUGGGAAAGCUUUCGGUUUGUCCUUCAUGAGUUCUUACGGCAGUCUUUGCUCCUUCAUACAUAUCCUUUAUAGCUUGGAUAUAUGCUACUCGUACUCCUUUCUUCUCUAAAAUCCUCCAAAGAAUGUCUCUUGGGACCCUAUCAUACGCUUUUUCCAAAUCUAUAAAGACCAUGUGUAAAUCCUUUUUCCCAUCUCUAUAUCUUUCCAUCAAUCUUCGUAAGAGAUAGAUUGCCUCCAUGGUUGAGCGCCCUGGCAUGAACCCGAAUUGGUUGUCCGAAACCCGUGUCUCUUGCCUCAAUCUAUGCUCAAUGACUCUCUCCCAGAGCUUCAUUGUAUGACUCAUUAGCUUAAUACCCCUAUAGUUCAUGCAAUUUUGUACGUCGCCCUUAUUCUUGUAGAUAGGCACCAAAGUGCUCGUUCGCCACUCAUUUGGCAUCUUCUUCGUUUUCAAAAUCCUAUUGAAAAGGUCAGUGAGCCAUGUUAUACCUGUCUCUCCCAAAACUUUCCACACUUCGAUUGGUAUAUCGUCUGGGCCUAUUGCUUUUCUAUGCUUCAUCUUCUUCAAAGCUACAACCACUUCUUCCUUCCGGAUUCGACGAUAAAAGAGUAGUUUCUACACUCUUCUGAGUUACUCAACUCCCCUAAAGAAGCACUCCUUUCAUGUCCUUCAUUGAAAAGAUUAUGAAAAUAACCUCUCCAUCUGUCUUUAACCGCGUUCUCUGUAGCAAGAACCUUUCCAUCCUCAUCCUUGAUGCACCUCACUUGGUUUAGGUCCCUUGUCUUCUUUUCCCUUGCUCUAGCUAGUUUAUAGAUAUCCAACUCUCCUUCUUUGGUAUCUAGUCGUUUAUACAUAUCGUCGUAAGCCGCUAACUUAGCUUCUCUGACAGCUUUCUUCGCCUCUUGCUUCGCUUUUCUAUACCUUUCACCAUUUUCAUCGGUCCUCUCCUUGUAUAAGGCUUUACAACAUUCCUUCUUAGCCUUCACCUUUGUUUGUACCUCCUCAUUCCACCACCAAGAUUCCUUUUGGUGUGGGGCAAAGCCCUUGGACUCUCCUAAUACCUCUUUUGCUACUUUUCGGAUACAACUAGCCAUGGAAUCCCACAUUUGGCUAGCUUCCCCCUCUCUAUAUCCCACACACAUUGGGUGAUUACCUUCUCUUUGAAAAUGGCUUGUUUUUCUUCUUUUAGAUUCCACCAUCUAGUUCUUGGGCACUUCCAAGUCUUGUUCUUUUGUCUUACUCUUUUGAUAUGUACAUCCAUCACCAACAAGCGAUGUUGAUUAGCCACGCUCUCUCCUGGUAUAACUUUGCAAUCCUUACAAGUUAUACGAUCCCCUUUCCUCAUUAGAAGAAAAUCUAUUUGUGUUUUUGACGACCCACUCUUGUAGGUGAUCACAUGUUCUUCUCUCUUCUUAAAGAAGGUGUUGGCUAAGAAGAGAUCAUAUGCCAUUGCAAAAUCCAAGAUAGCUUCCCCAUCCUCGUUUCUCUCCCCAAAACCAUGGCCACCAUGAAAACCUCCAUAGUUGCCUGUCUCCCUGCCCACGUGUCCAUUUAAAUCUCCUCCUAUAAAUAACUUCUCCGUCUGAGCAAUUCCUUGCACCAAGUCUCCAAGAUCUUCCCAAAAUUUCUCCUUCGAACUCGUAUCCAACCCUACUUGAGGUGCGUACGCACUAAUCACAUUGAUAAGUUCUUGUCCUAUUACAAUCUUGAUUGCCAUGAUUCUAUCUCCUACCCUCUUGACAUCUACAACAUCUUGUACCAAGGUCUUGUCCACGAUGAUGCCAACACCGUUUCUCGUUCUAUUUGUGCCCGAAUACCAAAGUUUAAACCCUGAGUUUUCUAGAUCCUUUGCCUUACUACCAACCCACUUAGUUUCUUGUAGGCACAUAAUAUUUAUCCUUCUCCUCACCAUAACUUCCACUACUUCCAUAGAUUUUCCCGUUAAGGUUCCUAUAUUCCACGUUCCUAAACGCAUUUUGCUCUCUUGAACUCUACCCUUCUGUCCUAGCUUCUUCACCCUCCCCCGUCUAAUAGGAUCAAAGUACUUCUUUUGUGUGUCCCGGGUAAAGUUGAUAGGAGCAUAUGCUCCCAAACAACUUUGAGUGGAGUCGUUCGAAAAGAAGUUUCUAUGGCCCCCUUGCUCAUUUAACACUGCAUCCGGGUGCCGAUGGAGAUACAGCGACCCUUGCUCACUUAUCACUGUGCUCGGGCCACACAGCGCGCCACUUACGGGUGACGCCCUAGCUUUAGCGCGAUUUUGUUCUGGAUUCAUUUUCAUAAGGAUUCGACGUGAUCAUGGAGUGUCGGCUGUCGACUACCUGACGCCCUCCCCCUCCUCCUUUAUCCAGGCUUGGAAAGAAGUGAAGAAGCAGUACAACGAUGGAGAAAAUUUUUGGAAGAAGCUUGCUUAUGUUGGUAACCCAACAGCCACAGAAAGAAUUCUAUUUUAGAUUUGCAGAUUAUUUUGGAUUUUUUUAACUUUUAAAUGUUAAAUAAAAAGCUAACAGAGUUUGAGAUUAGGUUAAGUUAGAUGACAUGUGUCAAAAUAUUAGCAAUAAGACAUACACACAAAAGGGGACAGCAGACUUGAAACCUUCAUACAGGGAUACAAAGUAUUCCCAUCUAUAUCUCAAAUAAAAGAUGACAUAAAUCAAUAUGAUUUGGUUUGUUUACAGAUGGCGGAUUGGAUUGGGACAAGGUCUUUUGUUCAACAUUUUAUGUAUCGAGACUAGAAAUUGAGAGUUUUUAUCAUUUUUUUUUCAGACAUGUAAAUGGCGUCCAUUGAAAAUUGGUGAUUGUGGGGGCAAGUCAAACUUUAAGUGUGACUUGAUCACUCUGAAUCUCAAAAUUUAAAGUACCGAAACCUAUUUUCAUGUCCAUGCUAUUGAAUUAUCAGAGAGACGAGUCGAUGGCCCAACUCCAACAACAUUGAUAUUGUUCCCAACUUGGUAAUUACCACCUGCACAAUCCGUCAGGUGUAGAGUUUUAUCACAAAAGGUCUCGAUUUUAGUUGAAAUGGGAUUAGGAUAUUUAAACUCUUCUUUUCUCAUUGAUACGGUGGAUGUGAGGCAUUUUAACACGCAUUCUCACGUGGGACCCAAUUAGUGGGUCACACAUGGAAGAUCCACACAUCGACAACCACGUGAAGCGAAGGAGACUCACCCAACACAGGGGGCCAAGGGACCCACCAUCAUCGCAUAGGGUCAAGGGGACCCAUCCAUCACGUGGCAGUACAGUACGGGCCAUCUUCUUGGCUCUGAUACCAUGUUGAAUUAUUAGAGAGAUGGGCCGAGGACCCAACUCCAACAACAUCGAUAUUGUCCCCAACUUGGUAAUUACUACCUGCACAAUCCGUCAGGUGUGAGAUUUUAUCACAAAAAAAACAUCGGUUUUAGUUGGAGUGAGGUUAUGGUAUUUAAACUCUUAUUUUCUCAUUGAUAUGAUCGAUGUGAGACAUUUCAACACAUGAACUUUUAUGCUGAUGGUUACUUUGUAUCUAAGUAGGGAAUGUUUAUUUGAUUUGUCAUUUUACCUAUUGGUUAAACUUUGAUCACUUAUCUUGGACAGAUAAAUCUGAGUUAUUUACAAUUGCACCAUGGAGGUCACUUUAUAGAAGCCUGUAAUGGGACAAUGACUUGUGUUGGGAAAAUUUUUAGUUGUGACUGGAACACAGAUGGUGCAUCACGUGUUUUUAUGUAAAUGGUGAAAAUUUUUAAUUUUUAAAUUAUUAACUUUUUAACAGACAUAUUCAACCAUUUACAUGAAUAUAUAUGAUAUAUCGUCUUGUGUGAUGGUCACACUAAAAAAUCUCUCAUUGUGUUGGUGGUCAUGUUGCUUGGUUUGACAAUAUGAACUGUGAUUUAAUGUCCAGGUGGGAUAUUGAGGAUUGUGCGAAGAAAGUAGGGUCACUACUAGAAAAAGAGCUACAGGACACCGUUCUUUAUAUUCUAUUCCCAAAUCGUGCAUAUUUGAAGAAAGUUGUCACCGUGAAAAAACAUUGGUGCAUUUUACAUUUUUUUACACUGAAAAACGGUGCCCAACAGAUAUUUGACAAAUUUUUUUUGGAAAUUAUUAACUUUUACUGGUGUCUAUAUGGAUUAUGGAGCGUGCCCUGACAACUUUUAUAGUCGAGUAAAUUGUAGUAAUGAUCUAUUAACUUUAAUCAAAUUGAAGCAAUGAUCAUUCAACUAAAAAUCCAUUACUAUUGGUCUUUCAACUUAUCAAAAUGUGUAGCUGUAGUCAUUUUCAUCAAUUUUAUCAAAAUAAAUUAUGUUGAAAUAACCAUUUAUAUAAUUAUGGUCCCUCAACUCAUCCAAAUGUGUAAUUAUGAUCAUUUUCGUCAACUAUGUCAAAAUUUUUGGCAAAACGAGUUAUGUUGAAAUGAUCAUUGCUACAAUUGGGUUAGAGUUAAGGGACUAUUUCUUCAGUUGAAUUAAAGUUGAGGGACCAAUAGUAAUGAAUUUUUAGUAAAUGAACUAUAAUUGCAUAUUUUGAUGAAUUUUUAUAAUCAAACCGAUUUGAUAUUGUAUAGAAAAUUUGAAUACAAAAGAUGCUGUAGAUGUAAUUAUUGAUUCCAUACUGAUGAAACCAGGUCAUUGUAAAACGCUCUCUCUAAAUCCAAUCCAACCAUGUGGCUGUGAGUUUCUCAAUUUUUUUAUUAUUAUCAAAGUAUGGACUGGAGCACAAAAGUAAAGUAAUAAACAAUAUUUCACCUCCACUCCUUUUCAUAUCAGUUUCCGGAUUCCUCUUCUCCUAAAAGCUUCUACAGUUUUUCUCCCAACACCUCAAGCGGUUGCAUGGCGUCCUCUAGAUCAGCAGCCUCUCAUCCGCAUGUCGUCAACAAUAUGCAUGUAGUCCUCUGUGUUUUUGUCGCCCUCUGAGUUUUAAAGUUGUUGGGAUGUGAAAGGCUGAGUCCACGAGAGAUUUGUUUACUGGGUUCGUAAGUUGUUUGAUGGGAGUUUGAUUGACUCUUAAACCUGGUAAAAAGUUUCCUUGCUUCUCUCUGUCUCUUCUCUUGCUUUAUAUUUUUUUAUUUUUUUAUUUUUUUUAUUUCUAAUUUUUAUUUUUGGUUGAAGUUUAAAACUUAGGCAAAAGACUGUUUACUACCCUCAUAUUUCGUGGUUUUCAACAUUUAGUAUAUCAAGUUUUUUUCGUCCCAGAGUCAUACCUAAAGUGUAAAUUUUGGGACAGUCUCAUACAUCUGUUAGUCAAACUGUUAAGUUUUCCGUUAACUGAUGACGUGGCGCCCAUGUGGACAAUGACUGGAUGCCACGUGUCAAUAAGGGUCCCACGUGGAUUUAAAAAUUACAAAAAAUUACAAAAUUGCAAAAAAAAAUAAAUAAAAAAAAAGCUGUUGUUGUCUACGCCCACCAAACCCUCUAUACUCGACCCAUCUCCCUCUCCUCCACCCUUUGCAAAAACCCUAACUCCCAAAAUCUUUUGAGUUUUCAAAAAAAUUGAGCAAACCGAGCAUGAAAUCCCUAAUCCCCAAAAUCUUUCCGACCCGUUUGAAUUUGACUUCAAUUUCAUCAAACACAUAAUGAAAACACAAAAAGACUUCGAUUUCGUCAUACCAAAAAACUGAUCAGUCAGGACUCGGACAUUCAUUUUCGUUUUGUUCCCCCCAAAUUUUCUCAACAACCAAACAGUCCAUUUCAAAUUAUAAACAACAAAAGCAGCAGAAUCACAAAGAUCAAUACACAAAAUUUGAAAUUUCUUAGCUAAUCCGUAACUCUGUUUGCGGGAAACAAAGCAGCUCUAAAUCACUCGCCUUUGAGUUCGAAAUGCAUACCUCGAUUUCUUAGAGAUAACGACGCUUUCUCAAACGUCGUCUAUGAGAAGGCCAUCCCGGCAAUGAUCAACGAAAAUCGGGAAAUGCAGUGAAAUUGGAAGCUGAAAGGACACCGUGACCUAGUUGGUGGCCAGACGACGGCAGAUAUGAUGAAAUUGCGGCAGAGAAAAUGGCUUUUAGGGUUUUAGAGAGGCAGUGAGUGAGGUGAAGAAUCUGGAAUUUUAGAGAGAGAGAGAGAGGAGAAGGGGGUCUCUACAGCUUGAAAAUGGCCUCAGCAAAGGCGUAGCGUUGGUGAAUCGCCUCGUCGAGGAAGCCACAGCGCUCCCGGCAUAAGGCGACGGCCAGAAGAUCGUCGAGCUUGGAGCUCGUCCAGCCCAUUGGGUUGGGUAUGGAGGGACUAUGAGAGGGAUGGGUCGGGUUGGGAGGUGGUGGUGAGGGAAGAACGAGUGCGAGUGGGGAGAGGGACGGAGGGGGGAGACCAAGUCGCUCGGGGUGGGGAAGACAAAAGGGAUCUGGAGAAGGAUGGAUAUGCAGAUGUGCAUAAGGAUUUAGGGAUUUGGGUAGUGAGAGCGGAGAGUGAGAGCGAAUGUGCAGAGGUACGUGUCACAGCAAAUCGCUCGGGGUGGGGAAGACAAAGGGGAUCUGGAGAAGGAUGGAUGUACAGAGGUGCAGAGGGAUAUGGGGAUUUGGGGAAUGAGAGAGAGCGGAGAGUGAGGGUGAGAGCGGAUGUGCAGAGGUGCAUAAGGAGAAGGGAAGCGGAUCGGGGUGGGGAAGACAAAGGGAAUCUGGGGAUUUUUUUUUUAUUUUUUUUAUUUUUAUACUUUUAUUUAAUUAAAAUUUUAAUUGUUUAUUUAUUUAUUUAUUUAUUUUUAAAUUUCCACGUGGAUGACCCGUGGCGCCCAGUCAUUGUCCACAUGAGCGUCACGUCAUCACUUAACGGGAGAUUUAACAGUUUGACUAACGGAUGUAUGAGACUGUCUCAAAAUUUAAACUUUAGGUAUGACUCUGAGACGAAAAAAACUUCAUGUACUAAAUGUUGAAAACCACGAAAUAUGAGAGUAGUAAACAAUCUUUUACCCUUAAAACUUUCUUUUAAAAGACUCAUUUUCUCUAAAAAGUAAUAAUAAAAAGGGAUAUCAAAUGAAAGGCUCUGGUAGUCUUGAAAUACGUGUAUUGUAGUUUCUCUAUGUAUAUAAAACAAGAACAAUUGAUAAUCUGUAUCUUUGGAAACCAACCAUAAUUCUCAGUUCCCCUCCUCUCUCAGAGUGCUCUCUCCCUCUCGUCAUCACGAGUAAGGCUAGAUCUAAUGAUCUGAUUUCAACGACGCCUCUGGCUACCAGAUCUGGUACUGGCAACCAUUUUUGCUUGGAUCUCGCUCUCUCUCCCUCUCGAGCUAAGCAGACGCACCUCCAUGGAAGAAGAUGGAUGCUCGACGUCAAAAUGAUGGAUGUAAGUUGACUGUAGAGAUCUGAUUUCCUGCUGCCUCUCCACCUCGUUUUCAUCAUGAUGUGCCCUAAACCUAAUCUGGUAGGUAUUUAUUUGGGUAUUUUUUUUAUCUCGGUUUCUUUUUCUAAUUCAUUUUCAGAUCGUUGGAAUGUAUGUAUAUCAAGUUCUAUUUAUAUUCUCUCUUUUUAAAUCAUUUUCAGAUAUUCGGGAUUGUUUGAGAAGACCUAUGAGAAUCCCACUUACAAAAUUUUGUGAGCAACAAACUUAAGUGUUGAAACAUUGUUUGUAUUUUCUAUUUUUCGUCAAAGUUAUUAUUUUUUAUUUUCUGUUUUUGUAUGCUUAAUGUUGACUCUUUUGGUGGUAUUGUUAUGAAGGUGAAUCUGGAAAAAUAUGUUCAUUCUAGAAUCGUUACUCGAGUUCUUGGAUGGAUGGGAAGGUUGUGGAACUCUCCUAGGUUUAAAUGAUUAAUUUUCAUCCAAAGCAUGUGGUAUUAAUCGUGGACUUCGUCAAUGGGAGCUCAGCGGGCUCCCUCUUUUUACAUACAUAAAUUGCAAUUUGGACACUGAUGCUAAAAGGCAUAUUUUAUGUGAAAAAAUAUUUAAUCUAUUAAUAAACAAAUAAACCAAAAUAUAAUAAUGUCAUAUAUCUACUAUUCCUUUGCCCACCAAUGUAUAAAUGGUGGUGUUUGUUACAAUAGAGACUUCUGUAGAGGACAUGGACCCUAAUUUAGUGGCUGCAUGAUGGCUGUUUAUGCUUGCCACCGAAUUCAGUGUCCAAUGUUUCCAAUUGGCACCAAUAAGAUAGUGUUCUAUAGCUAUUUUCUAAAAAAAAACUAAUGAAAAAGGCUUGAAAACUUUAAGUUUUAACGAUAAGGAUAAAAUAAAGGGUAAAAUGAAUAGUAUCAGAAUUGACUUUUUAGUGUAAAAAUAUAAUUUUUCGUUAAAGUGAACACUACCAUGAGUUUUUUAUUAAAACUCCUAUUUUUCUAGUAGUGGGUAUACUAAGACUGCUAAGUACCAUUACACAUUGUCAAAUGACAGAACUUACAAGCCCAUUGUUGCUGAUAGUGAUUUUUGGAGUCUAGCUACUGUAUUGCCCCUAAAUAGAGUGGUACUUGUGUACACCGUUGAUGAUGUCCAACUGAUCAAUUCAGCCCCAAACAUUGAAAUUCAAGCUUCAGCAAACUCUUUUGACAUUCCUUACAUGUCAGCCCCAAACAUUGAAAUUCAAGCUUCAACAAACUCUUUUGACAUUCCUCACGUCUGAUCCUUUUGGCAUAUUUGAGGGAUUUUUGGAGCAAGCUUAUGAAGGAGAUCGGGAACAAGACAACCUUGUUGAGGCAGGUAUACAUAACAUGGAAAAUGAAGAGAGAGAUGGCGAUGGCAAUUCGGAAGAUUCAAAUUAGUGAGACUCAGACUAUGAACAAAGUGAUGUCGAUGACAACUUAUUUGACGACAAUUUAGAGAAAACUAAAGGGAAAAAUACCAAUGGAAAAUGCAAUGGAAAUAGGAAAGCAUCACGUAAUACUGAACCCUUUCCUGAUUUAGGAUUUGGAGAUGUUGAAACAAACUACGAAGAUUCUGAUGGCUUUAGAAGUGGUUCUAGUUCAUCAUCUGAAGGUGAACAACCAGUGAAGCGGAAACGUAGGAAGAAAAUGCCCAAAUUCAUUCCUUUUAGAAGUGAUUUGGAUAUGAAGAACUGGAAUGAUAUUUGCCAAUAGAAGGGGGCUCAGACAAGCAGUGACAUAUUAUGGUUGUGUGAAUGGAAGACAAAUAAGAUUCCCAAUAAGAGAAGGUUAUAAAGUUCAGGGUAAGUGUACAAAGGAGGGAUGUCCAUGGGUGAUUUAUGCAAGCAAAACAGAUGGGAGCCCUGCACUUAUAGUGAAGACACUCAAUGACGUCCAUACAUGUCCGAGAGAGCAAAAGCUCAGAGUAUGCACCUCAAAUUGGUUAUCACAUAGGUAUGCUGACUAUUUGCUUGACAAUCCUAAGUGGGAAGUGUCAAAAUUUCAACAAACUGUUCAUAAACAAUACAAUAUGCAUGUAACACCGGCUCAACUUUAUAAAGCACGAUCAUUGGCAGCUGAGAAGAGUGAAGGGGGCUUAUGUGGAGCAAUAUGCAAGGUUAUGGGAUUAUUGUGAGGAGCUCAAGCGAAGAAAUCCUGGCAGUACAAUUUUGGUGAAGACUGAAAUGGAAGGAGGAAGGCCUAGGUUUCAGAGGUUGUAUGUAUGCUUUGCAGCAUUGAAAAAAGGCUUUUUGGAAGGUUGUAGGCCAGUGGUGGGAUUGGAUGGAUGCCACAUUAAAGGUCCACAUCCAGGCCAGUUGCUUGCUGCCAUUGGUAUAGAUGCCAACAAUGGCAUGUAUCCAGUAGCAUAUGCGAUUGUUGAAAUUGAAGAUAGAAGAACUUGGACUUGGUUUCUCGAGCUACUCAUCACUGAUUUGGGUAUUGAAAAUGGGCAUGCUUGGGUCUUUACGUCAGACAAACAAAAGGGGUUAAUAAAAGCUGUGAAGGACCUUAUUCCAACUGCUGAACACAUACAUUGUGUUCGACACUUAUAUAACAAUUUCAAGAAAACACACGUUGGCAUUGCAUUGAAACAAAUUCUUUGGUCAGCAGCUAGAGCAACCACCAUUCCAGGAUUUAAAGCAGAGAUGACUAAGAUGGAAGUUGAAGACGGAUUGGCUAUAAGUUGGUUUGAUGACAAACCAGCAUGUCAUUGAAGCAGAUCUUAUUCUAGGACAUCAUCUAAGUGUGAUAUCUUGUUGAAUAUUCUAUGUGAGUCUUUUAGUAGUGCAAUAUUGAGAGCAAGAGAUAAACCAAUAUUAACUAUGGUGGAAAGGAUUACAACAUAUCUGAUGGUCAGAAUGGCAAGAAUGAGAGAAGCAGCGGAUAAGUGGAAAACUGAGGUUGGCCCUAGAAUAUUUAAAAUGGUUGAAAAAAAUAAAUUAGAAAGUGGUUCAUGUAUUGCUUGGUUGUCAGGUGAUAUGGAGUAUCAAGUGAAGCAUAUGAGUGGAGCACAAUAUGUGGUUGAUUUAGCGAAACACACAUGUACAUGUAGAAGGUGGGAUCUCACUGGAAUUCCUUGUGCUCAUGGAAUUGCUGUAAUCUAUAGAAAGGAGGACGAUCCAUACAAGUAUGUUCAUUCUUGUUACAAGAAAGCAGCAUACUUGAGAGCCUACACUUAUAUCCAUGCCAUGCUUAGUCAAGAAUUUUGGCCACCUACAAAUCACCAACCCGUUGCAUCUCCAAAGUAUCAUAAGCAAGCUGGUAGGCCAAAGAAGGUGAGGGCAAGAGAGCAAGAUGAACCACAACCACCAUCAACCUUAAAAAAAUUGCCUAAAUGCUUCAGCAAGGUCACUUGUGGAAUGUGUGGCAAGAAAGGUCAUAAUCGUACAACAUGCGGGAAGAGGCAACGACAAGCUUCACAGGUAAAAAUAGCUUAAUGGUUUCACUUAUCUGCAUUUUUAGUCACAUAUGGUUGUUAUAAAUUGGGGAAUAUCAUCUCUUAGGCCUAUGGAGAAGCUGGGAGAGGACAAACUUGUGGGACAAAUGAAAUUGGCCAUAACUCACCAACUACUGAAAGUGGGCAAACACAAGCAAUGGUGUGCGUACUGAAAACUUCGGUAUUUUAAGGUUUUGUCUUGUAUUUAUUGACUGAUGUAUGUGUAACUCUUUUAUUGAUCAUUUUGUAGCAUGCCACUGGAGGAAAUACGGGAAGUGAAACUCCACCAAAUCAGGGACAAGAAAAAUCUGCACCUAAUGCAAGUUCUUUUGACCUAUGUCUUUGUCCCUUUCUCGUCAGGUUUUUUUUUACUUUUUUAUUGUUUGUAGGUUUCUAAAAGGGGUAGAGUGAAAAAAAAAUGCAAGAGGUAAGUCAAUGCACAAGUCAAGAAAACCACCUAAAAACCGUAGAAUCUGAAGAAAUCAUUUGAAACUUUAGACUUUUUGUUAAUAUUGUCAAUAUCCUCUUGGACUCGAUGGUACUGAGCACUGUGAUCAUGAUACUCACUAGAUCGAAGUGCAUGUUUAAUAAUGGAAUCACCAAAUGGAAAAGCAAAAUCAUAAGUUGGGUACAAGUUGUACUCGGACACAAUUCGAUGAUGUGGUGUAGAUUGUAGGGGUAAUAAAUAGGAUCUUGAAGAGAUUUUUUUUGGAUACUGCAUAUCCAGAGUUCUCCUCAAUGAAUGAUUAUGAUUUAGGUCACAAUUGACCUCGAAUGCCCAUUUUCUUCUCAAGAAUUUGAAAACGAAUUUGUGAGCUUAAUCAACAUCUAAUUGUGGACUAUCUCACCUAGAUAUAUCUACAAGAUGGUCAUAAUAUUAUUUGCUUGUUAUUACAAGCUCAAUUUCCCAAUUGUAGGCUAUUUCAGACCACUGGGAAUUACUUUUAAGCACACAAUUUUUCAUGGCUUAGCACAAGGUUAAGCAUUCUAUUCAUUGCUAAUUUUUGGUUAGGAGAAUCAUCUUGAUCCACAGGCAUGUAUCAUCAUGAUCAUUUCGGUUGACGUUUAUUUUUCAACCAACAAGAAAUUGUGUACACAAAGAUGGUUCAAUCCAUGAAAAUUGAGAUUCAAGUUUAUCUUUCUAAAUAGCAACUAAAAUACCUCUUUGUAAUUGCAAUAUACAAUUUAGUUUUACAAAAAACAUCCAAAAGAGUUUCAAGUCAUGCGGAUGAACAUUUUAUGCAAAUAUAUUGCAUGGGCUUGAUCCUUUUUACUUCAUCACUAGUCAUUCCCUCGCAUUCAGCAUGGAAACUUUAUGAGCAAUUCAUAUGAUGUAAUAAGUAAAGAUGGAAUUGAACAAUAACAACUUGAAAGAAAAGAAUUUGAAGACUUUACCACUCCUUGCAUGCCUCACAGCACACCAUGAGAUUAUCUGGGUUAUACGGUAUCUGACAAGUGCAAUACCUUAAAAAAUAAUUAAACAAAUAAACAGCACAUCAAAUUUCAUCUAUAAACACCACAUAUCAACUAAAACGUAAGAUAAAAGAGACUCACAGAGGAAUAAGAAAAUUGUCGAACCCUUUCCUAGAAUGCAAGACCUAAAUCUCUAAUAGUAAUCCUCAUAUGUUACCAUUUGGAGUUUUACGUACUCAUCAAGAGUGUGGACAUUACACUUUCCGAGAAUGGUAUCAAUGCUCAUAGUAUCACGAUGAUUAAACCAUAUGAGCUCAUCCUUUCCAAAGAAAGGAGGACGCUUUUCAAGGGCAUCAUCUGACCUAUAGAACCACCUCACCAUCACUUUCUUUUUAUUGUGACUAAAACGCAGGAUGGCCGCCACCCAUGGCUGAUCGUUCACUAUUGCACCAUCAUGAUUAAUCAUGACUUAAUCCCCAACGGAGAAAGUCUCAUUGGUAGUUGUAAUGCAACAAGUGGCCAUCCCUUCCAAAUAACUGGCAAUCAUAUAAAAGAGAUCCAACAAGAAGUGAUCAGCUUAACCCCAGUGUCCCUCCCAACUCUAAUGUCAAUCACAUAAAAGAGAUCCGUCUACUAUAUGACCUCAACUAUAACAAAAGAGCUCAAUCUUAUAACAAAAGAAUAAACAAAACAUAAAUCUUAUAACAAAAGAUUAAAAAAACAUAGCUAUUAGUGCUUUUAGUGAGGGUGAAAUAAUCUGGACAAUAGAAUUCAAACUACACCAUUACAUAAUUGAUCUACAUUCUAAUCACUAGCAGCAAAUGAAACCUUAAUUUUAAUUCAAAAUUGAAACCCUAAUAGCUCAAAAUUUCGAACUAUUACAUAAUUGAUAACUAGUUUUAAAUCAAAAUCACUAGCAGUAAACGAAACCCAAAUCGAAAUCAAGGUGAAAUUUCUUACCACGUGCAGUGCAAUCGUUGGAGGUGAAAGACAUAUAGAAUUCGAGAGGAGAAAGAGACUCAGAAACGAGUCGAGAGAGAGCCGGUGUGUGGUGAUUCUGAAUUUGAAUUAUAUUAGCCGUUGAAUUUAAAUUUGGACCGCCAAAUUUUUUACUGUUGGAUUUAAUCAUCUUAGCUGUUGAAUUUAAACACUUUAUAAAAGAAUAUGAAACGUAUUGAAAAAAAUUCUUUUAAUUAUUUCACUCGUUGAACUCCCGAGUCUCAACUCCAUCCCUUAAGACUCUCUGGAUUCCAAGUCUCCUACUACCAGGCACCACCACCAUCUCCUCUCAAGUCUCAACUCCCACAUCUCUUCUAUCUCCCGACUCCAACCACCACCAUCAUCUCCUCUCAACUGAAGUCGAUAGCUCGAUCCCUCCCACCACUGAGUAAGGUACUCAGUUUUAAUUUUUAGGGAUUUAAGAUUUAGUGUUUUCUAGAUUUUGGGGUCUUGAUCUAAUAAUUUCUAGUUGUCUGAUAACGGAAUCAACUGCUUAGUCUUAUAAUUUUGAAGCUUUGCUUUGAUAUUUUGAUUAAAUUGAAAUUUGAAUUAUGAGAAUAUUAGAAACUUACAUAUCUAUGUAAUGAAGAAAAAGAAAAUUAGAAACUUACAUGAAUUGAUCAAAAUAAUUACACCAACAAAAUAUCCAUUCAGUCAAAAUUUUGCACCAUUACAGAAUUGAUCUAAAUUCUAAUAACUAGCAGCAAACAAAACUUUAAUUUUAACUCAAAAUCGAAACCAUAAUAAAAUAGGAAAGUUAGCUAAAAAUUUCGCACCAUUACAAAAUUGAUUACAUUUUUUAUUCAGAAUAGAUUACAUUUUUUUUUUCCUUUUCAAAACAGGUUAUUUUCACAUAUCCUUUGUAAUCCAAACACAACACUAGCUCAAUUCAAUUUCAGAUCAAAACGACCCUGACUGUACUAUUAUUAUCAAAAUCCACAACCAUAUCAAUCACAAAAUGGAAGCUUGAAUGAGAUAAAAAAAUAUUUAAAAACUUAUCACUUUUAUCUUAUUGAAUAUGGCUUCCAGGGAGAAAAAAGGGAAAAAUUGAUGGCGAAAUCUCUUUUCUACAUGAACAACAAAAACCCAGCACAAUGACACCAAAUACAAUCUAAUCCAAUUCAAUCAAACCAAUCUCAAUUCUCAUAUUCGACUUUAAUCUCAAUUCAAUCUCAUAAUUCCAAAUACAAUCUGCUUUGCUCAAUUCAGUUUCAAAACAAACGACCCGGACUGUACUAUUAUUAUCAAAAUCCACAAGCAUAUCAAUAAGAAAUGGAAGCUUGAAUGAGAGAAAAAAAAUAUGUAAAAACUGACCACCUUUAUCUUAUUGAAUAUGGCUUACAAGGAAAAAAGGGAAAAACUGAUGGCGAAAUCUUUUAUCAACAUGAACAACAAAAACCCAGCACAAUGACACCAAAUACAAUCUAAUCUCAAUUCAAUCAAACCAAACUCAAUUCUCAUAUUCCAAUCUAAUCUCAUUUUAAUCUCAUAAUUCCAAACACAAUAUGCUUAUAAGAAUGACCCCAACACUUGCCCACCGAUCACCAACACCCCAAAUCUAAAUAUUCUCAUAAUUCUAAUUCCAAUUCAAUCAAAUACCAAAGCAAAGCUUCAAAAUUAUAAGACUAAGCAGUCGAUUCCAUCAUCAGACAACUAGGAAUUAUUAGGUCAAGACCCCAAAAUCCCAAAAUCUAGAAAACACUAAAUCUUAAAUCCUUCGCCCAUGAGCGGUAGGUCUUGGGUUCGAGACUUGGGAGCAGCCUCUCCAUAAAUGGGGGUAAGGCUAGCCGACAUUCACCUCUCCCAGACCCUGCGUAAAGCGGGAGCUUAUGCACUGGGUACGACCUUACUUAGUGGUGGGAGGGAUCGAGCUAUCGACUUCAGUUGAGAGGAGAUGAUGGUUGGUGGUGGUCAGAGUCAGGAGAGAGAAGAGAUGUGGGGAGUUGAGACUUGAGAGGAGAUGGUGGUGGUGCCUGGUAGUCGAAGACUCGGAAUCCAGAGAGUAUGGGGGAUGGAGUUAAGACUCGGAGUCCAACGGGUAAAAUAAUUAAAAGAAAUUAUUUCAAUGUGUUUCAUAUUCUUUUAUAUAGUGUUCAAAUUUAAAUUCAACGACUAAGAUGAUUAAAUCCAACAGUUAAAAACAAAAUUGACGGUCCAAAUUUAAAUUCAACGGCUAAUAUAAUUCAAAUUCAGAAUCACCGGCUCUCUCUUUCUCUCUCGACUCCUUUCUGACUGUCAAGUCUCUGUCUCCUCUCGAAUUCUGUCUUUCACCUCCAACGGCUGCACUGCACAUGGUAAGAUAUUUCACCUUGAUUUUAAUUUGGGUUUCGUUUGCUGCUCGUGUUUCUGAUUUUGAUUUAAAAUUAGUUAUCAAUUCUAUAAUAGUUCAAAAUUUUGAGCUAUUAGGGUUUCGAUUUUGAAUUAAAAUUAAGGUUUCGUUUGCUGCUAGUGAUUAGAAUGUAGAUCAAUUCUGUAAUGGUGUAGUUUGAAGUCUAUUGCCCAGAUUAGCUCACCCUCACUAAAAGCACUAAUAGCUAUGUUUUUUUAAUCUUUUGUUAUAAGAUUUAUAUUUUUUUUUAUUCUUUUGUUUUAAGAUUGGGCUUUUUUGUUAUAGUUGAGGUCAUAUAGUUGACGGAUCUAUUUUAUGUGAUUGACAAUAGAAUUGGGAGGGACACUUGGGUUAAGUUGAUCACUGCUUGUUGGAUCUCUUUUAUAUGAUUGCAUGUUAUUUGGAGAGGAUGACCACUUGUUGCAUUACAACUACCAAUGAGACUUUCUCCAUUGGGGAUUGUGUCCUGAUUAAUCAUGAUAGUGCAAUAGUGAACGAUCAGCCAUGGAUGACGGUCAUCCCGUGUUUCAGUCAUAAUAAAAAGAAAGCGAUGGUGAGAUGGUUCUAUAGGUCAGAGGAUGCCCUUGAAAAGCAUCCUCCUUUCUUUGGAAAUGAUGAGCUCAUAUGGUCUAAUCAUCGUGAUCAUGUGAGCAUUGAUAACAUUCUCGGAAAGUGUAAUGUCCACACUCUUGAUGAGUACGUAAAACUCCAAACGGUAACAUAUGAGGAUUACUAUUGGAGAUUUAGGUACUUGCCUUCCAGGAAAGGGUUCGACAAUUUUCUUAUUCCUCUAUGAGUCUCUUUUAUCUUACGUUUUAGUUGAUAUGUGGUGUUUAUGGAUGAAAUUUGAUGUGCUGUUUAUUUGUUUAAUUAUUUUUUAAGGUAUUGCACUUGUCAGAUGCCGUAUAACCCAGAUAAUCUCAUGGUGUGGUGUGAGGCAUGCAAGGAGUGGUAAAGUCUUCAAAUUCUUUUCUUUCAAGUUGUUAUUGAUCAAUUCCGUCUACUUAUUACAUCAUAUGAAUUGCUCAUAAAGUUAUUUUCCUCUUUGACUUAAAGGUAACAUGCUGAGUGCGAGGGAAUGACUAGUUAUGAAGUAGAAAGGAUCAAGCCCUAGCAAUAUAUUUGCAUAAAAUGUUCAUCUGCAUGACUUGGAACUCUUUUAGAUUUUUUUUUAAAACUAAAUUGUAUUUGCAAUUACAAAGAGGUAUUUUAGUUGCUAUUUACUUUUGGAUGUGUAGAACUAAAGAAAGAUAAACUUGAAUCUCAAUUUUCAUGGAUUGAACCAUUUUUGUGUAUACAAUUUCUUGUUGGUUGAAAAAUAAACGUCAACCGAAAUGAUCAUGAUGAUGCAUGUGGAUCAAGAUGCUUCUCCCAAGCAAAAUAAGCAAUGAAUAGAAUGCUUAAACCUUGUGCUAAGCCAUGAAAAAUUGUGUGCUCAAAAGUAAUCCCAGUGGCCUGAAAUAGCCUACAAUUGGGAAAUUGAGCUUGUAAUAACAAGCAAAUAAUAUUAUGACCAUCUUGUAGAUAUAUCUAGGUUAGAUAGUCCACAAUUAGAUGUUGAUUAAGCUCACAAGUACAUUUUCAAAUUCUCAAGAAGAAAAUGGGGAUCUGAGGUCCAGACCUAAAUCAUAAUCAUUCAUUGAGAAGAACUCUGGAUAUGCAAGAUCCAAAAAAAUCUCUUCGAAAUCUUGUUUAUUACCCCUACAAUCUACACGACAUCAUUGAAUUGGGUCCGAGUACAACUUGUACCCAACUUAUGAUUUUGUUUUUCCAUUUGUUGAUUCCAUUAUUAAACAUGCACUUCGAUCUAGUGAGUAUCAUGAUCGCAAUGCUCAUAUUUGUGCUAUUUUGAUUACCUUAUCUCGCUAUCACUUGAUUCAUUAGUUCUAAAGGAAGUUCUAAUCACUACGAAAACAGCUUAAUAACAGUUGAUUAUCCCUAAAACAAAGAGGGCAAACAUAGAAAUAGUGUUUGUACUCAAAAUCCCAAUUGUGUAACACAUGGUUGUAAUCUACCCUGAUCUCAAAAUUUAAAAUUCGACACAAAAAUGAAAUUUGGAAUGAUUAGCAGGGAAAUAAGAGAGAAGCGUGAGCGAAUAUACCCAUGAGGCCUUCGGAUCCGAGUUCGGAGCUUGAAGGGCAGAGGUUGCAAACCCAGAGCAUGGAAGAAGCGGGAAGGAUUUUCCUCUGUGCUGCCUCGUGUCUUCUACUAUUUAUCCAAGCAUUGACUGUUCAAAUAUUGGGUAGUGGGUAAUCUUAAAACUGAUAUAAUCAUAUAGAAAUAACUUUGUUCAAUCUUUCAGGAUCUUAACAACAUGUCUUUCAACAAUAUUUGUGAUGUUGAUUUUGAAUCAUGUCUCUAUUUUAGAUUGAGAGAGAGAGCAUGAUUUAAGCGGGAACUAUCUCAGAUUCUCAGGCAAUUUUCCUAUCUAGCAAAUGGUUAAGACAGAAAAAUGAACCUUCGAUAUAGAAAACAUCGUAAGCUUACAAAAGCCACCAAAUCAAAGUUAUGCUUUUUUAUGUGCUUGUUUGCAACAUGGCAUAUUUAUUGCUUUCCAGGGUAUAAAUGGCUAUCAUGCAAAAUGAAAAAGAAGUUAAAGACUUCCAACAAUGGAGAGCAUACCACCAUCAUAUGUGAUCCAGGGCAACACCAUAAAAGCAUGCUAGAAUUAGAGAGAUGAGACUGGUGGCUAGUGGCAUAUUUUAAUUAGCAAAACCUCCAAGAUAAGUCGACCUCUCUGAUCAUAUGGGAAUUUGCAAAGAAAUGGAUUUCCCGUAGAUAUCUUUUGCAUCAUCAUAGUCAUUAUAAAAAAGGUAAACAUGAUGACAUGUUUCAGGACAGCAUACAUAACACAUGCAUAAACACCCCAAUUGCAAACUCUACAAUGAAAGGGACCAAAAUAAAAUAAAAACUUCCGUUAAACUAAAACAAUUACAAAAUCCAAAAUUCAAUUCUUUUUUUUUUUUUGCAAACUCUUCAAUGAAAUGGACCAAAAUAAAAUAAAAACUUUAGUUAAACUAAAACAAUUACAAAAUGCAAAAUUCAAUUCUUUCUUUUUUCUUGUGUCAAAAUUAAAUUAUUGUAACCUUCAUAAAUGCAUCAAUUUAUGGAUCCGGCCUUAUAUUCCUUUCCCUCUCUAACCGUACCAAAUCAUUCAUGUAUGCUACAGCAUAAAACAAUUGACAAAAACAGGGGAAGGAUAUCAACAGUGCUCGAUUGAGUACAUGAAAUAAUUGCUGGAAUUAAGAAUAUAUACGCAUUGAAAGUAACGAAAUUGCAAUUAACAAGAACACACCUACAUAGGCUUCACUUGCAUCUUGACAUCUAGCUGUAAAAUCCAAUGUUUCUCUUACGGUCAGCUCUGGAAAAUGAUUAUCUGUUCGGUGGAUUUAUGCCCCAAAAUUCAAACACCAGAGUUUCCUAAAAGCAAAAAAGACUGAAAUCAGACAAUCACACGUAGCAUCCGAGCACACAUACAAAACCCUCCAAAAUUACAACAUAAAAGCAAUUGUAGGCUCAUUGGAAAAGUGUAUAUAUAUAUAUAUAUAUAUAUAUAUAUAUAUUUUUUUUUUUUUUGUGGAAAUGCUAAUAGAUUCAUUUUCCAAUCCUCAAAUCUAUUUCCCCACAAAACCAAAAAAAAAAAAAAAUGUUAGUUUGCACCCCUCCGAAGCAAAGGGAAUGAAAGAAAGGAAGAGCAAAAUAAAAGACAAGGGGGAGUCUAAACUUGGACACCAAGCAUAAUAAGUACAACUACUGCUAAAACCAUUUGUCAGAUGAUAUGAAAUAUGAAUCAUGAACAUACACGCAAUAAAGUUUCCCUUAUGGAAUCCUCAAAUAAUCUGGUACAGACUGGAUCACCUAGAGAUUAAGAAAUAAUAGUCCUACUAGUAUAGAAGCAUGCAAAAGAAGCUCUAGGAAUUAGAAAAACAUCGUCCUCCAUACCUGAUGAAAUAUCUCAGGCUGCGAGGUGUAACCAUUUGCAGUUCAUUUAUCUGCAUCCCACACCAUGCAGCUUCACUAAUGACCAACGAAUUCAUACUGCAGUGCAUAGAGAAAAAUGCAACUGCACAUAAACUCUUAACUACAUUGAAAGUCAUGAUACCAAAGCAAUGAUGAAACUUCUUCACAUGAUAUCAUUUUGAACCAUACCAAAGCAUGUCAAUUCUAUGUGAUUUUGUUAAGAGUAAAUGUUCAUUUUCUAUGUUGUAUAUAUCCAUGUACCAACUUCAGAUCUACUAACUUUGAGAGAAAGAGAAACAAUUACAACAUUUUUCUAUGCAUGACGAUAAUAAAUAUGACUCAUAAAUAAUUUUGACCUUAAACAAAAGAAAAUGCUUAGGAAAAUUAAAUUUAACAGAGGUCCAUACCUGUAGCAGGGAAAAGAAUGGAUGUAUCCCUUCUUUUUUUCUUUUUUGGUCUGAAUGUAUCCCUUCCCUUUAAAGGUUGCACUGCCCAAGAAGUAAACUCGUCAUAAAUUAAUCAAAAAAAUGAAAGUAAAUUAUGCAUCACGAUGUAGUCAAUUUGGAUUUUAGAGGAUUUUAAUGGAUUUUUUUAAGUGACAAAUUUAAAAAGAUUUUAAUAGAUUUACAAUUCUAUGUAGAUUUUGGCAGAUUUAUAUGGAUUUCUAUUAUAGAUAUUUAUGGAUUUGAAUGGAUUUCUUAGGAUUUUAGUUGACUCCUACAACAUAAAAUAAAUAUUUUUUUUAGUACACAAUCUGAAAAGAACAUAAAUUGAAAGGAACAUAAACAUAUAUCUAUUGAUAUAGAAAUACAAACCAAUCAAAUAUGUAAAUAGAAUGGGGUAUUGAGAAUAUUGAUCCAAGAGUUUGAAUAAUUGUUAAGGAUAGCAUCUGCUUUAGAACAUCAUAGCCAUUCAAGAAUGAUGAUUUCAAGUUCAAGAACAGGAUAUCCAAUCAUGAAUAAUAAUAAUAUAUGUGAAAGAAUACCAAAUGAAAAUCGAAAUUGAGUAGGACAUAUUUGGGCAGCAAAAUCCUGGGAUAAAAAACAUUUUAACCAUGACCAAAAAAAAAAAACAUUUGAAGCCAAAAACAUGGACACUAAUUUGCAGAAAAAAGGCUUAAAUCAAAUGGGAAAAGCCAAACUUAGAAAAAUCAAAAGUGCAGAUGAGAGAAUCUCAAUUCAGAAAAGCACGAGUAUAAAGCAAAACAAUAUACAACUAUAAUCCAACAACAACAACAACAACAACAACAACAAAGCCUUUUCCCACUAAGUGGGGUCGGCUAUGAAUCCUAGAACGCCAUUGCGCUCGGUUUUGUGUCAUGUCCUCCGUUAGAUCCAAGUACUCUAAGUCUUUUCUUAGAGUCUCUUCCAAAGUUUUCCUAGGUCUUCCUCUACCCCUUCGGCCCUGAACCUCUGUCCCGUAGUCACAUCUUCGAACCGGAGCGUCAUUCGGCCUUCUUUGCACAUGUCCAAAUCACCGGAGCCGAUUUUCUCUCAUCUUUCCUACAAUUUCGGCUACUCCUACUUUACCUCGGAUAUCCUCAUUCCCAAUCUUAUCCUUUCUCGUGUGCCCACACAUCCCACGAAGCAUCCUCAUCUCCGCUACACCCAUUUUGUGUACGUGUUGAUGCUUCACCGCCCAACAUUCUGUGCCAUACAAACAUCGCUGGCCUUAUUGCCGUCCUAUAAAAUUUUCCCUUGAGCUUCAGUGGCCUACGACGGUCACACGACACGCCGGAUGCAUUCUUACACUUCAUCCAUCCAGCUCGUAUUCUAUGGUUGAGAUCUCCAUCUAAUUCUCCGUUCUCUUGCAAGAUAGAUCCUAGGUAGCGAAAACGGUCGCUUUUUGUGAUCUUCGCUAGAUUGCUCCGGUCAUUAGUGUGGAUAAGUAUAUAAAUGGAUAGAGAUAGGAAAGCAAACACAAGAUGUACGUGGUUCACCCAUAUUGGCUACGUCCACGGAAUAGAAGAGUUCUCAUUAAUUGUGAAGGGUUUACACAAGUACAUAGGUUCAAGCUCUCCUUUAGUGAGUACAAGUGAAUGAUUUAGUACAAAUGACAUUAGGAAAUAUUGUGGGAGAAUGAUCUCGUAAUCACGAAACUUUUAAGUAUCGGAGUGUGGUGUCGUCUUGACUUGCCUUAUCUGUCUCAUAGGUAGAUGUGGCAUCUUCUCUGGAAGUACUCUUCCUCCAUCCAGGGGUGGUAUCUUUAACUGGUGGAGAUGCACAAGGUAAUGUAUCAAUUUCACUUGAAGCUUACUUGUAGUUUCAGGCUUGGUCAAGCGCGAUACAAACCAUGUAGUAGGAGUCCCCCAAGUCGCCGAGCUAGGGGGUCUGCUGAAAGAGGUGACAGACAAGGUAAGCAAUCAGAGCUCCGACUGAUUGUUCACCUUCUCCCCAUCUUGCAGCAGCAUGAAGGAUAAAGAGAAGAAAAAUGAGAAGAGAUGAUAUGAGAUACUUUUGCUUUUGAAGAAGUAACUUUCCACAAGCUUAUUCUUGAACUGAGCUGGAGGGUUUUCUGGUUUCCUCCAGAGUAUAAGGCCGACUGAAGAAUUUGAGGGUCAAAACAAGUCCAUCAAAUCUAGAGUACGUUCCACCCUGCUGAUAUGGGAUACUUUUGCUUUUGACAGAGUAAUGGAUGUAUCGGCACGUGUGCUGUUACGCUUGUCUCCACAUGCUUCCUUGUAUCCUUCGCACUUGCCCUAUCUGUUCCUCAAGCAGAUGCGGAAUCUUCCCUGGAAACAUAAGAUGUUGAAGAUGAGUACUCGAGAGCAAUGCCAGGUAAGUAAUCAGGUAAGGGGUUCCAGGCAGUCAGUUCCUGGCUGGAAGCUUGAUUCCAAGUGCUGACUGAUUGCUCUCUUUCUCCUUGUCUUGCAGGUAAAAACAAGGCCAAAGGAAAAGACAGGGAAAAAGCAUGAUAUGGGAUACUCUUGCUUUUAACCCUGAUGAUAUGAGAUAUUCUUGCUCUAGUAUAGCUUGUUUACAGAGGUAUUAUCGGGGGGAAAGAAAGCUGAAUAUUUCGAAAGGCUUCGUUGGGAGUGCCCUCUCAGAUAUGAUGAAGGGUUGAGCAUUUUUGCAGGUCUGCCUGUCCGUUGGGGAUGGAGGUCGACAUAUAUAGGAGUCUCCCUAACAAGUAGUAAUGCUAUUCCUUUACCCUGCUUGGUCAUAGCACGGUAGUAGGGAGCUGCCAGUUUCACAUGUUUUAACUCUGUCAGAGCACUUUGAAAAAGUGGUCUGUGGUAUUUGGCUCUCGAGAUUCGGAGAACGAUGCCUCUUCGAUUUUUGAGAAAGCAAUCAUGCUGGGGGUCUGGCUCUCGAGAUUCGGAGAGCAGUGUCUCUUCAAUUUUUGAGGAAGUAAUCAUGUUGGGAGUCUGGCUCUCGAGAUUCGGAGGGCGGUGCCUCUUCGAUUUUGGAGCAAGCAAUUUUUGUUGGGAGUGUUUGUCUCGAAUGUGAGUAAAGGUUGGGCAUGUUUGCUAGUCUACCUUGCCACGAAGCACAAAGGUUGACACACAGGGACUUUCCAAUUAUCCAGCAAUGGUACUGUUCCUUUACCCUCUCUCUUCGAUUUUGAGAAAGUAGUCAUGUUGGGAGUCUGGCUCUCGAGAUUCGGAGGACGGUGCCUCUUCGAUUUUGGAGCAAGCAAUCUUGUUGGGAGUGUUUUCUCGAAUGUGAGUAAAGGUUGGGCAUGUUUGCUAGUCUACCUUGCCACGAAGCACAGAGGUUGACACACAGGGACUUUCCAAUUAUCCAGCAGUGGUACUGUUCCUUUACCCUUGUGGGUAAUAAUAUGGUAGCUAGACCUUCAAAAUUUAUGUGUCUAAACUUUGUUAGUGCUGUUUCUUUGCUAUUCUUUUACCUUUCUUGGUCAGAGCGAUGUAGUGGGAGCUGCAAGCUUCACGUGCUCAACUUUGGCAAAGUUAUCUGUGGUACCCAUGAGCUAUUGUUGCGUGUGGGAAGUGGGUGAUUGAACAGUAAGAUUCAUGUGCUUUCUACUUCACCAGAAGUCUUCGACAGAAUGCCCAUAAUUUCUGCAAAGCUGAGUGUGCGUGUGACAGGUGCUGACAAGGCUAGAAAAGUAGGUGUCUCUUCGAUUUCUGAGAUCGGCCCUCGUGGUCUCUGAGCAGCCCAGCUUUUGAGAAAGCGAGCGCCUCUUCGAUUGAUUCGGAGAACGAUGCCUCAUCGAUUUUUGAGAAAGCAAUCAUGAUGGGGGUCUGGCUCUCGAAGAUUCGGGGAGCAGUGUCUCUUCGAUUUUUGAGAAAGUAAUCAUGUUGGGAGUCUGGCUCUCGAGAUUCGGAGGGCGGUGCCUCUUCGAUUUUGGAGCAAGCAAUCUUGUUGGGAGUGUUUUCUCGAAUGUGAGUAAAGGUUGGGCAUGUUUGCUAGUCUACCUUGCCACGAAGCACAGAGGUUGACACACAGGGACUUUCCAAUUAUCCAGCAAUGGUAUUGUUCCUUUACCCUCUUCGAUUUUUAAAAAAGUAGUCAUGUUGGGAGUCUGGCUCUCGAGAUUCGGAGGACGGUGCCUUUUCGAUUUUGGAGCAAGCAAUCUUAUUGGGAGUGUUUUCUCGAAUGUGAGUAAAGGUUGGACAUGUUUGCUAGUCUACCUUGCCACGAAGCACAGAGGUUGGCACACAGAGACUUUCCAAUUAUCCAGCAGUGGUACUGUUCCUUUACCCUUGUGGGUAAUAAUAUGGUAGCUAGACCUUCAAAAUUUAUGGGUCUAAACUUUGUUAGUGCUGUUUCUUUGCUAUUCUUUUACCCUUCUUGGUCAUAGCGAUGUAGUGGGAGCUGCAAGCUUCACGUGCUCAACUUUGGCAGAGAACUUUGGCAAAGUUUUCUGUGGUACCCAUGAGCUAUUGUUGCGUGUGGAAAGUGGGUGAUUGAACAGUAAGAUUCAUGUGUUUUCUACUUCCCCAGAAGUCUUCGACAUAAUGCCCAUAAUUUCCGCAAAGCUGAGUGUGCGUGUGACAGGUGCUGACAAGGCUGGAAAAGUAGGUGCCUCUUCGAUUUCUGAGAUCGGCCCUCGUGGUCUCUGGGGAGCCCAGCUUUUGAGAAAGAGAGCGCCUCUUCGAUUUCUGAGAUCAGCCUUCGUGGUCUUUGAGCAGCCCAACUUUUGAGAAAGCAAACGCCUCUUCGAUUUCUGAGAUCAACCCUCGUGAUCUCUAAGCAGCCCAGCUUUUGAGAAAGCAAACGCCUCUUCGAUUUCUGAAGCUCCGUCGAGUGCAGAUUUUUAUAGGGGCUGGCAUUAAGUUCCAAAGCACACUUGAAUCUCCACCAGUAGAAGCUUCAUUCUUGCACUUCUAAGAUCUUGAUUUGUCCGACCUCUUCUCUCUUCAACACCUUUGAAAAUGUCUGGCCCCUCCGACCGUCGUUUUGACUUGAACCUUGUUGAAGAGGCAGCCCCGCCUUCUCCAGACAACAUAUGGCGCCCAUCCUUCGUCUCCCCUACUGGUCCUCUUACCGUUGGGGAUUCCGUGAUGAAGAAUGAUAUGACCGUUGCGGUGGUGGCCAGGAACCUUCUCACUCCCAAAGAUAACAGACUACUUUCCAAACGGUCUGAUGAGUUAGCUGUUAAGGAUUCGCUGGCUCUCAGUGUUCAGUGUGCAGGUUCUGUGUCUAAUAUGGCCCAACGCCUAUUUGCUCGAACCCGCCAAGUUGAAUCAUUGGCGGCUGAAGUGAUGAGUCUCAAACAGGAGAUUAGAGGGCUCAAGCAUGAGAAUAAACAGUUGCACCGGCUCGCACAUGACUAUGCUACAAACAUGAAGAGGAAGCUUGACCAGAUGAAGGAAACUGAUGGUCAGGUUUUACUUGAUCAUCAAAGAUUUGUGGGUUUGUUCCAAAGGCAUUUAUUGCCUUCGUCUUCUGGGGCUGUACCGCGUAAUGAAGCUCCAAAUGAUCAACCUUUGAUGCCUCCUCCUUCUAGGGUUCUGUCCAGUACUGAGGCUCCAAAUGAUCCCCCUCCGGUGCCUUCUCUUUCUGGGGCUCUACCGACUGCUGAGACUUCUCCUAAGCAACCUUUGUGAAGGCUCCCUCUUGUGUGUUUUAUUUGACUCAUGUAUAUGCACAUAUUUGUAGCUUAUCGGGGAUAUCAAUAAAUAAGCUUUCCUUCAUUUCAACGUAUUGUGUUAAAUACACCAAAGCCUUCUUCGCUAAGUUCUUUGAAUUUUCUUUUGUUGAAGCUUGUAUGUUGAAGCUUUCUGAGUGGAGCAUGAAGGUUGGGGUAGUGUUCCCUUAAUUUUCCGAGUGAGGAAAACUUCUCGGUUGGAGACUUGGAAAAUCCAAGUCACUGAGUGGGAUCGGCUAUAUGAAUCUUAGAACGCCAUUGUGCUCAAUCCUGUGUCAUGUCCUUCGUUAGAUCCAAGUACUCUAAGUCUUUUCUUAGAGUCUCUUCCAAAGUUUUCCUAGGUCUUCCUCUACCCCUUCGGCCCUGAACCUCUGUCCCAUAGUCGCAUCUUCUAAUCGGAGCGUCAGUAGGCCUUCUUUGCACAUGUCCAAACCACCGUAACCGAUUUUCUCUCAUCUUUCCUUCAAUUUCGGCUACUCCUACUUUACCCCGGAUAUCCUCAUUCCUAAUCUUAUCCUUUCUCGUGUGCCCACACAUCCAACGAAGCAUCCUCAUCUCCGCUACACCCAUUUUGUGUACGUGUUGAUGUUUCACCGCCCAACAUUCUGUGCCAUACAGCAUCGCCGGCCUUAUUGCCGUCCUAUAAAAUUUUCCCUUGAGCUUCAGUGGCAUACGGCGGUCACAUAACACGCCGGAUGCACUCUUCCAUUUCAUCCAUCCAGCUUGUAUUCUAUGGUUGAGAUCUCCAUCUAAUUCUCCGUUCUUUUGCAAGAUAGAUCCUAGGUAACGAAAACGGUCGCUCUUUGGUAUUUCUUGAUCUCCGAUCCUCACCCCUAACUCGUUUUGGCCUCCAUUUGCACUGAACUUGCACUCCAUAUAUUCUGUCUUUGAUCGGCUUAGGCGAAGACCUUUAGAUUCCAACACUUCUCUCCAAAGGUUAAGCUUUGCAUUUACCCCUUCCUGAGUUUCAUCUAUCAACACUAUAUCGUCUGCGAAAAGCAUACACCAAGGAAUAUCAUCUUGAAUAUGUCCUGUUAACUCAUCCAUUACCAACGCAAAAAGGUAAGGACUUAAGGAUGAGCCUUGAUGUAAUCCUACAGUUAUGGGAAAGCUUUCGGUUUGUCCUUCAUGAGUUCUUACGGCAGUCUUUGCUCCUUCAUACAUAUCCUUUAUAGCUUGGAUAUGUGCUACUCGUACUCCUUUCUUCUCUAAAAUCCUCCAAAGAAUGUCUCUUGGGACCCUAUCAUACGCUUUUUCCAAAUCUAUAAAGACCAUGUGUAAAUCCUUUUUCCCAUCUCUAUAUCUUUCCAUCAAUCUUCGUAAGAGAUAGAUUGCCUCCAUGGUUGAGCGCCCUGGCAUGAACCCGAAUUGGUUGUCCGAAACCCGUGUCUCUUGCCUCAAUCUAUGCUCAAUGACUCUCUCCCAGAGCUUCAUUGUAUGACUCAUUAGCAAUUCUCAUCUUCCCAAAGGAAUAAACCAAGAGCAUGAAUUCAGAAAAAUAUAUAAACAAGGCGAAAACGGGGAGUCUUCUGGGAAAUGCUCUAAACUCAUGGUAAGACUGUUCACCUUCUAUGGUUUGGUGUGAAAAGAAAUUUGAGGGGGGGGGUUGGAUUGUUAAUAGCAUUUGGUAUUUAUAUCACCCACUCUCAAAUCCCUUAAAAUCCUUCAUUCACAAAAAUCCUAGCAAAUCUUUAACAUUUCCACUACACCUAGAUUUGUAUGGACUUUUUAAACUUUUAAUUGACUACCCAUGAAUUUGGAUGUAUUCUUUAAAUCCUCCUAUAUCCUAAUUUGACUACACCAUGAUUUUAAAAUAUUUUAAAAUCCACAUUCAAACUUCUAAUUAACUACUCUGAUUUUAAAGUCCGUUAAAAUACUAUCAAAUUCUAGUUUGACUACACCUCUUACUUUUCCGGCAACUUCUUGCAGUGAAGAAGGGGCGAAAAGAAAUUCCUGGAAAUUAGCUUACCUUACUUCUCCCUUACUCUUUCUCCCUGAACCCAUACCAAACAGAAAUCGCCGAAAAUCCUCUCCCCUACCCUCUGUCACUUGGCGAAUUACAGAAAUGCAGCUGUUGGAUGUGGAAUCAAGCAGGGAAAAUGGUAAUUUCACUACCCCACUCUCACUCCAGAGUCAAAGAUCCGCACCAAAUCUCUCUCACUCUCUCUGUCUCUCUCUGCAAGCGACAUUGCUGUCCCCCUCUGUCGGCUCUAGAAUUCCCUACCCAUCAAUCCAAAUUCGUCCCAAAAUUAAGAUGACAAAAGUGCCCUGCAGCCCUUCAAUCUCAUCCGCGUGAUCCUAACCCUAGAUAGAUAUUUCCGUCAUUUAAGCACCCUAAGGCAUACAAGUAUGUUCAUUCUUGUUACAAGAAAGCAGCAUACUUGAGAGCCUACACUCCUUAUAUCCAAUCCAUGCCUAGUCAAGAAUUUUGGUCACCUACAAAUCACCAACCCGUUGCACCUCCAAAGUAUCAUAAGCAAGCUGGUAGGCCAAAGAAGCUGAGGGCAAGAGAGAAAGAUGAGCCACAACCACCAUCAACCUUAAACAAAUUGCCUAAAUGCUUCAGUAAGGUCACUUGUGGAAUGUGUGGCAAGAAAUGUCAUAAUUGUACAACAUUCGGGAAGAAGCAACGACAAGCUUCACAGGUAAAAGUAGCUUAAUGCUUUCACUUAUCUGCAUUUUUUUUUUUUUUGAAAACUCACUUAUCUGCAUUUUUAGUCACAUAUGGUUGUUAUAAAUUGGGGAAUAUCAUCUCAUAGGCCUAUGUAGAAGCUGGGAGAGGACAAACUUGUGGGACAAAUGAAAUUGGCCAUAACUCACCAACUACUAAAAGUGGGCAAACACAAGCAAUGGUGUGCUCACUGAAAACUUUCGUAUUUUAAAUUUUAGUCUUGUAUUUAUAGACGGAUGUAUGUGUAACUUUUUUAUUGAUCAUUUUGUAGCAUGCCACUGGAGGAAAUAUGGGAAGUGAAACUCCACCAAAUCAGGGACAAGAACAAUCUGCAUCUAAUGCAAGUUCUUUUGACCUAUGUCUUUGUCCCUUUCUCGUGUGUGCUUUUAUAACCCAAUGCCAUCUGUUAAUUUUUCAGGUUUUUUAUUAUUUAUUAUUUUUAUUAUUUGUAGGUUUCUAAAAGGCGUAGUGUGAAAUGAAAUGCAAAAGGCAAGUCAGUGCACAAUUCAAGAAAGCCACCUGAAAACUGUAGAAUCUGAAGGAAAUCAUUUGGAAAUUUAGACUUUUUGUUAAUGUCAAUUUUUUUUUUUUUUUGAUGAAGACAAUGUUGUGAACUUUAAGCCCUGUUUUUUAUUUUGAACAUAAUUAAGCAAUGAAAUAAUAUUUUUGAUAUGGUAGCAAUCAAAUGAUCAGGCAUUGCAUUCUGUUAUGGUUGCUCAAAAUAUGUUUAAGAUACAAUAGUGGGUGUGUUCAGUUUAGCAUGUCACAAAAUCAAAUUUUAUAUGGGCUCUGUAAUAUAAGAAACGGGUUGAGAUUGGUGCCAUAAAUGGAGUUGUAGAUGCAUAUGCGCUACUCGAACACAACUAUCCACAUGAAUACUCUCUAACAAAAUUUUAAGAGUUUUACUAAAGAAAAGUAAAAACUUGUUAAAAGAUCUUAAAAUGACAUAAAUAACCCCGAACAAAGCCAUGUGUGAGGCACAUGACUUAUUUUGGAUGGAAAACUUAACGGAGUAAGAGUGAGAUGACAAAUUGAUGAUUUCGACAAGUUGGUAUGAUAAAUUGCUUAAAAUUUUAGUUUAUAUGACACAUUGAAAAAGAUGUACAAGUUCAUAUUAUAUUUCAAAAAAAUUCCUUGGAAAAAUUAUGGUCCCUACGUCCAACCAAAUAAUAAGGUUUUUGAUGAGAUAAUGCAUGCCAACUUGAGCAUUAUAAUGUUCAUGAUUUUGUUUGAGUCUAUACAUAUAUUUACUCCGUAAACGUAGAUUAGGUCGGUUGGUAAGCCAUUGUAUCUGUCACGUUUUUAUAUUUAAGUUUAAAUUAUUCUCUCGUAACUCGUAAGUUAUAGCUUCUAAUACCGUCUUAACAAAACUAAAUAUACUUAUUUUUAGUGGGAUAUAUUUUGCUUAAGUAUGCAUGUUUGCAAGAUUAAAUGAAAACCUCCAAAACGUAUGGGGUUAAAUUGAAUUCUAACCACCACCACCACCCCCAUAUAAUUAGGGCAAAAGGCGAAUUUAGGAGGGCUCCUGUUACAGCCCAUCCAUAAUUUUUUUUUGUUAAAUGUGUAACGAUCAAAAUGCCCUUAGAGGGUAUGUGUCGACUUUCAUUAACUUACUGGACAGGUCACGUGUGACAUAUUAAUUAGUAUAUUCUGACAGCAUUCGUUAUUAUGAAUGACUGAUCAUAAGCAUAGCGAAAAUUAGAACUAGAAGCAAGAUUUUAUGAAAUAGUAUAAAUCAUUUUAUUUAAAGUAAUGGAAAAGAUAAUAACACUAGAUAUAAAAUAUGAAUGAUAGAAUAAAAUAAUUUUUAAAAAAAAAAGAUGAAAAGAUGAGAGGUGGAGAAGGAUCGGGAAGAAACGAAAAGAAGGGAAAAGUGGAGAAGGGGGAAAGAAACUUUUCUUCUUCUUCCUUCUCCUUCACUCACGGUAUCCCUUUCAAACUAUUUUCAUCAUAAUUUCCUCAUACGAUAACGAAAUCACAUGAGGUGGGAAGCUAUAGUUUCGUAGCAAGGCCGUCUUCAAUCUUACCAUACCCACCCUUUCAAAACCAUUGUAUAAAGAAAACGAGGUCCAAAUAUAUUGACGUGUUAUGGCGACUUUUCUCUGAUUUCGGGCAAUCCCACUGGAAUCUAGCUCGACCCAAGUGAAAAUAAUGAUUUUCCCCUCGUGGGCUCUCCUCUAGCGUAAGCAUUUUUCCAAGGUUUUAACUUUUAGUUUUGGGGUCAAUUCAUGGUUUCGAAUUUUAAUUCGAUAUUUUGUAUGCAUAUUUGAGAUGAUGCUUGUUGUAUUGUUUAGGAGUUGAAUCGGAACCGGGUAGUCAUGUUUGGUUGCAUAUAUAAGGAAGAACAUUGAAAUCCUAACCUCAAUUCGAUUCUCUUUAGAAAUUUAAGGGUUGGGUUUGUGUUAUAAGCAUUAAUGUUAUUCCAUAAUCGAGGCCAGAUACGUUGGAAUAUUUUGUGUGCCAUAUUUGUCCUACCCUUUAUGCACUGAAAAGAACAUUGCUGAAAUUGUAUGUGUUGCAGCCUAGGUUUGUCACGCCCCGAUCCCGACAUACGUUCAUGAUGGACACGUGACGUCAUCAAAUAACCAUAUAUCUAACAUACCCGUCUUUGGGAUAUGUACCAAGCACAUCCCAUACCUCGAAUUGCGUAGUCAUUUUUUUUUUGUACACUUUAUGGCUGCAUCUAACCUCCCGUUAGACUGCCUACGUACCCUCAAUAGGGAUCAAGCCAUUCGUAGUUCGUCAUUCACUAAUUUAGACAUUUAUUCUAGUACGUUCUAACAGGAAUACGUAGCAUUCUGUAAUUAAUUAUUAGAACUUGACAUGCAUGACAUUACCAAGUUCAAGGCUACAAAACAAACCAACAUGCCAUUGUCAUUCCACAAUCUUGUCAAUCGAUCAAUUCAUAAAUCAAAGAUACAUGAUCUUAGCAUUUAAUUAUGUUAAUCAAUGAAUGCAAUAACAUGUCAUUUCACAAAAUUAACCAAGGAACUCUAUAUAAUUUCCUACUUGGAUUAUGAGCAAUAACAUGGUAAAUCUAUUUUAUAUUCGCAAGGUCUAUUGUGGAUAACUCUCAUUCAUUCGAAUCUAGGCUUCUAGACUAACCUUAUGGGAAUGAGCAAGAGCAAGGAUUCCGGACCACUCAACAGAAUCCAACAACACUGAGUUUCGGACCACUCAACGAAACCAAAAUAUCAAGUGGUUUCUUAUAAUCUAUCCAGGCCUGUCAUAUGUAAAAUCAGUGCCAACAUCAUGGAAAUGGUGCACCGACCAAACAGAACUCGGAUAAGCUGCGAAGCUCGGGUGAGUGACAAUAAUACAAGUAUGUGAUAAUCAAUAAAAACAAAGACCAUUGAUCAGAGUUUAUAAACCUCAAUAUAAGUUCGUAAAUAUAAAAACAUAGUCAAGUCUCUAACAACUCUGAAUGAGUCAUCCAGACAUCCAACGGCUUUUCCCAUUCAAACCACCAAGAUUCUCAAAAACCAUCAUUCAUAUGUACAUUAAAAACUAGGGCUAGAGGGAUGUAGUUCAGCCGAAGCCUACAUAAGUAACCAAACACGAAGUGGCCACCCAAAGCGGAUUAACCAAGCAGAGCCACCCCUGAGAAAGUAACCAAGUAGGCAAUGACCCUCCAAUGCGGAUUAACCAAGCAGAGUCACUCAUAUAGUUGUUAGGAAGUGAUCACCCAAUGCAGAUUAACCAAGCAUGAUCACUCAUAAGCAUACAUGGCCAUAAGGAUCGCCCAACGCAGAUUAACCGAGCGCGAUCCACAUAUAGUAUGGUCCCCCAAUGCGGAUUAACCAAGAAGGACCACUAGUGACCCCCCCAAUGCGGAUUAACCAAGCAGGGUCAAGAUAAUUAGGUAGGUAGUGACCCCGAACGCGGAUUAACCAAGCAAAGUCACACCUACAGAACUGUUAGGCAGUGAUCACCUAACGCGGAUUAACCAAACAUGAUCACCCCUAAGUAUAAAUGGCCAUAAGGAUCACCCAACGCGGAUUAACCAAGCGUGAUCCAUAUAUAGUAUGGUGCCCCAUGCGGAUUAACCAAGCAGGACCAUCGAUAUACCAUUGCUCCAUGGUGCAGGAAAUUUAACACAUAAUCUACCCACAACUCAACCCCUAUGGGUUACAACGUAGUCACUACACCAUCAACUUCUCAUGGCCACCAACUAAUACAUCACACAAUCAUAUAAAUUCUACAUAAUACUUCUAAUAGGAUUCUAAGAUCACAUAGUCAUAGCAUUUAUCAUUCUUAUCAUUCACAUUGCUAAAAAGAGAUAAUUAAACACACGUAUAUUACAAUCAUCAAUACACAAGCCAAAUCACGUAUAGCUAAAUAUAUAUAUAUAUAUAUAAAAAAUCACAUUUCAAAAGAAAUUACAUUUAUAAAACCAAGUCAUAUUCACAAAUGAUAUUAAUAUAAGAAAUUAAGGUAAUAACCAUAUCACAUAUAUUCAAAUCACUCUCUAACCAAUGGUUCACUAGACUUCACUUAGUCUCCCGUAGUACCAAUUUUAGUAUCCAAAACGUUUCGGGACAUGUUGACCAAAAGUCAACUCUCGAUCAACGGUAGGGUUCGCAACUCCACGUAAUUCAAUCCGAAAGAUCUGCCGAUCCGAUUUUGGAUCCGUAAGUUCUUAGGUCCUUAUUAUUCUCAUAGAAUAACAUACUAAAUUCUCAUUGAGAUCCGACGGCCGGAUCUCCGCCAAUUUCUAGAAUUAGGUGGCGGUCAACAAUAAGUUUUACAAACUUAGAAAUUCAAUUCGGGAAAAUCCGUACUUCGGAUUCCCGAUCCGUCAAUUUCUAAUGUCCUAAAAUAUUAUGUGUUAUAAUGCACUAAAGUUUGGAGACGAUCCAACAGUUGGAUCAUCAAUUCGUAUAAUGAUCAAGUGAUGUAUCAUAAUGAAACUAGGUUCAAUUAAUCAAAUCACAUUAUUCGGAUAUCAAAUAUGAAAUUAGGGCAUCUAAUUGGACUUAGAAAGACAUCAUCGGUCCACCGCCGCACGCGCCGCCGCACACGGCGGCCUGUCGUCCCAACUUGCAGGAAAAUUCAACUAACUCCAAAAAUUAUCAAAUUUUACAGGCAAGUAGAUUUCAAUAAGAGGAACAACUUUCAUACCUGGUCCAAAGUCCAAUUCAGCCGGGAAGUGGCCUGAAAACUCCUCCAUCAGCCAGAACCCUAGAAAUUAGGUGCGGUUCAAUUCAAUGUCAAACUCAACUCCACCGCCUCCAAUGUUGAUUGGGCUUUGUUCCUGGACUCUAAAGACACUUGAGGGUGGUGAUGGUUGACGGAAAUCCCUUCGAAAAUAGGCGGAUCGCCGUCAUGGCUUCGGAACACCCACUGUCAGUUCUUCACCAAAUUACCCUAAAUUACUUCGAAUAGGGAGUGGUGAGAUAAAGCUUGGGCAUGUGAAUUCGGUCCAAUUUGAUGGAAAUCCAAUGGAAAACCAUCAGAAAAUAUGGUGGAACAAGUCGGGUGCGCGGGUCAAGGGGAAACUCGAUUUCCCCCUCAUUCUCUCCUUCCCUCAUUUCCCCUUCUUUCUUCCUCCCUCAUUCGCUACCUCCUUUCUCUAUCCUCCUCCCCUUGGCCGAAACUCUCCCCUUUUCCUCUUGAAACUCCCUUCUUCUUUCUUUUCUUCCCUUUUUUUUAAUUGGCUGCUGCCUAACCUUUUUUUUUUGUUUAAAUCUGAUUGGUCAUUUCCCUCUUCUAACCAAUUGGUCCUUUAACCCAAAUAUCGGUAUGGGCCUCUUACUCACAAAGUGGGAGAUAAUUAAUUCCUAAAAUCUAUAGUAUCACAACUUUAAACGUCGGUAAUUAUACUGUUAUAAUCCGAACUCGCAAACGGCUUUCGCUUGUGCGUUCAUGGGAUCGAGCUCUAUUCAGAAAUAUAAAUUGUGACCUCGAAAGAUCUACGGAUUUUAAAUAAUUAAUUUCCAAACUUCAAACUUCGUAACUGGUUUAAUUAAAAUCUAAAUUCAAAUAAAUUACUAUAAAUUCCCAAAAACAACAUAAAAUUUCAAUAAUAAUAAUGCGUGGAUUAUAACAGUGAAAUCCGGGAACGAGAUUUCACAAGGUUUGUGCAGUUAAUUAGAGUUCUAAAACUACUGAAUGGUUCUUUAUUCUUCCCAUGGCAUAUUUAUUCUUCCCAUGGCAUUGCCAGAUGUUGAAUAUUUGAUUGGACAAUGUUAUUAUUAGAGUAUUAUAUGACUUUUGUUUUGGCUGUGGAUUUAUUGGUGGUUCUUUAUUUCAUUCUUUCAGCGGAUGAAGAGCUUAAGACUGCUAGGAAUUUACAUUUUUAUUUUGAGGCACUUGAAUAAACAAUUUGGUUUUUCUAUAAUAAUAAUUAAGGAUCAUUGAUGGUUGGGCUAGUGUACUAGUUACGAAUAAUUAUAUGAAUGUUAUAGUUUAUGGAUUGCAUGUUAUUCUAUGGCCUGAGAACUAGUUCCUUGGUUAAGAUUAAUGGAUUAUCAAACAUUAUACAUAUUCUCUAAUUGAAUACAUUACUAUGUUUAUGAGUUCAAGAUCAAUUUAUUAUGGCUGGUAUAGAUAUCAAUAGUUGACAUAUCCAAUUUGGUGUGGUUACUUUUCGUUUAAGUAUUUCACGCUUAUACGUAUCAUGUUGUUUGCUUAAAUGAUACAAUGGAUGUCCUAUUAGGUGUAAAUGUCUACAUGCAUGCCUAUUCUGAAACCAAAAUCAAGUUGAUGGUUCAUGUUUUGAAGUUAUAUAUAUGUGUGAGUGUGUGUGUGUGUGUGUGUGUGUCUCAUAUGCCUAGACAAGCUAUACAAAGAAAGUAUACCGUUUCUAUUAGUUAUUCUGAUUACAUGUACGUAGUAAUGACUUGCAGUGGUGAUAUGAGUUUAUUGAAAUGAUAAACCACAAAUGACUUGAUCCCUUUAGGGUAUGUAGGCAGUCUAACGAGGAGGUUAGAUGCAGCCAUAAAGUAUACUAAAAUUACUACGCAAUUCAAAUCUUGAGUUAUGCUUUGUACAUAUCCCGGAGGCGGGGUAUGUUAGAUAUACAGAUACUUGGUGACGUCACGUGUCGAUCCUGGACAUAUGUCGGGAUCGGGGCGUGACGGCUCAUUUCAAUCAUUUUGUACCCCUACAUAUUAUUGUGAUUCAAUGAAGCUCCCCAUUAAAUGAAUUGCACCAAAUAGGGGAGGCCUUCGCGGGAUCUCUGUGUCCGAAGCCGACAAACACAGAGAUCCAAACCACUCAUUUUAAAUUAUAUGGUUCUUAUUAGCUCAUUCUAAUGGCCUUCCUCACACAAACCACUGAGUUUAGAUCUCCCUCUCUUUAACUACCUUGGAUAUGGGGUCACUCUUUAACCACCACCACCCACCCACAACAAAAGUACAACUAUAAGCAAAGUUGUAUGAGGGGUCGCUCUAAAAUUGAUCUUAAAAUUAAAUAGUCCGUCGUUCCAAAAAUUGUUUUGGCAAUAUUGCAUUUAAAAUUAUCUGACAAUAUAACAUUAUUCCGAAAAAAAUUUGUAUAAAUUAUAAGUUCAAACAAAAGACACUAUAUAGCUUAUUCUUGACUAUUUUAGGUGUAUAUAUACUCCAUUGCUGAAAAUUCUACUAUGCUCAUCAUAAUUCUUGCCAAUUGACCAGGCAAUUGGGUUAAAUUACCUUUGACCAAAAAUAUGAUGGUCCGUCGAUGCCAAAUUGGGCAGGCAAUUGUUGGGCUCCAAGAAGCUCGUUGAACUACCCUUGCAGCCCGUUGGCAAUAAGUAACGACGGGCCUGACGUCAAGUAGCUGGAGGCUGACCUUAACCCCGUGCACCAAUGUUGAACCAAACAGCUCUAAUUUGGGCGCCCCACAACUAUUGGAUUUUCAACAAUUUGUUGAUCCGGACUAUUAAAUUUCAAAAGAUACAAGUAAUUUAAAAGAUGAUGUUGUGCCACGUGGCACUUUGUGGCGCAUUUGAUAUUAAAAUUUUGAAAAAUUCAACGGUCAGGAUUAAUCCCACGGUAAAAAAUACAAAAAAAAAAUUAGAAAAAAUUUACAACAAAAAAUAUCUAAAAAAACUUUCAAAUUUCACACUUAAACAAAAAUCUGAGCUGAUAUUACUAAUAGAUAAAGACACGUGGUGCGAUGAAAGUGGUUGAAAAUGGAAAAGUAUCCUCUCCGGCUCCCUUCCACCAAAUCCACCAAGUUCAAAGAUCCGAGUAAUUUAAAUUUGAUCAAACGGCUACAAACAAAGUUCACUAUAAAAGUUAUAAUAGAUUUGAUCAAAUUUCAAGGGCCGAUCCGAACUUGUGAAUUUGGCGGAAGGGAUCCGGAGUCAUUUCUGUUGAAAAUCUCAUCGCCUCUCCUUUCAGCCCUUCAAGGAAAACCCACUUCUUGGGCCGUCUUCAACCACGUAAAGCUUCACUCUUAUAUUAGUUUCGGUGUUUAAAAUUGUUGGGAUUUGCAGUUUUGGAUUGAAAUUUGUGUUUUGGGAUUUGUUGGGUGCUCGCAUGUGUUAAUUUGGAAAAUUUUAGUUGUGGAUUAUGGGGAACUGAUGUAAUGGCGAUCCCGUUUCAUGUAAGUUGCUUUUGUUGAUGUGUUUUUGGUGAAAUAAUGACGAGGAGGGUUGGAUAGUUUGGCUGGUUUUAAUUUUUUUUUGUGAAAUUAGAGUGGGAUCAAUCAAGGUUGAGACUUUUUAAGGUAAGAGUUAUUGUGAAAGUUAUGUUUUUACAAAUUUUUGGGCAAAUUUUGUGACUUGGUGGAUUUGGAAUUUUGGUUAUAUUAGAUAUAUGUGUAAAGAAAAUAGUUGAACUGCAUGAAGCUUGAGGGGUAAUGAGGGUUUUAGGUAUUUAGUGACAUUCAGGCCAUGCUUGAUGUCUAUUUGAUGUCGGUGUAUCGGAAAUGCUUGAACAAAGAAGAAAGGUGCUCGAAGAGCUGCAGUAGUUAACUACUUGGUUUGAUUAGAUUGCUAUGUUAAUCAAAAUGUCCCCUGUAGUAUGUUUAUAGGGUUAAAGUUUUACUUUAGCGUUCUUUAGCGACUUGGUUUCAAAAGUUCACUUUCCUUGGUCUGUGAGGCCAAUGGUAGAAUGAUCAUGGAAAAAUGAAAUUGUUCUGUCUUAAUUUUGUCUGGUAAGAGCGGGUAUGCAUUCUUACAGGACUCGUUUGUCAUUCUUUUAAGCUGUUUAAUGUGCUCAUUUCAGUAUGCAUCAUCCAAAGUCUUUAACCGCUCAAAGUAGCACUACAAGGGCCAGGGAGCUAUCAUCUGUUUGUAAAUAAGAGCUAUAGACAUGUCCUAUAAGGUCAAUAGGUCUCAGUUGCAUAUCUAACUUGUUUCUCAUGUGUUUUCAUCCUAAAGGUUAGAAAAGGUGGGUGCUCUAGACACGCAAGGAGUGGUUCAUCAACACCAAGGGAUGGCGGCUGAUCUCAUGUAUGUGGUUACAUGCUGGAGUUUUCCAUGUGCUUGCCAAUAUGCUGAGUCUUGUAUUCAUUGGAAUUCGGCUUGAGCAAGAAUUUGAAUUUGGUAAGCAUCUGGAUUUUUAGCUUCAUGUAUGUUAUCAUGCAUGUAUGGCCACAUCCAUAAGUGAUUGUAGUAAAAGAUAAUACAUAUAUAUAUAUAUAUAUAUAUAUAUAUAUAUAUAUAUAUAUAUAUAUAUAUAUAUGAGCAAAAAGCCGUCUCAAAGAAGGAGAACGAAGCUUUAAUCUCAUUGGCUACUACAUAAUGGAUAAAAAGGUCGUACCUAGUGCACAAGGCUCCUGCUUUACGCAGGGUCUGGAAGAGGUGAAUGUCGGCUAGCCUUACCACCAUUUAUGGAGAGGCUGCUCCCAAAUCUCGAACCCGAGACCUACCGCUCAUGAGCGAAAGCACUUGCCAUCGCACCAAGUGCGACCUCUAGCUACUACAUAAUGGAUGCAUCAAAAAAAAAAUCCACACAUAUAUGACAUUAGCGUAAAAUUAUAUGAAAUGGGUUCAGUCUAAAACUUGUAACAAGCUAAGUUGUACAUUUCUUGAAUUCAUCUGGCAAAAGGCUAGUUCUGUCUUAGCUAACUUUGUAAUAUACUUCUACUAAAGCAUGCCAACAAUCUAAGUUUAAGUUCCUAUUACUACUAAGGCAUUCCAUCUUUCAACUCUAAAUCUUAAGAAUAAUCAGAAAUCCACCAACUUUAAAGAUAUUUGACCCUCCCACAACAUGGAAUUGAUGGUUUACAAACACAGUAUCAAACAGAAAAUAGUAUUGCAUAUGAACAUGAUUUGAACGAAAUAGGAGCCAGAAGAAAGAAAUGCCCACCAUCCUGUCAUGAACUUUUUUGAUGCCCAACUUCUAACAAUUUUGGAAAACGUCUGCACAGAGAUAAAAAGAGAUUAGAAUGAUUGUUAUGAAGAUUAAGAAAAAGGAGCACAAACACUCAAAGCAUCGGAAAACUUAUGCCCCAACUUAGGCCACCAAAAAGUAACAAACUUUGACACACUGUAACCGUUUCUUCUUCUCCUUCCGAUUCAGAGUGUAUUAUGCGUCUUGCCUAGUUGUAUUAUGUUGAAAAGUUGGACUGGGCAUUCAUAUGGCUUCCCUUUCUCCGGCCAAAACCAAACAACAGCUUGCUCAUCCCCUGCAAUUAAAAUACAACAAAAAAAAUCAAAAGAAUAAGUUAAAAUUUAAAAUCUCAUCUGGGUACGUUGGGUUCGAUAUUUUAUCAAUUGUUGUUUCUGAGUUGUGUUUUUUGCGGAUUUUCACAACCAAAAAUAAACCUUAAUACCCAGACCUAAAUUCUUGUUCGGAUUUUAUUAGAUUUUUUAUACCGUAUAACUUACCAAUUUCCAUUGUGUUUGAGAAGAUAAACUACUUUUGUAAAGAACUUUAGAAUUCUAAAUUAGGAUAAAUUGCUUAUCUUUAGCAAAAUGGAUUCUACUGCUAUUCUUCACAGGCGACGGUGAAUGUUUGGGUGCCGCUGCUGGUUGGGAUUGCGCUAGUUGUUGCACACGCGGCGUUGAGGUGGACCGAUGGGUUGCCGUGGACAAAGAGAGCUCUGCGUUGUUGACUGGUUAUUCGGCUCGAUUAUGCGAAUUCAUGGAUUUGGAUGAAUCAGUGAUGGCGGUGGUUUGGGUAAACUAUUUGGAGAAACAAUUUACAGCGUCACACGGUGGGGAAGCAUCCAGAAAUCAGGUGGGUCGACAGACUGAAACGGUGGGGCAAGGAAGAAUUCAGAAAUGAAGUAAAAGACCAAAGAAUAAUAAGGGGGUGUAUUCAAUUAUUGGUAUUUUAAGAGCUUUUAAUUUUUUUAAUGAAUAUAGGGUGUAUUCAAUUACGAUUUUAAAAAGGUUCACAAUAUUACAAAUGUAUUCAAUUAGUAUUUGAUUUUAAAGAAUUUUAGAAAGUUGAGUAAUUAUAGGAAAUUUGAGAGAUUUUGUAGUAUAUUUUAAGCAUCUAUAAAUCUCUUAUCUUCCCAUGAGAUUUCAAGGUAAUUAAAUUAAAAUUUUACAUAAAAUCUUUACAAAUCAAUUAAACUUCAUAAAAAUCCAUGAAUUUAUAAACCUUUUAAAAUCUCAUCAAUUCUCAAUUGAAUACACCCUUUUAAAGCAGGACUCAAGAUGGAAUCUCAUUGUACAAUAUACAGUAACGACAGAAACAGAGAAAGAAUAAAAAUGGAAUAACACUGUAGAAUAAACAGUGUUUUAGGCAAUUUUCUCUUUUAGUGUGUGUAUAUAAUUUGCAUAGUAUGUAACACUGAGAAAAAUGACACGUAAUAUAACAACAACAAAACACUAAGAACUACUAAAUCUUAUUCUAUUAUGCAUGGGUUAGCCGUAUAAAUUCUAAAAUUUCACUAAGCCGGUUUGGUGAUAAGUUUUUCGUUACCAUCGUACUCCAUAUCUUUCUUACCAUUUCUUCCCAAAUGUUCUUACUUCCUCUACCCUCUGAACUAACCCAAGAAACAUAAAUUUUUUUUUUUUUAAAAAACCCCAAAAAGUAGAAAAAAAAGAGGCAAACUUCAGAACCCAUUUCAUUCAAUUUUUCCCACAUUUUGAUUUCGAUGAGAUUCGAAUCAAAACCCAAAUGGGGUUUCUGGGUCUGAAUCCAAAUUUUUGAUUGAAGACAAAAAAAACGAAAAAAGGGGAGAUUUUUAUGGAGAGAGGCCAACCUGCUGCGCCGAGCAGCUUAGAGAUAAAGGUGGUGAGUCCACGGCGGAGCGACAACGUUGUGCACCCGGCGGGACAGCCUCCGGAGACGACGACGCCGCGGCAAUCGUUCAGCGACUACAGCCCGUUGAAGAGGUGGGUGUCAUGGCUGGUGCCGUCGAUUGUGGUGGCCAACAUUGUGGUUUUUGUGGUGACCAUGUUCGUGAACGAUUGCCCCAAGAACUCCGACACUUGCAUUGGUCGGUUCCUCGGCCGCCUCUCCUUUCAGCCCUUCAAGGAAAACCAUGUAAAUUUUUCACUCUUUUAUUUGUUGGGGUUUGGAGUUUUGGAUUGAAAUUUGUGUUUUGGGAUUUAUUGGGCAUUUACAUGUGGAAAUUUGGAAAAUUUUAGUUGUGGAUUGUGGGGAACUGCCGUAGUGGCGGCGAGCCCGUUUGUGUGUUUUUUGGUGAAACUAUGAUGAGGAGGGUUGGAUAGUUGGAUUGGUUUAGUUGUGAAAUUAGAGUGGGAUCAAUCAAGGUCGAGACUUUUUUAGGUAAGAGUAAUUGUGAAAGUUAUGUUUUUACCAUUUUUUAGGUAAAUUUUAUGACUUGGUGGAUCUAGAAUUUUGGUUAUAUUACAUAUAUUUGUAAAGAAAACAGUUGAACUGCAUGAAGCUUGAUGUAAUUCUGCUUUUAAUCAAUGUUGGACUUGGGAACCCUAGUGAAUAUAGAAGUGAAUCUACGAUUAGUUGAGAAACUUAAGGGAGCUUGACGGGUAAUGAGGGUUUAUGUAUUUAGUGACAUUCAGGCAAUGCUUGAUGUCUAUUUGAUGUCGGCAUAUUGGAAAUGCUUGAACAAAGAAGAAGGGUGCUUGAAGAGCUGCAAGUAGUGAACUACUUGGCUUGAUUAGAUUGCUAUGUUAACCAAAAUGUACCCUGUAAUAUGUUACAGGGUUAAAGUUUUACAGUAGUGUUCUUUAGCGAUUUAGUUUCAAAAUUUUCGUUCGACUUUCCUUGCUCUGUGAGGUCAAUGUUAGAAUGAUUAUGGAAAAAUGAAAUUGUUUGUCCUAGUAUCUCUGGUAAGAGCGGGUAUGCGUUCUUCAAGGACUUGUUUGUCAUUCUUUAAAGCUGUUUAAUGUGCUCAUUUCAGUAUGUGUCAUCCAAAGUCUAUAACUGCUAAAAGUAGCACUACAAGGCCGAGGGAGCUAUCAUCUGUAUGGAAAUAAGAGCUAUAGACAUGCCCCAUAAGGGUCAAUAGGUCUCAGCUGCACAUCUAAGUAUCUAACUUGUUUCUCAUCUGUUUUCAUCCUGAAGGUUAGAAAAGAUGGGUGCUCUAGACGUUCAGAGAGUGGUUCAUCGACACCAGGGAUGGCGGCUGAUCUCAUGUAUGUGGUUACAUGCUGGAGUUUUCCAUGUGCUUGCCAAUAUGCUGAGUCUUGUAUUCAUUGGAAUUCGGCUUGAGCAAGAAUUUGGUUUUGGUAUGCAUCUGGAUUUUUGGCUUCAUGUAUGUUAUCAUGCAUGUAUAGCCACAUCCAUAAAUGUUUGCAGUAAAAGAUAAAGCACACAACAUAAAUUGUAGAAUAAUAAAUUAGUUACCAAGUGCAAAACUUCUUUCAUAAAUCUAGAAGAGACACUUUCCGGAUGGUUUCAUCUACCUUGCGAUUAAUCUACAGAGGAUUUCUCUGCAUUUGUUUAUUGAAUUGUAAUCCUAGAGUAGUGGUCAUGUAGUGCUGGUUGCAUUAUAACUUUCACCAGUAUGUUGCUAGGUUUGAUGGAAACAAGAGGACGUUUUAUUCAGCGGUGAGCAAAGAAAAGAGUUUAUACACCGAAGAUGGGGUUCAAACUUUAGUUUUAGACAUAGUAUUUCAUUUUAUAGAAUAAAAUUGCUUGAAACAAAAGCUGAGAGAUUAUUUCAGUUUUCCAUCACAUCUGUGGGAACAAGGAUUGUUUUGGAUAUCCAGUACAUGUAGACAUGGUUCCUCAUUUUGAAAUGUUUCAAGAUGCCGUCUAUUUGAAAAGAUUGAAAAAAUAAUAGUUUGAUGCUGAUCUACAUCAUGUACGGUUGUUUUGAUGAACUGUUUUAACUAAUUGGUUUGAAAUUCUAAUUUUUUUUUUAUUUGUUCUUCGGCAGUUCGAAUUGGUUUCCUAUAUUCUCAUGUCUGGUUUUGGUGGGAGUUUGCUUUCAGCUCUUUUUAUUCAAUAUGGUAUUUCUGUUGGUGCUUCUGGUGCACUUUUUGGUUUACUCGGAAGCAUGCUUUCAGAGCUCAUAUCAAAUUGGACAAUGUAUGUAAAUAAGGUAAAUAAAGUUUCUGUAUACUCAACGAUGCACCUCUUUAUAGUAUGUGCACGACCCUUUGAUCUUACAGUUUCAGAUUUCAAUCCGCAGUUGGCAGCAUUGCUUACUUUCCUUUUCAUCAUCAUAAUAAACUUAGCAGUGGGAAUUCUACCACACGUGGACAACUUUGCUCAUAUUGGAGGAUUUGUCUCCGGAUUUCUUCUUGGAUUUUUUUUUCAUUUUGAACCAAAUGUUACAAAUUUCAAUCAAUGCUCUCGAGUCUUGAACCAAAUGUUUUUUCAUUUUGGAUGAUUGCCAAAUGUUUCCAGAGAGCUUCUGAAGUCAAGGUGCUUUAAGGGUCUUGGUCCUUGGCGUACCGAAAAUGCCAGACAAUAGGGCCCAGUAGUGGAAGUAAGCUAGUGAAGUCGUCUAAAAAAACAAGCCAAAGUUGUUCCUCCUAUGAUCCUAUCCUUGCUUUUCAGUGCAGUGUUCGUUUGCUGUAGGAGCUCCCUGCAGUCGGGACUCGGAGGGAAUGCGACGGAUAGGCUGGCGCUGCUUGCCAUCAAAGCUCAAAUAAAGCAAGAUCUCCAUAAUUACAACGUGAUGAGCUCCUGGAACGAAUCCACGCACUUUUGCAUGUGGAAUGGUGUGACGUGCAGUCGACGACAUCGUCAAAGGGUCACUACCCUAGACCUGCAAUCUCAAAAUCUGGUAGGGAAACUAUCCCCAAACAUUGGAAAUCUAAGUUUUCUAAGGGAGCUGUGGCUGUUAAAUAACAGCUUCAGUCAUGAAAUUCCUCCACAAAUUGGGAAUUUGCGUAGGUUGCAGGUAUUGCGAUUAGACUUUAACUCGUUUAGUGGCAGUAUUCCACACAAUAUAUCAUAUUGCUUCAACCUUAUCCAUGUGAAUUUCACUCGCAACAAGUUGGUGGGUAAAAUUCCUUCAGAAAUUGGAUUGUUGUCGAAGCUGCAAAAACUUGCAUUAGAAUAUAAUAAUGUAACGGGACAGGUCCCUCCUUCCUUGGGGAACCUUUCGUCUCUCCAGGGACUAAGUCUUCUUAGUAAUAACUUGAUGGGAAACAUCCCUAGUUCUCUUGGCCGGUUGAAAAAAUUAACCUUCCUGGGAUUGGGGGUAAAUCAGUUGUCUGGUAGCAUCCCUUCCUCCAUUUAUAACCUAUCUUCUCUUGUUACAUUUACCAUGCCAUUUAACCAAAUUCAAGGGAGUAUUCCAUCAGAUAUUGGCAAAAAUAUUCCUAAUCUUGGAUUCUUUAACGUCCACAAAAACCAACUCACUGGGUGCAUACCUCACUCAAUAUUCAAUGUCACAAGUGUUUUGGGUUUUGAUGUUGGGAGUAACAACCUAAUCGGACAGGUAUCGAAUCUCCAAAAGCUUCACAACCUCCUGCAUUUCAGCAUUCAAAAUAAUAAUAUUGGAAGCGGUAAAGAUGGUGACUUAAGUUUUCUCUCGGACUUGACCAAUGCCACCCAGUUACAACGGUUGUUUAUUAACAACAACAAUUUUGGAGGGACAUUGCCCAUGUCAAUAUCCAAUCUCUCAACCAAACUUGAUAUGUUUUGGGUUGGCGGUAACCAAAUAUAUGGAAGCAUCCCAUCUGGGAUAGGGAAUCUGGUGAGCUUGGAAUCGUUGUAUUUGGGGUAUAAUAGCUUCACAGGUAACAUCCCCUCUGACAUGGGUAAGCUGUCAAACAUUGGAAUAUUAGAUAUUUCCAAUAACACAUUAUCAGGAAAUAUUCCGUCUUCCAUAAGAAAUUUAACCAAGUUAUUCCGUCUUGCGUUGCAUAGAAAUCAUCUUGAGUGCAGCAUUCCUUCAGGUAUGGGGGAAUGCCAUGGGUUGCAAUUGUUGAAUCUUUCUUAUAACCUCCUAAAUGGCACAAUACCCAAACAAGUUUUUAGACUCUCCUCCUUAUCGAUUUCUUUGGACUUGUCUAAUAACCUCUUCACAGGUUCCCUUCCCUCGGAGGUUGGGAAUUUCCAGAGUCUAAGUGAACUGUAUCUUUCUGAUAACAUGUUAUCUGGAGAACUCCCCAGUAGGCUUGGUGGUUGUGAGAGUUUAGAAGUCCUGCAUUUGCAAGGAAACUUCUUCAAUGGGGCCAUUCCAUUGUCUAUGAGUUCAGUGAGAGGGAUUCAAGAUCUAGACCUUUCUCGCAAUAAUUUUUCAGGUGAAAUUCCGCAUUUUUUAGAAGGCUUUAGAUUCUUGAAUAAUUUGAACUUAUCCUUCAAUCAAUUUUGGGGAGUGGUACCAACUGGAGGUGUUUACAAAAAUGCGAGUGCUAUUUCAGUUAUUGGCAACACUAAUCUGUGCAGCCCUGUUGCUAAUUUAAGCUUCCCAAGUGCAAGUCUAUAGAGACCAAGACACAAAGAUUGUAUCGUAGCUUGAAACUAAUACUCCCUUUAGUAUUUGGACUUACUCUUCUAGGAAUAGCCAUGGUGUUCUCCUAUUUCUUUCUUUGUUCGUCAAGGAAGAAAAGGAAAGAAAUUUCAUUGAGCACUUUGGGGAACACUACUCUACAAGUGUCAUAUGCUGCUCUACUCAAAGCUACCGACGGGUUCUCAGAGGCUAAUUUAAUUGGUGCUGGUAGUUUUGGGUCUGUGUACAAAGGAGUUCUUGAUGAGGAUGACAAAUCUCAACUUGUUGCCGUGAAGGUGUUUAACUUGUUACGCCAUGGAGCUUUAAGGAGUUUCAUAGUCGAAUGUGAAGCUUUGAGAAAUAUUAGGCAUCGAAAUCUCGUCAAGAUUAUAACAAUGUGUUCAAGUGUUGAUUUUCAUGGUAAUGAUUUCAAGGCUCUAGUUUAUGAGUUCAUGGACAACGGGAGCUUAGAGGAGUGGCUGCAUCCACCUAUUGAAACUGAAGAGUUAAGAGACCAUGUACCCAAGAAGUUAAGUCUUCUUCAGAGGCUAGAAAUUGCCAUUGGUGUUGCUUGUGCACUGGAUUAUCUUCAUAAUCAUUGUAAAACUCCAGUAGUUCAUUGUGAUCUUAAGCCAAGCAACGUUCUCUUGGACAAUGAAUUGAUUGGCCAUGUUUCUGAUUUUGGAUUAGCAAGGUUUAUCUCACAAGUAACAAGUAAUGUUUCAGCAAUUCAGAGUCGGACAAGUUCUGUUGGAAUAAGAGGAACAGUUGGUUAUGCAGCUUCAGGUAUAUAUAUGUUAGAUAUGUACUUCAUUAUAUUUCCUUUUUUAUUUUGGAGUAUUGAAUUUACAAAAUUCAAAAUGAACUAUUUAUACACAAAUGUGAUGUUUGAAUUGUAGAGUAUGGCAUGAGGAGUGAGGUGUCAACGAAUGGUGAUGUCUACAGCUUUGGCAUUCUCUUGUUGGAGAUGUUUACACGGAAGAGACCCACUGACAACAUAUUUGGUGAUAGCUUGAACCUUCAUAAUUUUGUCAAGAUGGCUCUCCUCGGGCGAGUUACUGAGAUUGUAGACGCGCCACUUCUUCAAGGAGGCACAAACGAGAAUCCCAAUCAAUGCAACGCAAGAAUUCAUAAAGUUGAGGUGUGCUUGGGUUCAAUAUUUAGAAUUGGAAUUGCUUGUUCUGCUGAAUCCGCAACAGAUCGACUAAAGAAUAUCAAUGAUGCUGCAUCUGAACUUCAUUCCAUUAGGAAUACUUUUCUUGGAUAGAAACUCUUUUUUAUGUGCUUUUGUGAUAGAGAAGUUUCGUGUGAAGGGUGUAUUACUACUUUUAUGUACUGCCUGUGUAAGUCUAGCUUUUAUGUUACCACAGUAGAUGUGGAAGUUUGCAAUGUAAAUAAUCACCAAUGAGGUUCAUUGUGUGAAGAGUGUAUUACUACAUCUUGUACUUGGUAUUUUUGUGUAAGAUUCACAUCGAUUUGUUUGGAUCAAAACUUAAACUUUGGGCUCGAAGGAAGUUGGCCCAAAGAGCAGCCUAAAGGGGAGAGGUACUCGAAGGCCCAGUCAAAACCCAGCCGAAGUCCAGAAGACAGGAGAAGCUUGUUUCUGACUAGGUGCAGGCCAUGCAGACCACUUGCUCACCUACCCAAAGGCCAAGUGGUAUAGACCAGCCAGCUAAUCAGCCCAAAAAGUACUUUUAAAUGGUAGUACAAGUAAAUAGCUGAUGAGUCACUACCCUUCAAACUGCAUUCGGGCAAGGUUGUUGCUACCGGAGGCCAAGCCAAGGUGUCUAUAAAAGGAGAAAGAGAGGUCAGAAUCAAGGACACUCAAACAAACAAAUACAAGCACAAACUCUGCUCAAAGCCAGAUUUGCCUUCAAAACUAAGCUGUAGUCAGCCCAAGCCUUCAUCCAUUUCGGGAUAAACCUUUUGUAAUAGCUCUGCUACCCUGUUCAACUCUUGUUGUAGUAUCGAUUUCUUUUGUAAACUCACCUCCCAACCCUUUUUCUAAGCUUUCAAACUUUCUGAUAAACCACAAAGAUAGGAAGUUGCAAGACGAUCAGCCUUGCCUGACAAGGUUAAACCUUGCCCAACCCUCUUUGUUUUUUUUCUUUUCAUUCAUUAGCCUAGCAAUAUGUUGUAUACUACAAGUUGUAUCCCAGUUGUUUCUAGUAAUAUGGCUAUUAAAGGACUCUCUCAGCACUUGAAUCCGAUUUGAAUAUGUCUUCACAGUUUAAGCCAGAUUUAAGUUCUAAGUCUUCGGGCAUAUAAGAUUUGAUCAUUCUAAAAGUCCUUGGCCUCAAGGCAUAAAAAAGAACCUGAUGUGGACUUAACCCAUCCACUACAAGCUUUGAUAACAAGAAGUCCGAAGUUACUUGGGGCGCAAGUAAUCGACCUGUCACUUAGUUUUAUUGCUGUUAUAUUAUGAUUACCAUAUAGCGUCCGAGGACAGGAUGAAUUCUGAUGGGAAGCCUCAAGGCCUAUUCAAGGCCCCACAAAGGCACCUAUUUGGAUUCAUCCUAUUUCUCGGGCAAGAACAUUGAGUAUAGAAGGGGUUUUGAUGGGAAGCCUCAAGGCCUAUUUAAGGCCCCACAAAGGCAUCUAUUUGGAUUCAUUCUGCUCUUUGAGCUCAGGUAAUCAGAAGUAUGAUGGUUAUAAGACCCAUAUAACCAAGAAAAGGAACCUUAUGUGUUCGAGUACUAAGUUAGUUAUUUAUGGGAAGCCUCAAGGCCUACACCUAAGGCCCCACAAAGGCACCUGUCAAUAACUAAACUUAGUCUCUCGAAUAUAUAAUUAAACUCAAACAUCCGUUCUACAUCUGCCAUGCUGAAAAUGGCAGUGGCACGCCUGAGCACUUAAAAGUUAAUUUUGAUUGUGAGCCUCAAGGCCUACACCUAAGGCCUCACAAAGGCACCUUUCAAAGUUAACUUUGUCAUUCUCUUUCAGCCUUGCCCGACAAGCCCGCCAGUAAAGCAGGAGCCCGACAUAAAAGCAUCAACCGGCGCCAACCUCUCGGGGAGCUGUGUGCUCGUCGGACAGGAAGCAUCCCCCACGGAAAUUCCUGCCACGAACACGAUUAAAGUCUAGUUAGGGCCACGAAAUUGUUGAAUAUUCACAUUGACAUAUUUGAAAUUUUUGAAAGAUUCAUAACCUCAAAACCCUCAACGUUCAAUAAAAUCAUCUUGGCAGCUGUAAGAUGGUGAGUUGAGUUUCCUAUCAGACUUGACCACCAUCAGUGUUAGAUUCUGCAAGGGAAUUCCUAAUCUCAAGCUGCCCUAUUGCAAGUCUAAAGAGCUCCAAGAAAAGAAGAUUAGCUUGAAAUUAAUAAUCCCUUUAGUAUUCGGACUUGAUCUACUUGCAAGUGUCAUAUGCUACUUUCUCAAAAGCCACUGAUUGGUUUUCUUCAGCUAAUUCGACUAGUGUUUAACAUGUUAUACGUCAUGGAGCAUCAAAGAGUUUCAUAGCCGAAUAUAAGGCUUUGAGAAAUUUCAAGCAUCAAAAUCGUGUCAAGAUCAUAUCUACAUGUUUUCUCGAUGAUUAUUUCAAGGGUCAUGUUUAUGAGUUGAUGCACCAAAGGAGCUUAGAGGAGUGGUUGCUUCCCCUCCUGUAAUUGAAAAGGUAAGAGAUCAAUACAUCCAACAAUUUAAAAUCUUCUUCAAGGGCUAGAUAUUGUUAUUGGUGUUGCUAUUAUGCACUGGAUUAUUUUCAUAACCAUAGCGAAACACGAAUAGUUCAUUAUGAUCUAAAGCCAAGCAAUGUUCUUCUAAACACCAAGUUAACUGGACAUGUUUAUUGAAAGUAGAUUAAUAUCAGACUGUUACUUAUAUGAACUCCUCCAUAUAAGUGAAGGGAAUUGGGUUCAAGUUGGUUGGUUUGGUUAAUAGGGUUUGCAAAUGGCCAUCUUUUGUAGAAUUUUAACCCCAACUUUAAAGCCCAUGGGCUAUGACAAAUCAAGGUUUUCUAGCAUUGUUGCUAUCAAUAUUCUCCCAUGCGCAUUCUGAAGUCUAUUCCAAUGGUUUUAGCAGUCGUUCUACUAAUCUUGACAAUGAACGAGUUUUUAUUUAUUUUUUAUUCGAGCAAAUGAUAUUAUCUACACUAAGAGGAAGGGGAUAGUUUUAGUCUUAUAAUGGGCUAACAAUAAUGUGGUUUAAAUUCGUCUUUGGUGAGAAACGAACCCAAGACCUCUCACUUACAAGUGAAGAGAAUACCACUAGACCGUAGUACUAAGUGGCAUGAAAGAGUUUCUAUUAAACCCGCAAAAAUGAAAAUUCUCAACCAUUCAUUAAUGGAUACUAACAAAUUUUUUUUUAGUACAAAGAUAUGUCACGAUAAUGUAACUUAUAGUUGUGUCACUGACCUUUUAACUUAUUGCCCUAUCUUUAACUCACUCCAAUUAAUAUCGUCCUCUAAUUGUUAGUAUCUAAUGAAUCUCAUCAUAAAUUGUUACCCAAUAUAUUAAUUAUCAAAGCAAAUAAACUUGAUUGAGUUAUAAAUUUAUUGUGACCCAAUUGGUAUGGUUAGUAGAAAAAUCAAUUUUGUUCAUAAUUUUCAUGUCUUCCAAGUGAACAUGGGGCUAUAAGUGAAGUUCCAAAGGUUACGGUGGUGUAAUUUGGUCCAUGAAUUGUCUCCUUCAUUUUGCAUGCAUGCGGUAGGUUACUGACUACCAAUAAUUCUCGUUACCAAGCAAAUUAAAUACCAUUAAUUAAGAGCUUAAAAAGUCUUUAAUUAUUACCUCUCUAUUUUGCUUUAGCAAUUAGGAAAUUUUCCCCUUUUGCGUACAAUAUUAUAAGAAUAUUUGUGUUCUCCACACUCAAAUGAUGGUGAUGCUUACUACCUUAUUUAUCACUGUUAUAUGAGUUUAGUACCUUGGAUAGACACAAAUCUCAAAAUUUAAACAAAUACAACGGUAACAAAUAAGGUGGUAAGCAUUACCACCACUUGAGAGUGAUGACUAAAAAUCUCCCCAAUAAUAUAAGUAGUUAAGUUUGUUGGUGUGGUAGUUGGUCUUUAGCAAGCUUCUUAUAGAAAAGAAGAAGCAUUUAUUUGAAAAGAUUCAGACUCCUUUUGGAUAUAGAUAAACAAUGGCUUGUUAAAAACCAAAAUGAUAAGGCAUUCAACAUUCAACAUUCACCUAAAAAAAAUGAUAUACAUGAUAUCCAUCAAUGUUUUGGUAACAAAUUCCCAAAUUGCUCUAUCUACCAAACAUUUGCAGAUCAAUAGUUACAGAAGGUCACUUUUAUGAUAUUCAACCCAAUACCCACAUUAUUGGCAAAACAAACAUUGUAUAGAUCUUUUGAGUACCCGAGCCAAUGACAAUAACAUUGACGGCAACUACAAAAAAUUUACAUUAUAUAAAGAGGCAAUCUCAGAAUCAAAAUUGUCAAAAUCCAUAUUUGAUGGCAUUUUUUCAUCAGUCAAUCAAUACACACAUAACACAUAAUCACAAACUCGAUAAAAAUUCAAACCCAUAAAUCCAUAAUUAGCAAUGUUUUUUCUUAACCCCCAAAAACAAUCCAAAUCUUAGUGGUUACAUUCCUUAGUCAAGCACUCAACCACUUGGGCACAUCGACUACAACUUGGGAAUGUUACGCAAAUCUUAGGCAGCUUGAAUCAUUAAAUUUGAGUUGGAAGAAGCUCUGUUACCUGCUCUGCUAGUUGAGGAGUGUCACCAAAUUCGGCACUAUCAUCAGCAUCAACACAUUUCACAAACUCCCACUUCCAAAACAUUUCACAAAAUCAAAAAUCAAAUGAGUUUAUGUAGCAGAAAAGAUUGACGGAAAAAUAGACUAGGAAAAGCAAUUAAUAUUAAAUAGAGGAUAAAUGAUGUUGUCCAGUAAAUAAGACAGUUGUAUAUAUUUCUCGACCAUGAGAAAACAUCAAAUUAAUAGAGGCAUUAAUCCUAAGUUUGCCAUUCAUUGUUGUCGGUCUAAACUUGAUGACAUAUUGUAAAGUCCUCGUACAUACAGAUUCAUGAAAUAUUAAUUUAUUUCCAUGAGUUAUUUGAUUUUGCAAAUUCAAAAUAAUUGAAGAAUACUGAGAAUUACUAAACAUCCAAAGAUAGCAUUUGUGAAUUACUAUCCCAUUUGUGAAUUACUGUCCUUCUAAGCAUCCAAAGAUAGCAUACCCAAAAUACCAAAUUCAACUCCAAUAUAAUAAAAAAUUAAAAAACAAAUUAACCAAAUUGGGAUAGUUAGAUCAAAUAAAGAUUUACGUCAACCAAUUACACAAAAUAAUUCAUGCAAAGUAGGCUCCUAAGAAAAUAUACCACUAUGGAGGUGGAGGAGGCCCAGGCUCAAACAGUGGAGGACGGUAGCAUUUAAAUAUACCGCAGCAGCAUGGAAUCCACAAACUGCAUAAUCAAAACCAAAAUUUUAAAAUUUAUAUUUAUAUUUAAAUUUGAAAGAAAAAUGCAGUAGAAUUGUAUAAUGAGAAAUUCUCCAAUGUGGAUAAAUUAAUCUUGCAGGAUGCGAUCAGUUGUAUUGGGCUGGCAACCGGCUUAUGCUCAAAUCCAACUAAAUUUAUCAUACAGCCUUCCAACUACAAUUCAAGGGAAGAAGUUCCAAGUCCAUGCAUAAUGUUUGCUCAACUAAAAUAAAUUGCUUUUCAUGAUUAAAAUAGCCAACCAACCAACACUCAUUUGAUAAAAUUGAACAUUUGGAGUUAUAUAUCCACAUAUUCCACAUAUUUAAGAUCGAACGAACCUUCUCAUGAAGACCACCCAAGGGUCCAUUAGUGAGUUGUGUGACCAGAGGAUUUACUGCACUUGAGUUUCCUCGUGCAGCUGCAAGAGCUAUGAGCUUACGUUGACUGUCAAUCACUUCUCCGCUUAAGGUUUGCGUCACCGAUGAUGCAGAAUUAAUAGCUUCCUGCAAAGAAGUGCAAUAAGAAACCUUAAUUUGUUAAAAUGUGAGUAACUACAGUGUUCUCAAUUGAUUAAAACAUCAUCCGAUGGUGUUUUCUAGGCUUUUUUUUUCCUUCCUUUCGCAGGCCAUUAUUUCAUUAGCCAUCUGAAGAAUUGCAAUUGAUAGAAUCGGUGUUCUUUGAAAUAAUCAUAACACUUCACAACACAAUGGCAACAAUUUAUACAAAUUCUAACAACAAAUUGUCAAAAACAAUGAGAACAAUUACCAGAAAUUUCAAAUCUUUUGGGGGUUCAGAGUAAUUACCAAAGAGAUGAAAGCUAAAAUCAACAUUAGUCCAAUUUUUUCAAAAUAAGAACAGCUCCGAUCUGAGAAAUACAAUGCAAUUUCUGAAGGAAAAAAAAAAGCAAGAAAACCCUAAAAUCCCUAAGAACCCUAAUUUAUAAACCCUAAACAAACGCAAAAGGAGAGGAGACUCAAAUAAAGGGAAAAUCGAGAAAUUCAACAUACUAUCGGAGCGAGGACGCUUUCUGACGACCAAAUUCAUCGACACCGGAGGCGGUUGUCGACCAUCGCUGCACCUUCAUUUCGCCUCCGCCAUGUUUGAGGCUUUCGACCGUCACUACUUGGUUUGUGUGCUUCAUGUCGAGAGAUAUGGGGAGCCGAGAGGUUGUGGGUUUUCUAGUAGAGAAGGACAGAAACAGGAAGAGUGAGAGAUGAGAGAGCGCUCGCGUAGGAGAGAAAGAGGAAGAGUGAGAGAUGAGACCAGAGCGCACGCGUCUAACCCAUCGCAAUCCGUUAUAAACUUACCCUAUCAACUUUUGAGAAAUACCCUCCCAACCCAUCCCCAUUUGGCUGACAUUGUUGUAAAUAGCGUCAAAUUGAGUGGCAAAGAUUUGAAAUUACACCCGCUCAUUGCUGCAAGAAUCAGUUGUUUCAGGCGUAAUCGGAUGAAUAAAACACAUUUAAGUUAAAUUUAACACAAUUAUGAACAAACAGAGGGAUACAUGAGUGAAUGAAGUCGAUAAGAUAAGCAGUUUUGCUUUUAUAUACAUUCAAGUGAGCUAGCAUAUAAACAUAUUGUACAACGAGUGGGAAGAAACUGAACGUCUUUGAUUACAAAGAUAUGGUUUCCAAAAAAGUUUUUUUUUCUUAAGAAAUAGAAGAAACAUGUAGUUCACACAUAAUAUGUGUCUUGCAGUGUAGACAGUCAUUGAACAGGUAAUAUCAAGAAAAGAAAUUAAAAUAUUAGGCAUAUGAGUGCAAGCUUACAAAUACGUUGUUUUUGUAUAAUUUCUUCUCCCUUCAAUGAUAGUUUGUUUCUUAUGCAGAAAAAUAAAAUGACCAGGUCAAUGAUACUCACAUGUGCAAAAUGCUAAUUCUAAGGUCUAAAGCUAACUGAGUUUUUAAGUGUAAAAUCCCUAAUUUCACUGCAUUUGGAUUGAUCACAGUUCGUGACUUGUUAAACUUGAUAUCCCCUUGUACAUUUUGUGAACUUGACAACUUAAAGAAGUGCUCAUAAAAGCAAAUUACACAAUAUCUACUGAAAAACUUAGAGAAGAGACUUAACUAAUCAACAAACAGGUGCCUCACACUUAAAUAUUAAAGACCAAAGAGAGAAAACCAAGCCGAACUCUUCAAAAUUCGUUGGCACACAUGCUUCAUUAGCUCAAUUGAAUGUAUAAUGCCUACUUAGAUACAACAAUUCGAACAAUAGCUCAUAAACAGUGCUGAAAUUCCAUUAGCACUAAUCACACACUGCAGGAACAUAGAUCCUAGCAAAGCUACACCAAUUAAAUGACAACGACUAAAAACCACAAACAGGAAAAAUAGAAAAACAGAGUUAUUAGACAGCAUGAUUCAGAUAUAAUUUUAUUAGGGUUGGUAAAAGAACAACCCAUCCAGCACUUCGAACACACCGUGGGAUUUAAAAGUAGGUCUUUCUUGAUUAUAAGCUCAUAUGUCUUGCACCUAAUUUUCAAACACUCAAGCGUCAGUGUCUUAAUACUUCUAACCCACAGUUCAAAACAGAAAGAACCUCAUUUGAUGAAAAUGCCAAAAUUUUCUAAGAAUGGAGUCCAAAAAUUUAUUUUUAAGCAUCCAAAAAGCCAUUAAACUAAAAAUAGUUAGUUCUUCGUACCUUUGUAUGAAGAUAUCACAGGAAAACAUUAGCCUUCCUACAUGCUAUGUUGGAAUUUCAGGGGUUAGAUUAGAGCCACACUUGAGUUCGACAUUGAAAGUGAGGCCUCGCUGGUGUGUUUCCACACCACAUGCUCUGCAAAAGAGAUACAAUCUCAGAAUCAUAAACACAUUGAUAAGAAAUAUACACACCAUAUAUAUAGCAAGAGAAACUUAAGAAACGAAAAGUUCAAUCAAAGUGAGUGAAGUGAACCUUUCUUCUUUUUUUAACCCAAAGCAUUGAAAGUAGCGCAAACCAUUCUUUUGUCCUCUUUCUCCCCUCUUCCCGUGUCCCUCACUCUUUUUCAUCCUUUGAAACAAUAACUGAUAAGGAAAAAUUAAAAAUUACUAUGCAAUCUUGAUUCUGCUAACAUUCCAAAAUUAUUAUCAGUAAGUCUCCAUAUAACCUUUUUGAUUCGCUUCUUUUUCCUCCUAUUUCCCAACCAACAACACAUUUCUUAUCAUCUUUCUUACUAACAUAUGGGCACACACAAAAUAUGUGAGAAAAGUUUUUAUUUUUGUUUUUGAAAUAGAAUGAGAGAGGAAGAGAGUGCUAGAGAAUGUGAAAGUGGGAAGGUUUUUUUUUAUUUUUUAAUUAAAGAUAUGUUAGGAUUACAUGUAAGUGAGACUUUGAAAAAAAAAAACAAAAUUUGAUUGUGUAAAAUUACAUUUCUUAUGCAUGUUCUGUUUUAAUUAGAGGGUUAAACUGGUAAUUUCAUAAGAUUUUGAUUGACAAUGAGUUUCAUUAAUUAGUAGAGAUUCAUAUAUAUGACAAUAAACAAAAAAAAAACAAUAUGCAAAAGAUACAAAAAGUAACAAUAGCACCUUCAUAUUUACCAUUUACACUUGAAGUAAAAUCUCGAAAUAUUUCAGAAAUAUUGUUGAUGCACAAAAUCAGCGAUGACUUUGGUACAACAGAAAGUGUCAAGUUUGUGACCUUCGCUAGAUUGCUCCAGUCACUAGUGUGGAUAAGUAUGUAAAUGGAUAAAGAGAGGGAAGCAAACACAAGAUGUAUGUGGUUCACCCAAAUUGGCUACGUCUACAGAGUAGAGGAGUUCUCAUUAAUUGUGAAGGGUUUACACAAGUACAUAGGUUCAAGCUCUCCUUUAGUGAGUACUAGUGAAUGAUUUAGUACAAAUGAAAUUAGGAAAUAUUGUGGGAGAAUGAUCUCCUUUUAUAGAAGAGAGUUUCUAGCUUUGUUUUGACAUUGACAUGUGUCGUGUUAUGAUUGACUUCUGAUGUUGACACGUGUCGCAUUAUGAUUGGCUUCUGAUGUCGACACGUGUCGCGCUGUGAUUGGCCUCCUGGUUGGAGGGAAACUCUUCUGGGUCAUUGACAAUAUAACGUUGAUCGGUGCUCGGUAGUUUCGAGAUUGAUCAAGUAUGGUACAAACAAAUAUCAUAUGAAAUGCACAAUGUUACAAAUGAAAUUGAUUAAUUAGCACACAAAAAAAAUUGAUAGUGGAGAAUUGGAAAUAACUAUAGGUCGUACCCAGUGCACAAGGCUCCCGCUUUACGCAGGAUCUGGGAGAGGUGAAUAUCGGCUAGCCUUACCCCCAUUUAUGGAGAGGCUGCUCCCAAGUCUCGAACCCGAGACCUACCGCUCAUGGGCGAAGGCACUUGCCAUCGCACCAAGUGCGACCUCUAGAAUUGGAAAUAACUAUAAAAAAUUAAAAAUAUCAAUAGACCAGGAGAAAACUACUUUAAACAAAAUGAAAACUCAGAAUUUAGGAUAAAAAGAAGGAAAGAAAUCAAACAGAAAAGAAGACAAAAGAGAAGAAAAAAAUUAAAGCAAAAUACCUGAAGCUCGGUGAGAUUCAAGCUUCGAACUGAAAAAUGAAACAUUCGGCGGUCAACACCCAAUCACUAAUUAACUAAGUGGUGACCUGCUGACCAUGAACACGUGAAUAAAAUUGUAGAGGUUAAUUAUACGGAAUCUUACCGCAAAAAAAAUAAAAAAUAAAAAACUAAUUGAAAUUAGGGGUGGGUUCAAAAACGAAAACCGAAACCGAACCGAACCGAAAUCGAAAAAACCGAAUCAAAUUAAAAAAAUCGAACCGAACCGAAUUAAUUAAAUUAAUAUAUUUUUUUUAUAUUUAAUUAUUUGUUUUGGGUAUUAUUUUUUAAACCCAAUUUGUAAGCCCAAUGUGUUGCCCAAAAUCAGAAAUUCCAAAUGCAUCGCUACUUUUCCAUUAACUACAAGGAAGAAGUCGUAUAAAAAAGCAAGACCUAAAAUAGUGAUAACAAAAUGGUGCUAACUCCUGACACAGUACUGUUAGUUUCUUAUUCUUGUUUAAUAUGGCUUCUUGCUUCAAGUAUUUGUAUGCUUAUUCAAUACUUCAUUGCUUAUUGUUAUAUGCAGUGAUCAGGUAUUGGUUUUGAUAAAGUGUUUUCCCAUUUGAUAUUACUUCUUCCGACUAAAUAGUAAAUUACAUUACUAAAUGACCGAUAAUACAUACAAAGAGAGCAUAAUCGAUAUAUGACCCUCAUUGGUUAGUAUGAUAAUGCUCUCAUUGUACGUACUAUCGUGAUAAAAUAAUCAGCACAUGUUCACCAACAUACACCAGCUCUUUAUAUUAUUCAUGGUUAAGAGUUGAGGUGUGAAGAAAAUGGUAGAAAAUUUUACUUUUCUAAAAAGAAAUCUAUUUACAAUUAAACUUUAAACACAAAAUAUUAAAAAAAACCUUUAUGUUAUAAUUCUAGUUGAACUUUAAAUAUUUAUUUUCAUUUUCUUUUAUUCUAGUUGGAAUAUUUAUGUUAUGAUUAUGUUGGAGAUGUUAAAAUUUAAGACUUCAAUUUUUUUCAUUUUUUGAAAAAAAAAACACCGAAACCGAACUGGAAAAAACUGAAAAAAAAAAUGAACUGAACCGAAAUUUCGGUGAUUUCGGUUUUGGAAAAAAACCAAACCGAUUUGACCCGAACCCAGCCCUAAUUGAAAUUAUGUGUUGCACACAGUGAUAUCGAAGAAGAAUAAUUUCUAUUUAACUGAAAUUAAAUCCGAAUAAAUGAUUCAUAAAAUUACAGAUUUUCAAUCAAAUGCGGAAUAUACACAACAAUUUUAUUUCUGAUUUGAAUAUAACCAACUAAAUCCCAAGUUGUAUCAGUAUCAAUGGAUCCAACAUGGUGACCAUCUGCCCCUCAAGUAUUCAUAUCUGCAAACCCCCGUCUAAAGAAAAAUUCAUCCAGAAAUUAAUCACUGAGUAUGCAAGGUUGGCAUGCAUAUUCACGUUUUAUCGUGGCCAUGAUGAUAGGAAUUAAAAAAACACGAAAAUAGGAAUGAUGUACCUUUACUUAGAUUUCAGGGUUCUAAAACCUGUUGCUGAGAUUUGAGAAACAUAGGAAAUGUGUUUCAUGAUUUCAAUUUAGAUUUGCAUAAGAGUUCAGAAACACAUACAUCCCUUCUUUUCAUUCCGCGCCUAGGCUUGCAACACCAAAAUAGCACCAGAUCUUUGCAAUGUGCAGGGAAUAUACUGAAAAAACUUAAACCACAAUCAAUCAUCAUCUAUCUAAACAAAAUCAGAACCCAAACCCCUAAAUAUAUAAUAAUAAUAAUGAUUCUAGUAGAAAUUCCAAUCCAUUACAACAAAACACAGAGCUAAAACAACAAAACACAGAAUACCAGGUAUUGCUGGAUGUAGAUAUCCAAAACAGUGGCACCCAUCUAUUGAUCUAAUUACGUAUCCAUUCCCUAUCCAUGGCAGACAAAGUUUGUACUCCCUGUUUACAUGUUAUAAAACAUUUACUAGACCAGCAAUCAAAAUUAACAACCCUAAUUGUUGUAUACGCUAAGCUCUCCAACUGAAAAUGUUUAAUUAAAUUUUCCAACUUAAAACCCUAAAUUAAAUCCUACAAUUUGAAAUAGCAGAAACAAAAUUAGAGAGAAGGAAGAAAUCAAUGACCUUCGAGUUGUUGAAAGCUCAGAUAGGUGUUUCUUUUCAUCCAGCCCUAAAAUUAACCCAGCCUGUGUAUAGAAAAAUUGAACAAAUUUAGACAUUUAUAUGUAUGUAUAUUCCAGUAAAAAGAAUGAAAUGCAUUGAACCCUAAAUUGCAAAACUACAUCAAACUGAUUAAAGAAAAGAAACAGAGAGGGAGUGGGACAGAGAGAAAACCCUAAAAACAGAACCCUUUGGCAACCUAAUACAAAAUCAAGCCAACAAAUUCCAUUCCAAUUUUGACAAAACAAAUCGAAAAAGAAUAAUGAAAACCUGAAUGAAUUACGGAGGAACCGAUGGGUUUAUGCAUCAGCAAUGUGAUAAAACCCAGAAACACAAAACCUAAUAUGUAACAGCUACAAAAACCCAAAUAAAUAAAUAAAACACUCAAAUUUCAAACGAAGAUGUCAUAGAUGGAGGAAGAGAGAAGCGAUAGAGGGGGAGAGAUACUAACUCAACCCCACCAUCUCUCUGCAGCCAACACACUGAUUCCCUCAACCCUACCCUCAAAUCUUGUACCCAAUCAACUCUCUUUCUGUCCCCCUAAUCGUGCACCCGCCGUCACCUUCUCUCUGCAACCAACCCCCUCUCCUCUCUUCCCCAUAUCACACCCCCACCUGUGAGGGCACUGACAGCAGACUACCUCCCUAGAAACCGGCCCUAAAAACCCAUACCCAUACCUCCCUUACUCGUUCCCUUUAACCCUCGCAUAAAAUCCUCCCAUCUAUCUGUCUUUGCAAAUCGCAGAAAACAAACCCUAAACCAAAUCCCUAAAAUCCCACCUCAAUCCUCCCACACUUCUCUUGGACACUCCCUAUCUCUCUCUGCAAUUCGUAAAACAAAUCUCCUAAAUCCUAUCUCGGGCACCCGCAUCUCUCUACAAAUCACACAAACAAAACCCCAAACCUAAUCCUUGAAAUCCUACCCAAACCUAAUCCCUGAAACCCUUUCUCUUGGACAUCCCAUACCACAGAAAAUGUAUCUGAACUUUAGUUUAUAAAAUCGCAGGCCGCCUUCUCUCUUCCUACCUUUUAACAAUUCACCAGUAAGAUUAUCUCAAUAAAAACUUAUAUUAGCAAAUCCAGUGACGAAUGAUGUCAAACUGAAGCCGUAAUGAAAGCAUAUUUUGAGAAAGAAUGAAAAGCCGUCUUUCUACAACUUGAAACCAAAAUUUAAGUGAAUGGCCUUGUAACUAAGGUUAUUGAACAUGAUUAACUAUUCGCAACCCUCAACCUUGUCCCAUCUUUCUGUCCCUGCAAAUUGCAGAAAACAAACCCUAAACCAAAUCCCUAAAAUCCCGCCUAAAUCCUCCCACACUUCUCUUGGACACUCCCUAUCUCUCUCUGCAAUUCGUAAAACAAAUCUCCUAAAUCCUAUCUCAGACACCCCCAUCUCUCUACAAAUCGCACAAACAAAACCCCAAACCUAAUCCUUGAAAUCCCACCCAAACCUAAUCCCUGAAACCCUUUCUCUCGGACAUCCCACACCAUAGAAAAUGCAUCUGAACUUUAGUUUAGAAAAUCGCAGGCCGCCUUCUCUCUUCCUACCUUUUAACAAUUCACCAGUAAGAUUAUCUCAAUAAAAACUUAUAUUAGCAAGUCCAGUGACGAAUGAUGUGAAACUAAAGCUGUAAUGAAAGCUUAUUUUGAGAGAGAAUGAAAAGCCAUCUUUCUACAGCUUGAAACCAAAAUUUAAGUGAAUGGCCCUGUAACUAAGGUUAUUGAACAUGAUUAACUAUCCGCAAUAUGACAACCAUCUGCAACCCUCAACCUUGUAACCUGGAUCAAGCUGGUUUCACACAUACCAAUAGAAAACCAAAAUAUCAAUGUUUGGGGAAGUUACCUUAUUUGAAAUACCACUAAAAAACAGAGUACACUUUUAGGCAAAUAUUGUUUAAACACGCAAACAUAAUUCAUGAUAUGUGCCAAAAAGAAAAUACCUCUCGAUUAGAUUUCUUUUGUUCAUGAACUUUCUCCCUGACAAACUCCUGAGAUAGAACCAAAAAAGAAAAUAAGUCACAACUGAUGCAAGUAGAGGGGAAUGAGGCAGAGAAAAGUAUGAAUUUAUGAGUACACCACUCCUGUUUUAGGUUCCCAACUUAUAAGGAUGCUAACUUCAUCAUAUAGGACUAUUGUUAAACUCAUUUCUUUCCGAAAUUAAAUUAAGAAAAAAGUUCGACACUGGCAUGCCACAACACAAUGUUACAUAAAGUAAUCUUACCAUCACAACCAAAUUGACACAAAACUUCUAACAGUCAUUUUGAAAGUGAAAAUCAAGCAAAUACUCAUUUUCCGAAAAAGAAAAAACCCAACAAAAAUAAACAAAAAGUAGAAGUACCUAAGUUCCCAAUAGUCCAAUCCAUCAGGAAAAUACAAACUUGCACAUGUUUGAGUAAAAGGACCAUAAGAAAGAAGCAGGGGAUGCAAAAUUUUGAGAAUGGGUCUAAUAAUACUCAUCAAGUACAGAUAAUCAAAGUUAAAAGGAGGUAAUAAAGGUAUUGAAAAAAGAAGAAUAUAUUCUACAAGUGAAUGAAACAAAAUAUGGUGAAACUAGAAUGGAAACACUUCAGGAGGCCAGAGGAAGAGGGACAAUACUAUAGCAAAUAAAUUGAUAAUGCUUGUGCUCUCCUCUGUUCUUUCCCAAGUUGAUCCUACAAACAAAAGCACAGACAAAACUUAAAAAACGAUGCCAAUCAAUGAAAGCUAUAUUAUACCCAUCCUGAAUCUUUUAUAAAACAAGGCACCAAGAAAAUUUCAACAGCAAAUAUUUCAUACGAUAAACAAAACGAUGAAAUAAAUUUCAACAUCGGCUUGUUUCAGACAUUAACAUCUUACUUUGAAAUUUCUCCCAUGGUUCGUUGACAGUCAUUGUAGAGUAAACAUUAGGUGGACAACUCUUUGACUACGUCAUUAGACAACUACAAAAGCUUACUUUCCAUAAGCUUGUAACUUACAAAUUCCAAACUACAUGUAUCAUUUGUGUGCCCUCAGCUUUCAUUCUGUAAUCACAUUUACGAUUGAAACAUUAACCAAAUCCAACAACAACAACAACAAAGCCUUUUCCCACUAAGUGGGGUCGGCUAUAUGAAUCCUAGAACGCCAUUGCGCUCGGUUUUGUGUCAUGUCCUCCGUUAGAUCCAAGUACUCAAGUCUUUUCUUAGGGUCUCUUCCAAAGUUUUCCUAGGUCUUCCUCUACCCCUUCGGCCCUGAACCUCUGUCCCGUAGUCACAUUUUCGAACCGGAGCGUCAGUAGGCCUUCUUUGCACAUGUCCAAACCACCGGAACCGAUUUUCUCUCAUAUUUCCUUCAAUUUUGGCUACUCCUACUUUACCUCGGAUAUCCUCAUUCCCAAUCUUAUCCUUUCUCGUGUGCCCAUACAUCCCACGAAGCAUCCUCAUCUCUGCUACACCCAAUUUGUGUACGUGUUGAUGCUUCACCGCCCAACAUUCUGUGCCAUACAACAUCGCUGGCCUUAUUGCCGUCCUAUAAAAUUUUCCCUUGAGCUUCAGUGGCCUACGACGGUCACACAACACGCCGGAUGCACUCUUACACUUCAUCCAUCCAGCUUGUAUUCUAUGGUUGAGAUCUCCAUCUAAUUCUCCGUUCUCUUGCAAGAUAGAUCCUAGGUAGCGAAAACGGUCACUUUUUGUGAUCUUCGCUAGAUUGCUCCGGUCAUUAGUGUGGAUAAGUAUAUAAAUGGAUAGAGAUAGGAAAGCAAACACAAGAUGUACGUGGUUCACCCAGAUUGGCUACGUCCACGGAAUAGAGGAGUUCUCAUUAAUUGUGAAGGGUUUACACAAGUACAUAGGUUCAAGCUCUCCUUUAGUGAGUACAAGUGAAUGAUUUAGUACAAAUGACAUUAGGAAAUAUUGUGGGAGAAUGAUCUCGUAAUCACGAAACUUCUAAGUACCGGAGUGUGGUAUCGUCUUGACUUGCCUUAUCUGUCUCAUAGGUAGAUGUGGCAUCUUCUCUGGAAGUACUCUUCCUCCAUCCAGGGGUGGUAUCUUUAACUGGUGGAGAUGCACAAGGUAAUGUAUCAAUUUCACUUGAAGCUUACUUGUAGUUUCAGGCUUGGUCAAGCGCGAUACAAACCAUGUAGUAGGAGUCCCCCAAGUCGCCGAGCUAGGGGAUCUGCUGAAAGAGGUGACAGACAAGGUAAGCAAUCAGAGCUCCGGCUGAUUGUUCACAUUCUCCCUAUCUUGCAGGCAGCAUGAAGGAUAAAGAGAAGAAAAAUGAGAAGAGAUGAUAUGGGAUACUUUUGCUUUUGAAGAAGUAACUUUCCACAGGCUUAUUCUUGAACUGGGCUGGAGGGUUUUCUGGUUUCCUCCAGAGUAUAAGGCCGACUGAAGAAUUUGAGGGUCAAAACAAGUCCAUCAAAUCUAGAGUACGUUCGACCCUGCUGAUAUGGGAUACUUUUGCUUUUGACAGAGUAAGUGGAUGUAUCGGCACGUGUGCUGUUACGCUUGUCUCCACAUGCUUCCUUGUAUCCUUCUCACUUGCCCUAUCUGUUCCUCAGGCAGAUGCGGUAUCUUCCCUGGAAGCAUAAGAUGUUGAAGAUGAGUACUCGAGAGCAAUGCCAGGUAAGUAAUCAGGUAAGGGGUUCCAGGCAGUCAGUUCCUGGCUGGAAGCUUGAUUCCAAGUGCUGACUGAUUGCUCUCUUUCUCCUUGUCUUGCAGGUAAGAACAAGGCCAAAGGAAAAGACAGGGAAAAAGCAUGAUAUGGGAUACUCUCUUGCUUUUAACCCUGAUGAUAUGAGAUAUUCUUGCUCUAGUAUAGCUUGUUUGCAGAGAGGUAUUAUCGGGGGGAAAGAAAGCUGAAUAUUUCGAAAGGCUUCGUUGGGAGUGCCCUCUCAGAUAUGAGGAAGGGUUGAGCAUUUUUGCAGGUCUGCCUGUCCGUUGGGGAUGGAGGUCGACAUAUAUAUAGGAGUCUCCCUAACAAUCAAGUAGUAAUGCUAUUCCUUUACCCUGCUUGGUCAUAGCACGGUAGUGGGAGCUGCCAGCUUCACAUGUUUUAACUCUGUCAGAGCACUUUGAAAAAGUGGUCUGUGGUAUCUGGAAAGCUGAUGUUGCGUGUGAAGAUUACAGACAAGCUUUAUCCAAGGAGAUCCGGCUCUUGAAGUUGGGAAAGUGGUGCCUCUUCGGAUUUUCGAACAAGCAAUCCUUGUCGGGGAUCUGGCUCUCGAGAGAUUCGGAGAACGAUGCCUCUUCGAUUUUUUGAGAAAGCAAUCCUGCUGGGGGUCUGGCUCUCGAGAUUCGGAGAGCGGUGUGUCUCUUCGAUUUUUGAGAAAAGUAAUCAUGUUGGGAGUCUGGCUCUCGAGAUUCGGAGGGCGGUGCCUCUUCGAUUUUGGAGCAAGCAAUCUUGUUGGGAGUGUUUUCUCGAAUGUGAGUAAAGGUUGGGCAUGUUUGCUAGUCUACCUUGCCACGAAGCACAGAGGUUGACACACAGGGACUUUCCAAUUAUCCAGCAAUGGUACUGUUCCUUUACCCUCUCUUCGAUUUUUGAGAAAGUAAAUCAUGUUGGGAGUCUGGCUCUCGAGAUUCGGAGGACGGUGCCUCUUCGAUUUUGGAGCAAGCAAUCUUGUUGGGAGUGUUUUCUCGAAUGUGAGUAAAGGUUGGGCAUGUUUGCUAGUCUACCUUGCCACGAAGCACAGAGGUUGACACACAGGGACUUUCCAAUUAUCCAGCAGUGGUACUGUUCCUUUACCCUUGUGGGUAAUAAUAUGGUAGCUAGACCUUCAAAAUUUAUGUGUCUAAACUUUGUUAGUGUUGUUUCUUUGCUAUUCUUUUACCCUUCUUGGUCAGAGCGAUGUAGUGGGAGCUGCAAGCUUCACGUGUCUCAACUUUGGUCAGAGAACUUUGGCAAAGUUAUCUGUGGUACCCAUGAGCUACUGUUGCGUGUGGGAAGUGGGUGAUUGAACAGUAACGAUUCAUGUGCUUUCUACUUCACCAGAAAUCUUCGACAGAAUGCCCAUAAUUUCCGCAAAGCUGAGUGUGCGUGUGACAGGUGCUGACAAGGCUGGAAAAGUAGGUGCCUCUUCGAUUUCUGAGAUCGGCCCUCGUGGUCUCUGAGCAGCCCAGCUUUUGAGAAAGCAAGCGCCUCUUCGAUUUCUGAGAUCGGCCUUCGUGGUCUUUGAGCAGCCCAAGCUUUUGAGAAAGCAAACGCCUCUUCGAUUUCUGAGAUCGACCCUCGUGGUCUCUGAGCAGCCCAGCUUUUGAGAAAGCAAACGCCUCUUCGAUUUCUGAGCAGGCGCCUCUUCGAUUUCUGAAGCUUCGUCGAGUGCAGAUUUUUUAUAGGGGCUGGACAUUAAGUUCCAAAGCACACUUGAAUCUCCACCAGUAGAAGCUCCAUUCUUGCACUUCUAAGAUCUUGAUUUGUCCGACCUCUUCUCUCUUCAACACCUUUGAAAAUGUCUGGCCCCUCCGACCGUCGUUUUGACUUGAACCUUGUUGAAGAGGCAGCCCCGCCUUCUCCAGACAACAUAUGGCGCCCAUCCUUCGUCUCCCCUACUGGUCCUCUUACCGUUGGGGAUUCCGUGAUGAAGAAUGAUAUGACCGCUGCGGUGGUGGCCAGGAACCUUCUCACUCCCAAAGAUAACAGACUACUUUCCAAACGGUCUGAUGAGUUGGCUGUUAAGGAUUCUCUGGCUCUCAGUGUUCAGUGUGCAGGUUCUGUGUCUAAUAUGGCCCAACGCCUAUUUGCUCGAACCCGCCAAGUUGAAUCAUUGGCGGCUGAAGUGAUGAGUCUCAAACAGGAGAUUAGAGGGCUCAAGCAUGAGAAUAAACAGUUGCACCGGCUCGCACAUGACUAUGCUACAAACAUGAAGAGGAAGCUUGACCAGAUGAAGGAAUCUGAUGGUCAGGUUUUACUUGAUCAUCAGAGAUUUGUGGGUUUGUUCCAAAGGCAUUUAUUGCCUUCGUCUUCUGGGGCUGUACCGCGUAAUGAAGCUCCAAAUGAUGAUCAACCUCUGAUGCCUCCUCCUUCUAGGGUUCUGUCCAGUACUGAGGCUCCGAAUGAUCCCCCUCCGGUGCCUUCUCUUUCUGGGGCUCUACCGACUGCUGAGACUUCUCCUAAGCAACCUUUGUGAAGGCUCCCUCUUGUUUGUUUAUUUUGACUCAUGUAUAUGUACAUAUUUGUAACUUAUCGGGGAUAUCAAUAAAUAAGCUUUCCUUCAUUUCAACGUAUUGUGUUAAAUACACCAAAGCCUUCUUCGCUAAGUUCUUUGAAUUUUCUUUUGUUGAAGCUUGUAUGUUGAAGCUUUGUGAGUGGAGCAUGUAGGUUGAGGUAGUGUUCCCUUAAUUUCCCGAGUGAGGAAAACUUCUCGGUUGGAGACUUGGAAAAUCCAAGUCACUGAGUGGGAUCGGCUAUAUGAAUCUUAGAACGCCAUUGUGCUCGGUCCUGUGUCAUGUCCUCCGUUAGAUCCAAGUACUCUAAGUCUUUUCUUAGAGUCUCUUCCAAAGUUUUCCUAGGUCUUCCUCUACCCCUUCGGCCCUGAACCUCUGUCCCAUAGUCGCAUCUUCUAAUCGGAGCGUCAGUAGGCCUUCUUUGCACAUGUCCAAACCACCGUAACCGAUUUUCUCUCAUCUUUCCUUCAAUUUCGGCUACUCCUACUUUACCCCGGAUAUCCUCAUUCCUAAUCUUAUCCUUUCUCGUGUGCCCACACAUCCAACGAAGCAUCCUCAUCUCCGCUACACCCAUUUUGUGUACGUGUUGAUGCUUCACCGCCCAACAUUCUGUGCCAUACAGCAUCGCCGGCCUUAUUGCCGUCCUAUAAAAUUUUUCCCUUGAGCUUCAGUGGCAUACGGCGGUCACACAACACGCCGGAUGCACUCUUCCACUUCAUCCAUCCAGCUUGUAUUCUAUGGUUGAGAUCUCCAUCUAAUUCUCCGUUCUUUUGCAAGAUAGAUCCUAGGUAACGAAAACGGUCGCUCUUUGGUAUUUCUUGAUCUCCGAUCCUCACCCCUAACUCGUUUUGGCCUCCAUUUGCACUGAACUUGCACUCCAUAUAUUCUGUCUUUGAUCGGCUUAGGCGAAGACCUUUAGAUUCCAACACUUCUCUCCAAAGGUUAAGCUUUGCAUUUACCCCUUCCUGAGUUUCAUCUAUCAACACUAUAUCGUCUGCGAAAAGCAUACACCAAGGAAUAUCAUCUUGAAUAUGUCCUGUUAACUCAUCCAUUACCAACGCAAAAAGGUAAGGACUUAAGGAUGAGCCUUGAUGUAAUCCUACAGUUAUGGGAAAGCUUUCGGUUUGUCCUUCAUGAGUUCUUACGGCAGUCUUUGCUCCUUCAUACAUAUCCUUUAUAGCUUGGAUAUAUGCUACUCGUACUCCUUUCUUCUCUAAAAUCCUCCAAAGAAUGUCUCUUGGGACCCUAUCAUACGCUUUUUCCAAAUCUAUAAAGACCAUGUGUAAAUCCUUUUUUCCCAUCUCUAUAUCUUUCCAUCAAUCUUCGUAAGAGAUAGAUUGCCUCCAUGGUUGAGCGCCCUGGCAUGAACCCGAAUUGGUUGUCCGAAACCCGUGUCUCUUGCCUCAAUCUAUGCUCAAUGACUCUCUCCCAGAGCUUCAUUGUAUGACUCAUUAGCUUAAUACCCCUAUAGUUCAUGCAAUUUUGUACGUCGCCCUUAUUCUUGUAGAUAGGCACCAAAGUGCUCGUUCGCCACUCAUUUGGCAUCUUCUUCGUUUUCAAAAUCCUAUUGAAAAGGUCAGUGAGCCAUGUUAUACCUGUCUCUCCCAAAACUUUCCACACUUCGAUUGGUAUAUCGUCUGGGCCUACUGCUUUUCUAUGCUUCAUCUUCUUCAAAGCUACAACCACUUCUUCCUUCCGGAUUCUACGAUAAAAAGAGUAGUUUCUACACUCUUCUGAGUUACUCAACUCCCCUAAAGAAGCACUCCAUUUCAUGUCCUUCAUUGAAAAAGAUUAUGAAAAUAACCUUUCCAUCUGUCUUUAACCGCGUUCUCUGUAGCAAGAACCUUUCCAUCCUCAUCCUUGAUGCACCUCACUUGGUUUAGGUCCCUUGUCUUCUUUUCCCUUGCUCUAGCUAGUUUAUAGAUAUCCAACUCUCCUUCUUUGGUAUCUAGUCGCUUAUACAUAUCGUCAUAAGCCGCUAACUUAGCUUCUCUCACAGCUUUCUUCGCCUCUUGCUUCGCUUUUCUAUACCUUUCACCAUUUUCAUCAGUCCUAUCCUUGUAUAAGGCUUUACAACAUUCCUUCUUAGCCUUCACCUUUGUUUGUACCUCCUCAUUCCACCACCAAGAUUCCUUUUGGUGUGGGGCAAAGCCCUUGGACUCUCCUAAUACCUCUUUUGCUACUUUUCGGAUACAACUAGCCAUGGAAUCCCACAUUUGGUUAGCUUCCCCCUCUCUAUCCCACACACACUGGGUGAUUACUUUCUCUUUGAAAAUGGACUUGUUUUUCUUCUUUUAGAUUCCACCAUCUAGUCCUUGGGCACUUCCAAGUCUUGUUCUUUUUUUUCUCACUCUUUUGAUAUGUACAUCCAUCACCAACAAGCGAUGUUGAUUAGCCACGCUCUCUCCUGGUAUAACUUUGCAAUCCUUACAAGUUAUACGAUCCCCUUUCCUCAUUAGAAGAAAAUCUAUUUGUGUUUUUGACGACCCACUCUUGUAGGUGAUCACAUGUUCUUCUCUCUUCUUAAAGAAGGUGUUGGCUAAGAAGAGAUCAUAUGCCAUUGCAAAAUCCAAGAUAGCUUCCCCAUCCUCGUUUCUCUCCCCAAAACCAUGGCCACCAUGAAAACCUCCAUAGUUGCCUGUCUCCCUGCCCACGUGUCCAUUUAAAUCUCCUUCCUAUAAAUAACUUCUCCGUCUGAGCAAUUCCUUGCACCAAGUCUCCAAGGUCUUCCCAAAAUUUCUCCUUCGAACUCGUAUCCAACCCUACUUGAGGUGCGUGCGUACGCACUAAUCACAUUGAUAAGUUCUUGUCCUAUUACAAUCUUGAUUGCCAUGAUUCUAUCUCCUACCCUCUUGACAUCUACAACAUCUUGUGUCAAGGUCUUGUCCACGAUGAUGCCAACACCGUUUCUCGUUCUAUUUGUGCCCGAAUACCAUAGUUUAAACCCUGAGUUUUCUAGAUCCUUUGCCUUACUACCAACCCACUUAGUUUCUUGUAGGCACAUAAUAUUUAUCCUUCUCCUCACCAUAACUUCUACUACUUCCAUAGAUUUUCCCGUUCAAGGUUCCUAUAUUCCACGUUCCUAAACGCAUUUUGCUCUCUUGAACUCUACCCUUCUGUCCUAGCUUCUUCACCCUUCCCCGUCUAAUAGGAUCAAAAUACUUCUUUUGUGUGUCCCGUGUAAAGUUGAUAGGAGCAUAUGCUCCUAAACAACUUUGAGUGGAGUCGUUCGAAAAGAAGUUUCUAUAGCCCCCUUGCUCAUUUAACACUGCAUCCGGGUGCCGAUGGAGAUACAGCGACCCUUGCUCACUUAUCACUGUGCUCGGGCCACACAGCGCGCCACUUACGGGUGACGCCCUAGCUUUAGCGCGAUUUCGUUCUGGAUUCAUUUUCAUAAGGAUUCGACGUAAUCAUGGAGUGCUGGCUGUCGACUACCUGACGCUCUCCCCCUCCUCCUUUAUCCGUCUCUCUCUCUGUGGCUUUCUUAUAACACAAAAAUAUCCCUAAUUAGAGCAUGCCACACACCAACACAUUGCUAUUAUAGAAGUAUUUUUCUUAGUGGCAAGUAUUAUACUCUCAUUUGGCCAAGAGGAUAUGAAAUUGGUUGAGUAUAUUGUUCUAGCCAUUUGGAUCAAUAAGCUCAAGUUUGUAUUGUACAAAACCAUAAGUACUCAGACAUAUGAAAUCCAAUCUUUCACUUUACAAACAACAUAUGGGUAAGAAAUAGAAAGCUUUAGAACACAAAUAUACCUGAAGUGCUGAAAUAUGAGCUGAGGAAAUGUUUUCUUCUUAUUUUGAGGGAAGAAAAAUGCAGCUCUGAAUUAGGACCCAUUUCUUAACCUGUGGUUCCUAUAACCCAUAAAUAAUUUUAGUGUCAUUCAAAAUCACAAAUACCCCAGAUGAAUUGAAAAACUGCAGAGAUUAGUUUCAUGAAUACAUAAUGAAGCAGAAAGCCAUAGUUAAUCUAAAAAGAGCGUUUAGUUAAUCUAAAAAGAGGCAUACACAUACUACCAAUCCUCCGAAUGUUCUCUGCACGAUGUUCUGCUUUAAAACUAAGGUCGUAAUUCAAGCCAUGCCUGACAUUGUCCCCAUCAAGAAUGUACAACAGCUUCUGCUGUAGUACAAACUCCCACUCAAAGCACAUGCCACCGUGCUCUUCCCUGCACAAACAAAAUAAAUUAUACGCAAGUAAUGAGCAACUUUCUUUCGGCACAUAGUCUAAGUUCAUACUUAACCUUUAGCAUCGUUCAAUCAUAUACUACCAGUAUGUUGACCAAGGUAUGAUUCUAAUUUACAUAUGUUCUUAUAAAAAAGUUUAUACACAUAAAUUUCAAUAUGUCUCCUUACAAUUUUUAAAGGGAUUAGUGAGGAUAAGAUUAGGGAUACGCUUUAGACAUCAACCCCUUCUUAAUCCUUCAAUUGUAAUCUAGUCCUUCAUAUUAAGCAUGGCCUAAAUGCUUAACAAUCAGGGAUAACUUGUAUGGAAAUGAACUGACAAUGAAGGUGGGUUUUUGUCUUUUGGGUGAUCUCAUGAUGCAAACAUAUACUGGAGGAUAGGUAGCUAAAGCUAUUUAUGCUUCGUUCACAUUUUAGUAUCUAUUUGUACAGUGCGAAGUUCUUACCCCAAAGUUUGCCUUAUAUGUGACAGCUUUCUCCAUGUAUGCGCCAUUGAAAGUUGAACCACUGAAAUCAGAUUCCCUCAUAUCCGCUCAUGUUAAAUUGGCUAGCUCUUCUGCAUCAGUCAGUUUACAUUGAUGUGAAAAUGCAGAUACUAAUGACAAAAUUAGUCUUCUUCUUUUCAAACCAAAUACAUUAGCUUUAGCAGGUCGUUCAUUAUGGAGGGUAGCAGACAAAUGCAACAAAGAAAAACAACAAUUUGCGGAAAGAAAGAAAUUAACAAAAUAAAAAAUUGGUUUUUUUUUCUCAUGUGAGGGACCAUACCAAUAUUUGAUUCAACCAAGGGUUUUUCUCUGAGCUAAAAGUUCGGACUUCCACUUUUCAACUGAGGAUGAAAUAACAGAGAAAACGCACAAAAUAAAAGGCCUAAUUCCAAAUUAUUUAAAGGAAAAUAAAAAAAUUAAUUUGAAUCAAACUGAAGAAAAAAGUUCAAAUUAAGAAAAUCCUAGUAAGUGGAAAAGGAUAUGGUGAGUGACUAUUUGCCUUGAAAACUCACAGUUUGGAAUGGAUCAUCAAUCAUCUCUGGAGUCAUCAAGUGGCAGCAUCAGCUUCACAUCCAACAACAGGAAGUAACUCUGUAUUCUUGUAUAAAAGAGUGCUCAUAUGGGUUAGCAAGAGUGGGGCAUUGAGUCUGCCAAUCGAAAACCUUAACCUCCCACUCCCUGUAAGCUGUAGGUACAACAUUCUCGGGAAGUUCUAUUGGGCACCCUUCCCUUGUGAAGUCUGCUCCAUGGCCAUCCCAUUCACCGGACACAUUCCUGGCAAAUUCGGACCAAACACAUAAAAGAGAGAUUGAAUUACAGCAGCACGUCAAAUAUAUUAACUUAUAGAUUCUAGACUUCAAAUAGUUAACAUAACAAAUACAAAUUCAACCAUCAUCUCUCUUAUCCAUUGCCUUUUCUACUAUAAAUGAAACCGGAUAUUAAAUAACCCAUGGUUUUAGAUUGGCAGAUUGCAAUUUCUUUGGAAAUUAGUCGUAAAAGUUAAUACAUUUCAUCACUCCAUUUCUGACUUAUCCUUUUAUCAACUGUUGUGCACCCUAAUCCAAAGAAUGGAAUUUUACCCGCCAAAUAUCAAACUGGAUAUCUAACAACUAGAAAUUUUCCAUUGGAUAUCUAAUAAAUUUCAAUUACUCAAUUUCUAUACAACCCCAAAUCCAAAUACCGUAUGUUGCUCCAAAUAUCAAUGCAAAGAUGCAAACCUUUUUUACGCUACAACAAGAACCAUACAAUUUUAAUAAAACCCACAAAAACCAAGUAAAUAAGCAGAUUUUUGGCAAAAGCACUUAAAAUACACUCACCAGAAGCAAAAGUGGAAAUGGGAUUGAAGCCUUUGCUGCGGUCCUCCUCCUGGAGCUGCAGCUUAACAUCUGACACAGCGCUGUUGGCAGAGGAAGAGGCAGCGCUCUGGACAAUCUGACCUCUCUGGCGGCAGUUGUGAGGCAGUUGGAAUCUAUAGGCCUCGGUUGAUGGAUCUCCCAUUUGGUCACACUGUUGUUAUAUCCAUUUUUGUUCUUCCUUGUCAAUCAGGAUCUGCACCCCUGAAAACCCACAAAGACAUUAGAAAUGGAACCCUCUGCAUUUCUUUUGAAAAUAGAAACACAGAGAUCAGACGAAUCAUUUUAAAUCAUAUGAUUCACAUUAGCUCAUUCUACUAACCUUCCUCGUACAAACCACGAGUUCAGAUCUCCCUUUCUUUAACUACCUGGCUAUCCAAGUUCUUGAAUUUCGAAAACAAAAAUCCGAAGAGGAUCUUGACUCCAAAUAGGGUAGCUUUUCUACCGUGCAGGUAGCUAGCCCUAAAAAUAAGGGAAACCCCACCCCACGCACAACAAAAGUACAAUGUCGCUCUAAAAUUGAUAUUAAAAUUAAGUAUGUUUUAACGAAAAAUUUGUGGUACUGUUUAUUUUAACGAAAAAUCAUAUUUUUAUACUAAAAAGUCAAAUCUGGGACUAUUUAUUUUACCCUUUAUUUUAUCUUUAUCGUUAAAACUCAAAGUUUUCAAACCCUUUUUAUUAAUUUUUCUCAAAAUUAACUAGUCCAUCAUUCCAAAAAUUGUUGUGACAAUGUUGCAUUUAAAAUUGUCUGACAAUAUAACAUUAUUCUGGACAAAACUUUUGUAUAAAUUAUUAGUUCAAACAAAAGACGUUAUAUAGCUUCUUCCAAUUUUAGGUAUAUAUAGUCCAUUGCUGAAAAUUCUACCAUGCUCAUCAUAAUUCUUGACAAUCAACCAGGCAAUUGGGUUAAAUUGUCCUUGACCAAAAAAAUGAUGGUCCAUCAAUGCCAAAUUGGGCCGGCAAUUAGUUUCCCAAAAUAAAAAAAAAUUGGGCAGGCAAAGGUAGUUGAACUACCCUUUCAGCCUAUUGGCAAUGAGUAACGAUGGGCCUAAUGUCAAGUAGGAGAGGCUGGACAACUGAUUGUUUCCCAUAGCUUCUGUGAUCCAAACAAUGCUUUGAAUUGGAUGCACCAUCUUUCGUAAUUUUCUUUCUUCAAUGUGGGAACCUGGAGCUGCACUAAGUUGGACGCCAUAACUGCUACACUUGCCAGAAUGGUAUUCUGGCUCUGAUACCAAUUGUUGGUAUUCACAAGAGUUUACUAACUCAAUACCAAAAUAUGUGGGUGAUAAGUUUACAAACUAUAUCACACCUCUCACUUGCACUCUCAAUAAUAUUGGACAAAGAAAUAGAGAAAGGAGGGAAGCUACAAGCUUUGGCAAACAAUGCACUUUGAUAUAUUUAAAAAAGUUUGCAAACACACUUCUUAAAUGGAAUGACAAAUCAGAGAGAUAUAUAUUCUAAAGCCUUACGUGAGGCUUAUUUAUACAAGCAGAAAAGAAGGACCACUCAAGUGCUUUUAAUAAAAUAAACACAACAGCACACACAAACAAAUCAUAUGAACUUUGGACAAUCUAGCACACAUAUGCAGCUAUCUUUCCAGCUUGCAAUCAACACACUUUCGGCUAGCAUAUCACAUGGCAGCACACUGCUGUCUUGUAAUCUGCUUUCGGCUAACAGAUGGAGGAGCAAUGAUGUUUAUAUUUGCUGGAUACAACCUGGAAAGAAAAGCUAGCAUCACAUGGACAUAUAGUUAGACAUCACAUGGCUUUUAAUUUAAAUUUCCAACAUGCCCCCUCAAAUUAAAACGCCUUCAUGCCUAGCAUUUCACGUAGUAGUCGGAAUGAUUCAACUGGUAGUGGCUUAGUGAAGAUGUCUGCCACUUGUUCCUUCGUGUGACAAUAGACAAGCUCAAUUGUCUUUUGCUUCACAUGGUCCCUUAGAAAAUGGAACCUGGUAUCAAUGUGCUUGCUCCUUCCAUGUUGAACAGGAUUCUUUGCAAGCUUGAUUGCAGACAUGUUAUCCACAUGAAUCACAGUCGAUUCCACUUGUGGAUGACACACUGACUUCAAUAGAUUUCUUAACCAAAUUGCCUCACACACUGUUGAGGCUACAACAACAUACUCGGCUUCACAUGAUGACAAAGCAACAAUUGAUUGCUUCUUUGAAGUCCAUGAGAAAGUUGUUGAUCCUAGAAAAACACAUAGCCAGUUGUGUUUUUCCUUUCAUCUUGAUCACCUCCCCAAUCACUAUCUGAAUAACCAAAUAAUUUUGCAUCUUCACCAAAAUUAUAAAACAGACCAUAGUUUAGAGUACCUCUUAUGUACCUCAAAAUUCUCUUGGCGGCCAGCCAAUGAGACUCCCUUGGUGUUUCCAUGUAUCCACUCACGAGUCCAACACCAUAAACUAUAUCAGGUCUUGCGAUUGUAAGGUAUCUUAGGCUUCCAACCAAGCUUUUGUACACGGUCGAGUUUACAAACUCACCUUCUCCUUCCUUGGACAGCUUCAAGCCAGUUGCAACUGGAGUGUUGACAAUAUUGCACUUGUCCAUAUUGAAUUUCUCCAAUAUAUCUCUCAUGUACUUUUGUUGAGAGAUGUAGAUACCGUCACUUUCUUGCUUCACCUCUAUGCCAAGAAAGUAUGACAUUAACCCAUUGUCAGUCAUCUCGAAUUCACUGAACAUGGAUUGCUUGAACUCACAGAACAUUGCUUCAUUGUUCCCUGUAAACAACAAGUCAUCUACAUAGAGACAAAUAAUUAAGAACUCCCAUUUUUCACCGUUCUUCAUGUAAACUGAAUGCUCGUAUGGACAUUUCUGAAAUCCAUUUUGGUGAAGGUAGUUAUCAAUCCUUGAGUUCCAAGCUCGUGGUGCUUGCUUGAGGCCAUACAAAGCCUUCUUCAAACGAUACACCUUAUCUUCUUCUCCUUGUACUUGGAAGCCUUCCAGUUGUUCCACACACACCUCUUCCUCAAGAACUCCAUUAAGGAAGGCUGACUUGACAUCUAGUUGAUAAAUUUUCCAUUUAUGAUGAGCAACAAGAGAGAUUAGCAAUCUUACCGUGUCAAGUCUUGCAACUGGAGCAUAGACUUCAUCAUAGUCAACUCCAUACUUCUGUUUGUAGCCCUUUGCUACAAGCCUUGAUUUGUACCGAUCCACACUCCCAUCUGCAGUGCGUUUGAUCUUGUACACCCACUUGACACCAAUAGCCUUCUGAUUUGGUGGGAGCUUUGUCAACUCCCAAGUGUCAUUCUUCUCGAUGGCAUGGAUUUCUUCCUCUAUGGCUAUUCUCCAACGAUCUUCUUCCAUAGCUUCAUUGAAUGAGAGAGGCUCGUGGUCUACAUACAAGCAGAAAAAGUUGGUUUCUUAUUCUUCUUCUUGUCCAUAUAUCUCAGUGAGACUUCUUAGCCUUACUGGAGUUGAGGAGCUGCUUUCUUCACUGGAUGUAGGACCACUCUUUGCAGUUCUGUGCAAUGGAGUUGUUGUGUUUGUUUGAGCAGGCUGUUGCUCAACAGGUAGUACAACUUCUGGUUCUUCAAAAUCAGUGGAGACGAUCUUUUCUUUACUGACUUCUUUGUUGUUCCACUUCCAUGCCUCUUCCUCACUGAAGAUGACAUCUCUACUAACCACUAGUUUGCCAGUUAGUGGGUUGUAGAGCUUAUAUGCCUUGGACUCUUCACUAUAGCCCACAAAAACACACUUCUCACCUCGAUCAUCGAGCUUUCUCAUCUUGGCUUCUGGAACUUAAGCAUAUGCAACACACCCAAAAACUCUUAGGUGUGCAACAUUCGGCUUGUAUCCACUCCAAGCCUCUUGUGGUGUCAUCCUCUUGACACUCUUUGUUGGACAUCGAUUAACAAAUAAAUCGAACAAGCUACAACUUCUGCCCACAAUUCUUUUGGAAAAUUCUUCUCCUUAAGCAUGGACCUUGUCAUGUCAAGGAUGGUUCGAUUCUUUCUUUCGGCUAUCCCAUUUUGUUGUGGGGUAUAGGCAGCAGUCAGUUGAUGCCUAAUUCCUUGCUCCUUGCAGUAUGCUUGGAAAGCAUUGGAGGUGUACUCUCCACCUCUAUCUGAUCUCACAGCCACAAGCUUGUGGUUGCUUUCAGCCUCUGUGAGUGCCUUGAACUCCUUGAAGAUUCUUAGGGCAUCCGACUUCUCCUUGAGAAAAUAAACCCAAGUUUUCCUACUAAAAUCAUCAAUGAAAGUAAUAAAAUACCUAUUACCUCCAUAAGACAUGGGAUACAAUGGACCACAUAUAUCUGUGUGCACCAACUGCAGUGGUGCCUUUGCUCUCCAUGUAUCACCAACAGGGAACGAUAGUCGUGCUUGCUUGCCAAGCACACAACCUUCACAUACUUGGUGUGUGGCUUCAAUCUGGGGUAGACCACGAACCAUUCCUCCACUUGACAGCAACUUUAGGCCAUUGAAAUGAAGAUGGCCAAAUCGAAGAUGCCAUUUCCAUGACUCAUCUUCCAUUACAUCGAUGUUGCAACUCCCAAUCUUUGUGUUCAACUUCAACGAGAACAUUCGGUUCUUUGACAUUUGAACACGUGCAAUAAGUUUUCUCCUUGCAUUCCUGAGAGUGAGAAACAUAUCCUCCAUAUGUAUAACAUACCAUUUCUGGAGCAGUUAACCAAUGCUCAUAAUGUUGCUCUUCAUACCUGGUAUGUAGUAGGUAUCGGAGAUGUAUUCUUCUCUACCAUCCUUCUGGAUGAUUUUGAUCUUUCCUUUGCCUUCAACUGGCAACUUUGAGGAGUCACCAAGACUCACAGAUCCAUAAUGCCCAUCUUUGAGUUCGGCAAAAAACUCUUUCUUUCCACACAUGUGGUUACUUGCACCAGAGUCCAAAUACCAAACAUCUUGUUGGCUACUGAUAUCAUGGUGUGCUAGUAAGACUGUAAAUUCUUCACCAGCAUUUCCACUUGAUUCUGCCAUGUUGACAUGCUCACCAAUGUUAUAUGAACAUUCAUUGGCAUAAUGUCCAUAUUGCUUGCAACUGUGACACUGGAUAUGCGCCUUUCCUCGAGUUGAUCUCCACUCUUGAGAUUGACCUCGGUUUUGUGCAUAGCCUCGACCUCUUCCUCGGGCUCGUCCUCGGCUACGGUUGGAUGAACUCCCACGACGUGAGUUCCACUGCCCACGACCUCCAUUUGGUUUGUCAAUAUUCAACUUUGACUCCAAAGCUUGCUCUAGCAUUGUAGGGCUUGCAUUCUUUUAAAUGCGUUGCUCAUGAACUAGGAGGGAUCCUAGUAGCUCCUCUGUGCUCAUCGCCUCCAAAUCCUUGGAUUCCUCAAUGGCAGUCACCACAUGCUCAAACUUAGAUGUGAGUGAUCGGAGUAUCUUCUCCACAACUCGUACUUCAUCGAGUCUCUCGCCAUUUCUCCUCAUCUGAUUUACUAUCACAAUGAGCCUUGAGUGAUAGUCGGAGAUGCUCUCCCCUUCAUUCAUGUGAGCAGUUUCAAAAUCUGCUCGAAGUGACUGUAACCUCACUUUCUUGACUCGAUCUACUCCUUUGUAGAUUGUACUGAGUGUGUCCCAUACUUGCUUGCUCGUUGUUGCUUCUGCAACCUUCUCGAACGUUGAAUCUUCCAGACCCUGGUAUAGAAAAUACAGCGCCUUCUGGUCCUUAUUUCGUAAGUCCUUGAGAAUGUUCCUUUGGUCUGCAGUAUAUGCGGCUUCUUGCUCGGCAGUGGGUACAACAUACCCACUACUAACUAUUUCCCAUAGCUCCUGUGAUCCAAACAAUGCUUUGAAUUGGAUGCACCAUCUUUCGUAAUUUUCUUUCUUCAAUGUGGGAACCUGGAGCUGCACUAAGUUGGACGCCAUAACUGCUGCACUUGCCAGAAUGGUAUUCUGGCUCUGAUACCAAUUGUUGGUAUUCACAAGAGUUUACUAACUCAAUACCAAAAUAUGUGGGUGAUAAGUUUACAAACUAUAUCACACCUCUCACUUGCACUCUCAAUAAUAUUGGACAAAGAAAUAGAGAAAGGAGGGAAGCUACAAGCUUUGGCAAACAAUGCACUUUGAUAUAUUUAAAAAAGUUUGCAAACACACUUCUUAAAUGGAAUGACAAAUCAGAGAGAUAUAUAUUCUAAAGCCUUACGUGAGGCUUAUUUAUACAAGCAGAAAAGAAGGACCACUCAAGUGCUUUUAAUAAAAUAAACACAACAGCACACACAAACAAAUCAUAUGAACUUUGGACAAUCUAGCACACAUAUGCAGCUAUCUUUCCAGCUUGCAAUCAACACACUUUCGGCUAGCAUAUCACAUGGCAGCACACUGCUGUCUUGUAAUCUGCUUUCGGCUAACAGAUGGAGGAGCAAUGAUGUUUAUAUUUGCUGGAUACAACCUGGAAAGAAAAGCUAGCAUCACAUGGAAAGAUAGUUAGACAUCACAUGGCUUUUAAUUUGAAUUUCCAACAAUAGCUCCCUCGCCCUUGUAGUGCUACUUUUAGCAAUUAUAGACUUUGGAUGAUGUAUACUGAAAUGAGCACAUUAAACAGCUUAAAAUAAUGACAAACAAGUCCUUUAAGAAUGCAUACCCGCUCUUACCAGAGAUAUUAAGACAGAACAAUUUCAUUUUUCCACGAUCAUUCUACCAUUGGCCUCACAGACCAAGGAAAGUCGAACGAAAAUUUUGAAACCAAGUCGCUAAAGAACACUAAAGUAAAACUUUAACCCUAUAACAAACUGCAGGGGACAUUUUGAUUAACAUAGCAAUCUAAUCAAACCAAGUAGUUAACUACUGCAGCUCUUUGAGCAUCUUUCUUCUUUGUUCAAGCAUUUCCGAUACGCUGACAUCAAAUAGACAUCAAGCAUGGCCUGAAUGUCAUUAAAUACCUAAAACCAUCAUUACCCCUCAAGCUCCUUUAAGUUUCUCAACUAAUCGUAGAUUCGCUUGUAUAUUCACUAGGUUUCCCAAGUCCAACAUUGAUUAAAACCAGAAGUACAUCAACCUUCAUGCAGUUCAACAAUUUUCAUUGCACCACAUGUCAUUAUCUAUAAGUAAUAUUAUCUUAGAUUUUUGUUCAAGUGUGAACUUUGAAAGUUUUAUUAGAUAUUUUUUGUUGCAAGUUUUUUCUAAUUUUUUUGGAUUUUUUAACGUCUGAUGUGAGAAAAUAUUGGGUUCCAUGUAUUUGUUUUUCCAUUUAGGAUGAUUGCCAAAAUGAAUUAUGGAUGAUAAUGCUAUUUCGAGUCAGCUUCUGGACUCAAGGUGCUUUAAUGGUCUUGGUCCUUGGCGUUCACCGAAAGUGCCAAACAGUUCCCAGUAGUGAAGUCGUCUAAAAAAACAAUCCAAAGUGGUUAUCAUAUUUGAAUUUUCAAUAAAAAGAAACUGUGGUGGAGGUUCAUCCUAUGAUCCUAAAGGUGCUUUAAUGAUCUUGGUCCUUGGUGUUCACUGAAAGUGCCCAACAAUAGUUCCCAGUAGUGGAAGAAAUGGAACUCACUAUGAUGCUAUUCUUGGACUUUUUCCAGAUAGUCUAAAAAACCAGUCAAAGUGGUUAUCAUUUACUUGGACUUUUUCCUUCCCAUAUUUGAAUUUUCAAGAACCAGAAACCGUGAUGUAAGUUCCUCCUAUGAUGCUAUUCUUCUAUAAAUUGUCUUCCCAUGCAACAAAUGGAACUCACCACUUUCACAACUCAACACCUAUCUCUCUGUCUUUUUGCUUCUCUCUCUAGUUAUUUUGUUAAUCAGAUCAGAAAUGGGGGUUUUGGUUGUGAAAUUGAUCUUAACAUGCUUUUCAGUGCAGUGUUCGUUUGCUGUUGGAGCUCCCUGCGAUCGGGACUCAGAGGGAAUGUGACGGAUAGGCUGGCGCUGCUAGCCAUCAAAGCUCAAAUAAAGCAAGAUCUCCAUAAUUACAAUGUGAUGAGCUCCUGGAACGAAUCCACGCACUUCUGCAUGUGGCAUGGUGUGACGUGCAAUCGACGACAUCGCCAAAGGGUCACUAAGCUGGACCUGCAAUCUCAAAAUCUGGUAGGGAAACUAUCCCCAAACGUAGGAAAUCUAAGUUUUCUAAAGGAGUUGUGGCUGCGAAAUAACAGCUUCAGUCAUGAAAUUCCUCCACAAAUUGGGAAUUUGGGUAGGUUGCAGGUAUUGCGAUUAGACAUUAACUCGUUUAGUAGCAGUAUUCCACACAAUAUAUCAUAUUGCUUCAACCUUAUCGUUGUGAAUUUCACUCGCAACAAGUUGGUGGGUAAAAUUCCUUCAGAAAUUGGAUUGCUGUCGAAGCUUCAAAAUUUUAUAUUAGAAGAUAAUAAUAUAACGGGACAGGUCCCUCCUUCCUUGGGGAACCUUUCGUCUCUCCGGGCACUAAUUCUCGUUAGUAAUAACUUGAUGGGAAACAUCCCCAGUUCUCUUGGCCAAUUGAAAAAAUUAACCUUCUUGAGAUUGGGGUUAAAUCAGUUGUCUGGUAGCAUCCCUUCCUCCAUUUAUAACCUCUCUUCUCUUGUUACAUUUUCCAUGACAAAUAACCAAAUUCAAGGGAGUAUUCCAUCAGAUAUUGGCAAAAGUCUUCUUAAUCUCGAAAUAUUCAACUUCGGCAUCAACCAACUUACUGGGUCCAUACCUCCCUCAAUAAUCAACGUCACAAGUGUUUGGUUUUUUGACGUUGGGAGUAGCAACCUAAUCGGACGGGUACCGAAUCUCCAAAAGCUUCACAACCUCCAGGUUUUCAACAUUCAAUAUAAUAAUAUUGGAAGCGGUAAAGAUGGUGACUUAAGUUUUCUCUCGGACUUGACCAAUGCCACCCGGUUACAAUUUUUGAUUAUUAACACCAACAAUUUUGGAGGGACAUUGCCCAUGUCAAUAUCCAAUCUCUCAACCAAACUUGAAAUUUUUGCAGUUGACACUAACCAAAUAUAUGGAAGCAUCCCAUCUGGGAUAGGGAAUCUGGUGAGCUUGGAAUGGUUGUCUUUGGGGAAUAAUAGCUUCACAGGAAACAUCCCCUCUGACAUGGGUAAGCUUUCAAACCUUGGAUUAUUAAAGAUUUACAAGACCAAAUUAUCAGGAAAUAUUCCGUCUUCCUUCAGAAAUUAACCAAGUUAUACCAUCUUUCGUUGGUUGGAAAUUAUCUUGAGGGCAGCAUUCCUUCAGGUCUGGGGGAAUGCCAUGGGUUGCAAUUGUUGUAUCUUUCUUAUAACCUCCUAAAUGGCACAAUACCCAAACAAGUUUUUAGACUCUCCUCCUUAACGAUUUCUUUGGACUUGUCUAAUAACCUCUUCACAGGUUCCCUUCCCCCGGAGGUUGGGAAUUUCCAUAGUCUAAGUGAACUGGAUCUUUCUGAUAACAUGUUAUCUGGAGAACUUCCCAGUAGCCUUGGUGGUUGUGAGAGUUUAGAAGUCCUGCAUUUGCAAGGAAACUUCUUCAACGGGUCCAUUCCUUUGUCUAUGAGUUCAGUGAGAGGGAUUCGAGAUAUAGACCUUUCUCGCAAUAAUUUUUCAGGGGAAAUUCCACAUUUUUUAGAAGGCUUUAGAAUCCUGAAUAUUCUGAACUUAUCAUUCAAUCAAUUUUGGGGAGUGGUACCAACUGGAGGUGUUUUCAAAAAUGCGAGUGCUAUUUCAGUCAUUGGCAACACAAAUUUGUGCAGUCUUGUUGCUAAUUUAAAGCUUCCCAAGUGCAAGUCUAAAGAGACCAAGAAACGAAGAUUGUCUCGUAGCUUGAAACUAAUACUCCCUUUAGUAUUUGGGCUUACUCUUCUAGGAAUAGCCAUGGUGUUCUCCUAUUUCUUUCUUUGUUCAUCAAGGAAGAAAAGGAAAGAAAUUUCAUUGAGCACUUUGGGGGACACUAUUUUGCAAGUGUCAUAUGCUACUCUACUCAAAGCUACUGAUGGGUUCUCAGAGGCUAAUUUAAUUGGUGUUGGUAGUUUUGGGUCUGUGUACAAGGGAGUCUUGAUGAUGAUGAUAAAGCUCAACUUGUUGCCGUGAAGGUGUUUAACUUGUUACGCCUUGGAGCUUCGAAGAGUUUCAUAGCCGAAUGUGAAGCUUUGAGAAAUAUUAGGCAUCGAAAUCUCGUCAAGAUUAUAAUUGUCUGUUCAAGUGUUGAUUUUAAUGGUAAUGAUGUCAAGGCUCUAGUUUAUGAGUUCGUGGACAACGGGAGCUUAGAGGAGUGGCUGCAUCCACCUACUGGAACUGAAGAGUUAGGAGAUCAUGUACCCAAGAAUUUAAGUCUUCUUCAGAGGCUAGAAAUUGCCAUUGGUGUUGCUUGUGCACUAGAUUAUCUUCAUAAUCAUUGUGAAACGCCAAUAGUUCAUUGUGAUCUCAAACCAAGCAACGUUCUCUUAGACAAAGAAUUGACUGGCCAUGUUUCUGACUUUGGAUUAGCAAGGUUUCUCUCAUAAGUAACAAGUAAUGUUUCAGCAAUCCAGAGUCAGACAAGUUCUAUUGGAAUAAGAGGAAUGGUUGGUUAUCCAGCUCCGGGUAUAUAUAUGUUAGAUAUAUACUUCAUUAUUUUUCCUUUCUUAUUUUGGAGUAUUGAAUUUACAAAAUUCAAACUGAUUUAUUUAUACAGAUAUGUGAUGUUUGAAUUGUAGAGUAUGGCAUGGGGAGUGAGGUGUCAAGGAAUGGGGAUGUCUACAGCUUUGGUAUUCUCUUGUUAGAGAUGUUUACAGGGAAGAGACCCACUGACAACAUUUUUGGUGAUAGCUUGAACCUUCAUAAUUUUGUCAAGAUGGCUCUCCUCGGGCGAGUUACGGAGAUUGCAGAUGCACCACUUCUUCAAGGAGGCACAAACGAGAAUUCCAAUCAAUGCAGUGCAAGAAUUCAUAAAGUUGAGGUGUGCUUGAGUUCAAUAUUUAGAAUUGGAAUUGCUUGUUCUGCUGAAUCCACAACAGAUCGACUAAAGAAUAUCAAUGAUGCUGCAUCUGAACUUCAUUCCAUUAGGAAUACUUUUCUUGGAUAGAAACUCUUUUUUAUGUGCUUUUGUGAUAAAGAAAUUUCGUGCUCGUGAAGUCUAGCUUUUAUGUUACUGCAAUAGAUGUGGAAGUUUGCAAUGUAAAUAAUCACCAAAGAGGUUCAUUGUGUGAAGAGUGUAUUACUACUUCUUGUACUUGGUAUUUUUGUGUAAUAUUCACAUCGAUUAAAAUCUAGUUCGUGCCACAAAAUUGUUGAAAAUUCACAUUGACAAAUUCCAAAUUUUUUGAAGAUUCAUAACCUCUAGACCCUCAAGAUUCAAUAAAAUCAACUUGGAAGCUGUAAAGAUAGUGAUUGGAGUUUCCUAUUAGACUUGACCAACAAAAUUGUUGGUUAUGAAGGUGUUUAACAUGUUACGUCACGGAGCAUCAAAGAGUUUCAUAGCCGAAUACGAGGCUUUGAGAAAUAUCAAGCAUCAAAAUCUCUUCAAGGUCAUAUCUGCAUGUUUUCUCGAUGAUGAUUUCAAGGCUCUAGUUUAUGAGUUGAUGCACCAAAGGAGCUUAGAGGAGUGGUUGCAUCCCCCUCCUGUAAUUAAAAUCUUCUUCAAGGGCUAGAUAUUGUUAUUGGUGUUGCUAUUAUGCACUGGAUUAUUUCAUAACCAUAGCGAAACACCCAUAGUUCAUUGUGAUCUAAAGCCAAGCAAUGUUCUUCUAAACACCAAGUUGACAGUGGACUAAUCUCAGACUAUUACUUAUAUGAACUCCUCCAUAUAAGUGGAGAGAAUUUGGUUCAAGUUGGUUGAUAUGGUUAAUAGGGUUUGCAAAUGGCCAUUUUUUGUAGUACUUUAACCCCAACUUUAAAGCCCAUGGGCUGUGACAAAUCAAGGUUUUCUAGCAUUGUUGUUAUCAAUAUUCUCCUAUGUGCAUUCUAAAUUCUAAUCCAAUGGUUUUAGCAGUCGUUCUACCAAUCUUGACAAUGAAAGAGUUUUUAUUUUAUUUUUUCGAACAAAUGAUAUUAUCUACACUAAGGGGAAGGGGAUAGGCUUAGCCUCGUAAUGAGCUAACAAUAAUGUGGUUCAAUUUCGUAUUUGACGAUAAUCGAACUUAAAACAUAUCACUUACAAGUGAAGAGAAUAUCACUGGAUCGUAGUACUAAGUAGCAUGAAAGAGUUUCUAUUAAACCAACAAAAAUGAAAAUUCUCAACCGUUCAUAAAUGGAUUUGAAUUUAGAUUUAUUACAAUUGAUAGAUUUUUUUUUUUUGGGUAAUCAAUAGGAUACUAACAAAUUUGUUUUUAGAACAUACGUCACAAUAAUGUGACUUGUAGCUGUGUCACUGGCCUUUUAACUUAUUGCCCUAUCUUUAACACACUUCAAUUAAUAUCAUCCACUAAUUGUUAGUAUUUAAUGAAUCUCAUCAUAAAUUGUUACCCAAAAUAUUACUUAUCAAAGCAAAUAAACUUGAUUGAGUUAUAAAUUUAUUGGCAUGGUUAGGAGAAAAAUCAAUUUUGUUCAUAAUUUUCAUGUUUUCCAAGUGAACAUGGGCUAUAAGUGAAGUUCCAAAAGAUACGGUGGUGUAAUUUGGUCCAUGAAUUGUUUCCUCCAAUUUGCAUGCAUGCGGUAGGUGACUAACUCCCAAAUAAUUCUCGUUACCAAGCAAAUUAAAUACCAUUAACUAAGAGCUUAAAAACUCCUGAAUUAUUACCCCUCUAUUUUGCUUUUGCAAUUAGGAAUUUUUCCCCAUUUGCAUAAAAUAUGAUAAGAAUAUUUUUGCUCUCCACACUCAAAUGAUGGUGAUGCUCACUACUUUAUUUAUCACCGUUAUAUGAGUUUAAUACUUUGGAUAGACACAAAUCUCAAAAUUUAAACUCAUACAACGGUAAUAAAUAAGGUAGUAAGCAUUACCACCCCUUGAGGGUGAUGACUAAAAAUCACCCCAAUAAUAUAAGUAGUUAAGUUGGUGUGGUUGUUGGUCUUUAGCAAGCUUCUUAUAUAAAAGAAGAAUCUGGGUACUUUGGCCGUUUUGCAGAAGAAAAAGAAAGGGGCAUUUGAUGUUUGGACAUACAUAGUGAUGGUGCUAGCUACCUGCUUCUUGGUGUUUUUUAAAAGAAAAUAAGAAAAAAAUGAGAAACGGCUAACUUGCACCCUUUGGAUAUUAUGAUGCCAUUUUGCUUGGUUGAGAAACUUGUGGCUUUUCUAAUGGAGAUUGCGUAAAGGUGCAAACAAUUUGUUAGUGGUUGUGCAAAAUAGGUUUCAUAGUAGAAAAAAUGCCCGCGCUCCGCCGCGGGUUUUGAAAUCGUAAACCACAAUUUAACAUACCCAUUUCUAAAUUAUUCAGAAAUCAAUCGGAGAAAACUUCAAAAUAGAAGAAAAAUGAGUUUUCAAUCAAAGAAAACUUCAAUUUCAUGCAAGCUUUUUUGUUCUAAUUUCAGGGCUUAACAAUGCAAGAUUGGAAUUUCCAAUUGGUUCAAGGAAGUAAGAUAAACCAAUAUGCAAAAUGAACUAAAAAAAUAGAAUCUAAUCCAAUUUGAUUUGCCGUUCAGGUUCAAAAAGACAAAACGAAGAAUAUUUGUAAGCAGCCAAACAUCAGUUAAAACUAAUCAAUUAAAGGCAAUAAAACUAAAGCAUUUCAUUGAAGACAUAGAUAACAUAUUUGGUUCUUUGUACCUAAAAUGGAAAACAUUUGCUUUCCUAUAUGCUCUACAGUUUGCGAAAGUGCUGGAAAUUUACAAAAUAUAAAGAGACAAUCUCAAAAUAAAACACAGUUGAAGGAAAAGUAAUAAGAAAAGAAUAGUGUUUUUUACCUAUGAUCCAUGUGAGGAGUAGAAUUUCCAGUCACAAUUGACAACCCAAGAGCUCUGUAAAUCAAAUAUAUAGGAAAGGAUCUAUAAAAAGUGAAUUACAGUUUCUCAAAUCAGAAAGUAACAUUUAUUGGAAAAGAUUCAGACUCAUUUUGGAUAUAGAUAAACAAUGGCAUAUUAAAAACCAAAAUGAUAAGGCAUUCAACUUCAACAUUCAACAUUCAUGUAAAAAAAUAAAAAAGAUAUACAUGUUACCAUCAAUGUUUUGGUAACAAAUUCCCAAAUUGCUCUAUCUACCAAACAUUUUCAGAUAUAUAGUUACAGAUGUUCACUUUUAUGAUAUUCAACGAAAUACCCACAUUAUUGGCAAAACGACAUGGUAUAGAUCUUUUGAGCACCCGAGCCAAUGACAAUAACAUUGAAGGCAACUACAGAAAUUGUACAUUAUAUAAAGAGACAAUCUCAUAAUCAAAAUUGUCAAAAUCAAUAUUUUAUGGCUACAUUUUUUCAUCAGUCGCUCAAUAUACACAAAACACAGAAUCACAUACUCGACAAAAAUUCAAACCCAUAAAUCCGAAAUUAGCAAUGUUAUUUCUUACCCCCCAAAAACAAUCCAAAUCUUAGUGGUUACAUUCAUUAGUCAAGCACUCAACCACUCAAGCACAUCGACUACAACUUGGGAAUGUUAUGCAAAUCUUAGGCAGCUUGAAUAAUUAAAAUUGAGUUGGAAGAAGCUCCGUUACCUGCUCUGCUAGUUGAGGAGUGUCACCAAAUUCGGCACUAUCAUCAGCAUCAACACAUUUCACACACUCCCGCUUCCAGAACAUUUCACAAAAUCGAAAACCAAAUGAGAUUAUGUAGCAGAAACGAUUGACGGAAAAAUAGAUUAAGAAAAGCAAUUAAUAUUAAACAUAGAGGAUGAAUGAUGUUGUCCAAUAAAAAAGACAGCUGUAUAUAUUUCUUGACCAUGAGAAAACAUCAAAUUAAUAGAGGCAUUAAUCCUAAGUUUGCCUGUUCGCUCCCUAAAUUCGCCAUGGGCCUCGCGGGCAUGUCGGGAAUUUAUUCAAACACGAAAUUGGUGGGGUGCGGGCGUGCCACUACUAGAUGCCGCUAGUAGACGGAUUUUGAAUGAUUGAGGUUGCACCUGAGUUCGACUUCUGACCACGAGAUUGUGUCAUUGAGUGGGAGUGACUCAAAUCAAGGUUCUUUGUUUCCCUUAAAAAUAAGGACUUUACUUAUAUGGAGAGGUAGAACAAUAUGUAAAUGACAAAGGAAAACGAAUGACUAAUAUUGUAGAUUGCUUGUAAAUUAAAUGACUGAAGAUAAGUUGUACAUGAAAACUACAAAGGAGAUCGAUACUACAAGUGAGCAGCAGAGCUAAUAAACUAGAUAAAAGAAGGCUUUUGAUUAAGGUUGAUCCUGAAAAAGAUGAAGGCAUGGUGCUGACUACAGCUUCAUAUGCAAAUCUGACUUGAGCAGAGUUUGUGUAUUUGUUUGAUUGAGUGUCCAUAAUCCUUGUGCAUCUGCCCCUUUAAAUGGAGAUCUGAAAAGAGACACAUGCUGAGAACCUUGUACUUGCCCGAAAGAAACUUGGGCAGCUUGCAUUGCUUUUGCCAACUUGCAUAUAGAAAUAAUAUUUAAAAGGGAAACUUACAUCUUCACCACAUGUUUUUAGCACAUGUCUCCCCAACUUGUAAUAAGUUGGCUUCUUUCACAUGUUCUCUGCAGGAUGUAUGUAUGCUUUCCAAUCCAUUUGUAAUGGGAAAGCAUGCAAUUGUUGACUUGGCAAAUCUCCACCACCCAAACAAAUUGGAGAAACAAUAUUAUAGUGUAAAAACUCAUCCACUUGCAGCCAAAUAUCUUUCUAAGUUAGCUUUGUUGCAUAUUAAUCCUUCAAAUACCAUAUUUUAUCCCAAUGGCCCAAGUAAAUUGGGCACAUUUUAAGUGCAAACAGAAGCCCCCCAAGUUUUAUAAAUUUGAGCAAAGUUUGUGAAACUUACGACUCCAAUAAGCUCUUCUCGAAAUGGAGGAUAUAGCAGGCAUAAGAGAAUUGAGCAUGAAGAACACUGAUCUCAAAGGGCAAUUGUUUGGGUUAAAACUUGAACUCCUCUAGACGAACAUCAACUUUGUUUGCUCUCCAGUGUUGCCAGGAAUGUCAUUGAAGGAAGAGGCACGUCUACCCCUUCGGUCCUUUUGUCGUUGAUAAACUUGGCAAGAUGAGCAAGGCAAUUGGUAGUACAACUAGCAUUGGAAAGAAUGUUGUAUGACUUGUGCUCCUUCUUGUUGAUACCAAAACAACAUGGAAGCAUCCUCAUUGGUUACAGAGAUAGUAAACUGGAAAAAUGCCCGAAGUCGGGCAAACUGGAAAACACAGAAAAAGAUAGAGAAGAGAGAAACUUGGGCAACUUUUCUUUUUAUUGUUCUUUUUCUUUUUUGCCUCUUUUCAUAUAAUAUAUAAUAUAACUUUCAUAUAUAUAUAUAUAUAAAAACCCAAAGCCCUUUCAGGCAACCCAAAACAGAAAGAGACAGGAAGAAAGAGAAAGGAAGGAAAAGAAAAAAGAAAGAAGAAAGAAGAAGGAAAAGGAAAGAUAGACGACAGCCACUUUGGGUGACUUUUCUUCCCUCUAUAUAUAAUAUAAUAUAAAGACAUAUAAUAUAUAUAUAUAUAUAUAUAUAUAUAUAUAUAUAUAUAUAUAGAAACCUUUGGGCAAAAUGGAAGAAAGAGAGAGAGGGAGAAAGAGAAAGAAAAAGAGAAAGAGGGUGUCCUUUCGGGCAAGAAAGGGACAGAAGAGAUAAGAGGGAAAGAAAAAAUAAAGAGGAAGAGGGAGAAGGAUAUAAAAAAAACGAAAUGGAAAUCAAACAGGUCAGCACUGGAAAUGGCUGCAGGGCUAGAACUUCUGCAAGGAGGUUUGAGCAUCAACAUCAGCAAAUCUGCUUUGGUCACCUAGAAAUUUGUGCGGAAGGGAUAGAUUCUGCAUUUGUGAAUUUCUUUCUUGCUUCAUCAGACUUCUGAUUUUGAACUCCUAAGGUAUUUUGAAAUAGUUCUCUUGGGGAAGUUACUGUCCAUCCCAAAAUUCAAAAAUCGAGAUGCAAAGGAUGAUCAAGCUGUUGGAGUACUGUUAGUUGAGGACGGUGCUGGUAUUAGGACACCUGGAUUUCCGGUUCCUGAUCGUAUAGGUUUUCAUUUGUCUGUGCAGUAAGUUUGCGAGCACCAAGCCCCCCAGUCUUCACAAUUUUCUUGUGCACAGUCGUUUCCCCGAAGCUCAUUAUUCUCAGUUGCUUAAGAGUCCACGAGUCUCAAUUUGUAGAUCUAACAAAGCUUGAUAUGAACGCCGAGAUUGCAAUGAACGGCCGAAUCAAUCGAUGCAGAGAAAGAUCCCAUAUGUAAUUGAUGCCCAAGUCUGGUUCUUUGCAUUAUAAUCGAAACACAUCUUGUUUUCUGACUUUGCCUCUGAGCCCAGGCCGGGCAUUUGGGUGAGCUGCAAAAGUAAAUUUCUGCACACCUCCUCCAACUAGUGGUGAGUUGAAGAUGACGGCUGAAGUGUAAUGGCUGGCUUUGAAGCUGCAGCUGCUAUGUUGGCUGCAUGUUGGGAGGUAACGACAGGCGGCUGUGAGCUGCUGGUUGGAUGUUGCAAGUUGCAACCAAUGGAGCCAAUGGGAGAGCAGAAGCAGAAUGACUACCUUCUAACAUUUGUAAUUUGUUUUGUCUUGUGAGAGUAGAAUUCAAAACUUGUAAAUCUGAUGCAGAUCCUUCUUAACCAGCCAAGACAUAAAGGAACAUGAGAUCAAAUGCGCAAGCAGCCAUAACAUUUUUUUUUAAAGUAAGCCACUCUUGUUACGGGAAGGUCCUUGCUCACUUUGAGAUGAUUUUUCUUUCUAGGAAUUGGUCAUCCUCUCUUGCAUCCUUCUCCAUAUUUUGACCAAGAUUACUUCACGAUAACUGGGAAAAUUAGAUCUCAUGACUGCAUGCUGUGGUAACCCAUGGUGAAGUUUUGAGGGAUCGAGAUGGCUUGUGUCUCCUUCCACUGUUUUAGACACCUCAAGCAGUACAAAGUGAGGAGAAUGGGCAGCAAAGUCAGAUGCUCUUGUUGUGGUUGCUGCUGUAGUUGUUGGUAUAUCAACAAUCUUCUGCUUUUCAGGGUCUGUUUUGAUCGGGGAUGGAUCUGCUGAAGCUUCCACUGAUGAUGCGGCAACAGCAAGAGCAUGAGAAGAGUUUAUUGCAAACGCACUACCCGCAGAGAAACUGAGUCCUGAUCCACGAAUGAAACUCAGAUAAAUGGCAUUUGGAGGGGGAUGACCAGCAGUUAUCAAGGGACCAUAACAAAGAGGGUAGGCAAGAAACAGAGCAACCAGCGUAGUAUGUAACAAGAACACUUCAUGUUUGCCAGAUCGAAUGUGGGGCCCCCACAUUUGAUUGACAAUAUCUAAAUCAAUUGUAGUGGAGAAUAUAUCAUGUCCCUUGGGCAAAAUUGUAGUUCCGUCGGGCAACCACUCAUUGGGUAAGAUAACCCAGUCGGGCAAGACAACAUCUACCCAAGUCGGGCAAGUAAGCAAAACAGAGGAGUAGAAAGAAAAAGAAAAGGAAAGGAAAAGAGAAAGAAAGAAAGGAAACAAAAGGGAAAAGACCGAGAGAGAGAGCCCUUUCGGACAAAUCAAAACAACAAAAAGAAAGCCCUUGUCGGGCAAUAGAAACAUAAACUACAGCCUUUUCGGGCAGAGUAUAAGAAAAGGUUAUAUAUAUAUAUAUAUAUAUUCUUGUUUUUUGUUGCCUGAUAACUCAAAAAGCCAAAGAAAGGCCUUUUCAGACAAAAAGGGAAGAAAGAGAAAAUGAGAAAAUGAGAAAGAAAGGAACUAAGAAAAAAUGUACAGGAGGAUAAUAGAAGGGAAAGCCAUUCGGGCAAGUUGUAGGAGCCUAUUGGCUACCCAUGUGUUAUUUUUCUCUUAACACUCAAAUCUUUUUCUCUUCUUAAAAUUAAGUAUAGAAAGAUCAGAUCCACCUUUUAAAUUGGCCAUACUAUGUAGCUUGGGAAUCAAAGGAGGUGGUCAUUCAAGUUUGAUCCUAAGCUUUGUCCUUCUCGAGAUCUCGAUGCGAGCAACAUGCUUGUGUUGGUGGGGAGGAGUGUACGAGCUUUUUUUUUCUUCUUCGGGCUCCACAUGAGGUGUGAGUUCGAGCCCCCCAAGAGUUGGUGUUUGGCCUACAACGGCUUGGUCUUCUACAACCAUAUCCAUUUUCAUGGAUUUUUCAUUAGGUGGGGCCAUUGUUUGGCCUUCAUCAAUGUGUAUGAUUUGUUCUUCCUUGGUUGUAGUAGGGUGAGUGAGCUUUGUAGAGCGGAUUUGACAUAUUUGAUCUAUCAACUUUCUCAAAGUUUCUCCAAAAGUUGUAUAGCCUUCCUCCACCCUUUUAAAACACUUAGUCACCUCUUCACCAUACUCGAUGCUUGCCACAUGGAGUUUGGACACCUUCUCUAAUUUGCCCACAUCCUCUUUGUAAAGCUUUUCAUUCGGAUGAUCAUGAGUUGACAUCUCAUAUAUUGGCUCUUUUGAAGCAUUUUGAUACUCAAAGCCAUUUGUUGGCCUAUCAUAGUAUUCAUGAAUGUGAUUGUCUUUAAAAGAAUAAUAAUCUUCAUCAUAGCCAUAAGUUGGCCAAUCUUCAAGAUUAUUAUUUAUUUGAUGGCCAUUAGUUGGCCGACAAUCAUGUUCCAUGGGACUUAAGUACUCUUCAGCCAUGUACCCAUAAGUUGGCAACUCAUAGGUUGGCUCUAUGUGAUAGCCAUAGCUUGGGCGCUCUUCAACACCGUCAUCCUCCUCAUACUCCGAAAAAGCAUAUUGAGAAAAAUCAUGAACAUAAGGAUUGUUCAUAAUCUAACUCUAUAUAAGGGUCCCACUGGGCGUGCCAAAAUAUAUUUGCUCCCUAAAUUCGCAAUAGGCCUCGCGGGCAUACCAGAAAUUUAUUCAAACACGAGAUUGGUGGGGUCCGGGCGUGCCACUACUAGAUGCCGCUAGUAGACGGAUUUUGAAUGAUUGAGGUUGCACCUGAGUUCGACUUCUGACCAAGAGAUUGUGCCAUUGAAUGGGAGUGACUCAAAUCAAGGUUCUUUAUUUGCCUUAAAAAUAAGGACUUUACUUAUAUGGAGAGGUAGAACAAUAUGUAAAUGACAAAGGAAAGUGAAUGACUAAUAUUGUAGAUUGCUUGUAAAUUAAAUGACUGAAGAUGAGUUGUACAUGAAAACUACAAAGGAGAUCGAUACUGCAAGUGAGUAGCAGAGCUAAUAAACUAGAUAAAAGAAGGCUUUUGAUGAAGGUUGAUCCUGAAAAAGAUGAAGGCUUGGUGUUGACUACAGCUUUGUAUGCAAAUCUGGCUUGAGCAGAGUUUGUGUAUUUGUUUGUUUGAUUGAAUGUCAUAUGAUCUCUUGGGGAGAGAAACGAGGAUGGGGAAGCUAUCUUGGAUUUUGCAAUGGCAUAUGAUCUCUUCUUAGCCAACACCUUCUUUAAGAAGAGAGAAGAACAUGUGAUCACCUACAAGAGUGGGUCGUCAAAAACACAAAUAGAUUUUCUUCUAAUGAGGAAAGAUGAUCGUAUAACUUGUAAGGAUUGCAAAGUUAUACCAGGAGAGAGCGUGGCUAAUCAACAUCGCUUGUUGGUGAAGGAUGUACAUAUCAAAAGAGUGAGAAAAAAGAACAAGACUUGGAAGUGCCCAAAGACUAGAUGGUGGAAUCUAAAAGAAGAAAAACAGGCCAUUUUCAAAGAGAAAAUAAUCACCCAGUGUGUGUGGGAUAGAGAGAGGGAAGCUAACCAAAUGUGGGAUUCCAUGACUAGUUGUAUCCGAAAAGUAGCAAAAGAGGUAUUAGGAGAGUCCAAGGGCUUUGCCCCGCACCAAAAGGAAUCUUGGUGGUGGAAUGAGGAGGUACAAACAAAGGUGAAGGCUAAGAAGGAAUGUUGUAAAGCCUUAUACAAGGAUAGGACCGAUGAAAAUGGUGAAAGGUAUAGAAAAGCGAAGCAAGAGGCGAAGAAAGCUGUGAGAGAAGCUAAGUUAGCAACUUAUGACGAUAUGUAUAAGCGACUAGAUACCAAAGAAGGAGAGUUGGAUAUCUAUAAACUAGCUAGAGCAAGGGAAAAGAAGACAAGGGACCUAAACCAAGUGAGGUGCAUCAAGGAUGAGGAUGGAAAGGUUCUUGCUACAGAGAACGCGGUUAAAGACAGAUGGAAAUGUUAUUUUCAUAAUCUUUUCAAUGAAGGAAAUGAAAGGAGUGCUUCUUUAGGGGAGUUGAGUAACUCAGAAGAGUGUAGAAACUACUCUUUUUAUCGUAGAAUCCGGAAGGAAGAAGUGGUUGUAGCUUUGAAGAAGAUGAAGCAUAGAAAAGCAGUAGGCCCAGACGAUAUACCAAUCGAAGUGUGGAAAGUUUUGGGAGAGACAGGUAUAACAUGGCUCACUGAUCUUUUCAAUAGGAUUUUGAAAACGAAGAAGAUGCCAAAUGAGUGGCGAAUGAGCACUUUGGUGCCUAUCUACAAGAAUAAGGGCGAUGUACAAAAUUGCAUGAACUAUAGGGGUAUUAAGUUAAUGAGUCAUACAAUGAAGCUCUGGGAGAGAGUCAUUGAGCAUAGAUUGAGGCAAGAGACACGGGUUUCGGACAACCAAUUCGGGUUCAUGCCAGGGCGCUCAACCAUGGAGGCAAUCUAUCUCUUACGAAGAUUGAUGGAAAGAUAUAGAGAUGAGAAAAAGGAUUUACACAUGGUCUUUAUAGAUUUGGAAAAAGCGUAUGAUAAGGUCCCAAGAGACAUUCUUUGGAGGAUUUUAGAGAAGAAAGGAGUACGAGUAGCAUAUAUCCAAGCUAUACAGGAUAUGUAUGAAGGAGCAAAGACUGCCGUAAGAACUCAUGAAGGACAAACCGAAAGCUUUCCCAUAACUGUAGGAUUACAUCAAGGCUCAUCCUUAAGUCCUUACCUUUUUGCGUUGGUAAUGGAUGAGUUAACAGGACAUAUUCAAGAUGAUAUUCCUUGGUGUAUGCUUUUCGCAGACGAUAUAGUGUUGAUAGAUGAAACUUAGGAAGGGGUAAAUGCAAAGCUUAACCUUUGGAGAAAAGUGUUGGAAUCUAAAGGUCUUCGCCUAAGCCGAUCAAAAACAGAAUAUAUGGAGUGCAAAUUCAGUGCAAAUGGAGGCCAAAACGAGUUAGGGGUGAGGAUCGGAGAUCAAGAAAUACCAAAGAGCGACCGUUUUCGUUACCUAGGAUCUAUCUUGCAAAAGAACGGAGAAUUAAAUGGAGAUCUCAACCAUAGAAUACAAGCUGGAUGGAUGAAGUGGAAGAGUGCAUCCGGCGUGUUGUGACCGCCGUAUGCCACUGAAGUUCAAGGGAAAAUUUUAUAGGACGGCAAUAAGGCCGGCGAUGCUGUAUGGCACAGAAUGUUGGGCGGUGAAGCAUCAACACGUACACAAAAUGGGUGUAGCGGAGAUGAGGAUGCUUCGUUGGAUGUGUGGGCACACGAGAAAGGAUAAGAUUAGGAAUGAGGAUAUCCGGGGUAAAGUAGGAGUAGCCGAAAUUGAAGGAAAGAUGAGAGAAAAUCGGUUACGGUGGUUUGGACAUGUGCAAAGAAGGCCUACUGACGCUCCGAUUAGAAGAUGAGACUAUGGGACAGAGGUUCAGGGCCGAAGGGGUAGAGGAAGACCUAGGAAAACUUUGAGAUAGACCCUAAGAAAAGACUUAGAGUACUUGGAUCUAACGGAGGACAUGACAUAGGACAGAACACAAUGGCGUUCUAAGAUUCAUAUAGCCGAUCCCACUCAGUGACUUGGAUUUUCCAAGUCUCCAACCGAGAAGUUGUCAUCGCUCGGGAAAUUAAGGGAACACUACCUCAACCUACAUGCUCCACUCACAAAGCUUCAACAUACAAGCUUUAACAAAAGAAAAUUCAAAGAACUUAGCGAAUAAGGCUUUGGUGAUUUAACACAAUACGUUGAAAUGAAGGAAAGCUUAUUUAUUGAUAUCCCCGAUAAGUUACAAAUAUGUACAUAUACUUGAGUCAAAAUAAACAAACAAGAGGGAGCCUUCACAAAGGUUGCUUAGGAGAAGUCUCAGCAGUCGGUAGAGCCCCAGAAAGAGAAGGCACCGGAGGGGGAUCAUUCGGAGCCUCAGUACUGGACAGAACCCUAGAAGGAGGAGGCAUCAGAGGUUGAUCAUUUGGAGCUUCAUUACGCGGUAUAGCCCCAGAAGACGAAGGCAAUAAAUGCCUUUGGAACAAACCCACAAAUCUCUGAUGAUCAAGUAAAACCUGACCAUCAGAUUCCUUCAUCUGGUCAAGCUUCCUCUUCAUGUUUGUAGCAUAGUCAUGUGCGAGCCGGUGCAACUGUUUAUUCUCAUGCUUGAGCCCUCUAAUCUCCUGUUUGAGACUCAUCACUUCAGCCGCCAAUGAUUCAACUUGGCGGGUUCGAGCAAAUAGGCGUUGGGCCAUAUUAGACACAGAACCUGCACACUGAACACUAAGAGCCAGAGAAUCCUUAACAGCCAACUCAUCAGACCGUUUGGAAAGUAGUCUGUUAUCUUUGGGAGUGAGAAGGUUCCUGGCCACUACCGCAGCGGUCAUAUCAUUCUUCAUCACGGAAUCCCCAACGGUAAGAGGACCAGUAGGGGAGACGAAGGAUGGGCGCCAUAUGUUGUCUGGAGAAGGCGGGGCUGCCUCUUCAACAAGGUUCAAGUCAAAACGACGGUCGGAGGGGCCAGACAUUUUCAAAGGUGUUGAAGAGAGAAGAGGUCGGACAAAUCAAGAUCUUAGAAGUGCAAGAAUGGAGCUUCUACUGGUGGAUAUUCAAGUGUGCUUUGGAACUUAAUGUCAGCCCCUAUAAAAAUCUGCACUCGACGAAGCUUCAGAAAUCGAAGAGGCGCCUGCUCAGAAAUCGAAGAGGCGUUUGCUUUCUCAAAAGCUGGGCUGCUCAGAGACCACGAGGGUCGAUCUCAGAAAUCGAAGAGGCGUUUGAUUUCUCAAAAGCUGGGCUGCUCAAAGACCACGAAGGCCGAUCUCAGAAAUCGAAGAGGUUUUCUUUCUCAAAAGCUGGGCUGCUUAGAGACCACGAGGGCCGAUCUCAGAAAUCGAAGAGGUUUGCUUUCUCAAAACCUGGGCUGCUCAGAGACCACGAGGGCCGAUCUCAGAAAUCGAAGAGGCACAUACUUUUCCAGCCUUGUCAGCACCUGUCACACGCACACUCAACUUUGCGAAAAUUAUGGGCAUGCUGUCGAAGAUUUCUGGCGAAGUAGAAAGCACAUGAAUCGUACUGUUCAAUCACCCACUUCCCACACGCAACAGUAGCUCAUGGGUACCAUAUAUAACUUUGCCAAAGUUCUCUGACAAAGUUGAGACUACUUUUCCAGCCUUGUCAGCACCUGUCACACGCACACUCAGCUUUGCGGAAAUUAUGGGCAUUCUGUCGAAGAUUUCUGGCGAAGUAGAAAGCACAUGAAUCGUACUGUUCAAUCACCCACUUCCCACACGCAACAGUAGCUCAUGGGUACCACAUAUAACUUUGCCAAAGUUCUCUGACAAAGUUGAGACACGUGAAGCUUGCAAGCUCUCACUACAUCGCUCUGACCAAGAAGGGUAAAAGAAUAGCAAAGAAACAACACUAACAAAGUUUAGACACAUAAAUUUUGAAGGCCUAGCUACCAUAUUAUUACCCACAAGGGUAAAGGAACAGUACCACUGCUGGAUAAUUGGAAAGUCCCGGUGUGUCAACCUCUGUGCUUCGUGGCAAGGUAGACUAGCAAACAUGCCCAACCUUUACUCACAUUCGAGAAAACACUCCCAACAAGAUUGCUUGCACCAAAAUCGAAAGAGGCAUCGCCCUCCGAAUCUCGAGAGCCAGACUCCCAACAUGAUUACUUUCUCAAAAAUCGAAGAGAGGGUAAAGGAACAGUACCACUGCUGGAUAAUUGGAAAGUCCCUGUGUGUCAACCUCUGUGCUUCGUGGCAAGGUAGACUAGCAAACAUGCCCAACCUUUACUCACAUUCGAGAAAACACCCCCAACAAGAUUGCUUGCUCCAAAAUCGAAGAGGCACCGCCCUCCGAAUCUCGAGAGCCAGACUCCUAACAUGAUUACUUUCUCAAAAAUCGAAGAGAGGGUAAAGGAACAGUACCACUGCUGGAUAAUUGGAAAGUCCCUGUGUGUCAACCUCUGUGCUUCGUGGCAAGGUAGACUAGCAAACAUGCCCAACCUUUACUUACAUUCGAGAAAACACUCCCAACAAGAUUGCUUGCUCCAAAAUCGAAGAGGCACUGCCCUCCGAAUCUCGAGAGCCAGACUCCCAACAUGAUUACUUUCUCAAAAAUCGAAGAGACACCGCUCUCCGAAUCUCGAGAGCCAGACCCCCAGCAUGAUUGCUUUCUCAAAAAUCGAAGAGGCAUCGUUCUCCGAAUCUCGAGAGCCAGAUCCCCGACAGGAUUGCUUGUUCGAAAACCGAAGAGGCACCACUUUCCCAACUUCAAGAGCCGGAUCUCCUUGGAUAAAGCUUGUCUGUAAUCUUCACACGCAACAUCAGCUUUCCAGAUACCACAGACCACUUUUUCAAAGUGCUCUGACAGAGUUAAAACUUGUGAAGCUGGCAGCUCCCACUACCGUGCUAUGACCAAGCAGGGUAAAGGAAUAGCAUUAUUACUUGAUGUUAGGGAGACUCCUAUAUAUGUCGACCUCCAUCCCCAACGGACAGGCAGACCUGCAAAAAUGCUCAACCCUUCCUCUUAUCUGAGAGGGCACUCCCAACGAAGCCUUUCGAAAUAUUCAGCUUUCUUUCCCCCGAUAAUACCUCUGUAAACAAGCUAUACUAGAGCAAGAAUAUCUCAUAUCAUCAGGGUUAAAAGCAAGAGUAUCCCAUAUCAUGCUUUUUUCCCUGUCUUUUCCUUUGGCCUUGUUCUUACCUGCAAGACAAGGAGAAAGAGAGCAAUCAGUCAGCACUUGGAAUCAAGCUUCCAGCCAGGAACUGACUGCCUGGAACCCCUUACCUGAUUACUUACCUGGCAUUGCUCUCGAGUACUCAUCUUCAACAUCUUAUGCUUCCAGGAAGAUACCGCAUCUGCCUGAGGAACAGAUAGGGCAAGUGAGAAGGAUACAAGGAAGCAUGUGGAGACAAGCGUAACAGCACACGUGCCGAUACAUCCACUACUCUGUCAAAAGCAAAAGUAUCCCAUAUCAGCAGGGUCGAACGUACUCUAGAUUUGAUGGACUUGUUUUGACCCUCAAAUUCUUCAGUCGGCCUUAUACUCUGGAGGAAACCAGAAAACCCUCCAGCCCAGUUCAAGAAUAAGCCUGUGGAAAGUUACUUCUUCAAAAGCAAAAGUAUCCCAUAUCAUCUCUUCUCAUUUUUCUUCUCUUUAUCCUUCAUGCUGCCUGCAAGAUAGGGAGAAUGUGAACAAUCAGCCGGAGCUCUGAUUGCUUACCUUGUCUGUUACCUCUUUCAGCAGAUCCCCUAGCUCGGCGACUUGGGGGACUCCUACUACAUGGUUUGUAUCGCGCUUGACCAAGCCUGAAACUACAAGUAAGCUUCAAGUGACAUUGAUACAUUACCUUGUGCAUCUCCACCAGUUACAGAUACCACCCCUGGAUGGAAGAAGAGUACUUCCAGAGAAGAUGCCACAUCUACCUAUGAGACAGAUAAGGAAAGUCAAGACGAUACCACACUCCGGUACUUAGAAGUUUCGUGGUUACGAGAUCAUUCUCCCACAAUAUUUCCUAAUGUCAUUUGUACUAAAUCAUUCACUUGUACUCCCUAAAGGAGAGCUUGAACCUAUGUACUUGUGUAAACCCUUCACAAUUAAUGAGAACUCCUCUAUUCCGUGGACGUAGCCAAUCUAGGUGAACCACGUACAUUUUGUGUUUGCUUUCCUAUCUCUAUCCAUUUAUAUACUUAUCCACACUAAUGACCGGAGCAAUCUAGCGAAGAUCACAAAAAAGUGACCGUUUUCGCUACCUAGGAUCUAUCUUGCAAGAGAACGGAGAAUUAGAUGGAGAUCUCAACCAUAGAAUACAAGCUGGAUGGAUGAAGUGUAAGAGUGUAUCCGGCGUGUUGUGUGACCGUCGUAGGCCACUGAAGCUCAAGGGAAAAUUUUAUAGGACGGCAAUAAGGCCAGCGAUGUUGUAUGGCACAGAAUGUUGGGCGGUGAAGCAUCAACACGUACACAAAAUGGGUGUAGCGGAGAUGAGGAUGCUUCGUGGGAUGUAUGGGCACACGAGAAAGGAUAAGAUUGGGAAUGAGGAUAUCCGAGGUAAAGGAGGAGUAGCCAAAAUUGAAGGAAAUAUGAGAGAAAAUCGGUUCCGGUGGUUUGGACAUGUGCAAAGAAGGCCUACUGACGCUCCGGUUCAAAAAUGUGACUACAGGACAGAGGUUCAGGGCCGAAGGGGUAGAGGAAGACCUAGGAAAACUUUGGAAGAGACCCUAAGAAAAGACUUGAGUACUUGAAUCUAACGGAGGACAUGACACAAAACCGAGCGCAAUGCCGUUCUAGGAUUCAUAUAGCCGACCCCACUUAGUGGGAAAAUGCUUUGUUGUUGUUGUUGUUGUUGUUGAUUGAAUGUCCAUAAUCCUUGUGCAUCUGCCCCUUUAAAUAAAGAUCUGAAAAGAGCCACAUGCUGAGAACCUUGUACUUGCCCGAAAGAAACUUGGGCAGCUUGCAUUGCUUUUGCCAACUUGCAUUGCUUUUGCCAACUUGCAUGUAGAAAUAAUAUUUAAAAGGGAAACUUACAUCUCCACCACAUGUUUUUAGCACAUGUCUCCCCAACUUGUAAUAAACUAACAAUUAAAAUAAACAAGUUGGCUUCUUUCACAUGUUCUCUGCAGUAUGUCUGUAUGCUUUCCAAUCCAUUUGUAAUGGGAAAGCAUGCAAUUGUUGACUUGGCAAAUCUCCACCACCCAAACAAAUUGGAGAAACAAUAUUAUAGUGUAAAAACUCAUCCACUUGCAGCCAAAUAUCUUUCUAAGUUAGCUUUCUUGCAUAUUAAUCCUUCAAAUACCAUAUUUUACCCCCAAUGGCCCAAAUAAGUAAAAACGGGCACAUUUUAAGUGCAAACAUUGCCAUUUAUUGUUGUCUGUCUAAACUUGAUGACAUAGUGUUCUCUUACAUACAGAUUAAUGAAAUAUUAAUUUAUUUCCAUGGGUUAUUUGAUUUUGCAAAUUCAUAAUAAUUGAAGAAUACUGAAAAUUACUAAACCCCAUCACAACAUCCCAUCAGUGAAAAAUCAAAGACAAAAGUAAAUUACUAUCUUUCUAAGCAUCCAAAGAUAGCAUACCCAAAAUACCAAAUUCAACUCCAAUAUAAUAAAAAAAUUAAAAAACAAAUUAGCCAAAUUGAAAUAGUUAGAUCAAAUAAAGAUUUAAGUCAACCAAUUACACAAAAUAAUUCAUGCAAAGUAGGCUCCUAAGAAAAUAUACCACUAUGGUGGUGGAGGAGGCCCAGGCUCAAACAGUGGAGGGCAGCAACAUUUAAAUAUACCGCAGCAGCACGGAAUCCACGAACUGCAUAAUCAAAACCAAAAUUUUAAAAUUUAUAUUUAAAUUUAAAUUUGAAAAAAAAAUGCAAUAGCAUUGUAUAAUGAGAAAUUCUCCAAUGUGGAUAAAUUAAUCUUGUGGGAUGCGAUCAGUUGUAUUGGGCUGGCAACCGGCUUAUGCUUAAAUCCCACUCAAUUUAUCAUACACCCUUCCAACUACAAUUCAAAGGAAGAAGUUCCAAGUGCAUGCAUAAUGUUUGCUCAACUAAAAUAAAUUGCUUUUCAUGAUUAAAAUAGCCAACCAACCAACACUCAUUUGAUAAAAUUGAACAUUUAGAGUUACAUAUCCACAUAUUCCACAUAUUUAAGAUCGAACAAACCUUCAAAUGAAGACCACCCAAAGGUCCAUUAGUGAGUUGUGUGACCAGAGGAUUUACUGCACUUGAGUUUCCUCGUGCAGCUGCAAGAGCUAUGAGCUUACGUUGACCGUCAGCUACUUCUCCGCUUAAGGUUUGAGUCACAGAUUAUGUAGAAUUAAUAGCUUCCUGCAAAGAAGUGAAAUAAGAAACCUUAAUUUGUUAAAAUGUGAGUAAUUCUCAAUUGAUUAAAACAUCAUCCGAUGGUGUUUUCUAGGCUUUUUUUUUUCCUUCCUUUCGCAUGCCAUUAUUUCAUUAGCCAUCUGCAGAAUUGCAAUUGAUAGAAUCGGUGUUCUUUGAAAUAAUCAUAACAUUUCACAACACAAUGGCAUCAAUUUAUACAAAUUCUAACAACAAAUUGUCAAAAAACAAUGAGAACAAUUACCAGAAAUUUCAAAUCUUUUGGGGGUUCAGAGUAAAUACCAGAGAGACGAAAGCUAAAAUCAACAUUAGUCCAUUUUUUUCAAAAUAAGAACAGCUCCGAUCUGGGAAAUACAUUGCAAUUUCUGAAGAAAAAAAAAAGCGAGAAAACCCUAAAAUCCCUAAGAACCCUAAUUUAUAAACUAUAAACAAACGCAAAAGGAGAGAGGAGACUCAAAUAAAAGGAAAAUCGAGAAAUUCAACAUACCAUAAUCGGAGGGAGGACGCUUUCCGACGGCCAAAUUCAUCGACACCGGAGGCGGUUGUUGACCGUCACUGUACCUCCAUUUCGCCUCCGCCAUGUUUGAGGCUUUCGACCGUCACUAGUUGGUUUGUGUGCUUCAUGUCGAGAGAUAUGGGGAGCAGGAAAAGCAGAGGAAGAUGAAAGAUUGUGGGUUUUCCAGUAACAGGAAGAGUGAGAGAUGAGAAGAGAGCGCACGCGUGUAACCCAUCGCAAUCCGUUCUAAACCAUACGGAUAAAAUUACCCUCUCAACUUUUGAGAAUUACCCUCCCAAGUUCCCAACCCAUCUCCCUUUGGCUGGCAUUGUUGUAAACAGCGUGAAAUUGAGUAGCAAAGAUUUGACUGUAGCUAAGCUACAGUCAAUUGCUCCUUAACUUUAGAAUAGACUAGAAAUUACGUUUGCACAUUGCUGCGGGAACCAGCUGUUUCACGCGGAAUCAGAUGAAUAAAACAUAUUUAAGUUGAAUAAAUUCAACAUAAUUAUGAACAGACAAAGGGAUACAUGAGUGAAUGAGGUCGAUAAGAUAAACAGUUUUGCUUUUAUAUACAUUCAAAUGAGCUGGCAUAUAAACACAUUGUACAAUGAGUAGGAAGAAACUGAACGUCUUUGAUUAGAAAGAUAUGGCUUCCAAAAAAGUUAUGUUUCCUUGAGAAAUAGAAGAAACAUAUAGUUCACACAUAAUAUGUGUCCUGCAGUGAAGGCAGCCAUUUCAACAAGUAAUGCCAAGAAAAUAAAUUAAAAUAUUAUGCAUAUGAGUGCAAGCUUACAGAAACGUUGUUUUUGUACACUUUCUUCUCCCUUCAAUGAUAGUUUGUUUCUUAUCCAGAAAAAUAAAAUGAUCAGGUCAAUGAUACUCACAUGUGCAAAAUGCUAAUCCUAUGGUCUAAAGCUAAUUGAGUUUUUAAGUGUAAAAUCCCUAAUUUCACUACAUUUGGAUUGAUCACAGUUCGUGACUUGUUAAACUUGAUAUCCCCUUGUACAUUUUGGGAACUUGACAGCUUAAAGAAGUGCUCAUAAAAGCAAAUUACACAAUAUCUACUAAAAAACUUAGAGAAGUGACUCAAUUAGUCAACAAACAGAUGCCUCACACUUGAAUAUCAAAGACCAAAGAGAGAAAACCAAGCCGAACUCUUCAAAAUUCGUUGGCACACAUGCUUCGUUGACCCAAUUGAAUGUAUAAUGCAUACUUAGAUACAACAAUUCGAACAAUAGCUCAUAAACAGUGCUGAAAUUCCAUUAGCACUAAUCACACACUACAAGAACAGAGAUCCUAGCAAAGCUACAUCAAUUAAAUGACAAAGACUAAAAACCACAAACAAGAAAAAAAGAAAAACAGAGUUAUCAGACAGCAUGAUUCAAAUAUAAUUUUAUUGGGGUUGGUAAAAGCACAACCCAUCCAGCACUUUAAAAGCAGGUCUUUCUUGAUUAGAAGCUCAUAUGUCUUGCACCUAAUUUUCAAACACUCAAACGUCAGUGUCUUAAUACUUCUAACCCACAGUUCAAAACAGAAAGAACCUCAUUUGAUGAAAAUGCCAAAAUUUUCUAAGAAUGGAGUCCAAAAAUUUAUUUUUAAGCAUCCAAAAAGCCAUUAAACUAAAAAUAGUUAGUUCUUCGUACCUUUGUAUGAAGAUCACACAGGAAAACAUUAGCAUUCCUAAAUGCUAUCUUGGAAUUUCGGGGGUUAGAUUAGAGCCACACUUGAGUUCGACAUUGAAAGUGAGGCCUCGCUGGUGUGUUUCCACACCACAUGCUCUGCAAAAGAGACACAAUCUUAGAAUCAGAAACACAUAAAUAAGAAAUAUACACACUACAUAUAUAGCAAGAGAAACUUAAGAAAACGAAAAGUUCAAUCAAAGUUAGUGAAGUGAACCUUUUUUCUUUUUUUUUAACCCAAAGCAUUGAAAGUAGCACAAACCAUUCUUUGGUCCUCUUUCUCCCCUCUUCCCGUGUCCCUCACUCUUUUUCACCCCUUGAAACAAUAACUGAUAAGGAAAAAUAAAAAAUUACUAUUGAAUAAUCUAACAAAUCAUUUAGCACCAUCGGUUGCCAACCUGCAAUCUUGAGUCUGCUAACAUUCCAAAAUUAUUAUCAGUAAGUCUCCAUAUAUCCUUUUUGAUUCGCUUCUUUUCCUCCUAUUUCCCAACCAACAACACAUUUCUUAUCAUCUUUCUUAGUAUCAUAUGGGCACACACAAAGUGUGUGAGAAAUUUUUUUUUAUUUUUGUUUUUGAAAUCGAAGGAGAGAGGAAGAGAGUGAUAGAGAAUGUGGGAGUGGGAAGGUUUUUUUAAUUUUUUUUUAAUUAGAGAUAUGUUAGGAUUACAUGUAGGUGAGAUUUUGAAAAAAAACAACAAAAUUUGAUUGUGUGAAAUUACAUUUCUGCCCCAUAUUUUUUAUUCAUGUUCUGUUUUAAUUAGAAGGUAAAAUGGUAAUUUCAUAGGGUUUUGAUUGAAAAUGAGUGUUUUAUUAAUUAGUACAGAUUCAUAUAUAUGACAAUAAACAAAAAAAAAUGUGCAAAAGAUUCAAAAAGUAACAAUAGCACCUUCAUAUUUACCGUUUACAUUAUAGUAAAAUCUCAAAAUAUUUCAGAAAUAUCAUAUGAAAUGCACAAUGUUACAAAUAAAAUUGAUUAAUUAGCACACAAAAAAAAUUGAUAAUGGAGAACAGGAAAUAACUAUAAAAAAUUAAAAAUAUCAGUAGACCAAGAGAAAACUACUUUAAACAAAAUGAAAACUCAGAAUUUAGGAUAAAAAGAAGGAAAGAAAUCAAACAGAAAAGAAGACAAAAGAGAAGAAAAAAAUUAAAGCAAAAUACCUGGAGCUCGGUGAGAUUCAAGCUUCGAACUGAAAAAAGAAACAUUCGGUGGUCAACACCCAAUCACUAAUUAACUAAGUGGUGACCAUGAACACGUGAAUAAAAUUGUAGAGGUUAAUUAUACGGAAUUUUACCGCACCAAAAAAAAAAAAAAAAAAACACUAAUUGAUAUUUGGGGUGGGUUCGAAUUCUUUUGGUUUGGUUCAGUUUUAGUGGUCUAGAAACCGAACCGAAUUAAUUAAAUUAAUAUUUUUUUUAUUUAUUUAAUUAUUUGUUUUGGGUAUUAUUUUUUAAACCCAAUUUGUAAGCUCAAUGUGUUGCCCAAAAUCAGAAAUUCCAAAUGCAUCUGCUACUUUUCCUAUAACUACAAGGAAGAAGUCGUAUAAAAAAGCAGGACCUUCAAUAGUGUGGUGCUAACUCUUGACACGGUACUAUUAGUUCCUUAUUGUUGUUUAAUCUGGCUUCUUGCUUCAAGUAUUUGUAUGCUUAUUCAGUAUUUCAUUGCUUAUUGUUAUAUGCAGUGAUCAGGUAUUGGUUUUGAUCAAGUGUAUUCCCUUUUGCUACUAAAUAGGAAAUCAUAUUACUAAAUGAUCGAUAAUACAUACAAAGAGAGCAUAAUCGAUAUAUGAUCCUCGUUGGUUCAAAGUGGGUUAUAGUAUGAUAAUGCUCUCAUUGUACUUACUAUCGUGAUAAAAUAAUUCAGCUCAUGUCCACCAACCUAUACCAGCUCUUUAUAUUAUUCAUAGUUAAGAGUUGAGGUGUGAAGAAAAUGGUAGAAAAUUUUACUUUUCUAAAAAGAAAUCUAUUUACAGUUAAAUUUUAAACACAAAAUAUUAAAAAAAAAACCUUUAUGUUAUAAUUCUACUUGAACUCUAAAUCUUUGUCUUUGAUUCUAAUUGGAAUAUUUAUGUUAUGAUUGUGUUGGAAAUGUUAAAAUUUAAGACUUCAGUUUUUUUCAUUUUUUGAAAAAAAAAACGAAACCGAACCGGAAAAAACCAAAUGGAAAAAAAAUGAACCGAACCGAAAUUUCAGUUUGGUUUCGAUUUUGGCAAAAAACCGAACCGAUUUGAACCGAACCUAGCCCUAAUUGAAAUUAUGUGUUGUGCACAGUGAUAUCGAAGAAGAAUAAUUUCUAUUUAACUGAAAUUAAAUCCGAAUAAAUGAUUCAUAAAAUUACAGAUUUUCAAUCAAAUGCGGAAUAUACACAACAAUUUUAUUUCUGAUUUGAAUAUAACCAACUACAUCCCAAGUUGCAUCAGUAUCAAUGGAUCCAACAUGGUGACCAUCUGCCCCUCAAGUAUUCAUAUCUGCAAACCCUCGUCUAAAGAAAAAUUCAUCCAGAAAUUAAUCACCGAGUAUGCAAGGUUGGCAUGCAUAUUCACGUUUAAUCGUGGCCAUGAUGAUAGGAAUUAAAAAAACACGAAAAUAGGAAUGAUGCACCUUUACUUAGAUCUCAGGGUUCUAAAAUUUGUUGCUGAGAUUUGAGAAACAUAGGAAAUGUGUUUCAUGAUUUCAAAUUAGAUUUGCAUAAGAGUUCAGAAACGCAUACAUCCCUUCUUUUCAUUCCCCUAAACGCUAAAGCCUAGGCUUUCAACACCAAAACACCCAAAUAGUACCAGAACUUUGCAAUGUGCAGGGAAUAUACUAAAAAAAUUUAAACCACAAUCAAGCAUCAUCUAUCUAAACAAAAUCAGAACCCAAACCACAUACAAAAUCUCUAAAUAUAUAAUAAUAAUAAUAAUAAUAAUAAUUCUAGUAGAAAUUCCAAUCCAUUACAACAAAACACAGAAUACCAGGUAUUGCUGGAUGUAGAUAUCCAAAACAGCAGCACCCAUCAAUUGAUCUAAUUACGUAUCCAUUCCCUAUCCAUGGCAUACAAAGUAUGUACUCCCUCUUUACAUGUUAUAAAACAUUUAGUAGACCAGCAAUCAAAAUUAACAACCCUAAUUGCUGUAUACACUAUACACUAUGCUCUCCAACUGAAAAUGUUUAAUUAAAUUUUCCAACUUAAAACCCUAAAUUAAAUCCUACAAAUUGAAAUAGCAGAAACAGAAUUAGAGACAAGGAAGAAAUCACUGACCUUCGAGUUGUUGAAAGCUCUGAUGGGUGUUUCUUUUCAUCCAGCCCUAAAAACAGAACGCACAAUUGUAAUAUAAUAUCCAAUCAUAGGUUAAGAAUCAAAUUAACCCAGCCUGUGUAUAGAAAAAUUGAACAAAUUUAGACAUUUAUAUGUAUGUAUAUUCCAGUAAAAAAGAAUGAAAUGCACUGAACCCUAAAAUGAAAAACUAUGUCAGACUGAUUGAAGAAGAGAAACAGAGAGGGAGAGAGAGUGGGACGGAGAGAAAACCCUAAAAACAGAACCCUCUGGCAACCUAACACAAAAUCAAGCCAACAAAUUCCAUUUCAAUUUUGACAAAACAAAUCGGAAAAAAAUAAUGAAAACCUGAACGAAAUACAGAGGAACUGAUGGGUUUAUGCAUCAACAACUUGAUAAAACCCAGAAACACAAAACCUAAUAUGUAUCAGCUACAAAAACCCAAAUAAAUAAAUAAAACACUCAAAUUUCAAACGAAGAUGUCAUAGAUGGAGGAAGAGAGAAGUGACAGAGAGGGAGAGAUACUUACUCAACCCCACCAUCUCUCCGCAGCCAACACACUGAUUCCCUCAACCCUACCCUCAAAUCUUGUACCCAAUCAACUCUCUUUCUGUCCCCCUAAUCGUGCACCCGCCGUCACCUUCUCUCUGCAACCAAACCCCUCUCCUCCCCCAUAUCACACCCCCACCUGUGAAGGCAGUGACAGCAGACCACCUCCCUAGAAACCGGCCCUAAAAACCCAUACCCAUACCUCCCUUACCCGUUCCCUUUAACCCUCGCAUAAAAUCCUCCCAUCUCUCUCUCACCCUUGUCCCAUCUCUCUGUCUCUGCAAAUCGCAGAAAACAAACCCUAAACCAAAUCCCUAAAAUCCUGCCUCAAUCCCCCCACACUUCUAUUGGACACUCCCUAUCUCUCUCUGCAAUGCGUAAAACAAAUCUCCUAAAUCCUAUCUCGGACAUUGUAACCUGAAUCAAGCUGGUUUCACACAUACCAAUAGAAAACCAAAAUAUCAAUGUUGGGGAAGUUACCUUAUUUGAAAUACCACCAAAAAACAGAGUAUACUUUUAGGCAAAUAUUGUUUAAACACCCAAACAUAAUUCAUGAUAUGUGCCAAAAAGAAAAUACCUCUCGAUUAGAUUUCCUUCGUUCACAAGCUUUCUCCCUGACAAACUCUUGAGAUAGAACCAAAAAAGAAAAUAAGUCACAAUUGAUGCAAGUAGAGGGGAAUGCAGCAGAGAAAAGUAGGAAUUUAUGAGUACACCACUCCUGUUUUAGGUUCCCAACUUAUAAGGAUGCUAACUUCAUUAUAUAGGACUACCGUUAAACUCAUUUCUUUCCGAAAUUAAAUUAAGAAAAAAGUUCGACACUCGCAUGCCACAAUACAAUGUUACAUAAAGUAAUCUUACCAUCACAACCAAAUUGACACCAAACUUCUAACAGUCCUUUUGAAGGAGAAAAUCAAGCGAUUAAUCAAAUACUCAUUUUCCAAAAAAGAAAAAACCCAACAAAAAUAUAUAAAAAGUAAAAGUACCUAAGUUCCCAAUAGUCCAAUCCAUCAGAAAAAUACAAACUUGCACAUGUUUGAGUAUAAGGACCAUAAGAAAGAAGCAGGGGAUGCAAAAUUUUGAGAAUGGGUCUAAUAAUACUCAUCAAGUAAAGAUAAUCAAAGUUAAAAGGAGGUAAUAAAGGUAUAGAAAAAAAGAAGAAUAUAUUCUACAAAUGAAUGAAACAAAAGAUUGUGACACUGGAAUGGAAACACUUCAGGAGGCCAGAGGAAGAGGGACAAUACUAUAGCAAAUAAAUUGAUAAUGCUUGUGCUCUCCUCUGUUCUUUCCCAAGUUGAUCCUACAAACAAAAGCACAGACAAAACUUAAUAAACGAUGCCAAUCAAUGAAAGCUAAAUUAUCCCCAUCCUGAAUCUUUUAUAAAACAAUGCACCAAGAAAAUUUCAACAAUAAAUAUUUCAUACGAAAAACAAAACACGAUGAAAUAAAUUUCAACAUAGGCUUGUUUCAGUUAACAUCUUACUUUGAAAACCUUAACCUCCCACUCCCUGUAAGCUGUAGGUACAACAUUCUCGGGAAGUUCUAUUGGGCACCCUUCCCUUGUGAAGUUUGCUCCAUGGCCAUCCCAUUCACCGGAUACAUUCCUGGCAAAUUCGGACCACGCACGAACACAUAAAAGAGAAAUUGAAUUAUAGCAGCACGUCAAAUAUAUUAACUUAUAGAUUCUAGACUUCAAAUACUUAACAUAACAAAUACAAAUUUAACCAUCAUCUCUCUUAUCCAUUGCCUUUUCUACUAUAAAUGAAACCGUAUAUUAAAUAACUGACCGUUUUAGAUUGGCAGAUUGCAAUUUCUUUGGAAAUUAGUCAUAAAAGUUAAUACAUUUCAUCACUCCAUUUCUGACUUAUCCUCUUAUCAACUGUUGUGCACCCUAAUCCAAAGAAUGGAAAUUUAACCGCCAAAUAUCAAACGAGAUAUCUAAUAACUGGAAAUUUUCCUUUGGAUAUCUAAUAAAUUUCAAUUACUCAAUUUCUACACAACCCCAAAUCCAAAUACCGUAUGUUGCUCAAAUAUCAACGCAAAGAUGCAAACUUUUUUACGCUACAACAACAACCAUACGAUUUUAAUAAAACCCACAAAAACCAAGUAAAUAAGCAGAUUUUUGGCAACAUCGCUUAAAAUACACUCACCAUAAACAAAAGUGGAAAUGGGAUUGAAGCCAUUGCUGCGGUCCUCCUCCUGGAGUUGCAGCUUAACAUCUGACACAGCGGUGUUGGCGGAGGAAGAGGCAGCGCUCUAGACAAUCUGACCUCUCUGGCGGCAGUUGUGAGGCAGUUGGAAUCUAUAGGCCUCGGUUGAUCCGUUGCUGUUUUUUUUUUUCAUUGGAUCUCCCAUUUGGUCUCACUGUUGUUAUAUUUGUUUUUGUUCUUCCUUGUCAAUCAGGAUCUGCACCUCUGAAAACCCACAAAGACAUUAGAAAUGGAACCCUCUGCAUAUCUUAUGAAAAUAGCGUUGAGCCUUGAGGUGUCCUCGCAACCCUAAGGUAUGGCGCAGUUGGAGUUUUCAACUACAUGAGCGCAACCUUCUCCGGAUCUCUGUGUACGAACCCGACAAACACAGAUCCACACAACUCAUUUUAAAUCAUAUGAUUCUCAUUAGCCCAUUCUACUCACCUUCUUAACACAAACCACGAGUUCAGAUCUUACUCUUUUUAACUACUAAAUAUCCGAGUUCUUGAACUUCGAAAACAAAAAUCCAAAGAGUAUCUCGACUCCAAAUAAGGUAGCUUUUUUACUGUGCAUGUAGCUACCCCAAAAAUGAGGGAAACCCAACCCCACCCCCCAAAAAAAAAACCACCCACAACAAAGUACAACUAUAAGAAAAGCUUUAUGAGGGGUCACUCUAAAAUUGAUCUUAAAAUUAUCUAGUCCGUCAUUCCAAAAAUUGUUGUGACAAUGUUGCAUUUAAAAUUGUCUGACAAUAAAACAUUAUUCUGGGCAAAAUUUUUGUAUAAAUUAUAAGUUCAGCCAAAAGACAUUAUACAGCUUCUUCCUGACUAUUUUAGGUCUAUACUCCAUUGCUGAAAAUUCUAUUAUGCUCAUCAUAAAUCUUGCCAAUCCACCAAGCAAUUGGGUUAAAUUACCCUUGACCUAAAAAAUGAUGGUCCAUCGAUGCCAACUUGGCCAGGCAAUUGGUGGGCUCCAAUAAGCUCGUUGAACUACCAUUGCAGCCCGUUGGCAAUAAGUAACGACGGACUUGAUGUCAAGUAACAGAAGGCUGGCCCCAAUCCCGUGCACCAAAUCGAACGAAACAGCUCCAAUUUGGGUGCCCCAUAGCUGUUGGAUUUUCAACAAUUUGUUGAUAUGAACCAUUAAAUUUCAAACGAUAAAAAAAAUUUAAAAAGAUGAUGUUGUGUAAUGUGGCACUUUGUGGCGCAUUUGAUAUUAAAAUUUUGAAAAUUUCAACAGACAGAUUAAGCUGAUGGUAAAAAAAAUCCAAAAAAAUAAGAAAAAACUUGCAACAAAAAAUAUCUAAAAAAACUUACAAAGUUCAUACUUAAACAAAAAUCUAAACUGAUAUUACUAAUAGAUAAUGACUUAAUGAAAAUGAAAGGAAUCACUCCGGCUCUCUUUCACCAAAUCCAUAGGAACCAUUGAAAUUUGGUUGUUACAAACAGAACCCACUGUAAAAGUUAUAAUAGGAUAGAUCAAAUUUGAAUGGCCCGAUCCCGGUCUUAUAGAUUUGGUGAAAGGGAUGGAUCCUUUCCGUUGAAAAUUUCAUCGCCUCUCCUUUCAACCCUUCAAGGAAAACCCACUUCUUGGGCGUCUUCAACCACGUAAAGCUUCACUUGGGGUUUGCGGUCUUGGAUUGAAAUUUGUGUUUUGGGAUUUGUUGGGUGCUCGCAUGUGGAAUUUUGGAAAAUUUUAGUUGUGGAUUGUGGGGAACUGACGCCCAUUUCAUGUAGGUUGCUUUUGUUUGUGUGUUUUUGGUGAAAUAAUGAUGAGGAGGGUUGGAUAGUUGGACUGGUUUUAUUUUUUUUGUGAAAUUAGAGUGGGAUCAAUCAAGGUUGAGACAUGCCCCAUAAGGGUCAAUAGGUCUCAGUUGCAUAUCUAACUUGUUUCUCAUGUGUUUUCAUCCUGAAGGUUAGAAAAGAUGGGUGCUCUAGACGCGCAGAAAGUGGUUCAUCAACACUAGGGAUGGCGGCUGAUCUCAUGUAUGUGGUUACAUGCUGGAGUUUUCCAUGUGCUUGCCAAUAUGCUGAGUCUUGUAUUCAUUGGAAUUCGGCUUGAGCAAGAAUUUGGAUUUGGUAUGCAUCUGGAUUUUAGUUCAUGUAUGUUAUCAUGCAUGUAUGGCCACAUCCAUAAGUGUUUGUAGUAAAAGAUAAAGCACACGACAUAAGUUGUAGAAUAAUAAAUUAGUUACCAAGUGCAAAACUUCUUUCAUAAAUCUAGAAGAGAAACACUUUCCGGAUGGCUUUAGCUACCUUGUGAUUAAUCUACAGAGGAUUUCUAUGCAUUUGUUUAUUGAAUUGUAAUCCUAGAGUAGUGGUCAUGUAGUGCGGGUUGCAUUAUAACUUACACCAGUAUGUUGUUUGGUUUGAUGGAAACAAGAGGAUGUUUUAUUUAGCGGUGAGCAAAGAAAAGAGUUUAUAGACCGAAGAUGGGGUUCAAACUUUAGUUUUAGACAUAGUAUUCCAUUUUACAGAAUAAAAUUGCUUGAAACAAAAGCUGAGAGAUUAUUUCAGUUUUCUAUCACAUCUGUGGGAACAAAGAUUGUUUUGGAUAUUCUGCAGUUCGAAUUGGUUUCUAUAUCUCAUGUCUGGUUUUGGUGGGAGUUUUCUUUCAACUCUUUUUAUUCAGUAUGGUAUUUCUGUUGGUGCUUCUGGUGCACUUUUUGGACAAUGUAUGUAAAUAAGGUAAAUAAAAUUCUGUAUACUUAAUGAUGCACCUCUUUAUAGUAUGUGCCCGACCCUUUGAUCUUACAGUUUCAGAUUUUGAUCCACAGUUAGCAACAUUGCUUACUCUCCUUUUCAUCAUCAUAAUAAACUUAGCAGUGGGAAUUCUACCACACGUGGACAACUUUGCUCGUAUUGGAGAAUUUUUCUUUGGAUUUCUUCUUGGAUUUUUGUUUUUGAUCCAUCCCCAGUUUAAAUGGCUUACCCAACGGAAUGCUCCCCCUGGACGUGUUACUACUCCAGUUAAAUCUAAACACAAGACGUAUCAAUAUGAGUAUUGUGGGUCCUCUCUUUGAUACUAUUGAUUGUUGGGUAAGCUCCUCCUCGAUCUCUGAUUUAACUAUUUGACUUCAUGAACCUAAUCGACUCCCUGCAUGAGAAUCUGGUAGCCACAGUUGACGUGUGCACAUUUUUUUUUAUCAAAUCAGAGAACUGGAUUUUGUGUAGAUAUGUAGAUAUCAUGUGUCCUGUAAUAUUUUCAUUGCGAAUAGGCUCUGUAUCUGCUUGUUUCUCAUCAUAAUGGUUUGGAGAAGGCAUUGUGUUAUCGCUAUUCUCUGUGUAAUACUAAUUUAUCACUUUGUUGAUAGCGGCUUCUACUUUGCUAUUUUGGAUUGCAUGUGUUGGCAAUACUGUAGACAUCGAAAUUUCGGUAAAUAAAUGUUGACCGAUAAAUCAAAGUGUCAACGCUCAUGUAUUACAUAAAUUUUACACGUAGCGUGUGACUCAACGAAAAUUGAAAUGAGUUGGAAAAGUCAUCAAAAACAGGACACGUGUCAACACCUGGCAGAAACAACUUAUUUCAUCUGGAAUAUUAUAUUCAAAAUUAGGCUAUAGAAAUUUCUAUAAAUAGAAGGCCAAUUCAUUCAUUUAAAGGGACCAAUUCAAAUUACACCUUGAAGCUCUGAAGCUCUGAAGCUCUGAAACUCCGAAGCUCUCAAGCAAAUCCCGAAGGAUCAAGAAAGCCCUUUUCGUUCUUCAUCAAAUCCUCCUUCAAGAUCAAGCCCCGACGGCCCUUGAAGAAAGUGUUCUUCGUUCAUCGUUCUUCCAAGAUCAAGCCCCGACGGCCCUUGGAUCAACAAUCCACCAAUUCAAGAUCACGCCCUAAAGGCCCUUGAAGAACUUCCACCAAUUCAAGAUCAAGCCCCGACGGCCCUUGAAGAAGGCACCAUCAUUCAUCAUCUGUUCAUCCGAGAUCAAGCCCCAACGGCCAUUUGGACCAACAACGUCGACAAAUCCACACAUUCCAACCGUUCUUCAAGAUUAAGCCCAAAAGUCCUUGAAGAGCCGUUCAUCACUGUUCUUCAAGAAUAAGCCCAAAAGCCCUUGAAGAUCCGUUCAUCACUGUUCUUCAAGAUCAAGCCCAAAAGCCCUUGGAGAUCCGUUCGUCACUGUUCUUCAAAGAUCAAGCCCAAAAGCCCCUUUGAAGAUCCGCUCAAAUCCACCUUCAAGAUCAAGUCCACGGCCCCUUGAAGAAACUUCCAACAGUUCAUCCAAGAUCAAGCUUUGACGGCCCUUAGAUCAACGAAACAUCCACAAAUACACACCUUACGAAGAUCGAAUCAGAGGAUCAAAAUUUAAGAGAGAUUGUAACCCAAAACCAUCAAAAAUACAAAUAUUUGUUUGUGCACGUUGUUCUUAUCUCUUUCGUUUCAGGAAUUUUCCGUGUUCACAAAUACUUUGUUGUUUUGUUAUUGGAAAUAAAGGUUCAUUUUCCUUGUAUUGUGUAGUAUCAAUAUAUGCAGGCAUUUUCUGAAAGAAGUCAUGUUUUUUACAAGUAUACUCUUGGCUUGGUUACUCUUUUUCGAGGGGUCAAUCUAAACAACCAUUGUUCCUGGUGUCAUUAUUUGAGUUGUGUCCCUACAUCAAAAUGGAAUUGCAAGUCAAAAUAUUUAUUGUCUGAUAAUAUGUUGUACUUUUCUGCGCAUAUUAGCUUCUACCUUAAUAUUUGAUAGACAGAAGUGCUUGCUUAUUAAAAUGAUCAUGGUUGCAUUCAGUCGUUCUAGUUUGGCAUGCCGUUUAGUCUAAUGCCUUAAAGAAAAGUAAUUUAAGAAAUGACUCGCGAAAUUCUGUGUCAGGAAAUUGUUUUUGCAACGUACUUUGUUAGUACUAUAAAUUGGUUUUGUACUGACAUAUUGUUCUUUAUAUGCAUAUAUGCACCAAUCUUGCAGUCGAGCCAGAUAGGGAAUCAGCUGAACUUAACGUGCGUAAGCAAUGGUAGAAAUGGGACAUAUUCAUUGUCGGAUCCCAGCCCCUCCCGGACUCAGCAGCUAUAUGCUGCUCUUUGUAGUUGACCAUACAUGUACAGAUUUCAGAGUUGAUAGAAUGUUGAUUGAUAUGCUUCAUUCUUGUAGUAAGUAUUCUUUCUCUUUCUUUUGUUUUUUGUUGGGUAAAAUAGUCAUUUGUAUUCACCAAGCAAUGGUUCUCAUUGUCAUUAUUCUUUUCAUUCUUUUACUGCCCUUGUACCUCUUUUCUACUAUUCAUAACAGUUGAAACCCAUACCGAUAAUUAUGAAAUUUACUUGCCAUGUAAAACUACUCAAACAUGCAAUUUACCCAUACCUAAGUUUGUUGAAUGUGGGAUGUUAUGGAUCCUCUCAAUCGGACCUUUGUUCUGUACCUUCUCGUCUCUCUCUCAUUCUGCAAUGUUGCAAGAUGAUCGGACAUAUGUAUACUUUGUAGUUCAUCCUCUAGAGACCAGCUUUGAAAAAAAAAUCAACUAAAUAAAAAAUCAUUUAACCAUUUAAUUAACAUUGUCAAAAUUUCAGUAUUUAAUUGAAAAACAUAGUUCAUUUAUUUAUUGGAUAACAAUUAGAUGACAAAACAAGUAUGAAUUACUUUGGUUUUUGGCGAAGUUGGACUUUAAAGUGAGGCAUUAAUAACUGGAUAUGUCUACAGUGGUGGAAUUCUCUUGCUAGAGACUUGAGCCCCCAUGAAGAAUAAAAAUUAAGAAAGCUUGAUCUCACUAGUAACUGAUACAAUUUUUAGAAAGGUUGCAUCCACAACAGGCUUUCUUGCAAUGGUACUUUAGGGGAACUAUGAGAAAAUCAGCAAUCUCACAAUCCAGCCCCUCAAAAAACAUAGAGACUUCAAAAUUUCCUUUCAUAGCCAGGGUCGCCUAGCAAGGUUACUUUCAUAUUAAAUGACACCAGCGUGACGUUUGAUGUGACCAAAAUAUAGGAUUCCUUGUAUUUGUUUUUUCAUUUUGAAUGGUUGCCAAAUGUUUCGAGUCAGCUUCUGGAAUCAAGGUGCAUUAAUGGUCUUUGUCCUCGGCGUACCGAAAGUGCCGGACAAUAGGUGGUUGCCAAAUGUUUCCAGUCAGCUUCUGGAAUCAAGGUGCUUUAAUGGUCUUCGUCCUUGGCGUACCGAAAGUGCCAGACAAUAGGUGGUUGCCAAAUGUUUCCAGUUAGCUUUUGGAAUCAAGGUGCUUUAAUGGUCUUGCUCCUUGGCGUUCACCGAAAGUGCCAAACAACAGUUCCCAGUAGUGGAAGUAAGCUAGUGAAGUCGUCUAAAAAAACAAGCCAAAGUUGUUGUCAUUUACUUGGACUUCUUCCUUUUCAUAUUUGAAUUUCAAGAACCAGAAAUUGUGGUGUAAGUUCCUCCUAUGAUCCUAUCCUUCUAUAAAUUUCCUUGUCAAGCAACAAUGGAACUCACCAAAUUCACAACUCAACAGCCAUCUCUCUAUUUCUUUCUGCUUCUCUUUCUAAUUAUAUAGUUAACCAGAUCAGGAAUGGGGGUUUUGGUUUUGAAAUUGAUCUUAAUAUACUAGCUUAUCAGUGCAGUGUUCGUUUGCUGUUGGAGCUCCCUGCAAUCGGGACUCGGAAGGAAUGCGACGGAUAGGUUGGCGCUGCUAGCCAUCAAAGCUCAAAUAAAGCAAGAUCUCCAUAAUUACAAUGUGAUGAGCUCCUGGAACGAAUCCAUGCACUUUUGCAUGUGGCAUGGUGUGACGUGCAGUCGACGACAUCGCCAAAGGGUCACUAACCUGGACCUGCAAUCUCAAAAUCUGGUAGGAAAACUAUCCCCAAACAUUGGAAAUCUAAGCUUGCUAAGGGAGCUGUGGCUGCAAAACAACAGCUUCAGUCAUGAAAUUCCUCCACAAAUUGGGAAUUUGCGUAGAUUGCAGGUAUUACGAUUAGACAUGAACUCAUUUAGUGGCAGUAUUCCACACAAUAUAUCAUAUUGCUUCAACCUUAUCUUUAUGAAUUUCACUUACAACAAGUUGGUGGGUAAAAUUCCUUCAAAAAUUGGAUUGUUGUCGAAGCUGCAACAUUUUGCAUUAGAAUAUAAUAAUGUAACGGGACAGGUCCCUCCUUCCUUAGGGAACCUUUCGUCUCUCCGGGGACUAAGUCUUCUUAGUAAUAACUUGAUGGGAAACAUCCCCAGUUCUCUCGGCCAAUUGAAAAAAUUAACCUUCUUGGGAUUGGGGUUCAAUCAGUUGUCUGGUAGCAUUCCUUCCUCCAUUUAUAACCUCUCUUCUCUUGUUACAUUUUCCAUAGUAAUCAACCAAAUUGAAGGGAGUAUUCCAUCAGAUAUUGACAAAAGUUUUCCUAAUCUCGAAAAAUUCAACGUCGGCUCUAACCAACUUACUGGGUCCAUUCCUCCCUCAAUAUUCAAUGUCACAAGUGUUGGGAGAUUUGACGUUGGGAGUAACAACCUAAUCGGACAGGUACCGAGUCUCCAAAAGCUUCACAACCUCCUUUUUUUCAACAUUCAAUUUAAUAAUAUUGGAAGCGGUAAAGAUGGUGACUUAAGUUUUCUCUCGGACUUGACCAAUGCCACCCAGUUACGAGUGCUGCUUAUUGACAACAACAAUUUUGGAGGGACAUUGCCCAUGUCAAUAUCCAAUCUCUCAAACAAACUGGAAAUGUUUUGGGUUGGCGAUGACCAAAUAUAUGGAAGUAUCCCAUCUGGGAUAGGGAAUCUGGUGAGCUUGGAAUCGUUGCUUUUGGAGAAUAGUAGCUUCACAGGUAACAUCCCCUUUGACAUGGGUAAGCUUUCAAACCUUGGAGAAUUAGAUAUUUCCAUGAACAAAUUAUCAGGAAAUAUUCCGUCUUCCUUAAGAAAUUUAACCAAGUUAUUCCAUCUUGCGUUGCAUAGAAAUCAUCUUGAGGGCAGAUUCCUUGAAGCCUAGGGGAAUGCCAGGGGUUGCAGUUGUUGAAUCUUUCUUAUAACCUUCUAAAUGGCACAAUACCCAAACAAGUUUUUAGACUCUCCUCCUUAUCGAUUUCUUUGGACUUGUCUAAUAACCUCUUUACAGGUUCCCUUCCCCCGGAGGUUGGGAAUUUACAAAGUCUAAGUGAACUGGACAUUUCUGAUAACAUGUUAUCUGGAGAACUCCCCAGUAGCCUUGGUGGUUGUGAAAGUUUAGAAGUCCUGCAUUUGCAAGGAAACUUCUUCAACGGGUCCAUUCCUUUGUCUAUGAGUUCAGUGAGAGGGAUUCAAGAUCUAGAUCUUUCUCGCAAUAAUUUUUCAGGUGAAAUUCCACAUUUUUUAGAAGGCUUUAGAAUCCUAAAUAAUCUGAACUUAUCAUUCAAUCAAUUUUGGGGAGAGGUACCAACUGGAGGUGUUUUCAAAAAUGCAAAUGCUAUUUCAGUUGUUGGCAACACUAAUUUGUGCAGCCCUGUUGCUAAUUUAAAGCUUCCCAAGUGCAAGUCUAAAGAGACCAACAAACGAAGAUUGUCUCUUAGCUUGAAACUAAUACUCCCUUUACUAUUUGGACUUGCUCUUCUUGGAAUAGCCAUGGUGUUCUCCUAUUUCUUUCUUUGUUCGUCAAGGAAGAAAAGGAAAGAAAUUUCAUUGAGCACUUUGGGGAACACUAUUUUGCAAGUUUCAUAUGCUACUCUACUCAAAGCUACUAACGCGUUCUCAGAGGCUAAUUUAAUUGGUGUUGGUAGUUUUGGGUCUGUGUACAAGGGAGUUCUUGAUGAUGAUGAUAAAGCUCAACUAGUUGCCGUGAAGGUGUUUAACUUGUUACGCCUUGGAGCUUCGAGGAGUUUCAUAGCUGAAUGUGAAGCUUUGAAAAAUAUUAGGCAUCGAAAUCUCGUCAAGAUUAUAACUGUGUGUUCAAGUGUUGAUUUUCAUGGUAAUGAUUUCAAGGCUCUAGUUUAUGAGUUCAUGGACAACGGGAGCUUAGAGGAGUGGCUGCAUCCACCUACUGGAACUGAAGAGUUAAGAGAUCAUGUACCCAAGAAUUUAAGUCUUUUUCAGAGGCUAGAAAUUGCCAUUGGUGUUGCUUGCGCACUGGAUUAUCUUCAUAAUCAUUGUGAAACACCGAUAGUUCAUUGUGAUCUCAAGCCAAGCAAUGUUCUCUUGGACAACGAAUUGACCGGCCAUGUUUCUGACUUUGGAUUAGCAAGGUUUCUCUCACAAGUAACGAGUAAUGUUUCAGCAAUUCAGAGUCAAACAAGUUCCGUUGGAAUAAGGGGAACAAUUGGUUAUGUAGCUCCAGGUAUAUAUAUGUUAGAUAUAUACUUCAUUAUGUUUCCUUUUUUAUUUUGGAGUAUUUAAUUUACAAAAUUAAAAAAUGUGAUGUUUGAAUUGCAGAGUAUGGCAUGGGGAGUGAGGUGUCAACGAAUGGUGAUGUUUACAGCUUUGGCAUUCUCUUGUUGGAGAUGUUUACAGGGAAAAGACCCACUGACAACAUGUUUGGUGAUAGCUUGGACCUUCAUAAUUUGUCAAGAUGGCUCUCCCCAUGCAAGUUACUGAGAUUGCAGACGCACCACUUCUUCAAGGACGCACGAACGAGAAUCUCAAUCAAUGCACUACAAGAAUUCAUAGAGUUGAGGUGUGCUUGAGUUCAAUAUUUAGAAUUGGAAUUGCUUGUUCUGCUGAAUCCGCAACAGAUCGACUAAAGAAUAUCAAUGAUGCUGCAUCUAAACUUCAUUCCAUUAGGAAUACUUUUCUUGGAUAGAAACUAUUUCUUAUGUGCUUUUGUGAUUGAGAAAUUUCGUGUACUGCCUGUGAAGUCUAGCUUUUAUGUUACCACAGUAGAUGUGAAAGUUUGCAACGUAAAUAAUCACCAAUGAGGUUCAUUGUGUGAAGAGUGUUUUACUACUUCUUGUACUUGGUAUUUUUGUGUAAUAUUCACAUCUAUUAAAGUCUAGUACGUGCCACGAAAUUCUUGAAUAUACACAUUGACAGAUUCCAAAUUUUCGAAAGAUUCAUCACCUCAAGAUCCUCAACUUAUAUUCAACAAAAUCAUCUUGGAAGCGGUAAAGAUGGUGAUUUGAGUUUCCUAUCAGACAUGACCACUAUCAAUGUAAGGUGCUUUCGAAAAUCAAAGUGCUAUUUCAAUUGUUAACAACACUAGAUUCUGCAAGGGAAUUUCUAAUCUCAAGCUGCCUAAUUGCUGCUAGAGUUUGAAUAGAAAAUGUGGGGUAUUGUUGGAACUUUUGUGAAUAUGUGGGAUUGGGAGUCCCGCAUCGCCCAUUUCCCAUCUUAAAGUUAUCUUUAUAAGUGUGUCCUCACACUUAUGGUUUGAAAACAAUUGGGCCUAGGCCAUGGACCUUGGGCCUUAGGCUUGGAAGGUUUAGGUGUAUAUUAAAUGUCAAAGAUGGGCCUUGGGCCAUGGUGCUCGGAUGGACGAAAACACAAGUUACGUUUUUUAUUUUUGGGAUUUAGUUUUUUUUCUGAAAGGAUAAAACUGAUUGAACAGUUAUGUCAGUUUUAUAACUGAUAAGAAUGAACAGUUAUGUCUGUUCAAUUUAUGCCAUUAUAUAUAUGGCAAUAAGAUCAGAAACUUAACAUAGAAUUUCCAACGCUUCCUUUUCAUCUUACACAGAGAAACGCACAACCAAUUCGCCAAGAAUCCAAGUUCGAGUGCAAGAACUUGGAUUAGAUAGUUGUAUCCUGCAAGAUAGAUGUCCGUUGAACUAUUGCAUGGGUGUAGGGGUGAAUUUCUGUCUUAGGUGAUUGCAUUUGCAAGCCUUUAUCUUCAAGAACAAGUCAAUGAUUUGUGAUUUUAUAUGCAAUUUACUUAAGUGUUUGUAUUUUGAUAUUUAUAGUAUUUGUUGUUGAAUUUAGCAUUCGAAAUAAACUGUGCAAAAUAUAUAUUGUGUCAGUGACAUUUGAUUGGUUUCCAACAUUCUAAGACAGAAAUUUUCAUUAUGAAACCAUGGAUCAAUCAAAUGUUGGUGUCGUCAAGCAACACGUUGAGAAACCUGAGAAAUUCAAGGUUGUUGAUUUCAAACGUUGACAACAUAAAAUGUUGUUCUAUUUGACAACUCUGAACUUGCGUCAUGUGAUUACUUCUGAGGCCCCUUGGAGAAUUAGAUAUUUCCAUGAACAAAUUAUCAGGAAAUAUUCCGUCUUCCUUAAGAAAUUUAACCAAGUUAUUCCAUCUUGCGUUGCAUAGAAAUCAUCUUGAGGGCAGCAUUCCUUCAAGCCUAGGGGAAUGCCAGGGGUUGCAGUUGUUGAAUCUUUCUUAUAACCUUCUAAAUGGAACAAUACCCAAACAAGUUUUUAGACUCUCCUCCUUAUCGAUUUCUUUGGACUUGUCUAAUAACCUCUUCACAGGUUCCCUUCCCCCGGAGGUUGGGAAUUUACAAAGUCUAAGUGAACUGGACAUUUCUGAUAACAUGUUAUCUGGAGAACUCCCCAGUAGCCUUGGUGGUUGUGAGAGUUUAGAAGUCCUGCACUUGCAAGGAAACUUCUUCAACGGGUCCAUUCCUUUGUCUAUGAGUUCAGUGAGAGGGAUUCAAGAUCUAGAUCUUUCUCGCAAUAAUUUUUCAGGUGAAAUUCCACAUUUUUUAGAAGGCUUUAGAAUCCUAAAUAAUCUGAACUUAUCAUUCAAUCAAUUUUGGGGAGAGGUACCAACUGGAGGUGUUUUCAAAAAUGCGAAUGCUAUUUCAGUUGUUGGCAACACUAAUCUGUGCAGCCCUGUUGCUAAUUUAAAGCUUCCCAAAUGCAAAUCUAAAGAGACCAAGAAACGAAAAUUGUCUCGUAGCUUGAAACUAAUACUCCCUUUAGUAUUUGGACUUACUCUUCUAGGAAUAGCCAUGGUGUUCUCCUAUUUCUUUCUUUGUUCGCCAAUGAAGAAAAGGAAAGAAAUUUCGUUGAGCACUUUGGGGAACAAUAUUCUGCAAGUGUCAUAUGCUACUCUACUCAAAGCUACUGACAGGUUCUCAGAGGCUAAUUUAAUUGGUGCUGGUAGUUUUGGGUAUGUGUACAAAGGAGUUCUUGAUGAGGAUGAUAAAGCUCAACUUGUUGCCGUGAAGGUGUUUAACUUGUUACGCCGUGGAGCUUCGAAGAGUUUCAUAGCCGAAUGUGAAGCUUUGAGAAAUAUUAGGCACCGAAAUCUCGUCAAGAUUAUAACCGUGUGUUCAAGUGUUGAUUUUCAUGGUAAUGAUUUCAAGGCUCUAGUUUUUGAGUACAUGGACAACGGGAGCUUAGAGGAGUGGCUGCAUCCACCUACUGGAACUGAAGACUUAAGAGAUCAUGUACCCAAGAAGUUCAGUCUUCUUCAGAGGCUAGAAAUUUCCAUUGGUGUUGCUUGUGCACUAGAUUAUCUUCAUAAUCAUUGUGAAACGCCAAUAGGUCAUUGUGAUCUCAAGCCAAGAAACGUUCUCUUGGACAACGAAUUGAUUGGCCAUGUUUCUGACUUUAGAUUAACAAGGUUUCUUUCACAAGUAAAGAGUAAUGUUUCAACAAUUCAAAGUCAGACAAGUUCCGUUGGAAUAAGAGGAACGGUUGGUUAUGUAGCUCCAGGUAUAUAUAUGUUAGAUAUACACUUCAUUAGAUUUCCUUUUUUAUUUUUGAGUAUUUAAUUUACAAAAUUCAAACUGAACUAUUUAUACACAAAUGUGAUGUUUGAAUUGUAGAGUAUGGCAUGGGAAGUGAGGUGUCAACGAAUGGUGAUGUCUACAGCUUUGGCAUUCUCUUGUUGGAGAUGUUUACAAGGAAAAGACCCACUGACAACAUGUUUGAUGAUAGCUUGAACCUUCAUAAUUUUGUCAAGAUGGCUAUCCCUUAGCGAGUUAGUAAGAUUGCAGAUGCACCACUUCUUCAAGGAUGCACGAACGAGAAUCCCAAUCAAUGUAGUGCGAGAAUUCAUAAAGUUGAGGUGUGCUUGAGUUCAAUAUUUAGAAUUGGAAUUGCUUGUUCUGCUGAAUCCACAACAGAUCGACUAAAGAAUAUCAAUGAUGCUGCAUCUGAACUUCAUUCCAUUAGGAAUACUUUUCUUGGAUAGAAACUUUUUUUUAUGUGCGUUUGUGAUAGAGAAAUUUCAUGUACUGCCUGUGAAGUCUAGCUUUUAUGUUACCACAGUAGAUGUGGAAGUUUGCAAUGUAAAUAAUCACCAAUGAGGUUCAUUGUGUGAAGAGUGUAUUACUACUUCUUGUACUUGGUAUUUUUGUGUAAUAUUCACAUUGAUGAAAGUCUAGUUCGUGCCACGAAAUUGUUGAAUAUUCACAUUGACAGAUUCCAAAUUUUUUAAAGAUUCAUAAUCUCAAGACCCUCAAGAUUCAAUAAAAUCAUCUUGGAAGCUGUAAAGAUGGUGAUUUGAGUUUCCUAUUAGACUUGACCACUAUCAGUGUAAGGUGUUUUCGAAAAUCAAAGUGCUAUUUCAAUUGUUGACAACACUAGAUUCUGCAAGGGAAUUCCUAAUCUCAAGCUGCCCAGCUGCAAUCUAAAGAGCUCCAAGAAUAGAAGAUUAGCUUAUAGCUUGAAAUUAAUAAUCCCUUUUGUAUUCAUACUUGCUCUACUUUGCAAGUGUCAUAGGCUACUUUCUCAAACGCCACUGAUUGGUUUUCUUCAGCUAAUUUGACAGUUUUGAGUUUGUAUACUGACAAUAGAGCUCGGCUUGUACUUGUAGAUAUGAAGGUGUUUAACAAUAUCAAGCAUCAAAGAGUUUCAUAGCCGAAUGUGAGGCUUUGAGAAAUAUCAAGCAUCAAAAUCUCGUCAAGGUCAUAUCUGCAUGUUUUCUCGAUGAUUAUUUCUAGGCUCUAGUUUAUGAGUUGAUGCACCAAAGGAGCUUAGAGGAGUGGUUGCAUCGCCUCCUGUAAUUGAAGAGGUAAGAGAUCAAUACAUCCAACAAUUUAAAAUCUUCUUCAAGGGCUAGAUAUUGUUAUUGGUGUUGCCAUUAUGCACUGGAUUAUUUUCAUAACCAGAGUGAAACACGGAUAGUUCAUUGUGAUCUAAAGCCAAGCAAUGUUCUUCAAAACACCAAGUUGACUGGACAUGUUUAUUGAAAGUAGACUAAUCUCAUACUGUUAAUUAUAUGAACUCCUCCAUAGAGGUGAAGGUAAUUGGGUUCAAGUUGGUUGGUAUGGUUAAUAGGGUUUGCAAAUGACCAUUUUUUAAAGAAUUUUAACCCCGACUUUAAAGCCCAUGGGCUAUGACAAAUCAAGGUUUUCUAGCAUUGUUGCUAUCAAUAUUCUCUCAUGUGCAUUCUGAAUUCCAAUCCAAUGGUUUUAGCAAUCUUUCGACUAAUCUUGACAAUGAAAGAGUUUUUUUUUUUUUUGUUCGAACAAAUGAUAUUAUCUAUACUAAGAGGAAGGGGAUAGGUUUAGCUUCAUAAUGGACUAACAAUAAUGUGGUUCAAAUUCGUCUUUGGCAAGAAUCCAACUCAAGACUUCUCACUUACAAGUGAAAAGAAUAGUACUAAGUGACAUGAAAGGGUUUCUAUUAAACCCACAAAAAUGAAAACUCUCAGCAGUUUAUUAAUGGAUUUGAAUUUAGAUUUAUUACAAUUGAUAAGAGAUUUUUUUUUUCAGCAAUCAAUAGGAUACUAACAAAUUUGUUUUUAGUACAAAGAUAUGUCACGAUAAUGUGACUUAUAGCUAUGUCAUUGGCCUUUUAACUUAUUGUCCUAUCUUUGACGCACUCCAAUUAAUGUCGUCCUCUAAUUGUUAGUAUUUAAUGAAUCUCAUCCUAAAUUGUUACCCAAAAUAUUAAUUAUCAAAGCAAAUAAACUUGAUUGAGUUAUAAAUUUAUCAUGAUCCAGUUGGCAUGGUUCGGAGAAAAAUCAAUUUUGUUCAUAAUUUUCAUGUCUUCCUAGUGAACAUGGGGCUAUAAGUGAAGUUCCAAAGGAUACGGUGGUGUAAUUUGCCCCAUGAAUUGUCUCCUCCAAUUUGCAUGCAUACGGUAGGUGACUGACUCCCAAAUAAUUCUCGUUACCAAGCAAAUUAAAUAUCAUUAAUUAAGAGCUUAAAACUCUUUAAUUAUUACCUCUCUAUUUUGCUUUUGCAAUUAGGAUAUUUUCCCCUUUUGCGUAAAAUAUUAUAAGAAUAUUUUUGUUCUCCACACUCAAAUGAUGGUGAUACUCACUACUUUAUUUAUCACCGUUAUGAGUUUAAUACCCUGGAUAAACACAAAUCUCAAAAUUUAAACCCAUACAACGGUAAUAAAUAAGGUUAUAAGCAUUACCACCACUUGAGGGUGAUGACUAAAAAUCACCCCAAUAAUAUAAGAGGUAGUUAAGUUAGUUGGUGUGGUAGUUGGUCUUUAGCAAGCUUCUUAUAGAAAAGAAGAAUCUGGGUACUUUGGCCGUUUUGCAAAAGAAAAAGAAAGAAAGGGGCAUUUGAUGUUGCAACAGGCAUAGUGAUGGUGCUAGCCGCCUGCUUCUUGGUGUUUUUUUUAAAAGAAAAUAUAAAAAAAUAAGAAAAGGCUAAUUUGCACCCUUCGGAUAUUAUGAUGCCAAUUUGCUUGGUUGAGAAACUUGUGGCUUUUCUAAUGGAGAUUACGUAAAGGUGCAAACAAUUUGUUAAUGGUUGUGCAAAAUAGGUUUCAUCCUAGAAAAUAUGUUCGCGCUCCGCUGCGGGUUUUGAAAUCAUAACCCACAAUUUAACAUGCCCAUUUUUAAAUUAUUCAGAAAUCAAUCAGAGAAAACUUCAAGUAGAAGAAAAAUGAGUUCUCAAUCAGAGGAAACUUCAAUUUCAUGCAAGUUUUUUUGUUCUAAUUUCAGGGCUUAACAAUGCAAGAUUGGAAUUUGCCUUUGGUUCAAAGAAGUAAGAUAAACUGAUAAGCAACAACAACAACAACAACAAAGCCUUUUCCCACUAAGUGGGGUCGGCUAUAUGAAUCUUAGAACGCCAUUGCGCUCGGUUUUGUGUCAUGUCCUCCGUUAGAUCCAAGUACUCUAAGUCUUUUCUUAGAGUCUCUUCCAAAGUUUUCUUAGGUCUUCCUCUACCCCUUCGGCCCUGAACCUCUGUCCCGUAGUCACAUCUUCGAACCGGAGCGUCAUUCGGCCUUCUUUGCACAUGUCCAAAUCACCGGAGCCGAUUUUCUCUCAUCUUUCCUACAAUUUCGGCUACUCCUACUUUACCUCGGAUAUCCUCAUUCCCAAUCUUAUCCUUUCUCGUGUGCCCACACAUCCCACGAAGCAUCCUCAUCUCCGCUACACCCAUUUUGUGUACGUGUUGAUGCUUCACCGCCCAACAUUCUGUGCCAUACAACAUCGCUGGCCUUAUUGCCGUCCUAUAAAAUUUUCCCUUGAGCUUCAGUGGCCUACGACGGUCACACAACACGUCGGAUGCAUUCUUACACUUCAUGCAUCCAGCUCGUAUUCUAUGGUUGAGAUCUCCAUCUAAUUCUCCGUUCUCUUGCAAGAUAGAUCCUAGGUAGCGAAAACGGUCGCUUUUUGUGAUCUUCGCUAGAUUGCUCCGGUCAUUAGUGUGGAUAAGUAUAUAAAUGGAUAGAGAUAGGAAAGCAAACACAAGAUGUACGUGGUUCACCCAGAUUGGCUACGUCCACGGAAUAGAAGAGUUCUCAUUAAUUGUGAAGGGUUUACACAAGUACAUAGGUUCAAGCUCUCCUUUAGUGAGUACAAGUGAAUGAUUUAGUACAAAUGACAUUAGGAAAUAUUGUGGGAGAAUGAUCUCGUAAUCACGAAACUUCUAAGUAUCGGAGUGUGGUGUCGUCUUCUUGACUUGCCUUAUCUGUCUCAUAGGUAGAUGUGGCAUCUUCUCUGGAAGUACUCUUCCUCCAUCCAGGGGUGGUAUCUUUAACUGGUGGAGAUGCACAAGGUAAUGUAUCAAUUUCACUUGAAGCUUACUUGUAGUUUCAGGCUUGGUCAAGCGCGAUACAAACCAUGUAGUAGGAGUCCCCCAAGUCGCCGAGCUAGGGGGUCUGCUGAAAGAGGUGACAGACAAGGUAAGCAAUCAGAGCUCCGACUGAUUGUUCACCUUCUCCCCAUCUUGCAGCAGCAUGAAGGAUAAAGAGAAGAAAAAUGAGAAGAGAUGAUAUGAGAUACUUUUGUUUUUGAAGAAGUAACUUUCCACAGGCUUAUUCUUGAACUGAGCUUGAGGGUUUUCUGGUUUCCUCCAGAGUAUAAGGCCGACUGAAGAAUUUGAGGGUCAAAACAAGUCCAUCAAAUCUAGAGUACGUUCCACCCUGCUGAUAUGGGAUACCUUUGCUUUUGACAGAGUAAUGGAUGUAUCGGCACGUGUGCUGUUACGCUUGUCUCCACAUGCUUCCUUGUAUCCUUCGCACUUGCCCUAUCUGUUCCUCAAACAGAUGCGGAAUCUUCCCUGGAAACAUAAGAUGUUGAAGAUGAGUACUCGACAGCAAUGCCAGGUAAGUAAUCAGGUAAGGGGUUCCAGGCAGUCAGUUCCUGACUGGAAGCUUGAUUCCAAGUGCUGACUGAUUGCUCUCUUUCUCCUUGUCUUGCAAUAAAAACAAGGCCAAAGGAAAAGACAGGGAAAAAGCAUGAUAUGGGAUACUCUUGCUUUUAACCCUGAUGAUAUGAGAUAUUCUUGCUCUAGUAUAGCUUGUUUGCAGAGGUAUUAUCGGGGGGAAAGAAAGCUGAAUAUUUCGAAAGGCUUCGUUGGGAGUGCCCUCUCAGAUAUGAUGAAGGGUUGAGCAUUUUUUCAGGUCUGCCUGUCCGUUGGGGAUGGAAGGUCGACAUAUAUAGGAGUCUCCCUAACAACAAGUAGUAAUGCUAUUCCUUUACCCUGCUUGGUCAUAGCACGGUAGUGGGAGCUGCCAGUUUCACAUGUUUUAACUCUGUCAGAGCACUUUGAAAAAGUGGUCUGUGGUAUCUGGCUCUCGAGAUUCGGAGAACGAUGCCUCUUCAAUUUUUGAGAAAGCAAUCAUGCUGGGGGUCUGGCUCUCGAGAUUCGGAGAGCAGUGUCUCUUCGAUUUUUGAGGAAGUAAUCAUGUUGGGAGUCUGGCUCUCGAGAUUCGGAGGGCGGUGCCUCUUCGAUUUUGGAGCAAGCAAUCUUGUUGGGAGUGUUGUCUCGAAUGUGAGUAAAGGUUGGGCAUGUUUGCUAGUUUACCUUGCCACGAAGCACAAAGGUUGACACACAGGGACUUUCCAAUUAUCCAGCAAUGGUACUGUUCCUUUACCCUCUCUUCGAUUUUGAGAAAGUAGUCAUGUUGGGAGUCUGGCUCUCGAGAUUCGGAGGAUGGUGCCUCUUCGAUUUUGGAGCAAGCAAUCUUGUUGGGAGUGUUUUCUCGAAUGUGAGUAAAGGUUGGGCAUGUUUGCUAGUCUACCUUGCCACGAAGCACAGAGGUUGACACACAGGGACUUUCCAAUUAUCCAGCAGUGGUACUGUUCCUUUACCCUUGUGGGUAAUAAUAUGGUAGCUAGACCUUCAAAAUUUAUGUGUCUAAACUUUGUUAGUGCUGUUUCUUUGCUAUUCUUUUACCUUUCUUGGUCAGAGCGAUGUAGUGGAAGCUGCAAGCUUCACGUGCUCAACUUUGGCAGAGAACUUUGGCAAAGUUAUCUGUGGUACCCAUGAGCUAUUGUUGCGUGUGGGAAGUAGGUGAUUGAACAGUAAGAUUCAUGUGCUUUCUACUUCACCAGAAGUCUUCGACAGAAUGCCCAUAAUUUCCGCAAAGCUGAGUGUGCGUGUGACAGGUGCUGACAAGACUAGAAAAGUAGGUGCCUCUUCGAUUUCUGAGAUCGGCCCUCGUGGUCUCUGAGUAGCCCAGCUUUUGAGAAAGCGAGCGCCUCUUCGAUUGAUUCGGAGAACGAUGCCUCAUCGAUUUUUGAGAAAGCAAUCAUGUUGGGGGUCUGGCUCUCGAAGAUUCGGGGAGCAGUGUUUCUUCGAUUUUUGAGAAAGUAAUCAUGUUGGGAGUCUGGCUCUCGAGAUUCGGAGGGCGGUGCUUCUUCGAUUUUGGAGCAAGCAGUCUUGUUGGGAGUUUUUUCUCGAAUGUGAGUAAAGGUUGGGCAUGUUUGCUAGUCUACCUUGCCACGAAGCACAGAGGUUGACACACAGGGACUUUCCAAUUAUCCAGCAAUGGUACUGUUCCUUUACCCUCUCUUCGAUUUUUAAGAAAGUAGUCAUGUUGGGAGUCUGGCUCUCGAGAUUCGGAGGACGGUGCCUCUUCGAUUUUGGAGCAACCAAUCUUAUUGGAAGUGUUUUCUCGAAUGGGAGUAAAGGUUGGGCAUGUUUGCUAGUCUACCUUGCCACAAAGCACAGAGGUUGACACACAGGGACUUUCCAAUUAUCCAGUAGUGGUACUGUUCCUUUACCCUUGUGGGUAAUAAUAUGGUAGCUAGACCUUCAAAAUUUAUGGGUUUAAACUUUGUUAGUGCUGUUUCUUUGCUAUUAUUUUACCCUUCUUGGUCAGAGCGAUGUAGUGGGAGCUGCAAGCUUCACGUGCUUAACUUUGGCAGAGAACUUUGGCAAAGUUUUCUGUGGUACCCAUGAGCUAUUGUUGCGUGUGGGAAAUGGGUGAUUGAACAGUAAGAUUCAUGUGUUUUCUACUUCCCUAGAAGUCUUCGACAGAAUGCCCAUAAUUUUCGCAAAGCUGAGUGUGCGUGUGACAGGUGCUGACAAGGCUGGAAAAGUAGGUGCCUCUUCGAUUUCUGAGAUCGGCCCUCGUGGUCUCUGGGGAGCCCAGCUUUUGAGAAAGCGAGCGCCUCUUCGAUUUCUGAGAUCAGCCUUCGUGGUCUUUGAGCAGCCCAACUUUUGAGAAAGCAAACACCUCUUCGAUUUCUGAUAUCAACCCUCGUGAUCUCUAAGCAACCCAGCUUUUGAGAAAGCAAACGCCUCUUCGAUUUCUGAGUAGGUGCCUUUUCGAUUUCUGAAGCUCCGUCGAGUGCAGAUUUUUAUAGGGGCUGGCAUUAAGUUCCAAAGCACACUUGAAUCUCCACCAGUAGAAGCUUCAUUCUUGCACUUCUAAGAUCUUGAUUUGUCCGACAACAUAUGGCGCCCAUCUUUUGUCGCCCCUACUGGUCCUCUUACCGUUGGGGAUUCCGUGAUGAAGAAUGAUAUGACCGCUGCGGUGGUGGCCAGGAACCUUCUCACUCCCAAAGAUAACAGACUACUUUCCAAACGGUCUGAUGAGUUAGCUGUUAAGGAUUCGCUGGCUCUCAGUGUUCAGUGUGCAGGUUCUGUGUCUAAUAUGGCCCAACGCCUAUUUGCUCGAACCCGCCAAGUUGAAUCAUUGGCGGCUGAAGUGAUGAGUCUCAAACAGGAGAUUAGAGGGCUCAAGCAUGAGAAUAAACAGUUGCACCGGCUCGCACAUGACUAUGCUACAAACAUGAAAAGGAAGCUUGACCAGAUGAAGGAAACUGAUGGUCAGGUUUUACUUGAUCAUCAGAGAUUUGUGGGUUUGUUCCAAAGGCAUUUAUUGCCUUCGUCUUCUGGGGCUGUACCGCGUAAUGAAGCUCCAAAUGAUCAACCUCUGAUGCCUCCUCCUUCUAGGGUUCUGUCCAGUACUGAGGCUCCAAAUGAUCCCCCUCCGGUGCCUUCUCUUUCUGGGGCUCUACCGACUGCUGAGACUUCUUCUAAGCAACCUUUGUGAAGGCUCCCUCUUGUGUGUUUAUUUUGACUCAUGUAUAUGUACAUAUUUGUAGCUUAUCGGGGAUAUCAAUAAAUAAGCUUUCCUUCAUUUCAACGUAUUGUGUUAAAUACACCAAAGCCUUCUUCGCUAAGUUCUUUGAAUUUUCUUUUGUUGAAGCUUGUAUGUUGAAGCUUUCUGAGUGGAGCAUGUAGGUUGGGGUACUGUUCCUUUAAUUUUCCGAGUGAGGAAAACUUCUCGGUUGGAGACUUGGAAAAUCCAAGUCACUGAGUGGGAUCGGCUAUAUGAAUCUUAGAACGCCAUUGUGCUCGAUCCUGUGUCAUGUCCUUCGUUAGAUCCAAGUACUCUAAGUCUUUUCUUAGAGUCUCUUCCAAGGUUUUCCUAGGUCUUCCUCUACCCCUUCGGCCCUGAACCUCUGUCCCAUAGUCGCAUCUUCUAAUCGGAGCGUCAGUAGGCCUUCUUUGCACAUGUCCAAACCACCGUAACCGAUUUUCUCUCAUCUUUCCUUCAAUUUCGGCUACUCCUACUUUACCCCGGAUAUCCUCAUUCCUAAUCUUAUCCUUUCUCAUGUGCCCACACAUCUAACGAAGCAUCCUCAUCUCCGCUACACCCAUUUUGUGUACGUGUUGAUGUUUCACCGCCCAACAUUCUGUGCCAUACAGCAUCGCCGGCCUUAUUGCCGUCCUAUAAAAUUUUUCCUUGAGCUUCAGUGGCAUACGGCGAUCACAUAACACGCCGGAUGCACUCUUCCACUUCAUCCAUCCAGCUUGUAUUCUAUGAUUGAGAUCUCCAUCUAAUUCUCCGUUCUUUUGCAAGAUAGAUCCUAGGUAACGAAAACGGUCGCUCUUUGGUAUUUCUUGAUCUCCGAUCCUCACCCCUAACUCGUUUUGGCCUCCAUUUGCACUGAACUUGCACUCCAUAUAUUCUGUCUUUGAUCGGCUUAGGCGAAGACCUUUAGAUUCCAACACUUCUCUCCAAAGGUUAAGAUUUGCAUUUACCCCUUCCUGAGUUUCAUCUAUCAACACUAUAUCGUCUGCGAAAAGUAUACACCAAGGAAUAUCAUCUUGAAUAUGUCCUGUUAACUCAUCCAUUACCAACGCAAAAAGGUAAGGACUUAAGGAUGAGCCUUGAUGUAAUCCUACAGUUAUGGGAAAGCUUUCGGUUUGUCCUUCAUGAGUUCUUACGGCAAUCUUUGCUCCUUCAUACAUAUCCUUUAUAGCUUGGAUAUAUGCUACUCGUACUCCUUUCUUCUCUAAAAUCCUCCAAAGAAUGUCUCUUGGGACCCUAUCAUACGUUUUUUCCAAAUCUAUAAAGACCAUGUGUAAAUCCUUUUUCCCAUCUCUAUAUCUUUCCAUCAAUCUUCGUAAGAGAUAGAUUGCCUCCAUGGUUGAGCGCCCUGGCAUGAACCCGAAUUGGUUGUCCGAAACCCGUGUCUCUUGCCUCAAUCUAUGCUCAAUGACUCUCUCCCAGAGCUUCAUUGUAUGACUCAUUAGCUUAAUACCCCUAUAGUUCAUGCAAUUUUGUACGUCGCCCUUAUUCUUGUAGAUAGGCACCAAAGUGCUCGUUCGCCACUCAUUUGGCAUCUUCUUCGUUUUCAAAAUCCUAUUGAAAAGGUCAGUGAGCCAUGUUAUACCUGUCUCUCCCAAAAGUUUCCACACUUCGAUUGGUAUAUCGUCUGGGCCUAUUGCUUUUUUAUGCUUCAUCUUCUUCAAAGCUACAACCAUUUCUUCCUUCCGGAUUCGACGAUAAAAAGAGUAGUUUCUACACUCUUCUGAGUUACUCAACUCCCCUAAAGAAGCACUCAUUUCAUGUCCUUCAUUGAAAAGAUUAUGAAAAUAACCUCUCCAUCUGUCUUUAACCGCGUUCUCUGUAGCAAGAACCUUUCCAUCCUCAUCCUUGAUGCACCUCACUUGGUUUAGGUCGUACCUAAAAUGGAAAAUAUUUGCUUUCCUAUAUGCUCUGAAGUUUGCAUAAGUGCUGGAAAUUUAUAAUAUAUAAAGAGACAAUCUCAAAAUAAAACACAUUUGAAGGAAAAGUAAUAAGAAAAGAAAAUACUAUUUUUUACCUAUGAUUCAUGUGGGGAGUAGAAUUUCCAGUCACAAUUGACAACCCAAGAGCUCUGUAAAUCAAAUAUACUGGAAAAGAUCAAUAAAAAGUGAAUUACAGUUUCUCAAAUCAGAAAGUAACAUUUAUUUGAAAAGAUUCAGACUCAUUUUGGAUAUAGAUAAACAAUGGCAUGUUAAAAACCAAAAUGAUAAGGCAUUCAACAUUCAACAUUCACGUAAAAAAAAAUGAUAUACAUGUUAUCCAUCAAUGUUUUGGUAACAAAUUCCCAAAUUGCUCUAUCUACCAAACAUUUGCAGAUCUAUAGUUACAGAUAUUCACUUUUAUGAUAUUCAACCCAAUACCCAAAUUAUUGGCAAAACGACAUUGUAUAUAGAUCUUUUGAGCACCCGAGCCAAUGACAAUAACAUUGAAGGCAACUACAAAAAUUGUACAUUAUAUAAAGAGGCAAUCUCAUAAUCAAAAUUGUCAAAAUCAAUAUUUUAUGGCUACAUUUUUUCAUCAGUCAAUCAAUACACACAGAACACGGAAUCACAUACUUGACAAAAAUUCAAACCCAUAAAUCCGAAAUUAGCAAUGUUAUUUCUUAACCCCCAAAAACAAUCCAAAUCUUAGUGGUUACAUUCAUUAGUCAAGCACUCAACCACUCAGGCACAUCGACCACAACUUGGGAAUGUUAUGCAAAUCUUAGGCAGCUUGAAUCAUUAAAUUUGAGUUGGAAGAAGCUCUGUUACCUGCUCUGCUAGUUGAGGAGGGUCACCCAAUUCGGCACUAUCAUCAGCAUCAGCACAUUUCACACACUCCCGCUUCCAAAACAUUUCACAAAAUCAAAAACCAAAUGAGAUUACGUAGCAGAAAAGAUUGAUGGAAAAAUAGAUUAAGAAAAGCAAGUAAUAUUAAAUAUAGAGGAUGAAUGAUGUUGUUCUGUCAACUAAAAGCAGCCAUGAGUAUUGGAUGGCUAGUGAAGUUAGGCUAGUCAACUUUCUUUAUGUAAAUUAGGCAAGUUAGGUAAGUUAGGCAAGUUAGGCAAAGUUAGGUUUUAUGUCUUCUUUCUUUCCCUAUAUAUAUGUUCAUCUUGUAAUGAGAAAAUCAUCAAAUAAAUCAAGGAAUUAACUCUAUUUUGGCAUGGUAUCAGAGCCAUUCUGAUCCAAAAAGAGUUUCUAUUCUGAUUCACUUACUGGCACUACUGCCAUCUACCCAAUAAGACCUGCUAUUCUGCAGGUCUUCUACUUUCAUACCAAUACCUGCUAUUCUGCAGGUCUUCUACUUUCAUACCAAUCCAAUCUUACUCUUUUUCAUUUGGCCAUAUCUGCCAACAUUAUUACCCAUAUCCAGCUUGUUAACCAUACAUAUUCCGCUGCAUCUUUUCCCAUAUUCUUCCCAUUUGCAGUAUCUCUGCAAAACCCAGAAAUCUUUCCACACAAAAAAUAUACUACCCAAUACCCCAUAAACCAUACCCGUUGGAAUCACCCAACAAAUUUACCCAUAACCUCUGAGGCAGUAAUAAUGGGUGACUCCAAGACCACUGUUUCAGCUACUGUUACUCAAAGUGAUAUGUCUCUACAUAUCACCCCAGACAAGUUGGAUGGGUCCAACUAUUCCUCAUGGUCCCAAAGUGUCCGCAUCUACAUCACUGGCAGAGGUAAAUGGUCUUAUGUCAGUGGAACAAAAAUGGCACCAGCAGAAGCUGAUGCAUUGUAUGCUAUAUGGGAGGAAGAGAAUGCCAUGGUUCAAUCUUGGUUACUCAACUCCAUGACCAGAGAUGUACGAGCCAUUUUUCUCCGACUCUCUACUGCAAAAGAUGUUUGGGAUGCUGUAACCCAAACUUACUCAAUUGAAAAAGAUGCAUCAAAGUUAUACGAACUUCGCCGUCAAGCACUGGCGACUCGCCAGAAUGGAGAACCUUUAUCUGCAUAUUAUGGUAAACUUCAGCAAACAUGGCAAGAAAUUGAUUUCUUGCGUCCUGGUAAAUUGAAGUGCGCUGAUGAUAUUGCUACCCGAGAGACAGAAAUUUCGGAAGAAAGAUUGUAUGAUUUUCUGGCUGGUCUUGAUCCUCAUUUAGAUCAUGUUCGCAGUCAAGUUUUGACUCAAACAACUCUGCCUUCUGUUCGUGCUACUUAUGCUCUUGUGAAUACUGAAGCAAGUAGGCAAACCAUUAUGUUGGUUGGCCCACAAGUGGAAGGAUCCGCCAUGGUAGCUGCUCCGUCUCGAUUUCCCCGUGGAAUCUCCAAUUCUCGAUUAGGUGGAUCCAAAACUACUGAUACAAGGAAGUGUACUUAUUGUGACAAGGAUAAGCAUACUAGAGACACUUGCUUCAAGCUGCAUGGAUAUCCUGAUUGGUGGGUUCAAAAGAAGGAAAAUAAAAAGAAAGGCAUUGGUGGAUCACAAGCACACUUGACACCAAAGCCUUCCAUACCUCGGGUGGAUCAAUCUGCUCACUUAGUUUCUCCUACUACUGCUUCUACUUCCUUAGUCGAUGCAGGUAACUUUGGUUUUGCCUUGAACACUACAAUUGUUCCUCCCAAUAAACCUUGGAUCAUUGAUUCAGGGGCUUCUGACCACAUGACCAAUGACUCUACAUGGUUUGUUUCUCACACUACUCCACCUUUAAAUACCGUUAAAGUUGCUAAUGGUAUUUCUACUCCAGUGCUUGGAGCAGGCUCCAUCUCAUUAACACCAGGCUUAUCUCUCUCAUCUGUUUUACAUGUUCCUAAUCUUUCUCACAAUUUGCUUUCCAUUGGUAAACUUACAAAUCAACUAAACUGUCUUGCCAUCUUUUCUCCUACCCAUUGUUGGUUUCAGGAUAUUCGAACGAAAGCAUUGAUUGGUCAUGGUAGAGAGAGGGGAGGUCUAUACUACUUGGACUUACCACCAGAUUGUGAGAAGACAAGUUACAGUUGUCAAGUGGAGGCCAAACAAUUUGAAGCUUCUGAAAAAAUUUGGUUAUGGCACAAAAGAUUGGGACACCCUUCCUUUCAGUACCUGCAAUAUCUAUUCCCUUCUUUAUUUUCUAAAGUCAAGGUUUCUGAUUUCCAUUGUGAAACUUGCAUUCUUUCUAAAAAUCAUCGUGUCUCAUUUCCUUUAAGUUCCCAUAAAAGUAAUGUUCCUUUCUCUCUUAUUCAUUCUGAUUUUUGGGGACCAUUUCAUAUUCCUACUUAUACUGGUGCUAAAUACUUUGUCUCUUUCAUUGAUGACUGCACUCGAGUUUCUUGGGUAUACUUACUCAAAAAUAAGAGUGAGGUUAUGACUAUUUUUCCAAUCUUUCAUCAAAUGAUUCAAACCCAAUUUCAUGCUAAAAUUCAAGUUGUUCGAUCUGACAAUGGGAAAGAAUAUUUGAAUUAUGGACUUGGAACAUUUUUUCAACAACACGGUAUCAUUCAUCAAACAUCUUGUCCACAUACUCCUCAACAGAACGGUAUAGCAGAACGUAAAAAUCGUCAUCUCUUGGAUGUGGCUCGCUCUUUAUGUUCUGCUAUGCACGUUCCUAAACGUUUUUGGGGUGAUGCCAUUCACACAGCUGUUUUUCUUAUCAAUCGCAUGCCAUCACGUGUUCUCCAAUUUCAAACACCUAUCCAGACCCUUUCCCAAUAUCAUUCUCUUCCUUCACUCCUUCAUAUUCCUCCAAAAGUGUUUGGUUGUGUCUGCUAUGUUCACGUCCCCAUGCAAAAUCGUGAUAAGUUGGAUCCUAGAGCCAUCAAAUGUGUGUUUAUUGGCUAUUCUGCUACUCAGAAAGGGUAUCGAUGUUACUAUCCUCCCACUGGGAAAUUUUUUGUCUCUAUGGAUGUUACCUUUCGGGAACACGAGGCUUUUUUUUCAAAAGAAGAUUUGGCCACUUCUCUUCAGGGGGAGAUAUGGAGUAAGGAGGAAGAGAAGUUGCCCCUUGGCAUUGGUGGUAUGCAUUUUUUAGAUGAACACUUGUCUGAUGUCGGUGAUUUGCCUAAUGAUGAGGCACAAGGUGAAAAAAUAUUGAAGGUGUAUGAGAGGACAAGAAAAAAGGGAGAUAAAGAAAAAAGGGAUGAUGAGAUAGACCACCCACAGACAGAUCCCCACAUUGACCAACUCUCUGACCAAUCAGCUGCUACUCGUACGAAUUAUCCUGAGGUAACCACUCAUUCUCCCUCUCUUCAGCCUACUAUAUUUGAUGAGUCCAAUCAUGAGAUUUCAUUAAGUGAUGAUCCAAAUGAUUCAAAUGAACCACAUCAUGAGUCUCAGGGUUCUCGUUAUCCUAUUCGAGAAAAUCGAGGGAUACCCCCUGUUCGUUAUGGUCAUUCUUCUACAAAGGGUAUUCAAUAUCCUAUAUCUAAUUUUGUUUCAUCUCAUCGCUUGUCAGACUCUUAUAUAUCUUUUGCAAACCAAUUGUCAUCAGUCUCAGUUCCUAAUAAGUUACAGGAUGCUCUUAAAGAUCCAAAAUGGAAAAAGGCUAUGAUUGAAGAGAUGGAAGCGCUUCGAAAAAACUCCACUUGGGAACUGAUUGCACUUCCUGAAGGCAAGAAACCUGUUGGGUGUAGAUGGGUGUUCACAGUAAAGCAUAAAGCUGAUGGUUCAGUGGAAAGGUACAAGGCUAGACUGGUAGCCAAAGGUUAUACUCAAACCUAUGGCAUUGAUUAUCAGGAGACAUUUGCUCCGGUAGCAAAGAUCAACACUAUCAGGGUUCUUAUGUCAUUGGUAGCAAAUCUAGGGUGGCCUCUACGACAGUUUGAUGUAAAAAAUGCAUUUUUACAUGGAGACUUGGAUGAAGAGGUAUACAUGGAUCUUCCUCCAGGAUUCACUACCACUUGCGAUAUUGGCAAAGUAUGCAGGUUAAGAAAGUCCUUGUAUGGAUUGAAACAAUCACCAAGGGCAUGGUUUGGCAGGUUCGCUCAAUCAAUGAGAAGUUAUGGGUUCAAGCAAACUCAAGCUGACCAUACCUUAUUUCUUAAGCAUGAUAGAGGUAAACUUACAGCCUUAAUUGUUUAUGUGGAUGAUAUGGUGGUUACAGGUAAUGAUGUCGAGGAAAUUCAAAAACUUCAAAAGUAUCUAGCCAAGGAAUUUGAAAUGAAGGACUUGGGUACUCUGAAAUAUUUCUUGGGUAUUGAAGUUGCAAGAUCAAAGCAUGGCAUUUUUCUUUCUCAAAAGAAAUAUGUUUUAGACUUAUUAACUGAGACUGGGAUGUUAGCUUGUAAACCUGCAGACACACCAAUUGAGCAAAACCAUAGAUUGGGAGACUAUCAUGAUCAAGUUCCGGCUAACAAGGAAAGGUACCAAAGAUUAGUUGGGAGGUUGAUUUAUUUGUCUCAUACACGACCUGACAUAGCCUAUGCUGUAAGUGUAGUGAGUCAAUUUAUGCACAGGCCAAGCGAAGCCCACAUAGAUGCUGUACAACGUAUUCUCAGGUAUUUGAAGUCUGCCCCUGGAAAAGGCUUGAUGUUUUCCAAUCAUGGACAUCAAGAAGUUGAAGGGUACACUGAUGCAGAUUGGGCUGGGUCAGUAACUGAUCGCAGAUCGACUUCUGGAUACUUUACAUUUGUUGGAGGAAAUCUAGUUACUUGGCGCAGUAAGAAGCAACAUGUAGUGGCUAGAUCCAGUGCCGAAGCUGAAUUUAGAGGUAUGGCACAUGGUGUGCAAGAAUUGUUAUGGCUCAGGACUUUGUUGAGAGAAUUAGGCUUUAAUUCUGCAAAGCCAUCAAAACUUUAUUGUGAUAACAAAGCUGCCAUUAGCAUUGCUCAUAAUCCAGUUCAACAUGAUCGUACUAAACAUGUUGAAGUGGAUAGGCACUUUAUUAAGGAAAGGUUGGUUGAUGGUACCAUUAACUUGCCUUAUGUGAAGAGUGAUGACCAGCUAGCAGAUAUUUUAACAAAGGCAGUGUCAAGUAGGAUUUUCCAUCUUUCACUCAGCAAGUUGGGCAUUCGAGAUAUUUACGCACCAACUUGAGGGGGAGUGUCAACUAAAAGCAGCCAUGAGUAUUGGAUGGCUAGUGAAGUUAGGCUAGUCAACUUUCUUUAUGUAAAUUAGGCAAGUUAGGUAAGUUAGGCAAGUUAGGCAAGUUAGGCAAAGUUAGGUUUUAUGUCUUCUUUCUUUCCCUAUAUAUAUGUUCAUCUUGUAAUGAGAAAAUCAUCAAAUAAAUCAAGGAAUUAACUCUAUUUUGGCAUGUUCAAUAAAUAAGACAGCUGUAUAUAAUAAAUAUCAAAUUAAUAGAGGCAUUAAUCCUAAGUUUGCUAUUCAUUGUUGUCAGUCUAAACUUGAUGACAUAUUGUAAAGUUCUCUUACAUACAGAUUAAUGAAAUAUUAAUUUAUUUCCAUGAGUUAUUUGAUUUUGCAAAUUCAAAAUAAUUGAAGAAUACUGAAAAUUACUAAACCCCAUCACAACAUGCCAUUAGCCAUUAGUGAAAAAUCAAAGACAAAAGUAAAUUACUAUCUUUCUAAGCAUUCAAAUUAAAAAACAAAUUAGCCAAAUUGGAAUGGUUAGAUCAAAUAAAGAUUUAAGUCAACCAAUUACACAAAUAAUUUAUGCAAAGUAGGCUCCUAAUAAAAUGUACCACUAUGGUGGUGGAGGAGGCCCAGGCUCAAACAGUGGAGGAAAGCAGAAUUUAAAUAUACCGCAGCAGCAUGGAAUCCACAGACUGCAUAAUCAAAACCAAAAUUUUAAAAUUUAAAUUUAAAUUUGAAAAAAAAAUGCAGUAGAAUUGUAUAAUGAGAAAUUCUACAAUGUGGAUAAAUUAAUCCCACUCAAUUUAAAUUUAAAGGAUGCAAUCAGUUGUAUUGGGCUGGCAACCGACUUAUGCUCAAAUCCCACUCAAUUUAUCAUACACCCUUCCAACUACAAUUCAAAGGAAGAAGUUCCAAGUCCAUGCAUAAUGUUUGCUCAAUUAAAAUAAAUUGCUUUUCAUGAUUAAAAUAGCCAACCAACCAACACUCAGUUGAUAAAAUUGAACAUUUGGAGUUACAUAUCCACAUAUUUAAGAUCGGACAAACCUUCUCAUGAAGACCACCCAAAGGUCCAUUAGUAAGUUGUGUGACCACACGAUUUACUGCACUUGAGUUUCCUCGUGCAGCUGCAAGAGCUAUGAGCUUACGUUGACCGUCAGCCACUUCUCCGCUUAAGGAUUGAGUCACCGAUGAUGCAGAAUUAAUAGCUUCCUGCAAAGAAGUGAAAUAAGAAACCUUAAUUUGUUAAAAUGUGAGUAAUUACAGUUUUCUCAAUUGAUUAAAACAUCAUCCGAUGGUGUUUUCUAGGCUUUUUUUUUUCCUUCCUUUUGCAGGCCAUUAUUUCAUUAGCCAUCUGCAGAAUUGCAAUUGAUAGAAUCGGUGUGCUUUGAAAUAAUCACAUAGAAUCGGUGUGCUUUGAAAUAAUCAUAACACUUCACAACACAAUGGCAGCAAUUUAUACAAAUUCUAACAACAAAUUGUCAAAAACAAUGAGAACAAUUACCAGAAAUUUCAGAUCUUUUGGGGGUUCAAAGUAAUUACCAGAGUGACGAAAGCUAAAAUCAACACUAGUCCAAUUUUUUUAAAAUAAGAACAGCUCCGAUCUGAGAAAUACAGUGCAAUUUCUGAAGAAAAAAAAGCGAGAAAACCAUAAAAUCCCUAAGAACCCUAAUUUAUAAACCCUAAACAAAUGCAAAAGGAGAGAGGAGACUCGAAUAAAGGGAAAAUCCAGAAAUUCAACGUACCAUAAUCGGAGCGAGGACGCUUUCCGACGGCCAAAUUCAUCGACACCGGAGGCGGUUGUCGACCGUCACUACUUGGUUUGUGUGCUUCAUGUCGAGAGAUAUGGGCAGCGGAGAGAGAGGAAAAGUAGAGGAAGAUGAAAGCUUGUGGGUUUUCCAGUAGACAAGGACAGAAACAGGAAGAGUGAGAGAUGAGAGGAAAGCACACGCGUCUAACCCAUCGCAAUCCGUUCUAAACAACAAAAUUACCCUCUCAACUUUUGAGAAUUACCCUCCCAACCCAGCCCCAUUUGGCUGGCAUUGUUGUAAAUAGCGUGAAAUUGAGUGGCAAAGAUUUGACUGUAGCUAAGCUACAGUCAAUUGCCCCUCAACUUUAGAAUAGAUAACUAGAAAUUAUUACCCGCACGUUGUUGCGGGAUUAAAAGUCAUAAAAAGCAUUAUGUUUGAAAGAUAUAAAAGUUGUACAAUUCACUGCUAUAUUUAAUUGAUACUCCACUUAAAAAUCGUAGAAGUUUUGGCUAUCUAUGUACAUAAAAUAUUAGAUCAAGACAUUCCACUUGGGUAGUUUAUGUAAUUUUCGGUCGACAACAGUACUUAUAUACAAAAGAUUAUGAAACUUUGGGCUAUUUACAUGCAAAAAUGUUAAGAAAUAUUGUGUCAUUUACAUUGAUAAAAUAUGACAAAAAUUAUUAAAUGGAACACCAAAAAUUCCCUCCAAUACUCUUGAUUGUCAAGAAAGUAGUUUAAACCAAUCCACAGACCGAAACUUCCAUGUGUAUUCAGUUUCUAUAAAUCAACCAACUACUCCAUUCCAAACUAUCCAACAAAUAUUUGAUAGCAAUACAACCAACCACCAACAAACAUUUUAUACCCAUCCAAAGACCAAAACCCUUUCAAAUUUCCAUGAGUAUUAAUGAUUUUCAACUAUAUUAUUUGAAGACGGAGACACACAGAGCUAGCAUAGGAACCAAAGAAGAUCUGCAAAAGCAAGUUAAGAGAUCAUCGUAUUACAGAAGCAAAUACAUAAUAAAAUUAAGAGAGUAUCAUAUUACAAAAGCAUAAUAAUGUUCGUUUCCUAAUGUAUUACAAAAACCUAUGAUUUCAUUCCACUUCACAUAAUUCACAGGGUUUAUUUUUAAAACCCACAAAAUUUACAGCUUAGUUCAAAGAAUUUGGUCUGAUUAUUAAUAUUCACACGGAAAAGAUAAGACUCAAAUAAACUGGGCAUUUGAAGUCACUUUCAUAUUUCUUAUAAUCACAUCAGUAUCAUAUAUAUAUACAAAUGUAGCAAAAGAGAAUAGCGAGUGCAAGCACAAAUCUUGUGAUAGUACACAAAAAAUGACUAAACCCGAAAUUCCCAAAACAUACACCAAUCUUAUACAAAAAUCGAUAUCUUAUCGAGAAGAAAUUAGAAUAUCAAAAUCCUAUAACAAAACAUGAGGCACAAUUAUCACAAUUAGAAAAAUAUUUCAAAUAAGAGCCAAACCAAAAAUGCACAUAAAGGUAAGUUGUGAACUCAAAUAAAACUCACUAUGAUGCUCAUUUCUAAUUAUGAAUGCUCUCGGGACUCCAAUCUUCUCAUCCCAGUCGAAAAUAAUGUCAAAUGCAGACUCCUCUGCUGUUUAGAGGGUGAUUGUGGUAACCCAAUUUUCCAAUUAUGUUGCCUUCCAAUUUUUUCUUGCAACCAAGUUUCUAAAAAAAAAAACAGAUUGAAUUCAAAAGGUAAUUGGACCAAGGCAUCAAAAGACAUAAGAAAAAGUAUAGAAAGAAUAAACCACAUAUAUCACGUAUUAUACUACUUUGUAUUCCAAAUACGUGUAAGAAUAUAUCCAUCAACGGCAUCAUAUUUAAGAGUUAGCUUCCAUCAAACCCUUCAUCUAAUCCCACCCUUACUUUCUUCUUUAACCCUUCAUAAUCCCACUUUUACUCUCUCAAACCCCUCAACUUACCCUGGACUUUGUUUCUGCAGCUUAGUUUCAUUUAAAAGCUUAUUUCUCAACAAAAUCAUCAUUAGUUUCAGUCUUAAAUAAUCAACGCAAGAGAACUUAGGAAAUUAUUCUCCACUCUCUUGGUGACCAAACAGAUGAUAAGUGGAGAAAAGGGGUUGUUAAGAAGAAGAGUACCUCAAAUGUUCAGAAAUUAAGAAAUUGAGAAGCUCAGUUGCAUCAUAUAUAUUUAAUAAAUCUCCAUCUUAAAUUAGCUUAAAUCUCCAUCUCAAAUGUUCAGUUGCAUCAGAAAUUAAGAAAUUGAGAAAAGGGGUUCUUCAUAACAUCAAUUUCCAUCUUAAAUUAGAAUAAUCUCUAACGUUAGAAAUAUGAGUACAAACGAAUGCUUAGUAAAAGAAUCGGCCAAUUCUAAUUAAGAAUUGUUAAUCGAACUGUAAAAGCAACAUAUAUAUUUUCCAACUUCUAACACAGAACCAACAGAGAGAAUCCAAUUGAAAACCAUUAUACAAUCAGAAGAAGAGAUAUUUCGAGAAGAAGAGUUCAUUACUGAAGGCAGGGGAGCAGCAGCAAAAACUGAAAAAAGCGAACUUUGGCCUCAAAUUUUAUCUAGAAUAAUUGAAAACAAUAACAAAAUUAACAGUUAAGGGUGAUAAUGUUAUUAAUAUGUGGGUUGUGUCUUUGAAACACCAAGAGGUCAAAAAAUCGAAACAAAGUGGAAUAUAAAUCUUAAAAAAAUUUAGACAAAAACAUCCUCCCCAGAUAAAAUUGAACGAAAAAUUCAUAAAUAUAAAAUUACAAAAAUUAAAUCAUUGGAAAAACAAAACGUACAUGACAACGAAUAAGGUACUUGCAGGCCUCUUAAGCUUGUUCGGAUCCUUCUCAACCUCCUUGCAUCUCCACGUUUACUCUUCAACCUAUGAAAAUCAGAAACCAACAGACACACAAAUAAAGAUGAGAUAUGUGCAUAAUAUCAAACAAAGCUUGGUGGUGAUCUUUUCAAAAGUCAAGUUCGGAGUACAACUUUAUAUUUUUUUUUCACUUACACUGAUGAUAAGUAUAAUCAAGACAGAGAAACUCAUGAACCAGCCUGUCAAAAUCAUUGACGGAGAAAUGAUAAAUAAACGGAUUCAGAAACCUAUUAAGCACUUGGACAAUGAACAUUCCUAAAAAAGGAAUUUCUUGGACAUGCAACCAACAGGUCUACAGAAAAUUAAACACAAAUACAAAAUCAACGGUUCAUAUCGAGAUCUCCGAUCAAAUCGCAAAAAGUGUAAAUACAUACAAAAUCCUUUGAGCCGCACGAUAUUGGAGAAAAUUCAUCUGGUGGUUCAUCAAUUGAAGGCGAUGAUGAUCCAAAAUCAAGAGCGGGGUAGAAGCCAGGUGGCCUUUCUCGAGGUUUAAUUGACAGCAAUUGGCUAGAGUCACCAACGACAUCUGCCCACCCGUAAUGCGGCUCAGCCCUUCAUCAAAAAGUGAAAGAUCAAAAUUACUUUUACAGUAAGAGCAAUACCAGAAAAUGUAAUCUAAAUUCUUUAUAUUUGGUUCCCCUGAAAUCCUUUUGACUGCUUCAACAUACUAUAUGCAGACAGAACCAGAACCAAGUCCAGACUCUUACUCGUAAUAGGUCUCCUCAUCCACAACAAUAUCCCAGCUUUCCCCUGUCGUGCUUUUCCCAUAUUUGUGCACCUUACUGCAAAGAGAGAGCAAGUUAACUUAUCAAAGAAAAGCCAGAACAAUAGAUGCCAAUGCAGUUCAGCAAGUUUAUUUCCUUUCGUACCCAUUUCCAAAGUGCUCUUCUCCUCAUGUCCUUGACCAACCUAGACAUAAGAGAACAAAAACAGAGUUACAUCAGAUUAAAUUAUUGAAAGAAAAAGUUCACUUAUGUUGUAACGAAUUGACAUUAGAAUCAAGCAACCGAGUUCUGAAAUACGAAUUUAAAAUGUAACUAUUUGCUGUGUCCGAAAUGAAUCUGUGAAAUCAAAUAGUUAAACCCUAAAAAGCACCACUGCAAAUAGCAUAAGAAAAUUGAAAUUAACCCUAAAUAAAUUGGGAGAGAAGAAUAUGAAAAGGGAAUACCUUUCGGCCCUUUGAGUUAUUGGAAAAAAAAAACCCAACAGAGCAAAAGAUAAACAAAAAUACAGGAGGAAAGAAUAUAAAUUUUCAACUUGUAAGAUUCAUACGCGAACAGAUUGGCGGUCAAAAGCAUUUCGGAACUCAGAGCCAUCAAGCUUUUUGAUCUGCAGGAAAUUAUUUAUGAAGUUUGAGAUUCUUAUAGACGCUUCAGACACAUCGACAUAUUGAAAAAGCAAUAUUCAACAACCUAGUACCCAUGCUUCAUAGAAGGUUACAGAAAAUAUGAAUGUCUGGACUCUGGAGUGAGAAAGUAAAAGGACUUACCGCAUACUUCAUAUCUUCUAAGUUUGUGUAGUCCACAAUCCCUGUUGUGCCUACAAAAGAGGCAUAGGUCUUAGGAUUACACUUUUGAAAUAACACUAUAUGAAAUAGUAGUGUAUAUCCCAAAAACAAUCUGAAAUCUGGUUGAUCAUCGAAGAGUUCGAAGGGAUUUACCUUUGGAUUCUUCGGCUUUCAGAUGGAGUUUGCUUGUGUGAGGGAGAGAGAGGUGGAGCUGCUAGGGUUUGAGUAUGGAAGAGAUGAAAAAUGGAGAGAGCACCUGUUUUGGCUGAAGCAGCUCACACGCGCGUGGAUCAAAAGUAGCGGCAUGGCCUCCCAUCCCCGAAACCCACCCGCAUGUCCCUCCCGAAAAUCCUUUCCCCGAAAUCCCGGCCAACGUCUCCCUCUCAACCCUUCUGUCGCCCUUCCCUCUCUCUCCCCGAGUCAAAGCCCAAAUCCAACCCAAAGAGUGAAGACCCGUUCUUAAGCCCAGUGGCAAUCUUGUAAAUGAAGCGAAAUUUGGGCUGAAAUCAGCCCGGUGGCAAACUCGUAAAUAACGUGAAAUUGAGCUAAAAUUGCACAGUGCCGUUUCCCCACCCCACCCUUUAGACUAAAGUAAUAAUUUGGGAAAAGGGAAAAUUUUUGAAAUGUCAUAUAAACUUGUACAUAUUUUUCAAUUUGUCAAAUAAAUUAAAAUUUUCAGCAAUUUAUCAUACCAACUUUCCGAAAUCAUCGAUUUGUCAUCUCAUCCUAAUUCUGUUAAAUUUUCCAUUCAAAGUCACAUAACUUGUGUUCAGGGUUAUUUAUGUCAUUUUAACACCUCAUUUCCUUCUAUUAAGUUGCAUUCGAUCACAAUAAUUAUAGGGUUUCUAAAGCUACAAAAAGGGACUGAUAUACGAUACGUGGUCUAAGAGUUUUCGUUCAAAAGGAGAACGACGACGCUUGUGUGUGUUUCAAAUUGAAGAUGACUAAAGAAUAGAGUCAUUGCGAACCCUUCAAUCUAUAUGAUAAAGUUGGAUGAAAUUAUUUAUUAUGGCUGUUUGGAUGAAAUUAUUUAUUAUGACUAUCUACGACAAUGAGAAAUCUGAUUCUUCUAGUUGUAGCUACUCCCGUUUUCUAUGUUUAUUUGCAUUCUUAUUUGAUGGAAUGGCGUUUUACCAUGACAUUGAAUGGUUUUUUAUUUGGUUCUUUGUUUAGUUUGAACUAGAAAAUUUGCCCGCACUUUGCUGCGGGUUUUGAAACCAUUAUCUACAACAGGCAAGAAUAAUUUCCAUAGAAAGUAACUAAAAAGACGGUCUAGCACCUAAGAACCAAUGAAGUGAAACUUUGCUUGUUAUAUAUGGAUAUACAUGCUAUAAGAAACCAUUCAUAUUCAGUUCCAGCGACAAUAUCGCUUUUCUUUAGUCCAUUUUGAAUGGUAUUUCCUGUGGCUUUGGAUCGACAAUAGUACUUGCAUACAAAAGAUUACGAAACAUUGUUUUAUUUACCUGAAGAAAAAUGACAAAAUAUUGUUUUACUUAGUUACCUUCAAAAAAUUUAGAAUUACACUAAAAAUGCUUUUGCUAUUCAAAUAUCAUAUGCCAGAUUGAAAUCGAAAAACUAGACUUCGAAUUCAAAACUAUUCACAUGUGGAAUAAAUUGAAAUGCCUCAAAAUAUUAUCAUUAUCCAAUUGUAUAUGGAAAAUGCCUGAAAGUAAUCCAUGCCUUUCUCAAAAAUAGGUCAUUCAGCGUAAAGCACCAAGUAAUAGCCUCUAAUAUCAGAGAAAAUACCUGCCAAGAAAAGAAAUUAAAAUAUUAGGCAUACGAGUGCAAGCUUACAGAAACUUUGUUUUUGUACACUUUCUUCUCCCUUCAAUGACAGUUUGUUUCUUAUCCAGAAAAAUAAAAUGAGCAGGUCAAUGAUACUCACAUGUGCAAAAUGCUAAUCCUAUGGUCUAAAGCUAACUGAGUUUUUAAGUGUGAAAUCCCUAAUUUCACUGCAUUUGGAUUGAUCACAGUUCAUGACUUGUUAAACUUGAUAUCUCCUUGUACAUUUUGGGAACUUGACAGCUUAAAGAAGUGCUCAUAAAAGCAAAUUACACAAUAUCUACUAAAAAUUUAGAGAAUGGACUCAAUUAGUCAACAAACAGGUGCCUCACACUUAAAUAUUAAAGACCAAAGAGAGAAAACCAAGCCGAACUCUUCAAAAUUUGUUGGCACACAUGCUUCAUUGGCCCAAUUGAAUGUAUAAUGCAUACUUGAUACAACAAUUCGAACAAUUGUUAGAGAUUCACAUAAGCCUCCAAACUUUAAAAAAUUUGAAACCUUAAGAAAGCAGAACCUGUUUUCCUUCAUAUUUUUGCUGUUUCGAUUAGCUUAUCUCGCUAUCACUUGAUUCAUUAGUUCUGAAGGAAGUUCUAAUCACUACGAAAACAGCUUAAUAACAGUUGAUUAUCUCUAAAACAAAGAGGGAAAACAUAGAAAUACUAUUUGUACUCAAAAUCCCAAAUGUGUAACACAUGGUCGUAAUCUACCUUGAUUUCUAAAUUUAAAAUUCGACACAAAAAUGAAAUUUGGAAUGAUUAGCAGGGAAAUAAGAGAGAGAAGUGUGAGCGAAUAUACCCAUGAGGCCUUUGGAUCCGAGUUCGGAGCUGGAAGCGCAGAGGUUAUGAACCCAAAGCAUGGAAGAAGCGGGAAGGAUUUUCCUCUGUGCUGCCUCAUGCACGUGUCUUGUACCAUUCAUCCAAGCAUUGACUGUGUCAAAUAUUGGGCAGUGGGUAAUCUUAAAACUGAUAUAAUCAUAGAAAUAACUUUGUUCAAUCUUUCAGGAUCUUAGCAACAUGUCUUUUGUUUCAUGACUUCUCAACAAAAGAUGUGGCAUCAACAAUAUUUGUGAUGUUUAUUGAAUUUUGAUGUAUAUUUGCUUUAUGAAACAAUUACAAGAUGAAACAUAUAUAUAGGGAAGAAAAAGAUCAUAAGCCUAAUUUUGCCUAACUUACCUAUCUUGUUUGACUAACCUAACUUGCCUAAUUUUGAACAAGAAAGUUGACUAGCCUAAUUUCACCAUUAUUCCAACAUGUUUAUUUCAUGCAUUUUAACACUCCCCCUCAAGUUGGAGUGUGAAUGUCGAUGACACCCAACUUGCUAAUUAAGACCUCAAAUUGUGCCGAGCUUAGUGGUUUGGUGAACAAGUCUGCAGGUUGAUUCGAGGUCCGUAUGUAAGCUGUUUGCACCAUUCCCAUUUGAAUCUUCUCACGUAUUAGGUGACAAUCUAUCUCUAUAUGCUUCGUUCGUUCAUGAAACACUGGGUUCGAAGCAAUGUGCAUGACAGCUUGAUUAUCACAAAACAUUGUGACUGGUUGUGCAUGAUUUACUUGCAAGUCCUUCAAAAUGUUUCUUAGCCAUAUAACUUCACAACAAGUAGUAGCCAUAAAACGGUAUUCUGCCUCUGCACUAGAACGAGAUAUUGUGCUUUGUUUCUUCGUUUUCCAAGAUAUCGGUGCUUGUCCAAGGAAGAUACAAUAAUCGGUUAUUGACCUUCUAAUGUCUUUACACUGAGCCCAAUCAGCAUCACAAAAGGCUUGUAAUUGUAGUGAACCUGUAGAAGGCAAAAGAAUUCCCUAUCCAGGAGAUUGUUUGAUGUACCUGAGAACCUUAUGCACCGCUUCAAGGUGUGGUUGUCGUGGCUUAUCCAUGAAUUGGCUCAACAUAUUAACCACAUAAGUCAGGUCAGGCCGCGUGAUGGUUAAGUAAAUCAGCCUCCCUACGAGUCGCCUGUAUGAAGAAUGAUCAUGUAGGAGCGUCCCAUCAGUUUGUGUAAGGGACAGGUUUGGUUCCAUUGGUAAUCGUGAGGGCUUCGCACCAAGGAACCCAACAUCUUCUAGUAUCUCCAACGCAUAUUUGCGUUGGCACAAGGCAAUCCCUUGUUUAGAUCUUGCAACUUCUAUCCCCAAAAAGUAUUUGAGUUUUCCCAAAUCCUUUAGUUUAAAAUGUUGGGAAAGGAUGAGUUUAGUCUCUUCAAUCUCUCAAAUUGUUACCUGCAAGUAUCACGUCAUCAACAUACACAAGUAAUGCCAUAAAACUGCCUUGACGGUUUCGGACGAACAAUGAGUAAUCUGACCAUGAUUGAUGAAAACCAGCAGUCUUGAGAGCACUAGACAGCUUGAUAAACCAUUGUCUUGAGGCCUGUUUUAAACCAUAAAUGGAUUUGUGUAAUUUGCAUACUCGUGUCUCCCCCUUUCGUCCGAACCCAGGAGGCAAGGACAUAUAAACCUCCUCGUAUAAGUCACCAUGUAAAAAUGCGUUGUUCACAUUAAGUUGAUGAAGAUGCCAGCCUCGUAUGGAGGCAAUACUCAGGAGGACGCGGACGGUGGUGAGCUUGGCAACUGGAGCAAAAGUUUCCCGAUAAUCAAGCCCCUCAAUUUGACUGUAGCCUUUAGCAACGAGACGAGCUUUGUAGCGUUCAACACUGCCGUCAGGUUUAAGCUUCACCUUAUAGAUCCAUUUGCAACCGAUGGGAUGUUUGUGAGGUGGUAAGGGCACAAGAGUCCAAGUGCGAUUGUCAUGAAGGGCAACAAUCUCUUUUUGCAUGGCGUCACGCCAUUUUGGAUCCUGAACAGCUUGCGAAAAACUGGUGGGUUCUUUGAUAAUGGUGAGGGUGGUGAGAAAGGUUUUGUGAGUGGGGGAUACAUGGUCAUAAGAUAAAUAACGAGAUAUGGGGUGAGAUGUACCUGAUGACUGGACCAUGCUUGUGGAAGAUGUGGGAGCAACACGGGAAGGGAGGGCCACCUCAACAUGAAAGUCCUGCAAAAAUGUGGAAGUUUUGGUCGGUCGAGUGCUACGACGGAGUGGAGGUGGUUGGUCUGGUGAUGGAGUGGUUGGAGGUGGUGAAGAGUGUAGGGUAUGUGAAUGUGUUGAUAAGGUAUCUGGUGGUGGAGUUGUAGUAGGUAAAGGAGAUGAGAGUGGGGUGAUGUCGGCAAGUGUGGGAGAGGUAAUGUUUAUUUCUUCGGGUGCAAGGCUUGAGUGCGACUCAAUGGGAGAGGUCAAGUCAAACGUGAUGGGUGAGGGUGUAAUGUUUGAUGGAGACGGGGCAGCGGAAGUGGUAUGAUUUUGGAAUGGAAAAUGAUCUUAAAAAAAAACAACAUCCCUAGAAACAAAAGUCUUAUUGUGUUUUAUAUCAAACAAUUUAUAACCCUUUUUACCAUAAGGAUACCCAAGAAAAAUGCAUUGGAUUGCACGGGGGUCGAAUUUAGAGGGCCUUUGGGCGUGUGUAGAAGCAAAACAUAAACUACCGAAAACCUUUAAAUGGGAAUAGUUAGGUGCUUUGUGAAACAGUUUUUCGUAAGGUGUUUUACCUUGGAGAAGUGGAGUGGGUGUUCUAUUGAUGAGGUAGGCUGAGGUUAAGAUUGCAUCCCCCCAAAAACGUUUUGGCAACAAGCUUGAAAGAGCAAAGCCCGAGCAACAUUGAGCAAAUGCAUGUGUUUACGUUCGACAACACCAUUUUGUUGUGGUGUGUUGACACAACUAGAUUGAUGUAUGAUGCCUUUGAGAGCAUAAAAUUGCUCAAGCUUAAACUCAGGGCCAUUGUCACUUCGUAUGAUUUAACUAUGGUAUUGAAUUGAGUCUCAAUCAUUUGAAUGAAUCCGACUAAAAUGUCUUUUGUGUCAGAUUUAUGUUUCAUCAAAUAAACCCAAGUGCUUCUAGUGUAGUCAUCUACGAUGGUAAGGAAAUACUUGGCACCUGAAAUAAAAGCAACUUGAUAACCACCCCAAAUAUCAAUAUGCAAUAAUUCAAAACAUGAUUUGGUAGAAAUAGAGCUCAAAGGAAAGGGUGAUCUUGUUUGUUUGGCCAAUGGGCAAAUUAAACAUUUUUCCAAAUCACAAGCCUUAUUGUUAAAUAAAGGUAAUAACGAAGUGACUUUAUGAUGGGUGUCCUAGGCGUUGGUGCCAAAGCUUUGGUGAGACGGUUUGAAUAUUGUUGCAUGUUCCUUUCUUUGAUGGGUCGAGGUAGUAAAGUCCAUCCCUUUCAGUUCCUGUCCCAAUCAUCUUCCCCGAGCGAAGGUCCUAAAUGACACAAAAUUGGGUGAAGAAAAUGGUGACAUAUAAGGAAUCAUAGGCUAGUUUACUGAUAGAUAUUAAAUUCAACCUAAAGAACGGCACACAUAGGACAUUUUCAAGGAUAAGAUUAUGAGAGAAAACAACUUGUCCAAUGUGAGUGACUUUGGCAACUGAACCAUUUGGCAAUUCAACUGUAUGAUUUUCAACAGCUCGUGAGUGUGUAAGGAGACUAGGACUGCAAACUAUAUGAUCUGUGGCACCACUGUCCAGGAUCCAAAUACUUUUGGUUCCUUUACAUGAAAAAUAGAAGGCUUUACCUGAAAGUUCUUCAUGACUAGGAAGAUUACUGACUUGAUUGGCAAAUGAUGAUUUGUUCUUGUUCAACAUCUGAAGAAUUUGCUUGCAGUCCUCCUGAGAGAACGGGAAAUUAGGCACUGUCUCUUGCUUGUUACUUUGUGAAACUUGAUUCCCCUUUGAAGAAAAGAGACGAUUGGAUUCGGUCUCUGUGGCUGCUUUCCGUUUUCGACAGAAAUCGAAGGUGUGGCCUUUCCAUCCGCAAAAAGUGCACUUGAGAUGUGCACGACAAUUUUUGGUGAUGUGAUUGGUUUUAUUGCACUUUCCACAUCGCAUCUCCUUGUCUUCAGGUGUAGGUUCUCGCAACAGAUUCUUCACUGCAAAGACAGCAGUUUCUAGUUGUGUGCUUUUCCCAUUGGAAACCUCUGCCUGGCGUUCAUGUCGAAGGACCAACGCAUAUGCCUUGUUCACCGUAGGCAGUGGUUCGAGAAGAAGAGUAUUGCUUCGAACCGUAGCAUACAAUUCGUUCAGUCCCAUAAGGAACUUCAUGGUUUUCUGAGUUUCAACAUAUGAGUUCAUCUCAUUCUUUGUUCCACAACUGCAUGCUAGAAUGGAACACAAAGUAUCACGUUCAUCCCAUAAACUUUUAAGUUUAGUGAAGUAAGAACUUACACUCAUAUUGCUUUGGACGCAAUCAUGGAUCUCGUUCUCAACAUGGAACAGCUGAACUAUAUUCACAUGUGAGAACCUCUCCUGCAGAUCGGUCCACAUUUGUCGAGCAUCCUUGUAGUUGAUGACACUCCCUGAAAUCUCCUUUGACAUGGAGCCUAGUAGCCAUGUAUUGACCAAGUUGUUGCAGCGAUUCCAUUGCUGCAGCUCCUCAAAAUUAUCCUCACUUGGUUUGUUGAUCGUUCCAUCAACAAAACCAAGUUUGUUCUUGACCGUUAAGGCCAUACUCAUGGAUUGAACCCAAGUGUUGUAGUUGUCUUCCACCAAUGGUUGUGGUACGAGGAUUGCACCAGGUUGAUCCGAGUGGUGGAGAUAGAGCGGGUGGUUGGGAUUUUCCCAUUUUGAAUGAGAGGCCAUGCCUAGAAUGGUUGACCUCGUGGCUGCUUUAGAGCUGUGUUUUGUGAUUUUUCCCAGAUCACAGCUCUGAUACCAUAUUGAAUUUUGAUGUAUAUUUGCUUUAUGAAACAAUUACAAGAUGAAACAUAUAUAUAGGGAAGAAAAAUAUCAUAAGCCUAAUUUUGCCUAACUUACCUAUCUUGCUUGACUAACCUAACUUGCCUAACUUUGAACAAGAAAGUUGACUAGCCUAAUUUCACCAUUAUUCCAACAUGUUUAUUUCAUGCAUUUUAACAAUGUUAAUUCUGAAUCAUGUCUCUAUUUUAGAUUGAGAGAGAGAGAGAGCAUGAUUUAAGAUGACAAAAGUGCCAUGCAUCCCUUUAAUCUCAGCCGCGUGAUCCUAACCCUAGAUAGAUAUUUCCAUCAUUUUAGCACCCUAAGGGCCGACCUUACGAAGAAUCUAAGAAGGCCCAUCAAACACAUGAUGGGCGGCCCAAAACAAAGUAACCCAACCCCUAAAACACACUAACCCACCCAGCCCUAAUUUGAUGGCAAUGGCAUAAAUAAAGUAAAAUCAAGUGGCAAACAAUUGACUGUAGCUAAGCUACAGUCAAUUCAAUCCUCAACUUUAGAAUAGAUAGUGUUUGUGUGUAGAAUGUUGUGCGUAGAAUGUCGACUACUUGUUUUAUAUUGAUGUCUUCCUGUGUUUUGUUUAUUUCUUUUAUGUAGAAAGCUGUAACAAGAAAAUUGAAUUGUAGAAGCCGUAGCUCAUAUUCAUUCCUUGGCAGCGUAUAAAUAUAUUGGAUUACAAAGAGUCCUACUGGAAUAAAAGAUGACAUAAAUCAACAUGAUUUGGUUUGUUUACAGAGGGUGGAUUGGAUUGGGACAAGGUCUCUUGUUUAACAUUUUAUGUAUUGAGUCGAGAAUUUGAGAGUUUUUAUCUUUUUUUUAGACAUAUAAAUGGCGUUCAUUGAAAGUUGGUUAUUGUGGGGCAAGUCAGACUUUAAGUUUGACUUGAACACUCUUAAUCUCAAAAUUUAAAGUACUAAAACCUAUUUUCAUGUCCAUGCACUUUUAUGCUGAUGGUUACUUUGUAUCUAAGUAGGGAAUGUUUAUUUGUUUUGUCAUUUUACCGAUUGCUUAAACUUUGAUCACUUAUUUUGUACAAAUAAAUAUGAAUUAUUUACAAUUGCACCAUGGAGGUCACUUUAUAGAAGCCUGUAAUGGAACAAUGACUUGUGUCGGUGGUCGUGUUGCUUGGUUUGACAAUAUGAACUGCGAUCUAAAUGUCCAAGUGGGAUAUUGAGGAUUGUGCGAAGAAGUUAGGGUAUACUAAGAGAUGGUUUGGGAGUGAGGUGCUUAAAAAAAACACCUAUGAAAAAAAGUUGUGAGGGUUUUAGGUGUUUGGUAAACUAAAAAAAAAGUUUAUUUUGGAAGCUGCUGUGAGAAUAAGCUAAAAUAAAAGGAAAAAGCUGAAGCUGCUAUUUGCAGCUUUGGAAAACUGGUUUUUUUUUCAAAAUACACAGAGCUACAGUGCUCCUUUAAUGAAAAUACCCACUAUGAGAUUUUUUUUUUUGCAAAAGCACUUUUACAAAAAAAGUUUACCAAACACUCUGCUAAUUUAUUUCACAGCCGCUUAUUCUCACAGCAAUUUUUUCAAAGCACAGCAAUACCAAACCAGCCCUAAGAUUGCUAAGUACUAUUACACAUUGCCAAAUGACAGAACUUACAAGCCUAUGGUUGCUGAUAGUGAUUUUUGGACUCUAGCUACUGUAUUGCCCCUAAAUAGAGUGGUACUGGUGUACAUUGUUGAUGAUGACCAACUGAUCAAUUCAGCCCCAAACAUUGAAAUUCAAGCUUCAGCAAACCCUUUCGACAUUCCUCACAUGUCAGCCCCGAACAUCGAAAUUCAAGCUUCAACAAACUCUUUUGACAUUCCUCACAUGUAUGAUCCUUUAGGUAUAUUUGAGGGAUUUUUGGAGCAAGCUUAUGAAGGAGAUUGGGAACAAGACAAUCUUGUUGAGGUAGGUAUGCAUAACAUGGAAAAUGAAGAGAAAGAUGGCAAUGGCAAUUCGGAAGAUUCAGAUUAUCGAGACUCAGACUAUGAACAAAGUGAUGUCGAUGACAACUUAUUUGACGACAAUGUAGAGAAAACUAAAGGGAAAUAUACCAAUGGAAAAUGCAAUGGAAAUAGGUAAGCAUCACGUAAUACUGAACCCUUCCCUGAUUUAGGAUUUGGAGAUGUUGAAACAGACUACGAAGAUUCGGAUGGCUUUAGAAGUGGUUCUAGCUCAUCAUCUGAAGGUGAACAACCAAUGAAGCGGAAAAGUAAGAAUAAAAUGCCCAAACUCAUUCCUUUCAGAAGUGAUUUGAAUAUCAAGAACCCACAAUUUAGAACUGGAAUGAUAUUUUCCAAUAGAAAGGAGUUCAGACAAGCAGUGACAUAUUAUGGUUGUGUGAAUGAAAGACAAAUAAGAUUCCCAAUAAGAGAGCGUUAUAAAGUUCAGGGUAAGCGUUCAAAUGAGGGAUGCCCAUGGGUGAUUUAUGCAAGCAAAAUAGAUGGGAGCUCUGCACUUAUAGUGAAGACACUCAAUGAUGUCCAUACAUGCCCGAGAAAGGAAAAGCUUAGACUACACACCUCAACUUGGUUAUCACAUAGGUAUGCUGAGGAUUUGCUUGACAAUCUUAAAUGGGAUGUGUCAAAAUUCCAACAAACUGUUCAUAAACAAUACAAUUUGCACGUAACACUGGCUCAACUUUAUAAAGCACGGUCAUUGGCAGCUGAGAAGAAUGAAGGAGCUUAUGUGGAGCAAUAUGCAAGGUUAUGGGAUUGUUGUGAGAAGCUCAAGCGAAGAAAUCCUGGCAGUACAAUUUUGGUGAAGACUAAAAUGGAAUGAGGAAGGGCUAGGUUUCAGAGGUUGUAUGUAUGCUUUCCAGCAUUGAAAAAGGCUUUUUGGAAGGUUGUAGGCCAAUGGUGGGAUUGGAUGGAUGCCAUAUUAAAGGUCCACAUCCAGGUUGUUGUGCUAGGAUAGCACCAAACCCGUUGGAACCAACUCAAGCUAACUCACAAGAAAUUUAUCAAAUGAAAUGCAAGAACAAAAUAUUAAAGACACCAAGAUUUUAACGAGGUUCCUCAACAGUCAGUGUAACUGGAGUACGUCUUUGGAGCAGUAAGAGCUCACCCAAUAAUCCACUAUCAACCAAAUGAGAGUUUACAAAGUGUUGGCAAUCUCACAACCCAAAUAACCCAAUACACCCAAUAACUCUCACUCACCAAAGAAACAAAUAGAGAGGGAAAUAUAGUGAAUAAUUUCCUCUCUAUACAAAGCUCAAAGCUAAUACACAAAUACAACUUUGAUUGAGUAAGUACCAACAAAGAAAGAAAUCACCUUUCUUUCUUCUCUUUCUGCUCUCAGUUUUCUGCUCUCUGCAGCUCUCUUUGCUCUCUCAAAGAUGGGCUACUAAAACUGAAAAUUAGUGCACUCAUCCUCUUCUCUUUUCUUCUCCGAAACCAAACAUAUUAUUGCUUUGAAAAAGCCACAAACAAGCCAUAAAACAAGGAAACAUAAUCAUGUUGUCCUUUCUUUUUUUUUCUUUAUAAUUUUUUAUAGCCAAAAGUUGGCCACUUGGCCACAUACUCCAACAAUCUCCACCUUGGCCAAGUUCCGAAAAAAAAGCCAUGAUAAGCCAACCAACACAAUAACACACAACAUCACUCCCAAACACUAGCAAGAGAACAACUCAUGCCGAGCCAAAUGCUCCAAAACUCCUACUGCUCAACGCCUUCUUUAUAUAGGCAUAAUGUGAGCCAAGUUCAAACAAUGAACAAAUUUGGCUACACCAACAACCUUAGUUAACAUAUCAGCGGGGUUGUCUUUAGUUGGAAUCUUCUGGAUAAUGAUUUCCCCUUCACCAACAAUUUCACGAACAAAGUGAUAACGCACAUUUAUGUGCUUGGUCCUCGCAUGAUGAACCUGAUACUUAGCCAAAUAAAUGGCACUCUGACUAUCACAAUGUACCUUCACCUGCUUCUGAUCAACCCCCAAAUCUCUAAUCAGCCCAUGUAUCCAAAUGGCCUCAUUUAUAGCUUCAGCAACUGCCAUAUAUUCAGCCUCUGUAGUAGACAAGGCAACAGACGACUGCAAAAUGGACCUCCAACAAACUGGUCCUUUAGCCAUAGUAAACACAUAGCCUGUAGUAGACUUCCUUCCAUCCAGAUCACCUGCAUAAUCUGAAUCAACAUAACCAACUGCAAAAUGACCAAUACCAGAGUCAUCCCUCUCAAAGCAUAAACCAACAUCUCGAGUACCAUGGAGAUAUCUCAAUAUCCACUUAGCUGCUUGCCAAUGCUCUUUACCUGGAUUAUGCAUAUAUCGACUCACCAUGCCAACUGCAGCAAUAUCCGGUCUAGAGCAUACCAUUCCAUACAUCAAACUACCAACCAAAUUUGCAUAUGGUAUAUUUUUUAUUUGCAGCUUCUCUUUAUCAGUUUUAGGACACUGUAGAGAACUCAAUUUAAAAUGAGGAGCCAAAGGGGUACUAACCGGUUUGGUUGAAUCAUGAACUCCAAACUUCCGAAUCAACUUCUCAAGGUAUUGUCUUUGAUUCAAACUGACCAAACCCUUCUCUCUAUCUCUAGUGAUCUCCAUGAUCAGGCAUUGCAUUCUCUUAUGGUUGUCACGAAAUCGAAUUUUAUAUAGGCUCUGUUAUAUGAGAAACAGGUUGAGAAAUCGAAUUUUAAUUAGGGCAAAAGGCAAAUUUAAUGACACACCCACACCCCGAAAUCCCCAAAUAUUAGGAUAGGCACGUGUUGAUCGACACCCCAGGGUGACAAGGCCAUUUUAAACAUGCAUGCAAAUUAAAUUAUAUAAUUAGAAAGAAAUAUGCCAAUGCAAGAACAUGUUCAGAGCAUACAACUAAUUAAGAAUAAUGUGAAAGAAUUAUUAUAAAAAGGUACGAACAAAGGAAUAGGUCAUACACUGAGAAGACUCGAAGAUAUCUAUGCAGAAAUGCCCUGACGCUGAGAUCGAAUGCCGCAACUCUAACUCCUAAAGGGGCCACAAAACAAAGGGUGAGUGGACCAAAGUUUAUAAUACUAAUACUAAUAAUAAGAAAACCAUUUUCUUUCUGAACAUACUAACCCCCUGUUUUGAAAACACAUAUAUAGUACUACAUAGUAGGUUUUCCGAAAACUCUAACAUGCCAUGAAAACAUUCGUAAAAUAUGUACGUAUAAAACAAUGCUCAAUAAAUUUGAUAUCGCCGCCCGAAGGCAAAUCCGUAAAUCUCAUCAAUGAUGUACUCACUAGGGGUAUCAUAGUCUCCCUAAGGCAUAACAUAUCCAUCACCCAAAGGUGAAGUUGUACGACUCUGGGAUAUGCCAAAGAAGAAACAUAUACAUGUAACAUCACUCACUGACACUAGCUGUGGUUAGUGAAGUUGUCCGACACUGGUUUCGUCAAUGAAGCUGGGAGUAUGACAUAAAUAUCCUCAACUGUGUCCUAUGGCCAUAGACGUCUACAUACCCGUGUUGUGUGGAUGUGUUGUAUGAUAACCCACUAGAUAAGCAUCGAAAACAUAUCUCAAAAACUCGUAUCAAAUCACCGGAGCUCAAAAGCUUAAAGCAUCAUCGCAUAAAUCCAUAAUAAAACAUAUGCGUAAAUCCGUAUAAUUUCAUAUAUGAAAAUCCAAUCAUUCCUAAUCUUUCGUAAAAUGUAAACUCGAUAAAUCAUAAAUAAUGCAUAAAACGUUAAAUCAUGAAAUCAUGCUUUUUGUGAAUUUGCGCCUAGUAUUUUAUAAAAACAUGCAAGUUAAGAAGGGCUCCACUCACAUAUAUUUUGUUGCACGGGAACCGCUAGAACUAGAGAGGAAGGUGUCACUUCCCACCGACCACCUAAACAUAAAUAGAGAUCAUUUAAUAAAACUCUACUAAAAUGGUCGAAUUUGGGAAAACAGACAGCAGAUUCGAAUUCGGCACGUCGAAAACCCUAAGGAGGGACCUCGGGUUCUUCCAUCCCACCCCACGUGCCGCCGCACUAGCCGCCAUGGGACGGUGGCCCAAAAGGCCACGCACCGCCGCAUGUGGCAGUUUCCAGCAACAAAAACCCAAUUUUCCAACCAACUCCAAAAAUUACCAAAUUUUACAGGAAUGUAGAGCUCAUCAAGGGGAAGAACUUUCAUACAUGGGUCGAAGUCCAAUUCGGCUGAGAAACUCCUGAAAACACCCUCGAUCCGUCGGAAACCUUAAAAAUAGGUGUACUUCAAUUCGCCAUCUCUGUUACUCCGCUACCUCCAAACUGGUUUGGGGUUUGUUCAUGACCUUAAGAGAAGUCUUUUGGUGGUGGUCAUCGAUGGUGAAGGUUGCUGGAGUGACAGAUCACCCAGGUGGUGUCCUCGAAGCCGUCGAUGCGAGAUCCACGAAACCUAGGCCAAAAUCUAUCGACUAUUAAGUAUGUAUGCUUGCAAGAUUAAAUGAAAACCUCCAAAACGUAUGGAGUUUAAUUGAAUUCUAAUCACCACCACCACCCUCACAUAAUUAGGUCAAAAGGCGAAUUUAGGAGGGCUCCUUUCAAUCAUUUUGUACCCUUGCAUAUUAUUGUGAUUCGAUGAAGCUUCCCGUUAAAUGAACUGCACCAAAUAAGGGAGAUCUUCUCUUGAUCUCUAUAUUCGAAGCUGAUAAACAUAGAGAUCCAGAGUACUCAUUUUAAAUCAUACGGUUCUCAUUAGCUCAUUCUACUGGUUUUCUUUACACAAACCACGAGUUCAGAUCUCACUCUCUUUAACUACCUGGAUAUCCGAGUUCUUGAACUUCAAAAACAAAAAUCUGGAGAAGAUGUUGACUCCAAAUAGGGUAGCUUUUCUACUGUGCAUGUAGCUAGCCCAAAAAAUAAGGGAAACCCAACCCCACCCCCCAAAAUAAAAAAUAAAAAAAAACCCACCCACAACAAAAGUACAACUAUAAGUAAAGCUUUAUGAGGGGUUGCUCUAAAAUUGAUUUUAAAAUUAAAGGAAAACUAACGAAAAAUUCAAAAAAAACUUUAGUUUUAAUGAAAAAUGACAAAUAAAUGUGUAGUGAAUAGUACCAGAGAAAGGUAAAAAUGUGAUUUUUUGUUAAAAGUGAACAAUACCGGAGUGUUUCGUUAAAACUCUCUAAAAUUAAAUAGUCUGUCGUUCCAAAAAUUGUUUUGACAAUGUUGCAUUUAAAUAUUGUUUGACAAUAUAACAUUAUCCUACAAAACAUUUGUAUAAAUUAUAAGUUCAAACAAAAGACAUAAUACAGCUUCUUCCCGACUAUUUUAGGUGUAUACUCCAUUGCUGAAAAUUCUACCAUGCUCAUCAUAAUUCUUGCCACACCAGGCAAUUGGGUUAAAUUGCCCUUGACAAAAAAAAUGAUGGUCCAUCGGUGCCAAAUUGGGCAGGCAAUUGGGGGGCUCCAAGAAGCUUGUUGAACUACCCUUGCAACCCAUUGGCAAUAAGUAACGAUGUGCCUGACGUCAAGUAGCAGAAGGCUGGCCCCAACCCCGUACACUGAAGUGAACCAAACAGCUCCAAUUUGGGCACCCCAUAGCUAUUGGAUUUUCAACAGUUUGUUGAUCCGAACCAUUAAAUUUCAAACGAUAAAAGAAAUUUAAAAAGAUGAUGUUGUGCCACGUGGCACUUUGUGGCGUAUUUGAUAUUAAAAUUUUGAAAAAUUCAACAGCCAGGAUUAAUCCCAUGAUAAAAAAUCCAAAAAAAAAAAAAGAAAAAAAAUUAGAAAAAACGUACAACAAAAAAUAUCUAAAAAAACCUUCAAAUUUCACACUUAAACAAAAAUCUAAGCUGAUAUUACUAAUAGAUAAUGACACGUAAUGCGAUGAAAGUGGUUAAAAAUGGAAAGGGAUACUCUCCGGCUCCCUUUCACCAAAUCCACCAAGUUCAAGGAUUCAGAUCAUUGAAAUUGAUCCAACGGCUACAAAUAAGGACCCACUUUAAAAAUUAUAAUAUGUUGGAUCAAAUUUCAAGAAUCGGAUACCCGGACUUGAUGGAUUUGGUGGAAAUGAUCCGGAGUCCUUUCCGUUGAAAAUCUCAUCGCCUCUCCUUUCAGCCCUUCAAGGAAAACCCGCUUCUUGGGUCGUUUUCAACCACAUAAAGCUUCACUCUGUUAUUAGUUUAUGUGUUUAAAAUUGUUGGGGUUUGCAGUUUUGGAUUGAAAUUUGUGUUUUGGGAUUUGUUGGGUGCUCACAUGUGGAAAUUUGGAAAAUUUUAGUUGCGGAUUGUGGGGAACUGACACAGUGGUGGUCCCAUUUCAUGUACUUUGUGUGUUUUUGGUGAAAUACUGAUUAGGAGGGUUGGAUAGUUGGACUGGUUUUAUUUUUUUUGUGAAAUUAGAGUGGGAUCGAUCAAGGUUGAGACUUUUUUAGGUAAGAGUAAUUGUGAAAGUUAUGUUUUAUAAAUUUUUUGGCAAAUUUUGUGACUUGGUGGAUUUGGAAUUUUGGUUAUAUUAGAUAUAUGUGUAAAGAAAAUAGUUGAACUGCAUGAAGCUUGAUGUAAUUCUGCUAUUAAUCAAUGUUGGACUUGGGAAUCCUAGUGAAUAUAGAAGCGAAUCUACGAUUAGUUGAGAAACUUAAAGAAGCUUAAGGGGUAAUGAGGGUUUUAGGUAUUUAGUGACACUAAGGCAAUGCUUGAUGUCUAUUUCAUUUCGGCGUAUCAGAAAUGCUUGAACAAUAAAGAAAGGUGCUCGAAGAGCUACAGUAGUGAACUACUUGGUUUGAUUAGAUUGCUAUGUUAAUCAAAAUGUCUCCUGUAGUAUGUUAUAGGCUUAGGGUGUGUUUGUUUGGACUCAUUGUCUUUCACUAGAUUAGACUGGACUAAGUUUUAGUCCAGUCCUGUGUUUGUUUCCUACCCGGACUAAGUUUAAUGGGAUUAGGAGGGACUCGCCUCGACUGAGUCCCUCGCUAACGGGUCUUCGCGAGCCCCCCAAUUCGGAGAGGAUUGCUAAGCCGCCCUCUAAUCCUGUCAUCUCACUUCUCUUUCACACCUUCGGACAUCAACCGCAGCAACUGCAACUUGCUCCUCGUCCCUUCGCACCUUCACCCUUUCCCUUCUCCUUCCUUGUCGCACCACCUCGUAGCCGUCCAACAUAUAAACAAUAGAUGACGGACCUGUAUCACUGGCGAUGGUCUGAUCAGGUGAGCUUCAUUUUCCUUGCAUUUCAAUGGGUACUUUUUUAAUUUUCCAAAUUCAAUUGCUUUUUGUUCAUUCCUUUCUUUGUUUAUGCAUUUCAAUGGGAUUUUCGAGUUUCUUUAGGGUUUUUGGUGAUUAACUAUAAUCCAACAUUCAUAAUUAUCAAAUUUAGUAUAACGGCACUGGGUCACUGACAGCAGCUUGUUUUUUGGAUAUACUUAUUAAGAAUUUGACAUUAGGGAAUCCAUUCACAGCUUAUGGAUGUUUUCAAUUUUUCUGGUUCUUAUUCACCCUUUUGUGGAGAUCUUAGUAGUGGAUUAGGGAUAUAUCAUGUCCAUGAUGACUGGUAUUGUAUUGGCAGUGACGGGGUAUCUAGUUGGAUUGGAUGUGUUGAACAAUUAUGCGAUGAGCUAAGAUUUAAGAAGAAGCCUCUCUACCUGUUUUGAUCAUACUUGAUCUUUUUCGAGCUUUGUAUUCGAGUAUUUAACCGUUUCUUCAGCCCUUGAGGGUGCCACUUGUUUUCUAGUGAAUAUAUAUUGGAAGCUUCUCUUUGGAAAUUUUUGUGAGUAAUCAUUUUCUGAAGCUUUCAUCAACGGAUUUAUCUUAUUGGAAGGUUCUGCUUGUUGCACAUCACCAUAGAUGUUCUAUUAUUUUGAUCCAAAAGUUUUUCUUCAUUAUUCAGAUACUCUUAUGCAUAUCUUGGACAGUUUAAUCAUUAUAAUUUUAUACAUAUUUGAGUUCACCUAUCAAAAGGAAUAUCAAACAAAUUGAUAUUAACAAAUCCUCGUGGAGCUAGGAGAUCACCAAUUUCGUGUUGAACUUUAAGAUUUUGUUAUAAACCAGGAUACUUGUACAUUUAACUAUAGUGACUUCUAGUUAUCAUGGAGAAUUUAGACUUGUCUACUAUGUUUGUACCAUACUUAGGGCCUCCGUAUUUAGACCUCGUAUAAAUACUCGGGGGACUCAAAUAUAAUUAUGUAAUAAAUGAAGGGGCAAAUAUGUAAUAAGUGAGGAGCCCUUAUUCUAUAAAAGGACUCCUCACUCUCCUCAUUAAGGGGGGUGAAGGUUUAGGCCAUGGGAAGAGAGAAAACAUCUCAGAGAGGGCAAACACAGAAAAUAGGCUAGAGAGCACACUGCCUCUAGCCUUCUUGUAUAUUCACCAUUCAGAGUGAAACAAUAUCAACAUCAGUGUGGACGUAGCCCAAACAUUGGGGUGAACCACGAUACAUCUUGUGUUCUUUACUUUCUUGCAGAUUCACGGUCGGAUUUAUGUUGUUCCAAGACACCUCCGGUUUUGUGCAUCAACAUUUGGCGCCGUUUGUGAGAAACGACACGAAAAGCUAUGUUGGUUCUCUUUCAUUUUUUUCAUCUUACCAUUGUGAAUCUGCACAACCCAAGAACCCAGAACCUCCCUCCUUGGGCUUUUCUAGAAAACUCCUAGCUUUCUCUCUUUCUACUCAUUUUCUUUCUCUAGAGUUUGGCCGAGUUAUCAAUUUCAUCGCAAUUACAAAUGAAUUCAAGGCGAUAAUAAGAGAGAGAAACAUAAACUGUCUCUUCUUCUCCUUCCAUGCGUUUCUUCAUAACCCACCACUUCUAGCCUUUUUCCCUUCCUCGCUCUCAGAAACCCAGAAGAAAAAAUUGCAAUCAUGAGGCUUCAACGGCGGAGGAGGUGGUGGUGGCGUCCUUAAUUUCUACACAAACGGGCGAUCCAUCUCCAUCUCCGUCGCCAUGAACGGCCACAACCCAUCUCAGAACAAUCCCUACCACCGAUCCCAGCUUCCCAACCUGUUUAUGGACCCUACCGCAUCCCAGAUCGCUCACCAAACACAGUUUCAACCACCGCAACCAGUCCCGGAACAAUUCGAAGUUACUGAUAACAUUGAAAGCAUUCCGGUCCGCUGUGGUUUUCAAUCUCAAAGACGAAACUUACCUGCUACUUCAUGGCCUCGGGAUGGAUGCUGUGUUGCUACUGUGGCGAAAGAAUUUUACCCAGACUCUCCCUCUCUGCUCACAUGGCCUAUCUUCCACCAUCUCAGCGGCUGCAGUCCUCAAUUCAAGGUUCACGCCACCAAAUAUUCUGUCUCGCCUCUCACAACUUCAUGCGCCUCCAGAGUUCUUCUCCAGAUUUGCGCUCCAUAGAUUAUUUUCUAUGUCGAUUUCCAUCAGAUUCGCGUCGAUCGUGUCACGAUCUACGCGUUGAUGGUGGUUUGAGAUUGUGAGGUGAUGGUUUGAGCUGUUUUUGAAUUCAGCUGGUUUUACCAGCUCGAGCUUCUAUGUUCGUCGCUCUUCGAUUCGAAUUUAAAGAUUUCGCAGACAGAGCUCUAACCAAAUCGGAAGAGAUUACAAGUAUUCGGCGGCAUUUCAGCAGCUGAUCCAAUUCGAUCUCGUGGUGGCUGAAACAUGUUUAAUCUUAACCAAAGGGUCAUGGUUCAUGGUUGUAAUUUCAUGAGACUGAAGCUUUUAUAUCGUGGGAUUUGGGUUGGGGUUAUGGGUUGAAUUCAGAUGGAUGUAUAAGAUAUCGGGACGAAAGACUCGGUGGAAGGGCCGAAGUGCUGGACCGAUCUUUGUCAUCCGGCCUUUGCCAUGGCAGUCGGACAUGGAUUCUGGACAACUACGGCCGCAUCUAUAUCUCGUCGCCAAAGUUUUGAAAGUUGCAGGAAAUGAAGUGGGAAACAAAAGCAAAAGAAGAAAAGAAUAGAAAAAGGAAAAUGAUGUCUGGAGAUGGAGAAAAUGAUGAGGUUUGUUAUGGGGGAGGCCAUAGUCCACCACUAUCAAGUCUGCCACACUCAAUCAUUCAUUUGCACUCAUGGAAAACAACCACAAAGAUAAGACUCUUAUCUUUACAGCUCUUACCCACUGUCAUUGAUGAAUAUUUUAUUAAGUUGUCUUCUGCAAACUGGAGCAAUUAUUAUAUAGUGAUACUGAUGUGUAAAGAAGGCAACAUGCCAAAAAAAAAUAAAUAAAUAAUGUCGGCAAGCCCAAAAUAGUGGGCUGGAAUGUUAUGUGAAGGGUGAAGGCCCAUAUGCACAAAAAAGCCAGGCCCUAUGGCUUCAAACUCCAACCUCCAUCCCUCCACUUAAGGUUCACCCUUUAUUAUCACCAACUAGGUGAUCAAAAGUACGUCUAGUACUCCAAUAUUAUUCGGCAGCCUGCUGUUAUUAUCAUUAACCAGGUGAUCAAAAGUACAACCCAUCCUUAAAAAAAUCAUACAUGAGCAUCACUCAUGACAAUCACCAUCAUACAUAAGCAUCACUCAUGUCAACAUUCAUGAACAUCACUCAUGUCAACAUCCAUGAGUAUCACUCAUGUCAAUCAACAUAAACAUUCAUGAGCAUCACUCAUGUCAAUUAGCUUCGAAAUCUUCAUUUACAGAGCUCUAGCUUCGAAAGCUUCAUUUAUAGAGCUCCAGCUUCAAAAGCUUCAUUCAUAGAGCUCCAGCUUCGAAAGCUUCAUUUAUAGAGCUCUAGCUUCGAAAGCUUCAUUUACAGAGCUCCAGUUUCGAAAGCUUCAUUUACAGAGCUCCAGCUUCGAAAGCUUCAUUUACAAGAGCUCCAGCUUCGAAAGCUUCAUUUACAAAAUCUCCAACUUCGAAAGCUUCACCUACAAAGCUUCAGUGCAUGGUAUACAAAGACCGCAACCAAGGCAACAUAAGCCACAAACCGAGCAGCCUCGCAACAUGUGCUACUUCUAGUUGAGUAUCAUUUCAGAUUGAGCACCGCCUCAUAUCGAGUAUCAGUUCUAGACGACAUCUAGUUACUUCGGCCCACACAUGGACUGAAUUUCAAGUCUCCAGCCAAAAGACUCUCUUGAUUGAAGACUUGGGGGACUACUGUUUGUACCAUACUUAGGGCCUCCGUAUUUAGACCUCGUAUAAAUACUCGGGGGACUCAAAUGUAAUUAUGUAAUAAAUGAAAGGGCAAAUAUGUAAUAAGUGAGGAGCCCUUAUUCUAUAAAAUGACUCUUCACUCCCCUCAUUAGGGGGUUGAAGGUUUAGGCCAUGGGAAGAGAGAAAACAUCUCAGAGAGGGCAAACACAGAAAAUAGGCUAGAGAGCACACUGCCUCUAGCCUUCUUGUAUAUUCACCAUUCAGAGUGAAACAAUAUCAACAUCAGUGUGGACGUAGCCCAAACAUUGGGGUGAACCACGAUACAUCUUGUGUUCUUUACUUUCUUGCAGAUUCACGGUCAUAUUUAUGUUGUUCCAAGACCCCUCCGAUUUUGUGCAUCAACAUACUAAAACUUGUACAAGUGAUUCAAGCAUGUUUUUGCUCUCGUCAGUAUUAGUUAUUAACUCAUUGGACUCCAUACACAGUUUCUGUGAUGUUUUCUUCCACAAUUUUAUGGUUUGCAAUUCUGCAGAGGUUUCUACUCAGUUUAAUUGUUUUAAUUGUCUCAUUGACCCAUGCUGUUACACGAAAGAGAGAAAUUAUGUGUUUAUCAGAAAUCUGGCUAAACCAGCAAUACAUCACUCAACUUCAUUAGAACAUGACAAAUUUCACCUUAUGGUUCACAGGCCGUACUUCUCUUUGGCAUCGUAGAUACAGUCUUUUCCAUUUAAGUUUAUUCUGAUUUAUUUGCUAGCUUAAAGUGUAGUUGAAUGAUGUUGUGCAUGGCUAUCUGCAGCGCAAUGGGCACUUGGGUUUUCUCCGUAGCAGGGGCUUUGUUAGCGAUUCCAGUGGGGAUAAAAAGGAAACUUUAGCAUUGCUUGUGUUCUUCGGCACAACAUGUACCAUGCUUGACAUUAUAAUGGGAAUCGCUCAGUGUGAAAGAGAACAUGCAGAACGCCAAGCGAAGCUAUUAGAAGCCCAGAUUUCUGCAACUAAUGCUUCAUUUGCUGAGACUGGGGCGGAAACAUAGUCUUGACUCCUAAGCAUAUGCAUCAUAUGCCCAUGUUUGGCUGCUGUCAGUUUUCUCUUCAAAUUUCUUUACUGUAAAAGAUUAAUAGUCGAACCUGUAGAAUGAACCCUUUGCUUGAAUUUUGCCUUCCCCUUUUCAUGGGUUAAUAAUCACACGAAAGUUGUUACUGAUAUAACGUCAGGUUUAACCUCCCUCGCAUGGCACGAUUCCAUGAGUUAAUCAUUCGAAGCAGAGAAUUCUAAUUCCUCUGUUUUUAUUUAUCUUGGAGAUACCUAUAUGAAAAUUACUUUAAAGUUGUUCAGCAGCAAAGGUUAUGACUUAUAAUAUACGAUGUAUAAUCACGAAGAGAAACUGGUGACAGUACUGUUUUCAUUAUCCUGCUUUCUAGUCUGACACUGCACCAAACGCUUCACUAAGCUGGUUCAGCUUAGUCUAGUCUAAGCCAGUCCAGCUUAAUCCCUGAAGCUAGUCCAUUCCGAGACAGUCUGGUACAACAAACGCACCCUUAAAGUUUUACAUUAGUGUUCUUUAGCGACUUGGUUUCAAAAUUUUCGUUCGACUUUCCUUGGUCUGUGAGGCCAAUGGUAGAACAUCAUGGAAAAAUGAAAUUGUUUUGUCUUAAUAUCUCUGGUAAGAGCGAGUACGCAUUCUUAAAGGAAAAAUGAAAUUGUUUGUCAUUCUUUUAAGAUGUUUAAUGUGCUCAUUUCAGUAUGCACUACAAGGGCGAGUGAGCUAUCAUCUGUUUGGAAAUAAAAGCUAUAGACAUGCCCCAUAAGGGUCAAUAGGUCUCAGUUACAUAUCUAACUUGUUUCUCAUGUGUUUUCAUCCUGAAGGUUAGAAAAGAUGGGUGCUCUAGACGCACAGAGAGUGGUUCAUCAACACCAGAGAUGGUGGCUGAUCUCAUGUAUGUGGUUACAUGCUGGAGUUUUCCAUGUGCUUGCCAAUAUGCUGAGUCUUGUAUUCGUUGGAAUUUGGCUUGAGCAAGAAUUUGGAUUUGGUAUGCAUCUGGAUUUUUAGCUUCAUGUAUGUUAUCAUGCAUGUAUGGCCAUAUCCAUAAGUGUUUGUAGUAAAAAGAUAAAGCACACGACAUUAGUUGUAGAAUAAUAAAUUAGUUUACUAGGAAGCAUGCUUUCAAUAUGGUAUUUCUGUUGGUGCUUCUGGUGCACUUUUUGGUUUACUAGGAAGCAUGCUUUCAGAGCCAUAUCAAAUUGGAAAAUGUAUGUAAAUAAGGUAAAUAAAGUUUCUGUAUACUCAAUGAUGCACCUCUUUAUGUGCACGACCCUUUGAUCUUACAGUUUCAGGUUUCUACCCGCAGUUAGCAGCAUUGGUUACUCUCCUUUUCUUCAUCAUAAUACACUUAGCAGUGGAAUUCUACCACACGCGGACAACUUUGCUCAUAUUGGAGGAUUUGUCCCCGGAUUUCUUCUUGGAUUUUUGUAUUGUGGAUCCUCUCUUUGAUACUAUUGAUUGUUGGGUAAGCUCCUCCUCGAUCUCUGAUUUAAUUUUUUAACUUCAUGAACCUAAUCGAUUCCCUGCAUGAGAAUCUGGUAGCCACAGUUGGCGCGUGCACAUUUUUUUCUUUCUUUCUAUCAAAUCAAAGAACUGGAUUUUGUGUAGAUAUGUAGAUAUCAUGUGUCCUGUAAUAUGUCUUCAUUAUUGUCAUUGUGAAUAGUCUCUGUAUCUGCUUGUUUCUGAUUAGAAUGGUUUGGAGAAGGCAUUGUGUUAUUGUUAUCGUUGUUCUCUAUGUAGUACUAAUUGGUCACUUUGUUGAUAGCGGCUUCUACUUUGUUGUUUUGGGUUGUAUGUGCUGGCAGGUUGUUGUUUUGUUAUUGGAAGUAAAGGUUCAUUUUCCUCGUAUCUAAGUAGUAUCAGAAUAUGCAGGCAUUUUCUAACAAACGUCAUGUUUUUUACAGGUGUACUCUUGGCCUGGUUACUCUUUUUCGAGGGGUCAAUCUGAACAAUCAUUGUUCCUGGUGUCAUUAUUUGAGCAGUGUCCCUACGUCAAAAUGGAAUUGCAAGUCACAAAAUAUUUAUUGUUUGGUAAAUUAACUUCCGCCUUAAUAUUUGAUAGAUAGAAGUGCUUGCUUAUUAAUACGAUCAUGGUUGCAUUCAGUCGUUCUAGUUUGGCAUGCCGUUUAAUCUAAUGCCUUCAAGAAACGUAAUUUAAGAAAUGACUCACGAAAUUUUGAGUCAGGAAAUUGCUUUUACAAUGUACUUUGUUAGUACUAUAAAUUGGUUUUGUACUGACAUAUUGUUCUUUAUAUGAAUGUGAGGCUUAGAGAAGUAUAACUGCAUGUUCAAGUUUUGAUUCUCUUGGUAAUGAUUUCAAGGCUUUGGUUUAUGAGUACAUGGAAAAAGGAAGCUUAGAGAAGUGGCUGCAUCCACCGACUGAUAUUGAGGAAGCAAGAGAGGCACCCAAGAGUUUAAAUCUUUUGCAAAGGCACAACAUUUCCAUAGAUGUUGCUUGUGCUCUCAAUUAGUCAAUUAUCUUCAUAAUCACUCCGAAACACCGCCAGUUCAUUGUGAUCUGAAACCAAGUACUGUUCUUUUGGACAACAUGUCGACUGGACAUGUUUCUGACUUUGACUAGCAAGGUUCUCACAACUGACCAGUAUAAAAGCUUCAACAAAUCAGCAAGUUCCGCUGGAAUAACAGGAGCGAUUGGUUAUAUGGUUUUAGGUAAAUAUUCAAAUUCUCUCCACAAUAUCCUUUUUUUUUAAUUUUUAAAUUUUGCAUAAUUCAACUAAACUCCGCCUAUGUAAGUUUAUCUUACAUUGCCGGUCCCAAGCCCGGAUAAAGGAGGAGGGGGAGGGCGUCAGGUAGUCGACAGCCGGCACUCCACGGUUACGUCGAAUCCUUAUGAAAAUGAAUCCAGAACGAAAUCGCGCUAAAGCUAGGGCGUCACCCGUAAGUGGCGCGCUGUGUGGCCCGAGCACAGUGAUAAGUGAGCAAGGGUCGCUGUAUCUCCAUCGGCACCCGGAUGCAGUGGUAAAUGAGUAAGGGGACCAUAGAAACUUCUUUUCGAACGACUCCACUCAAAGUUGUUUGGGAGCAUAUGCUCCUAUCAACUUUACACGGGACACACAAAAGAAGUACUUUGAUCCUAUUAGACAGGAGAGGGUGAAGAAGCUAGGACAGAAGGGUAGAGUUCAAGAGAGUAGAAUGCGUUUAGGAACGUGGAAUAUAGGAACCUUAACUGGAAAAUCUAUGGAAGUAGUGGAAGUUAUGGUGAGGAGAAGGAUAAAUAUUAUGUAUAAGAAACUAAGUGGGAUGGUCUUAAGGCAAAGGAUCUAGAAAACUCAAGAUUUAAACUUUGGUAUUCGGGCACAAAUAGAAUGAGAAACGGUGUUGGCAUCAUCGUGGACAAGACCUUGACACAAAAUGUUGUAGAUGUCAAGAUGGUAGGAGAUAGAAUCAUGGCAAUCAAGAUUGUAAUAGGACAAGAACUUAUCAAUGUGAUUAGUGCGUAUGCACCUCAAGUAGGGUUGGAUACGAGUUUAAAGGAGAAAUUUUGGGAAGACCUUGGAGACUUGGUGCAAGGAAUUGCUCAGACGGAGAAGUUAUUUAUAGGAGGAGAUUUAAAUGGACACGUGGGCAGGGAGACAGGCAACUAUGGAGGUUUUCAUGGUGGCCAUGGUUUUGGGGAGAGAAACGAGGAUGGGGAAGCUAUCUUGGAUUUUGCAAUGGCAUAUGAUCUUUUCUUAGCCAACACCUUCUUUAAGAAGAGAGAAAAACAUGUGAUCACCUACAAGAGCGGGUCAUCAAAAACACAAAUAGAUUUUCUUCUAAUGAGGAAAGGGGAUCGUAUAACUUGUAAGGAUUGCAAAGUUAUAUCGGGGGAGAGCUUGGCUAAUCAACAUCGCUUGUUGGUGAUGGAUGUACAUAUCAAAAGAGUGAGAAAAAAAAAACAAGACUUGGAAAUGCCCAAGGACUAGAUGGUGGAAUCUAAAAGGAAAAAAACAAGUCAUUUUCAAAGAGAAAGUAAUCACUCAGUGUGUGUGGGAUAGAGAGGGGGAAGCUAGCCAAAUGUGGGAUUCUAUGGCUAGUUGUAUCCGAAAAGUAGCAAAAGAGGUAUUAGGAGAGUCCAAGGGCUUUGCUCCACACCAAAAGGAAUCUUGGUGGUGGAAUGAAGAGGUACAAACAAAGGUGAAGGCUAACAAGGAAUGUUGUAAAGCCUUAUACAAGGAUAGGACCGAUGAAAAUGGUGAAAGGUAUAGAAGAGCGAAGCAAGAGGCGAAGAAAGCUGUGAGAGAAGCUAAGUUAGCGGCUUAUGACGAUAUGUAUAAGCGACUAGAUACCAAAGAAGGAAAGUUGGAUAUCUAUAAACUAGCUAGAGCAAGGGAAAAGAAGACAAGGGACCUAAACCAAGUGAGGUGCAUCAAGGAUGAGGAUGGAAAGGUUCUUGCUACAGAGAACGCGGUCAAAGACAGGUGGAGAGGUUAUUUUCAUAGUCUUUUCAAUAAAGGACAUGAAAGGAGUACUUCUUUAGGGGAGUUGAGUUACUCAGAAGAGUGUAGAAACUACUCCUUUUAUCGUCGAAUCAGGAAGGAAGAAGUGGUUGUAGCUUUAAAGAAGAUGAAGCAUAGAAAAGCAGUGGGCUCAGACGAUAUACCGAUAGGUUUAGCAUGGCUCACUGACCUUUUCAAUAGGAUUUUGAAAACGAAGAAGAUGCCAAAUGAGUGGCAAAAGAGCACUUUGGUGCCUAUCUACAAGAAUAAGGGCGACGCACAAAAUUGCAUGAACUAUAGGGGUAUUAAGCUAAUGAGUCAUACAAUGAAGCUCUGGAAGAUAGUCAUUGAGCAUAGAUUGAGGCAAGAGACACGGGUUUCGGACAACCAAUUCGGGUUCAUGCCAGGGCGCUCAACCAUGGAGGUAAUCUAUCUCUACGAAGAUUGACGGAAAGAUAUAGAGAUGGGAAAAAGGAUUUACACAUGGUCUUUAUAGAUUUGGAAAAAGUGUAUGAUAGGGUACCAAGAGACAUUCUUUGGAGGAUUUUAGAGAAGAAAUGAGUACAAGUAGCAUAUAUCCAAGCUAUAAAGGAUAUGUAUGAAGGAGCAAAGACUGCCGUAAGAACUCAUGAAGGACAAACCGAAAGCUUCCCUAUAACUGUAGGAUUACAUCAAGGCUCAUCCUUAAGUCCUUACCUUUUUGCGUUGGUAAUGGAUGAAUUAACAUGACAUAUUCAAGAUGAUAUUCCUUGGUGUAUGCUUUUCACAGACGAUAUAAUGUUGAUAGAUGAAACUUAGGAAGGGGUAAAUAUGAAGCUUAACCUUUGGAGAGAAGUGUUGGAAUCUAAAGGUCUUCGCCUAAGCCGAUCAAAGACAGAAUAUAUGGAGUGCAAGUUCAGUGCAAACGGAGGCCAAAAUGAGUUAGGGGUGAGGAUCGAAGAUCAGGAAAUACCAAAGAGCGAUCGUUUUCGCUACCUAGGAUCUAUCUUGCAAAAGAACGGAGAAUUAGAUGCAGAUCUCAACCAUAGAAUACAAGCUGGAUGGAUGAAGUGGAAGAGUGCAUCCGACGUGUUGUGUAACCGCCGUAUGCCACUGAAGCUCAAGGGAAAAUUUUAUAGGACGGCAAUAAGGUCGGCGAUGCUGUAUGGCACAGAAUGUUGGGCGGGGAAGCAUCAACACGUACACAAAAUGGGUGUAGUGGAGAUGAGGAUGCUUCGGUGGAUGUGUGGGCACACGAGAAAGGAUAAGAUUAGGAAUGAGGAUAUCCGAGGUAAAGUAGGAGUAGCCGAAAUUGAAGGAAAGAUGAGAGAAAAUCGGUUACGGUGGUUUGGACAUGUGCAAAGAAGGCCUACUGACGCUCCGGUUAGAAGAUGCAACUACGGGACAAAUGUUCAGGGUCGAAGGGGUAGAGGAAGGCCUAGGAAAACUUUGGAAGAAACUCUAAGAAAAGACUUAGAGUACUUGGAUCUAACGGAGGACAUGACACAAGACCGAGCAUAAUGGCGUUCUAAGAUUCAUAUAGCCGACCCCACUCAGUGACUUAGAUUUUUCAAGUCUCUAACCGAGAAGUUUUCCUUACUUGGGAAAUUAAGGGAACACUACCUCAACCUACAUGCUCCACUCACAAAGCUUCAACAUACAAGCUUCAACAAAAGAAAAAUUCAAAGAACUUAGUGACGAAGCCUUUGGGGUAUUUAACACAAUACGUUGAAAUGAAGCAAAGCUUAUUUAUUGAUAUCUCCGAUAAGUUACAAAUAUGUACAUAUACAUGAGUCAAAAUAAACAAACAAGAGGGAGCCUUCACAAAGGUUGCUUAGGAGAAGUCUCAGCAGUCGGUAGAGCCACAGAAAGAGAAGGCACCGGAGGGGGAUCAUUCAGAGCCUCAGUACUGGACAGAACCUUAGAAGGAUGAGGCAUCGGAGGUUGAUCAUUUGGAGCUUCAUUAUGCGGUACAUCCCUAGAAGACGAAGGCAAUAAAUGCCUUUGGAACAAACCCACAAACCUCUGAUGAUCACGUAAAUCUGACAAUCAGAUUCCUUCAUCUGGUCAAGCUUCCUCUUCAUGUUUGUAGCAUAGUCAUGUGCGAGCCGGUGCAACUGUUUAUUCUCAUGCUUGAGCCCUCUAAUCUCCUGUUUGAGACUCAUCACUUCAGCCGCCAAUGAUUCAACUUGGCGGGUUCGAGCAAAUAGGCGUUGGGCCAUAUUAGACACAGAACCUGCACACUGAACACUGAGAGCCAGAGAAUCCUUAACAGCCAACUCAUCAGACCGUUUGGAAAGUAGUCUGUUAUCUUUGGGAGUGAGAAGGUUCCUGGCCACCACCGCAGCGGUCAUAUCAUUCUUCAUCACGGAAUCCCCAACGGUAAGAGGACCAGUAGGGGAUAAGAAGGAUGGGCGCCAUAUGUUGUCUGGAGAAGGCGUGGCUGCCUCUUCAACAAGGUUCAAGUCAAAACGACGGUCGGAGGGGCCAGACAUUUUCAAAGGUGUUGAAGAGAGAAGAGGUCAGACAAAUCAAGAUCUUAGAAGUGCAAGAAUGGAGCUUCUACUGGUGGAGAUUCAAGUGUGCUUUGGAACUUAAUGCCAGCCUCUAUAAAAAUCUGCACUCGACGGAGCUUCAGAAAUCGAAGAGGCGCCUGCUCAGAAAUCGAAGAGGCGUUUGCUUUCUCAAAAGCUGGGCUGCUCAGAGACCACGAGGGCCGAUCUCAGAAAUCGAAGAGGGUUUGCUUUCUCAAAAGCUGGGCUGCUCAAAGACCACAAAGGCCAAUCUUAGAAAUCGAAGAGGCGUUUGCUUUCUCAAAAGCUGGGCUGCUCAGAGACCACAAGGGCCGAUCUCAGAAAUCGAAGAGGCACCUGCUUUUUCAGCCUUGUCAGCACCUGUCAUAUGCACACUCAGCUUUGCGGAAAUUACAGGCAUGCUGUCGAAGAUUUCUGGUGAAGUAGAAAGCACGGGUGAAUCCUUACUGUUCAAACAAUCAGCUUCAUGGGUACCACAGAUAACUUUGCCAAAGAAGGGUAAAAGAAGAGUAAAGAAACAACACUAACAAAGUUUAGACACAUAAAUUUUGAAGGUCUAGCUACUAUAUUAUUACCCACAAGGGUAAAGGAACAGCACAACUGCUGGAUAAUUGGAAAGUCCCUGUGUGUCAACCUUUGUGCUCCGUGGCAAGGUAGACUAGCAAACAUGCCCAACCUUUACUCACAUUCGAGAAAACACUCCCAACAAGAUUGCUUGCUCCAAAAUCGAAGAGGCGCCGCCCUCCGAAUCUCGAGAGCCAGACUCCCAACAUGAGUACUUUCUCAAAAAUCGAAGAGACACCACUCUCUGAAUCUCGAGAGCCAGACUCCUAGCAAGAUUGCUUUCUCAAAAAUCGAAGAGGCACCGUUCUCCGAAUCUCGAGAGCCAGAUCCCCGACAGGAUUGCUUGUUCGAAAACCGAAGAGGCACCACUUUCUCAACUUCGAGAGCCAGAUCUCCUUGGAUAAAGCUUGUCUGUAAUCUUCACACGCAACAUCAGCUUUCCAGAUACCACAGACCACUUUUUCAAAGUGCUCUGACAGAGUUAAAACACGUGAAGCUGGCAGCUCCCACUACCGUGCUAUGACCAAGCAGGGUAAAGGAAUAGCAUUACUACUUGUUGUUAGGGAGACUCCUAUAUAUGUCGACCUCCAUCCUCAACGGACAGGCAGACCUGCAAAAAUGCUCAACCCUUCCUCAUAUCUGAGAGGGCACUCCCAACGAAGCCUCUCGAAAUACUCAGCUUUUUUUCCCCCCGAUAAUACCUCUGUAAACAAGCUACACUAGAGCAAGACUAUCUCAUAUCAUCAGGGUUAAAAGCAAGAGUAUCCCAUAUCAUGCUUUUUUCCCUGUCUUUUCCUUUGGCCUUGUUCUUACCUGCAAGACAAGGAGAAAGAGAGCAAUCAGUCAGCACUUGGAAUCAAGCUUCCAGUCAGGAACUGACUGCCUGGAACCCCUUACCUGAUUACUUACUUGACAUUGCUCUCGAGUACUCAUCUUCAACAUCUUAUGCUUCCAAAAAAGAUACCACAUCUGCCUGAGGAACAGAUAUAGGGCAAGUGAGAAGGAAUACAAGGAAGCAUGUGGAGACAAGCGUAACAGAAUAUGUGCCGAUACAUCCACUACUUCGUCAACAGCAAAAGUAUCCCAUAUCAGCAGGGUCGAACGUACUCUAGAUUUGAUGGACUUGUUUUGACCCUCAAAUUCUUCAGUCGGCCUUAUACUCUGGAGGAAACCAGAAAACCCUCCAGCCCAGUUCAAGAAUAAGCCUGUGGAAAGUUACUUCUUCAAAAGCAAAAGUAUCUCAUAUCAUCUCUUCUCCUUUUUCUUCUCUUUAUCCUUCAUGCUGCCUGCAAGAUAAGGAGAAUGAGAACAAUCAGCCGGAACUCGAAAUCAAACUUCUGAUCUGGGACUGAUUGCUUGGAGCUCUGAUUGCUUACCUUGUCUGUCACCUCUUUCAACAGAUCCCUUAGCUCGGCGACUUGGGGGACUCCUACUACAUGGUUUGUAUCGCGCUUGACCAAGCCUGAAACUACAAGUAAGCUUCAAGUGAAAUUGAUACAUUACCUUGUGCAUCUCCACCAGUUAAAGAUACCACCCCUGGAUGGAGGAAGAGUACUUCCAGAGAAGAUGCCACAUCUACCUAUGAGACAGAUAAGGCAAGUGAAGACGAUACCACACUUCGGUACUUAGAAGUUUCGUGAUUACGAGAUCAUUCUCCCACAAUAUUUCCUAAUGUCAUUUGUACUAAAUCAUUCACUUGUACUCACUAAAGGAGAGCUUGAACCUAUGUACUUGUGUAAACCCUUCACAAUUAAUGAGAACUCCUCUAUUCCGUGGACGUAGCCAAUCUGGAUGAACCACGUACAUCUUGUGUUUGCUUUCCUGUCUCUAUCCAUUUACAUACUUAUCCACACUAAUGACCGGAGCAAUCUAGCGAAGAUCACAAACUUAAUACUUUCUGUUGUACCAAAGUCCUCACUGAUUUUGUGCAUCAACAAUCCUUAAGUCCCUACCUUUUUGCGUUGGUAAUGGAUGAGUUAAUAGGACAUAUUCAAGAUGAUAUUCCUUGGUGUAUGCUUUUCGCAAACGAUAUAGUGUUGAUAGAUGAAACUCAGGAAGGGGUAAAUGCGAAGCGUAACCUUUGGAGAGAAGUGUUGGAAUCUAAAUGUUUUCGCCUAAGCCGAUCAAAGACAGAAUAUAUGGAGUGCAAGUUCAGUGCAAAUGGAGGCCAAAAUGAGUUAGGGGGUGAGGAUCGGAGAUCAGGAAAUACCAAAGAGCGACCAUUUUCGCUACCUAGGAUUUAUCUUGCAAAAGAACGGAGAAUUAGAUGCAGAUCUCAACCAUAGAAUACAAGCUGGAUGGAUGAAGUGGAAGAGUGCAUCCGGCGUGUUGUGUGACCGUCGUAGGCCACUGAAGCUCAAGGGAAAAUUUUAUAGGACGGCAAUAAGGCCGGCGAUGCUGUAUGGCACAGAAUGUUGGGCGUUGAAGCAUCAACACGUACACAAAAUGGGUGUAGCGGAGAUGAGGAUGCUUCGUUGGAUGUAUGGGCACACGAGAAAGGAUAAGAUUAGGAAUGAGGAUAUCCGAGGUAAAGUAGGAGUAGCCGAAAUUGAAGGAAAGAUGAUAUAAAAUCGGUUACGGUGGUUUGGACAUGUGCAAAGAAGGCCUACUAACGCUCCGGUUCGAAGAUGUGACUACGGGACAGAGGUUCAGGGCCAAAAGGGUAGAGGAAGACCUAGGAAAACUUUGGAAGAGACCCUAAGAAAAGACUUAGAGUACUUGGAUUUAACGGAGGACAUGACACAAAACCGAGCACAAUGGCGUUCUAGGAUUCAUAUAGCCGACCCUACUUAAUGGAAAAAGGCUUUGUUGUUGUUGCAUAAUUAAACUAUUUUGUUCUUAGUUUGCUAACAAUAUUUUCUUAUAUUUGAAUGGCAGAGUAUGGUAUGGGAAGUGAGGCGUUGAUAACUGGAUAUGUCUACAGUUUUGAAAUUCUCUUGUAGGAGAAGUUUACAAGGAAGAGAACCACUGACAACGUGUUUAAUGGGGACUUAAACCUUCAUGUUACAAUUUUCAAUCAAUGUUCUCGAGUCUUGAGGCCCCCAUGAAGUUUAAAAAUUAAGAAAGCUUGAUCUCACUAGUAACUAUUACAAUUUUUAGAAAGGUUGCAUCCACACCAAGCUUUCUUGCAAUGGUACUUUAGGGGAACUAUAAGAAAAUCAGCAAUCUCACAGUCCAGCCCCUCAAAAAACGUAGACUUCAAAAUUUCCAUUCAUAGCUAGGGUCACCUAGCAAGGUAACUUUCAUAUCGACACCAGCGUGACGUCUGAUGUAACCAAAAAUAGGAUUCCUUGUAUUUGUUUUUUUCAUUUUGGAUGGUUGCCAAAUGUUUCCAGUCAGCUUCUGGAGUCAAGGUGCUUUAAUGGUCUUGGUCCUUGGCGUACGGAAAGUGCCAGACAAUAGGUCCCAGUAGUCCACAAAUUGGGAAUUUGCGUAGAUUGCAGGUAUUUGCGUAGAUUGCAGGUAUUGCGAUUAGACAUUAACUCGUUUAGUGGCAGUAUUCCACACAAUAUAUCAUAUUGCUUCAACCUUAUCCAUGUGAAUUUCUCUCGGAACAAGUUGGUGGGUAAAAUUCCUUCAGAAAUUGGAUUGCUGUCAAAACUGCAAAAAUUUGCAUCAUUCUAUAAUAAUGUAACGGGACAGGUCCCUCAUUCCUUGGGGAACCAUCCCUAGUUCUCUUGGCCAAUUGAAAAAAUUAACCUUCUUGGGAUUGGGGUUAAAUCAGUUGUCUGGUAGCAUCCAAUCCUCCAUUUAUAACCUCUCUUCUCUUGUUACAUUUUCCAUGCCAGGUAACCAACUUCAAGGGAGUAUUCCAUCAGAUAUUGGCAAAAGUCUUCCUAAUCUCGAAAUCUUCAGCGUCGCCUUAAACCAACUCACUGGGUCCAUACCUCCCUCAAUAUUCAACAUCGCAAGUGUUCAAUUAUUUGAAGUUGGGGUUAACAACCUAAUCGGACAGGUACCGAAUCUCCAAAAGCUUCACAACCUCCGGAUUUUCAACAUUCAAUAUAAUAAUAUUGGAAGCGGUAAAGAUGGUGACUUAAGUUUUCUCUCGACCUUGACCAAUGCCACCCAGUUAAAAAGGCUGAUUAUUAGCGACAACAAUUUUGGAGGGACAUUGCCCAUGUCAGUAUGCAAUCUCUCAACCAAACUUGAAAUGUUUUGGGUUCUAAAUAACCAAAUAUAUGGAAGCAUCCCAUCCGGGAUAGGGAAUCUGGUGAGCUUGCUAUCGUUGCGUUGGGGGAAUAAUAGCUUCACAGGUAACAUCCCCUCUGACAUGGGUAAGCUUUCAAACCUUGGAGAAUUAGAUAUUUUCAUGAACAAAUUAUCAGGAAAUAUUCCGUCUUCCUUAAGAAAUUUAACCAAGUUAUUCUAUCUUGCACUGAAUAGAAAUCAUCUUGAGGGUAGCAUUCCUUCAGGUCUGGGGGAAUGCCAUGGGUUGCAAUUGUUGUAUCUUUCUUAUAACCUCCUAAAUGGCACAAUACCCAAACAAGUUUUUAGACUCUCCUCCUUAUCGAUUGCUUUGCACUUGAAUAAUAACCGCUUCACAGGUUCCCUUCCUCUGGAGGUUGGGAAUUUCCAUAGUCUGAGUGAACUGGAUCUUUCUGAUAACAUGUUAUCUGGAGAACUCCCCAGUAGCCUUGGUGGUUGUGAGAGUUUAGAAGUCCUGCAUUUGCAAGGAAACUUCUUCAACGAGUCCAUUCCUUUGUCUAUGAGUUCAGUAAGAGGGAUUCGAGAUCUAGACCUUUCUCGCAAUAAUUUUUCAGGGGAAAUUCCACAUUUUUUAGAAGACCUUAGAAUCCUGAAUAAUCUGAACGUAUCAUUCAAUCAAUUUUGGGGAGUGGUACCAACUGGAGGUGUUUUCAAAAAUGCGAGUGCUAUUUCAGUUGUUGGCAACACUAAUCUAUGCAGCCCUGUUGCUAAUUUAAGGCUUCCCAAGUGCAAGUCUAAAGAGACCAAGAAACGAAGAUUGUCUCGUAGCUUGAAACAAAUACUCCCUUUAGUAUUUGGACUUACUCUUCUAGGAAUAGCCAUGGUGUUCUCAUUUUUCUUUCUUUGUUCGUCAGGGAAGAAAGGGAAAGAAAUUUCAUUGAGCACUUUCGGGAACACUAUUUUGCAAGUGUCAUAUGCUACUCUACUCAAAGCUACUGACGGGUUCUCAAAGGUUAAUUUAAUUGGUGCUGGUAGUUUUGGGUGUGUACAAAGGAGUUCUUGAUGAGGAUGAUAAAGCUCAACUUGUUGCCGUGAAGGUGUUUAACUUGUCACGCCAUGGAGCUUCGAGGAGUUUCAUAGCCGAAUGUGAAGCUUUGAGAAAUAUUAGGCACCGAAAUCUUGUCAAGAUUAUAACCGUGUGUUCAAGUGUUGAUUUUUAUUGUAAUGAUUUCAAGGCUCUAGUUUAUGAGUUCAUGGACAACGGGAGCUUAGAGGAGUGGCUGCAUCCACCUACUGGAACUGAAGAGUUACGAGAUCAUGUACCCAAGAAGUUAGGUCUUCUUCAGAGGCUAGAAAUUGCCAUUGGUGUUGCUUGCGCACUGGAUUAUCUUCAUAAUCAUUGUGAAACGCCAAUAGUUCAUUGUGAUCUCAAGCCAAGCAAUGUUCUCUUGGACAAUGAAUUGACUGGCCAUGUUUCUGACUUUGGAUUAGCAAGGAUUCUCUCACAAGUAACGAGUAAUGUUUCAGAAAUUCAGAGUCAGACAAGUUCCGUUGGAAUAAGAGGGACGGUUGGUUAUGCAGCUCCAGGUAUAUAUAUGUUAGAUAUAUAUUUCCUUUUUUAUUUUGGAGUAUUUAAUUUACAAAAUUCAAAAAUGUGAUGUUUGAAUUGUAGAGUAUGGCAUGGGGAGUGAGGUGUCAACGAAUGGUGAUGUCUACAGCUUUGUCAAGAUGGCUCUCCCCAAGCAAGUUACUGAGAUUAUAGAUGCACCAUUUCUUCAAGGAGGCAUGAACGAGAAUCUCAAUCAAUGCAGAGUGAGAAUUCAUAGAGUUGAGGUGUGCUUGAGUUCAAUAUUUAGAAUUGGAAUUGCUUGUUCUGCUGAAUCCGCAACAGAUCGACUAAAGAAUAUCAAUGAUGCUGCAUCUGAACUUCAUUCCAUUAGGAAUACUUUUCUUGGAAUAGAAACUCUUUUUAAUGUGCUUUUGUAAUAGAGAUAUUUCAUGUACUGCUUGUGAAGUCUAGCUUUUAUGUUACCACAGUAGAUGUGGAAGUUUGCAACGUAAAUAAUCACCAAUGAGGUUCAUUGUGUGAAGAGUGUAUUACUACUUCUUGUACUUGGUAUUUUUGUGUAAUAUUCACAUCUAUUAACGUCUAGUACGUGCCACGAAAUUGUUGAAUAUACACAUUGACAGAUUCCAAAUUUCGAAAGAUUCAUAACCUCAAGACCCUCAACUUACAUUCAACAAAAUCAUCUUGGAAGCGGUAAAGAUGGUGAUUUGAGUUUCCUAUCAGACUUGACCACUAUCAGUGUAAGGUGUUUUAAAAAAUCAGAGUGCUAUUUCAAUUGUUGACAACACUAGAUUCUGCAAGGGAAUUCCUAAUCUUAGGCUGCCCAAUUGGCAAGUCUAAGGAGCUCCAAGAAAAGAAGAUUAGCUCAUAGCUUGAAAUUAACAAUCCCUUUAGUUUUCGGACUUGCUCUACUUGCAAGUGUCAUAUGCUACUUUCUCAAAAGCCAAUGAUCGGUUUUCUUCAGUUAAUUUGACUGGUGUUGGCAGUUUCGAGUUUGUAUGAAGGUGCUUAACAUGUUAAAGUCACGGAGCAUCAAAGAGUUUCAUAGCCGAAUAUGAGGCUUUUAGAAAUAUCAAGCAUCAAAAUCUCGUCAAGGUCAUAUCUGCAUCUUUUCGCAGUGAUGAUUCAAGGCUCUAGUUUAUGAGUUGAUGCACACCAAAGGAGCUUAGAGGAGUGGUUGCAUCCCCCUCCUGUAAUUGAAGAGCAAGAGCUCGAUACAUCCAAUAAUUUAAAAUCUUCUUUCAAGGGCUAGAUAUUGUUAUUGGUGUUGCUAUUAUGCAUUGGAUUAUUUUCAUAACCAUAGCAAAACACGGAAAAUUCAUUGUGAUCUAAAGCCAAACAAUAUUCUUCUAAACACUAAGUUGACUGGACAUGUUUCUUGAAAGUAGACUAAUCUCAGACUGUUACUUAUAUGAACUCCUCCAUAUAAGUGAAGGGAAUUGGGUUCAAGUUGGUUGGUAUGGUUAAUAGGGUUUGCAAAUGGCCAUUUUUUGUAGAAUUUUAACCCCUACUUGUAGAAUUUUAACCCCAACUUUAAAGCCCAUGGGCUGACAAAUCAAGGUUUUCUAGCAUUGUUGUUAUCAAGAUUCUCCCAUGCGCAUUCUGGCAUUCUGAAUUCUAAUCUAAUGGCUUUAGCAGUCGUUCUACUAAUCUAAAAGAGUUUUUAUUUUUUUGUUCGAACAAAUGAUAUUACCUAUACUAAGAGGAAGGAGAUAAGUUGAACCUUAUAAUGGGCUAACAAUAAUGUUGUUCAAAUUCGUCUUUGACGAGAAUCGAACCCAAGACCUCGCAUUUACAAGUGAAGAAAAUAUCACUAGACCGUAGUACUAAGUGGCAUGAAAAUGUUUGUAUUAAACCUGCAAAAAUGAAAAUUCUCAGCCGUUCAUUAAUGGAUUUGAAUUUAGAUUUAUUACAAUUGAUAGAGAUUUUUUUUUUGGCAAUCAAUAGGAUACUAACAAAUUUGUUUUUAGUACAAAGAUAUGUCACGAUAAUGUCACUUAUAACCAAGGAAGAAAAUAUCGGUAAUAUCGGAAAUAUCGGUAGUCCGAAAACACGGAAAUAUCGAUGGAAAUAUCGGGAUAAUAUCGAUAUCGAUAAAAAUUAUAUGGAAACCACGGAAAUUGUAAGAAAAACUUGGAAAUUUUUAUUGAAACUUUGCAGGAUGUUUAUUUAGUCAAUUAUCUAUUAGUUUAUCACAAAAAAUUGGAAGGAAAUGCAUUGCAUGAUGGAUUUAACUGAUUUAAGUUGAUUAUAUAGCGAGAUGGCAAACAUUGUGAAUGUAGAAAAUAUGUAGUAAUUAAUGAAAGAAGUUUAAACACACCAUAAUCAUUUAUAUAUAAUGAAUUAGUACAAUAUUUUACACUUUAUAAAUUGCAUGGUAAGAUACAUGAGUGACUUAGUACCACAUAGAGUUCCUAUGAGAUUCAAAAUUUUCACUAUCUUCAUCAUCUCUAUUUGUAGAGUAAGUGUAUUGUGAAGAGUAGUCAGCAACCAUGGCAAUGGUUUUCAAGAACCAAAACCCAAAAGUCAAUAGGAAACCGAAUACUUCGGUAUUUUUCGGGAUUACCAAACAAAUGGGAUUUGGAAACCAAUCCCAUAUCGAAAAUUUCGGUAUUUUUCGGGAUGGGAUUCCAGAACUUCAGGAUGGUUUUGGUUUGGGAUUUUUCGGUUUGGGUUUGGGACUUUUUCGGUUUUGUUUGGGAUUUUCGAGAAUUUUUUCCAGCCCUAUGUAAGUGACCAAAUAAAAAAUAGAAAAAUUAAAAACCACAUGCCAUUGACUAAGUAAUUAAUUGACACAAUUUAAAAUAUAAUACCACAAAAAAUUUGGAAUAUGUGCAAAUUUGUUUCUUGUAAAAAGAAUUCAAAACAAAACAAUAUACAUAAAUAUGUGCAAAUUUGUUUCUUGUAAAAAGAAUUCAAAACAAAACAAUAUACAACAACAUAAGUGAUAUGGUGGUUAAGGCGUUAAGACUCAAAUGGGAGGGGGUUCGAAUCCCUUUAGUCUCAAAAUUGAGACUUUUCAGAAAAUUUUAAGAAUUUUUGGAUGUCAUAUCGCGAUAAUAUCGCGAUAUUAUAACUAAUGUCGCGAUAUUAUGUUAAUAUCGCGAUAUUAUCGAUAAUAUCGCGAUAUUUUGACGAUAACUCAUUGGAUACUUGUUAAAAUAUCGAUAACUCAAAAAAACGAAUUUCGCCGAUAUUUUCGAUAUUUAAAUCCUUGCUUAUAGCUAUGUCACUGACCUUUUAACUUAUUGCCCUAUCUUUAACGCACUCCAAUUAAUAUCAUCCUCUAAUUGUUAGUAUUUAAUGAAUCUCAUCAUAAAUUGUUACCCAAAAUAUUAAUUAUCAAAGCAAAUAAAGCCACCACUUGAGGGUGAUGAUUAAAAAUCACCCCAAUAAUAUAAGUAGUAGUUAAGUUAGUUGGUGUGAUAGUUGGUCUUUAGCAAGCUUCUUAAUGGUUGUGCCAAAUAGGUUUCAUACUAGAAAAAAUGUUCGCGCUCCGCCGCGGGUUUUGAAAUCGUAACCCAUAAUUUAACAUACAAUUUCUAAAUUAUUCAGAAAUCAAUAAGAGAAAACUUCAAGUAGAAAAAAAUGAGUUCUCAAUCAAAGAAAACUUCAAUUUCAUGCAAGUUUUUUUGUUCUAAUUUCAGGGCUUAACAAUGCAAGAUUGGAAUUUGCAUUUGGUUCUAAGAAGUAAGAUAAAUUGAUAAGCAAAAUGAACUAAAAAAAUAGAAUCUAUUCCAAUUUGAUUAUCCGUUCAAGUUCAAAAAGACAAAACGAAGAAUAUUUUUAGGGAACUUUAACGAAAAGCAUCCGGUACUGUUCACUUUAACGAAAAACCAUAUUUUUACACUAAAAAGUCAAUCCCGGUACUAUUCACUUUACCCUUUAUUUUGUCCUUAUCAUUAAAACUCAAAGUUUUCAAGCCCUUUUUAUUAGUUUUCCUAUAUUUUUAAGCAUCCAAACAUCAGUUAAAACUAAACAAUUAAAAACAAUAACACUAAAGCAUUUCAUUGAAGACAUAGAUAACAUAUUUGUUUCUUUGUACCUAAAAUGGAAAACAUUUGCUUUCCUAUAUGCUCUGAAAUUUGCAUAAGUGCUAGAAAUUUACAAAAUAUAAAGAGACAAUCUCAGAAUAAAACACAUUUGAAGGAAAAGUAAUAAGAAAAGAACAUAGUGUUUUUUACCUAUGAUUCAUGUGAGGAGUAGAAUUUCCAGUCACAAUUGACAACACAAGAGCUCUGUAAAUCAAAUAUAUAGGAAAAGAUCAAUAAAAAGUGAAUUACAGUUUCUCAAAUUAGAAAGUAACAUUUAUUUGAAAAGAUUCAGACUCAUUUUGGAUAUCGAUAAACAAUGGCAUGUUAAAAACCAAAAUGGUAAGGCAUUCAAUAUUCAGCAUUCAAGUUAAAAAAAAUGAUAUACAUGUUAUCCAUCAAUGUUUUGGUAACAAAUUCCCAAAUUGCUCUAUCUACCAAACAUUUGCAGAUCUAUCGUUAUAGAUAGACCUGUAAAUGAGUCGGGUUCAUUGGGUUUGGAUCAGGUUCGACCCGAUCUAUUAAUUUAAUGGGUCACCCGAACCCAACCCGUUAAACUAACGGGUCAUCCAAACACAACCUGUUAAUCUAUUAAGUCACCCGUUUUACCCAUUUCACCCGUUAACAAUUUUUUUUUUUUUUUGCUUUCAUAUUUCAUCCAAACCAAGAAAAGAUCGGUGCUUUCAGUUGUUUUCUUCUGCUACCUCACUCAAAACCCAAGUCUCCCUUGCAGCCGACUCCAUCACCGCCAACCAAUCUCUUUAAUGCGAUUCAAAACCCGAGUCUUGACCCUGUCCCGGUACGCUUUACUUCGUCCUCCAAUUCUUAUAUCAUUAUAAUAUACAUAUAUAUACCUCUAUAUAUAUACAUAUAUAUUAUAUUUUUAUGCAUUUCAGUUCUUUGCUUGUAACACUGAGAUUUGUACUCUCUCUCUAUCGCAACAGCAAAAGUCUCAGCAUUUCAGAGACACCCAAAAGAUUUUACAAUGAAGAGAGAAAGAGAGAUAGAGAAAGAGAGAGAGAGAGAGAGAGGGAUUUGGGUUCUGAGGUUGAGGUUCCAGUGGAGUUUGAGGUUGAGGACCUGAGGUUCCAGGCAGAGUUCCUAGUGCUAAUUAAAGUUCUUGUUUUCGUUUUUUUUUGGUAGUCUUAGGUUUACGAAAUUCGACAGAGAGUGAGGGUUUUCUAUUAAGAAUAUUGAAAUUACACAAAAGUCCUCAAUAACGGGUGAUUAACGGGUUUCGCGGGUUCACCCAAAAAGACCUGUUAUUUAACGGGUUGACCCGUUAACCACCCAACCCGUUUAGCACUCACCCGAAUACUAAUUUUAACAGGGUCGGGUCAGAUUAACGGAUCGGGUUGAAAAUGCCAAGUCUAGAACUUACAGAUGUUCAGUUUUAUGAUAUUCAACCCAAUACCCACAUUAUUGGCAAAACGACAUUGUAUAGAUCUUUUGAGCACCCGAGCUAAUGACAAUAACAUUGAAGGCAACUACAAAAAUUUACAUUAUAUAAAGAGGCAAUCUCAAAAUCAAAAAUUGUGAAAAUCAAUAUUUUAUGGCUACAUUUUUUCAUCCGUCAAUCAAUACACACAUAACACAGACAUUCAUUAGUCAAGCACUCAACCACUCAGGCACAUCGACUACAACUUGGGAAUGUUAUGCAAAUCUUAGGCAGCUUGAAUCAUUAAAUUUGAGUUGGAAUAAGCUCUGUUACCUGCUCUGCUAAGUUGAGGAGUGUCACCAAAUUGGCACUAUCAUCAGCAUCAACACAUUUCACACACUCUCGCUUCCAAAACAUUUCACGAAAUCGAAAACCAAAUGAGAUUAUGUAGCAGAAAAGAUUGACGGAAAAAUAGAUUAAGAAAAGCAAUUAAUAUUAAAUAUAGAGGAUGAAUAAUGUUGUCCAAUAAAUAAGACAGCUGUAUAUAUUUCUCGACCAUGAGAAAACAACAAAUUAAUAGAGGCAUUAAUCCUAAGUUUGCCAUUCAUUGUUGUCGGUCUAAACUUGAUGACAUAUUGUAAAGUCCUCUUACAUACAGAUUAAUGAAAUAUUAAUUUAUUUCCAUAAGUUAUUUGAUUUUGCAAAUUCAAAAUAAUUGAAGAAUACUGAAAAUUACUAAACCCCAUCACAACAUCCCAUUAGCCAUUAGCGAAAAAUCAAAGACAAAAGUAAAUUACUAUCUUUCUAAGCAUCCAAAUUAAAAAAACAAAUUAGCCAAAUUGGAAUAGUUAGAUCAAAUAAAGAAUUAAGUCAACCAAUUACAUAAAAUAAUUCAUGCCAAGUAGGCUCCUAAGAAAAUGUACCACUAUGGUGGUGGAGGAGGCCUAGGCUCAAACAGUGGAGGAAAGCAGCAUUUAAAUAUACCGCAACAGCACGGAAUCCACAGACUGCAUAAUCAAAACCAAAAUUUUAAAAUUUAAAUUUAAAUUUGAAAAAAAAAAUGCAAUAGAAUUGUAUAAUGAGAAAUUCUCCAAUGUGGAUAAAUUAAUCCCACUCAAUUUAAAUUUAAAGGAUGCAAUCAGUUGUAUUGGGCUGGCAACCGGCUUAUGCUCAAAUCCCACUAAAUUUAUCAUACACCCUUCCAACUACAAUUCAAAGGAAGAAGUUCCAAGUCCAUGCAUAAUGUUUGCUCAACUAAAAUAAAUUGCUUUUCAUGAUUAAAAUAGCCAACCAACCAACACUCAUUUGAUAAAAUUGAACAUUUGGAGUUGCAUAUCCACAUAUUCCACAUAUUUAAGAUCGAACAAACCUUCAAAUGAAGAAUUGCAAUUGAUAGAAUCGGUGUUCUUUGAAAUAAUCAUAACAUUUCACAACACAACACAAUGGCAUCAAUUUAUACAAAUUCUAACAGCAAAUUGUCAAAAACAAUGAGAACAAUUACCAGAAAUUUCAAAUCAUUUGGGGGUUCAGAGUAAUUACCAGAGAGACGAAAGCUAGAAUCAACAUUAGUCCAUUUUUUUCAAAAUAAGAACAGCUCCGAUCUAAGAAAUACAGUGCAAUUUCUGAAGGAAAAAAAAAGUGAGAAAACCCUAAAAUCCCUAAGAACCCUAAUUUAUAAAACGCAAAAGGAGAGAGGAGACUCAAAUAAAGGGUAAUUUGAGAAAUUCAACAUGCCAUAAUCGGGGGCGAGGACGCUUUCUGAUGGCCAAAUUCAUCGACACCGGAGGCAGUUGUCGACCGUCACUGUACCUCCAUUUUGUCUCCGCCAUGUUUGAGGCUUUCGACCGUCACUACUUGGUUUGUGUGCUUCAUGUCGAGAGAUAUGGGGGAGCGGAGAGAGAGGAAAAGCAGAGGAAAAUGAAAGAUUGUAGAGAAGGACAGAAACAGGAAGAGUGAGAGAUGAGAGGAAGAGCGCACGCGUUCUAACCCAUCGCAAUCCGUUCUAAACCAUAUGGACAAAAUUAUCCUAUCAACUUUUGAGAAUUACCCUCCCAACCCAGCCCUAUUUCGCUGGCAUUGUUGUAAAUAGCGUGAAAUUGAGUGGCAAAGCUACUAUCAAUUACUCCUCAACUUUAUAAUAGAUAAUUCGAGAAAAUAGAACUUUAACGAAAAUCUUCCGGUAUUGUUCACUUUAACGAAAAACCAUAUUUUUACAUUAAAAAGUCAAUCCUAGUACUAUUCACUUUACCCUUUAUUUUAUCCUUAUCGUUAAAACUCAAAAUUUUCAAACUCUUUUCAUUAAUUUUCCUUUGAGGAAGGGAAAAAUUUUUGAAAUGUCAUAUAAACUUGUACGUAUUUUUCAGUUUGUCAAAAAAACUAAAAUUUUAAGCAAUUUGUCACACUAACUUUCUAAAAUCAUCAAUUUGUCAUCUCAUCCUAACUCCGUUAAGUUUUUCAUUCAAAAUAAGUCAUAUGCGAGGCACAUGACUUGUGUUCAGGGUUAUUUCUGUCAUUUUAACACCUCACUUCCUUCUAUUAAGUUGCAUUCAAUCAAAUAAUUACAGGGUUUCUAAAGCCACAAAAAGAGACUAAUAUACGAUGCUUGGUCUAAGAGUUUUCAUUCAAAAAGGAGAACAAUGGCGCUUAUGUGUGUUUCGAAUUGAAGAUGGCUCAAGAAUAGAGUCAUUGCGAACCCUCCAAUCUAUAUGAUAAAGUUGGAUGAAAUUAUUUAUUAUGGCUAAUUGGAUGAAAUUAUUUAUUAUGGUUGUCUGCGACAAUAAGAAAUUUGAUUCUUCUAGUUGUAGCUAGUCCCGUUUUCUAUGUUUAUUUGCAUUCUUUUUUUAUGGAAUGGUGUUUUACCAUGAGAUUGAAUGGUUUUUUAUUUGGUUCUUUGUUUAGUUUGAACUAGAAAAUUUGCCUGCACUUUUGCUGCGGGUUUUGAAAUCAUUAUCUACAACAGGCGUGAAUAAUUUUCAUAGAAAGUAACUAAAAAGACGGUCCAACACUAAGAACCAAUGAAGUGAAACUUUGAUUGCUAUAUAUGAAUAUACAUGCUAUAAGAAACCAUUCAUAUUCAGUUCCAACAACAAUAUCGCUUUUCUUGAGUCCCUUUUGAAUGGUAUUUCUUGUGGCUUUGGAUCGACAAUAGUACUUACAUACAAAAGAUUACGAAACAUUGUUUUAUUUACCUGAAGAAAAAUGACAAAAUAUUGUUUUACUUAGUUACCUUUUAGAAAAUUAGAAUGACAUUGGCAAUGCUUAUGCUAUUCAAAAAUCAUAUGCCAGAUUGAAAUCGAAAAACUAAACUUUGAAUUCAAAACUAUUCACAUGUGGAAUAAUUUGAAAUGCCUCAAAAUAUUAUCAUGACCCAAUUGUAUAUGGAAAAUGCCUGAAAGUAAUCCAUGCCUUUCUCAAAAAUAGGCCAUUCAGUGUUGAGCACCAAGUAAUAGCCUCUAAUAUCAGAGAAAAUACCUGCCAAGAAAAGAAAUUAAAAUAUUAGGCAUAUGAGUGCAAGCUUACAUAAACUUUGUUUUUGCACACUUUCUUCUCCCUUCAAUGACAGUUUGUUUCUAUCCAGAAAAAUAAAAUGAGCAAGUCAAUGAUACUCACAUGUACAAAAUGCUAAUCCUAUAUAUGGUCUAAAGCUAACUGAGUUUUUAAGUGUAAAAUCCCUAAUUUCACUGCAUUUGGAUUGAUCACAGUUCGUGACUUGUUAAACUUGAUAUCUCUUUGUACAUUUUGGGAACAUGACAGCUUAAAAAAGUGCUCAUAAAAGCAAAUUACACAAUAUCCACUAAAAACUUAGAGAAGGGACUCAAUUAGUCAACAAACAGAUGCCUCACACUUAAAUAUUAAAGACCAAAGAGAGAAAACCAAGCUGAACUCUUCAAAAUUCAUUGGCACACAUGCUUCAUUGGCUCAAUUGAAUGUAUAAUGCAUACUUGGAUACAACAUUUUCAUAAGGAUUCGACGUGAUCAUGGAGUGCCGGCUGUCGACUACCUGACGCCCUCCCCCUCCUCCUUUAUCCGGGCUUGGGACCGGCCAUGUAAGAGAUACAACAAUUCGAACAAUUGUUAGAGAUUGACAUAAGCCUCCAAACUUGAAAAAGUUUGAAACCUUAAGAAAGAAGAACCUGUUUUCCUUCAUAUUUGUGCUGUUUCGAUUAGCUUAUCUCGCUAUCACUUGAUUCAUUAGUUUUAAAGGAAGUUCAAAUACUGCUUAAUAACAGUUGAUUAUCUCUAAAACAAAGAGGGAAAACAUAGAAAUACUAUAUGUACUCAAAAUCCCAAAUAUGUAACACAUGGUUGUAAUCUACCCUGAUUUCAAAAUUUAAAAUUCGACACAAAAAAUGAAAUUUGGAAUGAUUAGCAGGGAAAUAAGAGAGAGAAGUGUGAGCGAAUAUACCCACCCAUGAGGCCUUCAGACCCGAGUUCGGAGCUGGAAGCGGCAGAGGUUGCGAACCCAGAGCAUGGAAGAAGCUGGAAGGAUUUUCCUCUGUGCUGCCUCAUGCACGUGUCUUGUACUAUUUAUCCAAGCAUUGACUGUUCAAAUAUUGGGUAGUUGGUAAUAUUAAAACUGAUAUAAUCAUGUAGAAAUAACUUUGUUCAAUCUUUCAGGAUCUUAACAACAUGUCUUUCAACAAUAUUUGUGAUGUUAAUUUUGAAUCAUGUCUCUAUUUUAGAGAGAGAGAGAGAGAGAGCAUGAUUUAAGUGGGAACUAUCUCAGGCAAUUUUCCUAUCUAGCAAAUGGUUAAGACAGAAAAAUCAAUCUUCGAUAUAGAAAACAUCCUGAGCUUAUAAAAACCACCAAAUCAAAGUUAUGUUUUUUUAUGUGCUUGUUUGCAACACGGCAUAAUUAUUGCUUUCCAGGGUAUAAAUGGCUAUCAAGCAAAAUGAAAAAGAAGUUAAAGACUUCCAACAAUGGAGAGCAUACCACCAUCAUAUGUGAUCAAAGGCAACACUAUAAAAGCAGGGUAAACUGCCAAUUUAGUCCCUGAAUUAUCACCUUAGUGAAAAUUAGGUCCCUAAACUAUUUUUUCAGAAAAAUUAGUCCCUGAAUUAUAAAAAUCUGUCAAUUACAUCCAUAAUGUUAUAUUCGAAGUUACUAUAUUCAAUUUUUCAUCAAUUUAAGUCACGUUACUUGCAUAUGAUACAUAUUGGAAGGUAGAUUGGUAGUUUUUCAUAAAGAAAUAGUGUAUGGAAUUGACUUUGGAGGAGAAGUUGGUAGUUUUUCAUAAAGAAAUAGUGUAAGUUAACUUUUGAGGGUAAAUUAGACAUUAAAUUUGCAACAUAUAUGAAAUGUUAGGCACUUACAGACGAGAAAAUGAUGAUAUUACACUCUAAAGUGUGUCAAGUGACUUAAUUUGACAAAAAAUUAGAUAAAAUAGCUCUAAAUAUAAUAGUAUGGAUGAAAUUAGCAAUUUCUAAUGAAUUUAGGGACUUAUUUUACCAAAAAAAUAAUUUAGGGACCUAAUUUUCACUAAGGUGAUAAUUCAAAGACUAAAUCGGCACGUCACCCAUAAAAGCAUGGUGGAAUUAGAGAGAUGAGACUGAUGGUUAGUGGCAUAUUUUGAUUAGCAUUACCUCCAAGAUAAGUUGACCUCUCUGAUCAUAUGGGAAUUUGCAACGCAUGGAUUUCCCGUAGAUAUCUUUUGCAUCAUCAUAGUCCUUAUCAAAAAGGUAAACAUGAUCACAUGUUUCAAGACAGCAUACAGAACACGUGUAUACACACCCCAAUUGCAAACUCUGCAAUGAAAAGGACCAAAAUAAAAUAAAAACUUUAUUUAAACUAAAACAACUACAAAAUGCAAAAUUCAAUUCUUUCUUUUUUCUUGUGUCAAAAUUAAAUUAUAAUAACAAACCUUCAUAAAUGCAUCAAUUUCUUGAUCCAGCCUUAUGUUCCUUUCCCUCUCUAACCGUUCCAAAUCAUUCAUGUAUGUUACAGCAUAAAACAAUUGACAAAAACAGGGGAAGGAUAUCAGCAGUGCUCGAUUGAGUACAUGAAAGUAAAUUAUGCAUCACGAUUUGGACUUACUUUUCUGGCAACUUCUUGCAGUGAAGAAGAGAGCCGGAUGGAAUAAUCGAUCAGCUGGGUGAAAAGGAUUUACAGAGAUUUUGAAUUUGGGGUGAAAAGAAAUUCCUAGAAAUCAGCCUACCCCCAUACUUCUCCCUUAUUCUUUCUCCCUUAAACCCAUGCCAGACGGAAAUCGCCGAAAAUCCCCUCCCCCACCCUCUGUCACUUUGCGAACUGCCCUCAACCUACUCUGAUUGAGACCGACGGAACAAACCUCCUAAGCGCGAAUUACAGAAAUGCCCACAACUUGUGGCCGUUGGAUGUGGAAUCAAGCAGGGAAAAUGAUAAUUUCAUUACCCCACUCCCACUCCGAAAUCGAAGAUUCACACCAAAUCUCUGUCACUCUCUCUGUCUCUUUCUCCUCCUCUGUCUGCUCUAUAAUCCCCUACCCAUCGAUCCGAAUGCCUUGCAGCCCUUCAAUUUCAGCCGCGUGAUCCUAACCUAGAUAGAUAUUUCCACCAUUUUAGCACCCUAAGGGCCGGCCUUAUGAAGAAUCUAGGAAAGCCCAUCAAACACAUUAUGGGCGGCCCAAAACAAAGUAACCCAACCCCCAAAACACACUACCCACCCAGCCCCAAUUUGAUGGCAGUGGCGUAAAUAAAGUAAACUCAAGUGGCAAACAAUUGACUGUAGCUAAGCUACAGUCAAUUCACUCCUCAACUUUAGAAUAGACGAGAAAAUAUGCUCGCGCAUUGCUGCGGGAACCUGUUGUUUCAGGUGUAAUCGGAUGAAUAAAACACAUUUAAGUUGAAUAAAUUCAACACAAUUAUGAACAAAUAGUUUUUUUAUAUACAUUCAAGUGAGCUGGCAUAUAAACACAUUGUACAAUGAGUGGGAAGAAACUGAACGUCUUUGAUUAGAAAGAGAUGGUUUCCAAAAAAGUUCUGUUUCCUUAAAAAACAGAAGAAACAUAAGUUCACACAAAAUUUCAGUUACCAAAUCCAAAAAAAAAACAAAAAUGUGACUCUCUAUAUGGCUUUCUUACUACAAAAAAAUAUCCCUUAGUUAAAGCAUGCCACACAUCAUCACAUUGCUAUUAUAUGAAGUAUAUUCCUCAGUGACAAGUAAUAUACUCUCCUUAGCAUGACCUCUCAUCCCUUAUAUCUCCCUAGAAUCGUAUAACAACCCAUAAGUACGGUGCCCCUUUAAAAUCCAAGCAUACAUUAAAAAUUCAACAAUACAGUUACAAAAUCUCUAUAAAUGAGCAUACCUCAAAAAGCCAACGGCCCAAGUGACACACUGCACACACUGCAUGCACUCACAUACACUGCAUACACAUACGCUUACACACACUGAAGAAUGAACGCAUUAUAUUCAGUUAGCACUAUUCAACUUUAAAAGCAGUGAGACAUACCAAAGGCACAGCCUAACUGGCAUCGGUUCAAAUAACCAAAUUGAGAACAUUUGAAUUUUAGAAAAGUUGUACAUAAGGGAAAAAAAAAGAAAAAAAAAGAGACAAAACAAUCCUAUAACCACAAUUGAAAAACAAAAUCAAAAUGAACAUAAUAAAAUAUCAGCAGAGCUUGAACACUAACAGCCUUUGAAAACAUGUGUUGGUUACGUAUAAUAUAUAUGCGCAUAAAUUAAGAAAAUGACUUGAGUGCCCUAGCAGUGGUCUUUACGUUGAACCAAAUCACUAUUAGGUUAAUUGUAUUGAUUCACGCAUCUUAUUUUAUGUGCUAAACUCUACUAAAUUGCCCUACAAAAAUGACAUAAAACUAAUUAAAUUCCCAAUAUAUCUGAGAUAUACAACUUUUAAAAGUGUGACAAUAUAUGCAGCACCAGGAUGUUGCAGAACUCACUGCCCCAAUUUAAGAUUCGGUUUUUAUCCAAUGUAUGUAUAAGCUUAGAUACAUCUGAGAAUUUGCUUUUCAACAGUUGUUACUCUCAUCGUCUUUUGAGAGAGAUAGAUACAAACAUUAAGAUUACAAUGGGGAAGAGUUAAGAAUCCCUCUAAAAUACUAAAGAAAAACAUACCUACAACGGAGUAAACAAGUGUUUGUCUCCAUAGCAGUUUCUCAGAGCAUUUAUGCUGUGAGAAAGAUAGUGCUCCACUCCAGAAGGAUGGACAAAUUUACCAGAUGGAGACUGACCCAAGGAAAACAUCAUCUGACGAACAAUUAUGGUGAUGCAAAAGGACAACACGUGAUGUGAAAUUAUUAUACCAAAAUAUCCAAGGUAUGUUAAUCUAAUCACCCAAUAAAACAGAACAUAAUUAAGCACAACAAUAUCAAAAUUAAAAGGAAGGAAUAAUAUGAAACCUUGUGCAUAGAACGUUCAUGAGAAUGAAUCACACAACAAUCAAGGAUGGACAAAUCACAAAAGUGACAAUUAAAGGGCACCUGACGGACACCCACAUCCUUCUCUCUCUACAAUCGCAGAAAUCCCUCGGGUUUCAUGAAGCAAAUGGAAAACGAAAUGCCCCUUUACCCUCACAGAAAAUCCUCCCAUCUCUCUCUCACCCUUGUCCCAUCUCUCUGUCUGCAAAUUGCAGAAAAGAAACCCUAAACAAAUCCCUGAAAUCCCUUGCCUAAAUCCUCUCACAUUUCUUUCGGACACCCCCUAUCUCUUUCUCUCUCUCUCUUUGCAAAACCUAAACCAGAUCUCCUAAAUCCUAUCUCAGACACCCGACAUACAGCCAAUAAGCCAAGAUAUUAAAGCAAUCUCUACAUAAUACUUUGGAACAAAUUAAGCAGAGAAAUCAGUUUAUAAUCCCUAAAUACUAGAAAGAAGGAAUCUUUGAAAGGGAAGCUUCCGAAUGGCAUACAGAGAUUUUUAUUAUAAGAAAAAUGUAACCCUAAUCCCAUAUUAAGCAGAGAAAUCACUUCAUAAUCCCUAAAUACUGGAAAGAAAAAAAAUUUGAAAGGGAAGCUCACCACUGCAAUCAUAAGGCAUGAGCAGAGACAACUUCGGAGGCUGUAAACAAAGGCCCAAAGAAUGAAAAACCAGGGUCUCUUGAAACUGAAAACAGAACUAAAUUAAACCACCACACGUAGAAUCGCAGGCUACAAACUGGCAUGGUUAUGGUUCAUCUGCUGCCGCAAUGACUUGGUUCAUUUACUGCCACAAUCGCAAUACCAGUUUCUAUUGGUAGAAUUAUAGUAACAAUAUAUAGAAACAAAGAAAUUAUCUUUUCAUCUUGCAUAUCAACAAUUAUAAAAUGCAUCAACCAAUAAACUAAAAAAUAAAAAACAAAGACAAAAAAACGUAUGCUUUCCAUUCAACAGAAAAAGUCUGCAUAAAGAUAAAUUGGAAUGAUAAACAUACAAAAUUUCACUUUUCACUUCACAUAAUUUGUUUGAAAUCACUAAUUACCAUUAGGACAACUUCAUAAUGAAAAAAGAUUACACUAAAAUUUUGGAAAUUGUUGCUUACGUAUCUUCAGAAUCAUCUUUAUGAUUUCUAAACAUUUUUCCAAAAAGAGUGGACAGAUGAAUACAAACCUCCUCGGAUGGACACACUAAUAGGAUCAUCCAGUCGACCAUCAAAUACUUCCAAAGAUAAUGACAGAAGUGGUGUCUCCAUUACAUGCUUCUCCGAGAGUCCCAUGUGAGAAAAAAGAAAAGUAAAAAUCAAAACUUGCCUCUGCCAAAUAGGAAAACCCCUACAAACCACACAAUCAGAAAAAUUAAAUUAUUUUUUUUCUAAAAUUAGGAGAGGAAAAUAGAAUAAGAGUGGAAAAUCCUAAAAAAUAAGAAAGAAAGAAAGCCAAAAUUAUAGAUCUAGAGAAUAAAAAUUACCCAAAGUUCCACUCAACACAAACAUAAGGGCCAAUGCGAAGGCGAGCAUAGAGCCCUGCCUUCUGCAUGGUCUUGAGAAACCUCACCAGAUUAUACCUCCCCUUAAAAUUGUACUAAAACCCAACAUAAACCCAAAAGGUGAAAUUAACUACAAAACCAAAUAUACAAAAGUAUUCGUUUCAGAUCUAAAUUCAUCCCCCUUUAUACUGGCUCUAAGGUGGUUUUUGUCGUAGCCAUGUCCAAGACAAUGCACCCAAGACUCCAUACAUCUACAGCAAGGUUUGCACCAACUGAGUUCUGUAUAACCUGGGCAAGGAACCGAAAUGAAUACUUAAGUAAAAGUAAAACCAUCAAGAAGCAUGCCACGAAGGAAAAAAAUACAGUAACAAAAAAAAAAAAAAAAAAAAAAAAAAAAAAAAAACUCACCCUCACAAACUUAUCCAGUGACGCUCCAUUUGAUUGCUCUAAUCUUCAUUAAGAAGAUUGGUACCUGUCCAGAUACAUUACAAACUUCAUUUAAUUAAAGAAAACAAAAGCCAAAAAUGUAGAAAUCUAACACAAUUAACGUAAAGAGAAGCAUAUGAAAUCAUUAAAAUAACAUACUAAUAAUAAUACAAUGUAAUCAAAGAAUGAUUAUUCGACAUUAAAACUAAGCCAGGAACAAAAACCUUUGAACUUUGUGCAUAAAGCACACAUGUUGUCUUAACUGUACAAACACUAUUAACAACCUAAACGAUAAUUAACUCACAAUUUAGUUCCAUCAAUAUGAUAGACAUACCAAACUGUCAACAAACUAACAAAAGUAAACAUAAACCCUCCCUAGAAAUAGCCCAAUGGUAGGAUUAUGUAGUCCGACUGUGCUGAACUAAAUAAGAAAAAAUUCAAGUGGUCAAAGCCAAUCUAGAGCUUUCUCAUCUCCCAAACACAACAAGAAUCAGAACGUGGGUCGUCAAUUUCAAGAAAUUCACAGAAAGAGAGAAAGAAAGGGAUAGAGUAGCACAAACCUCAGAUCGAUUGGCCUCGAUCCUCUGUAUUCCCUCAUUAUCGUAGCAGAAAUCAACAAAAGCAUAUAUACAAUGACAUUUUAUCAGCCACUGGUUGGACCACAUUUAUUAACUGCUAUAAACGGAGAAACAAUUUGGUAUAAGAAUCUGAUAAGAAUCUCAUUCCACAAAACUUCUUCAGUCUAGGCCUAAACAACUGCAAGCAAAAAAAUCCCCAAGAUACAUACUUUCUUCCAGAUCAUCCACCGCUAUUAACAAAACCACACCCUAUAUCUUCAUUUAGCUAAUAAGAUUAAAAGAGUGAACUUAUCACCCAAAUAAAAUAUGUAGAUUAACGAAUAUGAGUUAAAAAGUGGAGGAAAGAAACAAAACCAAUCAAACAACGAAUUGUCAAUAGAAUAAAACAACAAAUAUAGAUAUCUGAAUCAAAGAUUUUUUUUAUUUUUUAUUUAUUUAUUUAUUUAUUUAUUUUAUUUUUGUCAAAUGAAGACUUAAAUGUCACUCAACAUUGUUUCUAAUUGCAGCUUCCUUUCUACCUGUAAAAGCAUGGUUGUCUUAGCCAAACAUACAUUUUGAUCAUGCAUAAUCGAGAUGGAGACAUUAUCUUCUGACAACAGACAUGGAAGUUCAAAAUAUUAUUGAAUCAUCAAAUGUUGAAAUUACCAAUCAAAUACAGAUAAACCACCACCAGCAACCAAAACAGUUUUUUUUUUUUAAUGAAAUUAUACACCUCUCACCCAAGUAGCAACCAGUUCUUUUGAACUGAGCGUCUGUAAAACACAUGAGUACGGAUAUAUUAUAGAGAGCAACAAUCACUAAAUUUCUAACAUCACCAGCAUUCACAACAUUAAGCAUGUAGGGAAACUAUUUCAUUUCAUUUUAAUUUUAGGUGACACAGCUGAUGCAAGAAAGGGUCGAGCAAGUAGCAUGGCAUCAAGAAUAAAGGAAGAUAUUUAGGAUGGAACAAUUAAAAGUUUCUGUAAAUCAUUAAAUUUAUGCUUACAUAAAAUAUACAUGCAUACUUAAUUUUUCAGACAAUUAUACUUCACAACAUAAAUUGCAAGUUGGGACUAUUUGGUUGACUCAAAAGAAUUGAUGGGUUAGAAAAAGCACAAUAUAUAUAUAUAUAUAUAUAAAGACGAAUGUUCUUAUGUCGUUCUCCUCUUAGAGAAACUCCACCCAUGUGGAUUGCUCGGGGGACAUGGGAGAAGAAAGGGCCUGAGGCCCGGUGGACAGUGCUCCAGUCAUGGAGAGCCCGAGUGAGGGUGGGAGCCCGAGCACAAGGCCCGUGAGGAAUCCACCAGCCUAUAGCCCGAGGGCCAGGCAUUAUUUAAUUUUUUUUGUGUCAGCCCGUGGGCCUGCAGCCCCAUUUCCAAUGUUUUUUUAUAUUUUAUAUUAUUUAAACAAACAAAAACAACUAAUAUUUUAUUACAUAUUGCCAGGGGGAGGGCUCCAAGGGUGGAGAUGCAAAAGGUAAUUACUGUUCAUUAAUAGUAGUUACUAUUCAUUAAAGGUAGUUACUGUUUAAUAAGGUGGAUUCAAUAGUGAAUUGCCAGGGGGAAGGGCUCCAAGGGUGGAGUUGCUCUUACAUUGACAAAACACACACACAUGUGGUUUAAUGCUCCAAUAUUCAAUGAGAAGGCACCAGGCAAGAAGAAGCUCAAGGCUGGAAAGAAGCUUCCAAAUAGAACAAUCUAUAAAGCAGACCACAAAAAUUAGACAAAACCCAAAACCUAAACAGUAAAAAAAAUCCCUAAAAUGAAAAGAAAAAAAAAACUGAAUUUGCAGAAAUGUCAUAGCUUGUACCCUAUUAUAUCCAAGUUGUCGUACAUCCUCGAACCUUUGCGUUCAUAUAUGCUUCCUCAAUUUUAGUGUAAACCCCCAAAAUAAACUGCAAAUAUUCUAGAAAUGGUAAAAUGAACUGCCAACCAGUCAAUCAUUUCCCAAAAUAAACUGCAAAUCACAAAAUUACCUACUCCAAAUCGGCUGGAGAACUCACCAGGAAACCAAGGCUUUUAUGGGCUUAAAAUUUCCUUCGAAAUGGGACUAAAUUCACGGUUUUUCAGCAAGAGGUCGUUGUGCUUCGUAGUUUCUGAGAGAGAAUCAAAGAGAUUUCUAACAGCUUGGUGGUUUUUAAGCUCGUUGGUGAUUUCUGAGAGAGAAGGCGAGGAGAGAAAAUGGAGAUGGAAGCAGAGUCGAGGCUAUGUCGUAGACAAGCUGAAUCGCUGGCUUCCACGAUCAUCAAGCAUAACUGCACACGCACAACACCCUACCUAGAGAAGGGAGACGGCGACGACUGAAGGAUAGGAUGGAGGCGAGACCGUCGUUCUCGUAGGGUCUGCGAGACGGAAGAGGCAAUGAGGGUUUGAGAAGGAAAUGGAAAAGGCCAGCUUUACCAUCGUUCUUCCCUUCCCACGAUCAUCAACACGUGUGCAUCAAGAUUAGCGGCAGAGAGAGCCUGGUAGAGCACCUACCUAAAUAUCUCUCUCACUCAAUCCAAACCUGUAGCUCCCAUCUCUCUCCAAUCUGUCAGGCUCUGUGUCUCCCUCCUCUGUAGUCGCUCUAUCUCCUUUUCUCCGCUCGCCAGAGGCACACCCAGUUGUCUUCGAGUAAAAAAUGGGAGCGAUUGUCUCUCUGCAAUUUGUCAGGCGUGAUGUUCCCCUCCCUUCUCCGUCGUAGAGUCAAACGUGAAAUGCAGCCAACGGUUGAAAAUAGGUUUUUAGGCCUGAGUGGCAAUUUUGUAAAUUAAGUGAAAGGUGGUUAAAAGCAUCCGAGUGGUAAUCUUGUAAAUAAACUGAAAUGUGCUUCUGCUUCAAAACACUGUUCAUUUGUACAGUGCAAUUGAAAAACCUUCUUUAGACUAAAGUAAUAACUAUAAAUUGCUACAUGCGCGUUGCUGCGGGAUAAAGAAUUGUAAUUUUUAAGCUACAGUCAAUUCAUUCCUCAACUUUAGAAUAGAUAACUAGAAAUUGCUACAUGCGCGUUGCUGUAGGAUAAAAAAUUGUAAGAAAAAUUUUGUUUGAAAGAUAUAAAAGAUUGCUCAUUGUGAUAGAAGAUUAAUAAUAUUUACAUUGAAAACAUUAGAAAGAUGUUCAUGUACCAAAGAUUAAAUCGAUAAAAGGCGACACACAAAAAAUCGUAGCUCAACGGAAUACAACCUUUCAGCAAAGAAUUGACUAAACCAAAAACGAAACAACCCAAUUCUCUUCCCAAGCUUCAAAAUCGAAUUCAAUCAACUUAAUUACAUUGGGGAAUCAAUAAUAUCAAAAUAAGCUAGGAUCAACUCAAACAACCCAACACCUCCACAUCAACACACACAACUAAUACAGAACCUAUUUGACCUCAUAAAAAUCAAAUAUGCACAGGAAUAGAACAUUUUCCAAAGUAUAAAAUCCAGACGAAAUUUCUGACCUCUCCUCCUCCUUGAGCAUUUUCAAACACUUCCUUGCAAAUUGAAUUGGCAACACACCGUUGAUGUUGAUGUAGCUGUUUAUCCAAGGAACACAUAAAAUAAAAACAAAUCGAAAGACACUUAUUUAGCGAGAGUCGAUAAUCUCAUUUUUGCCUCAAGAGAAGCAAAAUCGAAAUAUACAACUAACCAAAAAUAAAUUUUUAAAGAAAUAUCUCCCAAAAUAUGUGGAGCUACCUGAUUAAGUGGGUUCUUUGGCGUUCCAUACUCAGCAGCUAGAAAACCAAAAACAUGUCAUGCAUUGCAGAGAAGGUUAAUGGGAUAAACGUCAAGUUCAUCAAUCAUAUUUGCAUGAUAGAAGCUGCUGGAAUAAAUUCAAUCAUAUUCAAUACCCAAUCUGGUAAAUUUAAAAUGUAAACAUACAAAAGAUAUACAUACAUAUUAUAUUUCUGUCUUUGGUAAGUGCUUUGCAGACAAUCACACUUUUUUUCUCUUAUUUUGAAAGAAGUAUACUGUCUGCAAUUUUCGUAAAAUAAAUAAAAUAAUAUAAUAUUAGAACAAUGGCCUUAUACCAUUAACAUUUAAUGUGGAGAAAUUAAAAGUUGAAAUAAGUGGAAUACGACGUAGGACAGAGGAGAAAAUUCAAAAAAUAUUGUGAUCAAAAUCGGAACAUAGUGAGAGUUCAACGGAAAGAUCAGUGGAAGAUGCACUCACACACCAACUUGAAAGAAAACAUAGUGUCAAAUAAUUGUAUCAGGAAUAGAAAAAUGCAAACUUUAUAUGAAAGGUAAAGAUUUACUUGUAGACCGGCAUCAAAAAAAGCAAACGGAAUACAACGGGAGUUACUGCAAUAGUGAGAGGGAGGAAAAGAGAUUAAAGAUGAGUGAUCAGUUAAAGCUAUAAUUUUUUAAGCAUGUUCUGCAAUAUGAAUCAUUUAGCUAUAACAAUAACAUGCUUGAAAUAAACAAUACGCAUAAUCGUGGUGUAAAAAGAAAAAACAGAGAUGCAAUAUCACCAACAUUCAUGAUCAUUAUCCAGAAUCACUAAAGUAAAAAAGAAAAUCAAAUUAACACCUCUCUAAUCCAUCUUCCUAUUGUAUUGUGAUAAGGUUUAUACUAAACAAUGUUUCCACCAAAAUUUAAUAACAAAAAGAUCACAAAGAGUUGACCUCUACCUCUUAUAUGUUGAUAUUACCAAUCCCUUGCAUACUUGAUCUCUUUUAAGUCCACUUGUUAAAAGAAAAAGAAAACAAAACACAAAAUUUGUAAUGCAAUUUGAACAAAAAGAGAGUUCUCAAUUAGAGAAAACUUUAGUUUCAUGUAAAGAAAUUGUGUUCUAAUUUCAGGGCUUAACUAUGUAAUAAUGGGAUUUGCGUUUAGCUCAAAUAAGUAAGAUACUAUAUAGAUUUGAUUAUCCAUUCAAAAAGACAUUUGAACAAAAAAACAUUUUUCUGCAUCCAAAUAGCCAUUAAACUAAAAAAAUAGUUAACUAAUAUUUACAUUUGAAUAGUGUAAGUAAAUAUUUUUCUUACCAAUGCAUCAACCAAUAUGCAGUGCAAAUGAGAAAACUGAAUAUCAGAUUUGAAAACUUUUUGUCUCCACAUUUUGCUAAACAAAAACUCUAAAUGUUUUGCUAGCUUCAAAUGGACCCAGACUUUGGAUUGGAAAUAUACUCAUUUCGAUAUGAAAUUGAAAAUUUAUAAUUUGUUAGUACAACAAUGUAUAAAUGCAUUCAUGUAGCAAGUCUCCAAAAUAACAAAAAGGCAAAAACAAAAAGCUAAAGUGAAAUAUUAAAACUUGAAAAAGAGAUUUUGAUUUGGUAAACAGUUUGGUUGCUUUCAAAAGUGAAAGCGAUCAAUUUGUUUUCUAUGAAACUGUAAAAAAGUAGCAUAACAAAUAAGGACACGAUGGAUGAUCUGUUUUCUAUGGAUAUAGCUGAUGUUGAUCAUAGUUUUGCUCAACAUAAACAGAAAAUAUGGUAGCUUUCAACUACAUUGCUACACUAACAGAAAAUUUGUUUAUGGGUGCCCUACCGAAACUUGUAUAGAAACGUAUCACUCAUGUUUCAUGACCAACUUUUGAUUGUAUACAAACAACCAAAUAAUCCUAAACGUUGAAAGAAUAAAGGAAAAAGCAAAGUUUACAACACUGUCAGCAGUUGCUUCGGUUAGUAAAAACAACGUUAUGCACAUGUGUGGUUAAGGCUACACUCUUUCGCAUUAUACCUAGCUAUUAGGCUAGUCAAUGUAAUCAUGAGUUUAGAAAUUAAUUGACCUCAACGUUGAAGCACAUCUGCAAACAUUCACAACACAUUCAAAUUGUUGCUCUGGGUCACCACCAAUCAAAGACCCUGCGCACAUAAAUAAUGUAUGUGUGUAGAAUGUCGACUAAUUGUUUUAUAUUAAUGUCUUCAUGUGUUUUGUUUAAUGCUUUUAUGUAGAAAACUUGUAACAUGGAAAUUGAAUUGUAGAAGCCGUAGCUCAUAUUCAUUCAUUGAUAGUGUAUAAAUAUAUUGGAUUACAAAGAGUCCUACUGGGAUACAAAGUAUUCCCAUCUAUAUCUCAAAUAAAAGAUGACAUAAAUCAACAUGAUUUGGUCUGUUUACAAAGGGCGGAUUGGAUUGUGAGGACAAGGUCUCUUGUUUAACAUUUUAUGUAUCGUGAAGCACACCAACGGAUUGGAAUUUAGGAUUCGUGGGCCACCUUUUUAUUUUUUUUUGGUUUUUCCCCGGUCCUCUCUCUUCAGCUCUCUUCUCUCCUCGGACCUCACUCCUCCUGUGUCUCCGCCCUCGAGAACUCAUCCUCUCUCUCCCGCUUGCCUCUCGCCCGGCGAAACCAAAAAAUAAUCCUCUGCGAUCACGACUUUCGAGGUCAUUUCCGGCCAAACCACGGCGGGUGGCCGGCUGCAAGGUAAUCAAUCUCUUCGUCUUGUCGAGUAUUAUAACUUUCCUUUUUGUUCACUCAAUUUCAUUGAGUAUUGAGGUUAAGUUUUGAUUUCUACCUUUUUUCGGCGACUCCGAGGCUUUCGAGGAAAUUCCGGCCAAACCACGGCGAGUUAGACGUUCGUGUAUUCAUUCUCUUCGUCUCUUCCAGGCUACAACUUUCGUUUUGUCUCGCUUGUUUCGUUAAGUAUUGACAAAGUUAUGGCCGUUUAAAGCAAGUUGGUUUUUCCCGCCGAUUUCCGGUCUCUCCAUGGGUCCGGCGACCCACCAAAACCAAGGCUUUGGGCCUUCCCUGCCGAGCCCAGCCCUUUGGAGGCCUUAGGCCAGGCUUAUGUGUGGUAUUAGGUGUGGUUGGUGUUGUUGAUUUGGGUUUGGGCUUAAGCCAAACCACCCAUUUUCACCCUAAACACCUUUUAACCUUAGAACCUAAAUCAAAAACCAAUAAAUCCUAAUCCUUACCUAAACCAAUCCGGUUUUCAAGUCAAAACACAUUAGACCUAAUUUGACCGUGACCUCCGGUCAACAUGACUUAGAGUUGACUUCGAGUUUUCGUCCGGGACCCUUCUUAGGGUAAUUCGACGUUCUAAUCCGUUUGCAAUGUCCGUUUAUCCCAAAUUCAAUUGUAUUUAUAGUUUUAAUUAUUGGACUUCUUUAUGUGCCUUAGGGCAACUAAGUUACCUGUGAGUCCCCUCAAAAUUUCAUGAAUAAAUAAUUGAUUGCAUAAAUGAAAUUUACGAAUUUGAAGUGAUUUAUGUAAAAUGAUUAAUAUAUUGAGCAUCCGUGUUUUUGUGAGGAAUAAAUGUUAGCCCCUAUGAGCUAUUUUUAAUAUAUCAUAUUUCUAUAAAAAAACCAUUGAACUUAUAAAUCUUUUCUAUAGAUGAUGAUACGGAUGCUAAAAUGUUUUGAACCCUCUUUUAGUGUAGACGAUUCGAUAACCUACGCUAUAGUGGUAUUUACGAAGGCGUAGCAUUUUGUGCGUACCUAGAGACACUAUGCCGCCUGGGGCGAUGAUCGGUGUGUUGGCAUUAGGCCGGGAGAAAUAAUCCCAGCUAGGGCUGAGGGACAUGAAGAGGCAUUGGGCCGGGUGGUAUUAUCUCUGGCUACGGCGCAGAGACUUAGGUGCAGGCAUUGGGCCGGGGAGUAUAUUUAUUCCAGUUACUCAGCAGCACACGGCGUUUACUGGACGUCUAGAGACGAUACUGUUUUGAUUCUCAAAUGAGUUUCCGAUAUGGCUUUUGAUAUUUUUGGCAUGCUGGAUUUUUAUUAAACAUCAUUAUUAUCGCCUAAGUUCAUUAUAAACUGUGGGGGCUAGUAUCUUGAUAACUGUUUAAUAUUAUAUAAUAUAAAACUUGGUUCACUCACUUUGUUUUGCACCCAAUUCAGACUUAGAAUCAAGGCACAUAAUCCCAGCGUCAAGCACUUCCGCAGCAUCUUCGAGUCUCUCGGGGUAGGACCCCUCUUUGUUCAUUCAAUCUUAUCUUAAUUCUUGUUAGUGACUAGGUUUAGUUGUAUGCUCUGAACACGUUCCUAAAUUUAAUUCAUUGUAUUUCAAAUUUCUAACCUUUUUUAUUUCAUUCUUAGCUUUUGUAUCAAUUAAUGGCGUCACCCCCGGGUGUCCCAGGUUCGGCAGGUAUUCGAGGAAUAUCAGGGUCGGAGCGUGUCAUAUCGAGACAAGAAAUGAGGUUUUAUAUUUUUUUUUUUCAGACUAUAAAUGGCGUCCAAUGAAGUUGGUGAUUGUGGGCAAAGACUUUAGUGACUUGAAACCUGAAUCACAAAAUUCUAAAGUACUGAAACCUAUUUUCAUGUGCCUGCACUUUAUGCAAUGGUAUUUUGUAUCUAAGUAGGGAAUGUUUAUUUAAUUUGUCAUUUACCAAUUGCUUAACUUGAUCAGUUAUCUUGUACAGAUAAAAUCUGAGUAUAUUUACAAUGAUGCACCAUGGAGGUCACUUUAUAGAAGCCUGUGGGACAAUGAUUAUGUUGGUGGUCAUUCUGUUUGACAAAUUGAACUGUGAUUUAAUGUCCAGGGGGAUAUUGAGGAUUGUGAGAAGUUAGGGGUUAAGUACUAUUACAUUGAUGACAGAACUACAAAGUACUGGACUUUAGCACAUGUACCAAACUGACCAGAAACUUACAGCCUUGGUUGCCAAACAUUAUGACUCUUUUGACUUCUAGAUCCUUACUGUUUUAUGAAGCCCCUAACAUUAGGUAUACAUAACAUGGAAAAAUUGUUACUUGUUGAAUCGAGAGUCCAACUGACAACUUAUUCAGCCCCGUAGAGAAACUCAAAAUUCAAUGCUGGUCAGCGUAAUACUGAACCCAUCGGCUCUUGUAACAUGUCAGCACCAACAAGAACACCAGUCGGACUGAAUUCAAGUAUUCCAACUAUAAAACUCUUUAGUGAUUUUCCUCAAGACCUAAUCCUUUCACACUUACAAAAGGAAAGAUGAAACCAAAAAUACAAACAAGACAAUUUGAGAAAAUCUUCUCAUGCCAAUGGCUUCUUGUAUUUUUUCUUCUUCCCUUUUAUUCUCUACUUUGCACAAUGUGGUUCACCUUGCAACUAUUUAGCAAGAGAAAAGCUUCUCAAAUAUUACCAUGGCCAAAGGCCUACCAUCAAGUCAAUAGGAGUUAGGAACAAAUUGGCACAAAUCUGUUUGCUCCCAAUUACCACAAAGUAGCCAAAGUUUUAUAAUUGAGACACAUGUUUGGAGCAAUAGAUCACAAAUCUCCACCUUACUAACCCCUAAGUAAGAAUUCUCUCUAAUAGUCGUCUCCCCAAUCCCCCAGGGGGCAAUCAACAAAUUUUACAAAUGCCAAUCAAUUAAGCAUGUGCUUAAACUUGUGCAAAUGAAACUGGCUUUUAAACAUAUCCGCAAGAUGUCAGCGGUCCCAAAUCUUCUGAAGAGAAUAUCUCCCUCGUCAAUAACCCACGAACAAAAUGGAACCUCACAUCAAUGUGUUUCGUUACGUGCGAUGAUGAAACUGAAUUCACUCUAAAUGUAGCACUACCUGACUGGUGCAUAUGAAAUCCACAUGUCUCAUCUAAGCAACCCUUGAAGCUAGAUGGCUUCCUUAUAGCUUCUGUCACAGCCAUGAUUCUGCCUCAGUAAGUCGACAAAGCAACGUAGAUUGCAGAAGCGACAAUCCAACUUACUGGACCUCCAGCAAUAGUGAAUACAAACAGUAGUGGACCUACGCUGUUCUCACCUGGCUAAUCAAUAUCCACAAACAAUUGACCAGUAACUUUAUCCUACUGGAACAAACCAACAUCCACAUACCCAGCAAUAUACCGUAGAAUCCUUUCACAGCUGGCCAAUGCCCUUCCUGGAUUAUGCAUAUAUCUACUGACAAUACUAACAGCUUGUGAAAUAUCAGCCUAGUAACACCAUUAGUCAUACAUCAAACUACCAACAACAUGCAUAAGGCUUGAGCCAUGUACUGACUCUCUUCAACUUUAGGAGACAAGAAGCGCUAAUUUGAGAUGAAGAGGUGUACUAACCGGUUUUGAAUUUUCAUUCAUAAACGUUGUAGUACCUUUUCAACUGCUUCUGACACAGACUAAUCUGCCCUUCGCUCUAUCUCUUUUUCCAUACCUAGUAUCUUCCGAGCUUCUCCCAAGUCCUUCAUCUCAAAUUCAUUACUUAGUUGAGUCAACCUUUCAAUCUCCACUUUGCUCUUACAUGCUAAUAAGUCAUAUCAUCAACAUAUAAAGCAGAUAAAUGAAGGUUCCAUCUUUUAGUUUGCGAAAGUAUACACAAUGGUCAUAGUGACUUCUUGUGUACUUUUGCCCGAUCAUAAAUCGAUCAAAUCGUUUGUACCAUUGUCUUGGAGACUGCUUCAAGCCAUACAAUGAUUUUUCCAAUUUGCAAACCCAAUUUUUCUUUUCAGCAACCUUUAAACCUUCUGGUUGAGACAUAUAAAAUCUCUUCCUCCAAAUCACCAUGUAAAAACGCAGUCUUGACAUCAAGGCCAACUCAAGGUUCAAACUGCACAAACACCAACAAACAUACAAAUAACAAUAGAAGAAUGUUUACUACUUGAGAAAAUACCUCAUUGUAGUCGAUGCCUUCCUUCUGAGCGGAGCCUUUAGCUACCAAUCUGGCUUUGAAACUUACAUUGUCUUUUCCCAAAGAUUCCAUCUUUUUGGCAUAUACACCAUUUUACAACCAAUUGCUUUCUUCCCCUUUUGGUAACUGAACCAGAUUCCAAGUCUCAUUUUAUGAAGAGAUUUCAUUCUCUCCAUAGAUUUCUUCCCACAAACUCGCAGUCUGAACUCAUGACAGCUUCUUUGUAGGCGGAUGGAAUAUCAUCUUCAAUAACAGGAAGUGCAUAUGCCACAAUAUCAGUAAAUCGAGCAGGCUUUCGAAUUUCCCUUCUCGAUCUUCUGGUUGCAAUAUAGUCUUGUUGCUGUGGAGGCUCUUGGGUAAGUGCUUCUCUUCAUCAUCCUCGUCCUCAUCAUCAGAAUUAACUGUAGGACUAGUGGUUGUAACAUCAAACCUUACUGGAACAACUGGAGUCUUCAGUAACUCCACCUGCUUUGAGCUACUUAUGUCUGGUCUCGGUCGCUUUAGUUUCACCUUCAUGCUUGUUUAACCAUUAUGCAGCCUCAUCCAAAAGUCACAUCUCUGCUUACAACAAAUUUUCUUCUCAUUUGGACACCAGAGUCGGUAUCCCUUCACGCCCCUUCACGCCAGUGCUAAAGCCCAUAAUAUAGAGCUUUUCUUUGCUCUUGGAUCCAACUUGCUUUCUCUGACAUAAUAGUAAGCAGAACAACCAAAUAUGUGUGUAAAAACUUGUAAUCAGUACAAGGUUUACCAGACCAUACCUCCAUGGCGUUUUGCCCCCGCAUUCGUCAUUCAAGCCGCUGGUAAAGACGAUUAAUGAGAUGGCUUGCAUAAGUGAUUGCUCAUCCCAAAAUGCCUUGCCUAAUCCAACAUUAGACACACACAUACACCGAACUUUCUCAAGCAAAGUACGGUUCAUUGCGCUCCGCCACCCCAUUCUGUUGCGGUGUCUCCCUAACCGUGAAGUGCCUCACAAUACCCUCAUCUUGACAAACUUUCAAGAAAGGAUCAGACUUAUAUUCACCCCCAUUGUCUGAUCUGAGAGUCUUGAUCUUUCGACCGCUUUGCGUUUCAAUCAUCUUUUUCCACUUCAGGAAAUAUCUUCAAGACUUCAUCUUUACGCUGUUGUACACCCAUAUUCUUCUAGAGAAGUCAUCAACAAAGGAGACAAAUAAUGGCUACCUUCCCAAGAUGCAUUCUUGGAAGGUCCCAAACAUCAGUGUGAACAUAAUCAAGAAUGCCUUAAUAGUGUGGUGAAUAGCAGUUUGCCAAAUUUUACUCUAGUUUGCACUUACCCAACACACACAAUGCUCACAGAAUUCUAAUUUGCAAUGCCUUUGCAUGCCUUUUCAAUAAGCCUUGCUUCACCAAUCCUUAAGCAUCCUUUUUCACCAGCAUGCCCAAGAAACGCACGCAUAUGCCAUAACCUCGUGGUGUCUGAGCGCUGAUCUGUCAGCAACUUCGGUGACAGCUGCUUGGCCACCAUGCCAAUACUGUAUUCCCCUGCAAGAAAUACAAGUUAUUUUCGUUCUUGUACCUUUCAUCAUUUACCACCAGUGCCCCGUACACAGCUUUAAGAACUCCACCCUCCAUGGUGAUCUUUGAGACCCUUGGAUUCCAAUGCACCCAGUGAGAUGAGAUUUUUCUUUCAUAUCCGGUACAUACCGAACAUCACUUAAUUCUCUGACUGUUCCAUCAUGCAUCUUCAAAUAGAUUUUGCCUAUCCCUUGUGUUUUGCAGGCAUUAUUAUUACCCAUCAAAACAACUCCACCAUCCAGCUCCUCGAAAUUAGAAAACCAUUCCCGAAUGGGACACAUAUGAUAGGUGCAACCUGAAUCCAAAAUCCACUCAUUGGAGUAACCAUCAGCAUAUGAACUAGCCAAAGCAAACUCGAAAUCAUCAUCUCCAGAUUUUGCAAUAUUUGCUUCAGAAACCGCUUUCUCCUUCUCUUUGUUCUUCAAUUUGGGGCAGUCUUUCUUCCUUCCAAUGACCCUUUUGGCGACAAAAAGAACAUUCAUCUUCUUUAGCAGGAAACUUCCCUCGUGACUUUGAACGAGAUUUUCCCCCGCUUCCCAGAUUUUCUUUCCUCUGUUCGACCCCUUGCAACAAAUGCCUCGGUUUGUGAAUUGUGAGUCUUCAGUUCCUUCUUACGACACUCAUGAUUCACCAAUGCCGCAGACACCUCAUCAAGUUUCACCUCGGAUUUUCCAUACAACAGAGUAGUUGUCAAAUGAUCAUAAUCAUCAGGCAAUGAAUUAACACAAACAUAGUGCCUUGUCCUCGUCAAGAAUUUUCACAGCAAGGUUUGCUAAAUCAGCAAGUAUUUUAUAUUAUAUAUCAUUGAGGUGUUCGUGCAUAGAGAUACCUGGACGAUACUGAAAUCGGAAGAGACGAUUUUUUGCGCUCUUGGUCAUAUACUUCUCCUCCAAUUUGGUCCAUAUAACUCCUUAGCAGAAGUUUCCUUCAUAUACGGGUAUUUCAAACUCCCUUAUCAAGGAACGAUCGAGAAUAGCAGCAGCACAAGCAUGAAGAUUAAUUCGCGUCCACUGCUUUCAUCAAUAUUGUCUUCAAAUCUUAUGGUUUUGUUCUAUCUUCCAGAACCAUAUCCAACUCUUGUUGAUACAACAACACAUCCAUAACUUCACAUUGCCCACAUACCAAAAUUAUUAGAGCCAUUGAAUUUAUCAACCUCUAACCUUGUAGUAGUGGUUGGAUGUCUCUAUUGGAUGAAGAACGACGGUGCUGACCCCUUCUUUACAGAGAUUUCAUCUUUAUCUCUCCAGCCAUCUGCUCGGCACUAUUCACAAAUUACGGCACUGUGUUCACAGGUACAAUACUGUUCACAGAUACUGUAGCAGUUCACUGUUCACGGAACUGUAGCGCCAACACUAUUCACGGAACUGGGCUCUGGUACCACUUGUUGUGCGGAAGCGGCAUUCGACUGUAAGUGAAUAGUAAGACAGAAACAGAAUAAAACAACACCAACAAGAACACCAAGAUUUAUACUGGUUCGGCAAUGCCUACAUCCAGUUUGGAGACAACGGAGUAUUCCACUAUAAUCAAUGAGAACAUACAAUAGUGUUUAUCACUCAAUUUCCCAAAGACCCAAAUAACCCCAAGCUCUCACACUUACAAUAGGAAGAGAAAACCAAAAAUACAAAGCAAGACAAUUUGAGAAAAUUCUUCUUUAUGCCAAAUGGCUUCUUGCUAUUUUUCUCUCUUCCUUGUUCUUCUCUAAUUCUCCAUGCUUAUGGGUUGCACCUUGCUCUCCUUUUAUAGCCAAAGAAAAGCUUCUCAAAGACAUCAAUGGCCAAAUGCCUACCAUCAAGUCAAAAGGAGUUAGGCACAAAUUAGGCACAAAUCUUGUUUGCCUCCCAUUACCACAAAGUAGCCCAAAGAUUUAGACUUUGACUACAUGUUUGAGUCAAUAAUCAACACUUCCCUGAUUUAGGAUUUGGAGAUGUUGAAACAGACUCCGAAGAUUCUGAUGACUUUAGAAGUGGUUCUAGCUCAUCAUUUGAAGGUGAACAACCAGUGAAGCGGAAAAGAAAGAAGAAAAUGCCCAAACUCAUUCCUUUUAGAAGUGAUAUGGAUAUCAAGAACCGAACUGGAAUGAUAUUUGCCAAUAAAAAAGAGUUCAGACAAGCAGUGACAUAUUAUGGUUGUGUGAAUGGAAGAAAAAUAAGAUUCCCAAUAUGAGAGCGUUAUAAAGUAGGGUAAGUAUACAAAGGAGGGAUGUCCAUGGGUGAUUUAUGCAAGCAAAAUAGAUGGGAGCUCUGCACUUAGAGUGAAGACACUCAAUGAUGUCCAUACAUGCCCGAGAGAAAAGGAAAAGCUCAGACUAUGCACCUCAACUUGGUUAUCACAUAGGUAUGCUGAGGAUUUGCUUAACAAUCCUAAAUUGGAAGUGUUAAAAUUUCAACAAACUGUUCAUAAACAAUACAAUUUGCAUGUAACACUGGCUCAACUUUAUAAAGCACGGUCAUUGGCAGCUGAGAAGAGUGAAGGUGCUUAUGUGGAGCAAUAUGCAAGGUUAUGGGAUUAUUGUGAGGAGCUCGAGCGAAGAAAUCCUGGAUGUACAAUUUUGGUGAAGAUUGAAAUGGAAGGAGGAAGGCCUAGGUUUCAGAGGUUGUUUUUAUGCUUUGUAGCAUUGGAAAAAGGGCUUUUUGGAAGGUUGUAGGCCAGUGGUGGGAUUGGAUGGAUGCCAUAUUCCAGUUGCUUGCUGCCAUUGGUAUAGAUGCCAUGUAUAGUUCAGUAGAUAUGCAUUGUUGUGAAGAUAGAAGCUUGCUGCCAUGGCAGAGCAUAUGCAAUUGUUGAAAUUGAUAGCAUAGAAUGAAAUUGUUGACUUUUAAGAAGAACUUGGAAGGUAUUGGAUGAUUUGGUGAAAAUCGGCGAAAAUGGGCUUGCUUGGGUCUUUAUGUCAGAAAAAAAAAAAAAAAGGGUUAAUAAAAGCUGUGAAGGACCUUAUUCCAACUGCUGAACACAUACAUUGUGUUCGACACUUAUAUAACAAUUUCAAGAAAACACACGUUGGCAUUGCAUUGAAACAAAUUCUUUGGUCAGCAGCUAGAGCAACCACCAUUCCAAGAUUUAAAGCAGAGGUGACUAAGAUGGAAGUUGAAGAUGGAUUGGCUAUAAGUUGGUUUGAUGACAAACCAGCAUGUUAUUGGAGCAGAUCUUAUGUUAGGACAUUAUCUAAGUGCCAUUUAUCUGCAUUUUAAGUCACAUAUGGUUGUUAUAAAUUGGGGAAUAUCAUCUCAUAGGCCUAUGGAGAAGCUGGGAUAGGACAAACUUGUGCGGCCAAUGAAAUUGGCCAUAACCCACCAACUACUUAAAGUGGGCAAACACAAUGGUGUGCUCAUUGAAAACUUUGGUAUUUUAAAUUUUAGUCUUGUAUUUAUAGACAAAUGUAUGUGUAACUCUUUUAUUGAUAAUUUGUAGCAUACCACUGAAGGAAAAUAUGGGAAGUGAAACUCCACCAAAUCAGGGACGAGAACAAUCUGCAUCUAAUGCAAGCAGGGCCGGUCCUUGAGUUUUUGGGUGCCCAGUGCGAAAGUUCAAAAUGUGCCAUUUUUUAAUACGAAAAACAUAUGUUUAAAAAAAAAAAUUUAACGAGAGCUGGAGCCCAAUCGAAGCUGGGGGGCUAGACCCUCACGCCCAAAUUAUAUUACUUGAGAAAAUAUACAACGGAGAGGGACAUAGUACCUAAACCCCAACAAUAAAAAAUACAAUUAUAUACAACAAUUCCUAACGAAGCUCCUUGAAAUUUCAUUAUCCUUUGCCUUUUUUUCCUUUCCAUAUUACUAGAGAAUUGUUUCCUAAAAGACAUGGCUUCGAUAAUUUGUUUGCAAAAAUUACCUACACAUGAUAUAACAAAAAUUUCCUAUCAAAAUUAUCAUUUCAACACAUAUUAUAUAUUAUAAAAACACUAACACAUAGUUUAACAUAUUAUAAAAAUUGAACCUAAAAAUUGGGUUUGAAAUGAAAUAAAAUCAUUCAAUUAGUCAAGAAUUCUAUUCAUCAACAACAACAAUUCUAUACAUCAAUUAUCAUAUAAUUAUAUGUCACUUGCAAAAUUUUAUAUGAAAUUAUGAAUUGAUAAUUCAAAUUUUAAAAAUUAGUUUACCUCAAAACUCAAAAAGAAGGGUUGGUGGUGAGUGAGUGCUCUUGCACUUGCAGCAGCCAAUGGGCUUGGCGCUAAGCUGAAGACAGCCGGACAGGAACCUCCUGUGCUGCAACAGCUUGCUGGUGAAAGGGAGUCAGGGGUCAGGACGGUAGGGAGAAGUUUGGUGCGCCAAAAAUGGGUGGAACGGGCUGUUCCACGGGACAGAUUUUGUGUGUUUUUGCGUCCCACCUCCCCCUGGAACGGGUUUGUUCCACGUCUGUGGAACACAAUGUUUUACCAUUUUAAGACAAAUAUACCCCAUGUCUUUUUCAAAAAUUACACCUUUGUUCCGUCCCGUCCCGUCUGCGUACCAAACACACCCUAUAAGAGUUAGGGUUAGUGGAGACCGUGUGGUCCCUUUAAUGUCGUUUUGUUUUUUUGUUUUUUGUUUUUUUUUUUUUUUUUUUGUUGAUUAUAAUGCGGAUAAUACUUGGGUACCCGAUAUAUACACACUCACUUACGUGGUACAAUAAAAAAACGACAUCUAUCCUUAUUGUAAUCUCUCAAACACGUAACCAAACAUCCUUUAUUCCUGUAGCCAAACACUCACCUUCUUCCUCGCCAAAGCACACAAUCAGACAAACACUUUCAUUUUCAAAUCAUGGCAAUCUAACUAUGGUGGAAGAUUCCAUUUCCAGAAGCCCAAUCUGGUAAUCCAAAAAUAUGGGUUCCUUGAUUUUCAUACGGAGAGGACGACGGCUCGUGGGGUUGGGUGCUCUUCUUUUCACGGUUUUCUACUCUUACGUGAGAUCCAGAUUUUACAACGAUGAAGGUGCCAUGAGUUCCGGCAAGGGACGGUGGCUGAUGGUGGUGGGCGAGGACACUGGUCUGUGGUGGGAGACGACCGUGGCUGGAGGUGGUGGCCUGGUGGGAGAGGACCGUGGUUGGUGGUAGUGGGACCGUUGCAGGUGAUUGUGUGGCGAGGACCGUGGCCACUGGCGGUGGGAGAGGACCGUCGCUGGUGCUGGUCGUUUAGAUCUCUGUGUUGUGAAUGAAGAUGGGUGUUUGGCUAACACAAUAGUGAGUUUUUGGCUAAAGAAUUGGUUAAGUAUUUGAAGAUUAAGUUUGGCCAGGUGUUUUUUAUAUUAUUGUGCCACGUAAGAUAGUGUGUAUAUUGGGUACUAGAGUACCCAAGUAUCAUCCUUAUAAUGCCCAAAACCUGGACCACCGAGUGGUUCCUCUAAUGUCAAUUUUUUUUUUUUGUAACGCUCAAAACCUGAGCCUUUUUUCAUUUUUUCCUAGGCUCUUGCCCUAGUUGGGCUCUGGACUUUUUUUAUUUUUUUUUAUUUUUUUAUAUCUAGUUAUUUGGGUUAUAUUUUUUUUAUGCCCCUUUUAGUUUUGGGUUUCUGAACAGUUGCUCCUGUGGCAUUGGGCCUAGGCCGGGCUUGAAUGCAAGUUCUUUUGACCUAUGUCUUUAUCCCUUUCUCGUGUAUGCCUUUAUAACCCAAUGUCAUAUGUUAAUUUUUCAGGUUUUUUUUUUAAAAUUUAAAAUUGUUGGUAGGUUUCUAAAAGAGGUAGAGUGAAACAAAAUACAAGAGGCAAGUCAGUGCACAAUUCAUGAAAGUUACCUGAAAACUGUAGAAUCUUAAGGAAAUCAUUUGGAAAUUUAGACUUUUUGUUAAUGUCAAUGUUUGUUCGGAUGAAGACAAUGUUGUGAACUUUAAGCUGGUGGGUGUUUUUGAUUUUGAACAUAACCAAGCAAUGAAACAAUAUUUUUGAUAUGGUAGCAAUGAAAUGAUUAGGCAUUGCAUUCUCUUAUGGUUGCUCAAAAUAUGUUAAGAUACAAAAGUGGGUGUGUUCAGUUUAACAUGUCACGAAAUGGAGUUGUAGAUGCAUAUGCGCUACUCGGAUACAACUAUCCACAUGAAUACUCUCUAACACAAAUUUUAAGGGUUUUACUAAAGAAAAGUAAAAACUUGUUAAAAGAUCUUAAAAUGACAUAAAUAACCCUGAACACAAGUCAUGUGCGAGACACAUGACUUAUUUUGGAUGGAAAACUUAACGGAGUUAGGGUGAGAUAACAAAUUGAUGAUUUCGGCAAGUUAGUAUGACAAAUUGCUUAAAAUUUUAGUUUAUAUGACACAUUGAAAAAGAUGUACAAGUUCAUACAACAUUUCAAAAAAAAUUUCCUUGGGAGAAUUAUGGUCCCUACGUCUAACCAAAUAAUAAGGUUUUUGAUGAGAUAAUGUAUACCAACUUGAGCAUUAUAAUGUUCAUGAUUUUGUUUGCGUCUAUACAUAUUGUUUGUACCAUACUUGACCAAUCCCGAAACUACCAAGCAUCGGUCAACGUUAUACUGUCAAGGACCCAGAAGAGUUCCCCUCUAACCAGGAUGCCAAUCACAGCGCGACACGUGUUAAUAACAAAGGCCAAUCACAACACGACAUGUGUUAAUGUCAAAACAAAGCUAGAAACUCUCUUCUAUAAAAGGAGAUCAUUCUUCCACAAUAAUCCCUAAUGUCAUUUGUACUAAAUCAUUCACUAGUACUCACUAAAGGAGAGCUUGAACCUAUGUACUUGUGUAAACCCUUCACAAUUAAUGAGAACUCCUCUACUCCGUGGACGUAGCCAAUCUGGGUGAACCACGUACAUCUUGUGUUUCCUUCCAUGUCUCUAUCCAUUUACAUACUUAUCCACACUAGUGACUGGAGCAAUCUAGCGAAGGUCACAAACUUGACACUUUCUGUUGCACCAAAGUCCUCACUGAUUUUUGUGCAUCAACAUUUGGCGCCGUCUGUGGGAAUUGCACUUAUUCUCACUCUCUCUUCAGCUUUGUUAAGCUGGUUUCCACCAUUCGUACACUCUCUUUUGACCAGGCAUCCAUCUCCAACAUGGGGAGCGAAGAAAGCCACAACACGCAGAAUGACACCCCCCCUCGCAACUGGUGCGAAGCAACGAAAGAAGGAACAAAAGAAGUUUGCUUUUCAGGCUAAAGUGGAUGAGCUGGAGGCUCAGAACAACAAGAUAGCGAUGAAGAAUGAGAUCCUUCAAGAGCAGUAUGAGAAGGUCUUCGAGAUGCUUCACGAGGCUAGAUAUACUAAAAACACACGAGCUCAUCACCCCUGUAGAAGUCAACCAUCAACUGGGUGCCCCACAACACAGAGGGUCAUUUGCCCUCGACAUAGGUAUUCCUGUUGAGGAGUGAGCUACUCAUCGAAAUGGCGAUCAACAUGAGACUUCUCUCAACCCAGCUGCUUCGACCCGAAGCAGAAGGAGUGGAGGAAGGCACCUUCUUACAAAAGGAGUGGAAGGAUCGAAAGCCGUCUUUCGCGAUUGUCGAGACUUCCUAAAGCAACGUCGAGAUAAUCUUAUCCAUGUAAGCUCGAAGAUCAAUGACCUAAAGGUCUCUGAAAGACUCGGUCCCCUCCCAUGUCCCAGGCUGGCUACCAAUUUGGGGAAGGGGCAACAAGUCCUAGAAAAACACGAAGGUAUAGGUGACUCAGAGAUGUUCCGACAGACAUACCUUGGAAGUUAGUACGGCGAGUCUAGGGAAAAAUCACAUGCUCUUGAUCAAACCUUCACUUCCAAGAGGAGAUGGAGAUUUACGAAAGAAAGCUCCAGUGGUACAUGACUCCACUCAAUACCCUCUUAUCCUACAGCUCCUUAAGGAAGUAAAAGUUGAAGGCCGAAUACAAGCUGAGAUACCUGAUUGGAACCAACCUAGGCAUGACCCUCUUACAAGAAGGAUCCUCGACACCCCUCUUCAAGCGAAGACAAAACAAAAGCUUGGUUUUACAACUCUAUACUGGAAGGGAUGACCCGAUUGAACACCUUAACCUCUUUGAGUCCACCAUGGCAUAUCAGAUGCACGCCGACGAAGAUCGAUGUCUUAUCUUCCCUUCCACCCUCUCUGGCGGAGCUCUAAACUGAUGACUUGUACACAAUUCGCCAGAAGCCGGACGAGUUAUUACGAGAGUAUGUUGGUCGUUUCAGCCAUGAGUAUUCUCGCUGCGCUGAGGUAGAUGACAAGACCGCCCUCAAAGCCUUCACGGCAGGCCUACGUGAUUAUUUCUUCAAAUACAUGAUCAAUGCCAACACUUGGAAGACAUACUCUGAGGUGAUGGCACAUGCUUACAACCACGCCUCCGCCGAAGCAAGGACAUACCAAGGGAACCCCCAUAUGGUUAACCCCUAUCAACAAGUGGGAAGUGGAAGUCAAGUUCUACCAAGUGAGGAGAUCUUGGCCAUUCAGACACCCAUUGCAUCAUCUUCUGCCUCAUUUAGCUACUCGCUAAGUCACCAAACAUAUUUGUCUCUUGGUAAGAGGAAGGAUUUUUACUCUCAGCAAGCUCAUUAUAACAAGAUGGAUAAAAGUCCGUAUCAAGACAACCAGGGGUGAACGUACCGUCGACUAUUAUGACUAUGGGGCCAAGCCUCACUAUUUUAAAGUGGAGGACUAGGUACUGAAGAAAAUGCUAUUAUAAAAAGGCAUACACAUUGCAAAUGUUUUGACCUUCAACCGCUUGAGAUCUUUUGUCACACAAGCCAUUCGACAAAUAUUUAAAGAAAAGGGAAUUUAGACAACUUCUUCUGAGUUUUUUUUCAUUCCUAGCACUGGAACACUUGGUCUACACUGACCUGCCUCUAUACUCCAACUCAGAGCUUCAACAUGCGUACUUUGACACAAAGUAUGUGAUACUAAGUGUUACAACCAACAUGGUUCACAUAUCGAAAGCAUUGAUCCCUUCAUGCAUAGCAAAACAUUCAUAAGCAUUACUCAUAUCAAUCAACAUAAACAUCAUAUAUUCCAACACAUUCAUACAUAAACAUCAUACAUUCCAACACAUUCAUACAUAAACAUCAUACAUUCCAACACAUCCAUACAUAAGCCAACUGUGCUUCGAAAGGGUUCAACACACUUUGUGUCAUUCGACACUUGCUACAAUGUGCCUCAACACCUUGCCUUUAUUCUCACCAACUAGGUGAUGAAGGAACUAACCUUCGUGCCACCAACUAGGUGAUGAAAUGUACAACCCGUACUCUCUUUCAUGCCACCAACCAGGUGAUGAAAUGUAUAACCGUACUCUAAUAUUAUUUGGCAACUUGCCACUCUUAUCACCAACCAGGUGAAGAAGGAACUUACCUUCGUGCCACCAACCAGGUGAUGAAAUGUACAACCUGUACUCUAAUAUUAUUUGGUAACUUGCCACUCUUAUCACCAACCAGGUGAAGAAUGAACUCAUCUUCAUGCCACCAACCAGGUGAUGAAAUGUACAACCCGUACUCUCCUUCAUGCCACCAACCAGGUGAUGAAAUGUACAACCGUACUCUAAAAUUAUUUGGCAACUUACCACUUUUAUCACAAACCAGGUGAAGAAUGAACUUACCUUCGUGCCACCAACCAGGUGAUGAAAUGUACAACCCGUACGCUCCUUCAUGCCACCAACCAGGUGAUGAAAUGUACAAGAACAAACUCCGGAAAUCAAAAAACCAAUAACCAAGAAUUUAUGUGGUUCGACAAUAUGUGCCUACGUCCACGGGACAACAACAACAAUCUUUCACUAUAUCAAUAAUGAGUACAACCAAUAAUCUUGCCAAAUCUCUAGAACUAGGACUUGACGAAAAACCUGAAAGAACAAGAACAAGAAAUACACUAUCUCUUUUCUUUUCUCUCGCACACAUAAUAUUCUCUCACUCGAAUCCCUUGAGUGGUAUAUAAUUUAUUGUUUUGCUCCCUUAUUUAAAACUAGUACAAUAGCCCCUUUAUAUAGACAUAAUAAAAGUCUUCUUCAAUAAGGAUUAUUAAUCCUAAUUGGAAUCUAGUUAUGGAUACUCCAAUUGAGAAACUAACUCCAAUUGGGUAAACAACUCCAAUUGGGAAAACAAUUUAAUCCUCUAAGACUAUUAAUUCCCAAUAGACUUAGGACAACUAAUCAUGGGCUGGAAAAAAACCCAACAAUCUCCCUUUCUAGACCAUGAGGAAGAUAUACCAUAAUAGGAUUGCUCCUCUUGACCAAACUCCUAUUGAUUGAACUUUUCAUGACCAGACUCCCUCUAAUUGAAUUACCCACAACCAAGCUCCAUCUGAUCGAACUACUCAUUAACCAAGACCCUCUUGAUUAGAUUUCUCUUGACCAGGCUCCCCUUGAUCGCAAUACCCAUCGUCAUUGGCAAAUGCAAUUAUAGACUUCUUUGCCAAAAAACGAUUAAUCAUCUGCAUUAAAGAAGCUCUUCAUCAUAAGUCACAACACUUGCAGUAUUCUUCCCAUCCUUUUGUUCCUUUUUCCAUUUACGACAACGCUUCUUCAUGUGACCCUUUUUCCCACAAUAGUGGCAGUCCCCAUUGCAUCUCGUCUCACCAAAAUUUUUACCUCUUUUCUCUGUGACAAAGAGUUGUCCAGCGCUUGCACCUGAAGCUUUUCUCCUUGUUUCUUCAUUAAACAUGUUAUCCUUAACGGCAUCCAUGGACAGUACACCAUUAGAAGCCGAAUUGCUUACAGUUACGACGAAGGUUUCUCAACUAUUUGGCAAGGAUCCUAGCAAUAAAAGUGCUAGCAGCUCUUCUUCAAUAUUCAAACCCAUAGUGGCUACCUGAUUGAUCACGUUCUGAAAGUUGUUCAAGUGCUCGGUUACACUAACAUCUUCCGCAUACUUCAUGUUGACAAGCUCUUUGAUAAGGAAUGCUUUCUUGGCAGCGGUCUUCUUCUCAAAGAGGGAUUCUAACUUCUUCCAAAGAGCUUGCGCAUCAGUUUCUUUAGACACAUGGUGAUAGAUGCUCUCAUCUACCCAUUGUCUAAUCGUACCAAUAGUUUACGAUUCAUCUUGGUCCAAUUGGCAUCACAAAUAUUUUCUGGCUUGCUCUUAACACUUUCAAUUGGCUCAUGGAGAUCUUUACAAUAAAGCAUGUCCUUCAUUCUUGAUUUCCACAUAACCCAAUUGGAGCGGGUGAGUUUCAUCAUAAUUGAACCCUCCAUUCUAAACGGAUAUCAGCCGAACCUGGCUCUGAUACCACUUGUUGAGAAUAUCGCGUUUAAGAAUGGGAAAAACAAGAACAAACUCCGAAAAUCGAAAAACCAAUAACCAAGAUAAAUAACACCAAGAAUUUACGUGGUUCGGCAAUUUGUGCCUACGUCCACGGGACAACAACAACAAUCUUUCACUAUAUCAAUAAUGAGUACAACCAAUAAUCUUGCCAAAUCUCUAGAACUAGGACUUGACGAAAAACCUGAAAGAACAAGAACAAGAAAUACACUAUCUCUUUUCUUUUCUCUCGCACACACAAUAUUCUCUCACUCAAAUCCCUUGAGUGGUAUACAAUUUAUUGUUUUGCUCCCUUAUUUAAAACUAGUACUAUAGCCCCUUUAUAUAGACAUAAUAAAGGUCUUCUUCAAUAAGGAUUAUUAAUCCUAAUUGGAAUCUAGUUAUGAAUCCUACUCCAAUUGAGAAACUAACUCCAAUUGGGUAAACAACUCCAAUUGGGAAAACAACUCCAAUUGGGAAAACAAAUUAAUCCUCUCAGACUAUUAAUUCCCAAUAGACUUAAGACAACUAAUCAUGGGCUGGAAAAAAACCCAAUAAAAUGUACAACCCGUACUCUAAUAUUAUUUGGCAACUUGCCACUCUUAUCACCAAUCAGGUGAAGAAGGAACUCAUCUUCAUGCCACCAACCAGGUGAUGAAAUGUGAUGAAGGAACUCACCUUCGUACCACCAACCAAGUGAUGAAAACAACCCAUCAUUCAUUCCACCAACCAGAAGACGAGUGGUACAACUUGUACAUAUGAACUCCUAGCAUUCACAGAUAAUAAAAAACCCUCAAACUUUACAAAUCAACUAGGGGAACAAAGUCUUAUUGCAAGCCAACAACGGCUUCAGUCAUGGUAUACGAAGAUCAAGCUCUUCAACCCUCUUACAUCUGCUUCAGACAUUUCUCUUCUGUAACAAUGCAAACACUACAACUCAUAGAGAGCUUCACACACUCUUGAUCAAGACUGUUCGAAGCAAAUUCAAUUUAUAUGGUUCAUCCAAACCUUCGACUACUACAAGGUGUGGCUUGCAUCACAAUCUCUUGCUCAACAGUGUGGAAGUAAAAUUUGUAUACGUUGUCUCUCCCACAUUUUCAAAUUUCUAGUUUUCCCAAAAAAAAAAAAGGAAAUUGGGAAAUUCAACAAAGCUUCAUCAAUGGAUGACAACUACAAAUUCUCAAAAGCUUCACACACUUUUAAUCAAGAUAGUGUGAAGCAAAACCAAUUUUUGGUGGAAAUCAAAAGCUUCAUCAAUGGAGAGCAACUACAAUCCUCAAAAGCUUCACACACUCUUGAUCAAGAUAGUGUAAAGCAAAAACUAAUUUAUGGUGGAAAUCAAAAGCUUCAUCAAUGGAGGACAACUACAAUUCUCAAAAGCUUCACACACUCUUGAUCAAGACAGUGUGAAGCAAAACCAAUUUAUGGUGCUAACAAGAGCUUCAUCAAACAAGAGCUUUAUCAAUGGAAGGCAACCACAAUUCUCAAAAGCUUCACACAUUCUUGAUCAAGACAGUGUGAAGCAAAACCAAUUUAUGGUGCCAACAAGAGCUUCAUCAAUGGAGGAUAACUACAAUUCUCAAAAGCUUCACACACUCUUGAUCAAGACAGUGUGAAGCAAAACUAAUUUAUGGUGCCAACAAAAGCUUUAUCAAUUGAGGGCAACAACAAUUCUCAAAAGCUUCACACACUCUUGAUCAAGACAGUGUGAAGCAAAACCAAUUUAUGGUGCCAACAAAAGCUUCAACUCCAAAGCUUCAACACAAAAGCUUCACCUACAAAGCUUCAACACAAAAGCUUCACCUACAAAGCUUCAACACCAAAGCUUCACCUACAAAGCUUCAACUCAAAAGCUUCACCUAAAAAGCUUCACCUACAAAGCUUCAACACCAAAACUUCACCUAUAAAGCUUCACCUACAAAGCUUCAACACAAAAGCUUCACCUACAAAGCUUCAACUCCAAAGGUUCACCUACAAAAGCUUCAACUCCAAAGCUUCACCUACAAAAGCUUCAACUCCAAAGCUUCACCUACAAAACUUCAACACAAAAGCUUCACCUACAAAGCUUCAACACAAAAGCUUCACCUACAAAGCUUCAACACAAAAGCUUCACCUACAAAGCUUCAACUACAAAGCUUCAACUCCAAAGCUUCACCUACAAAAGUUUCAACUCCAAAGCUUCAAUACAAAAGUUUCACCUACAAAGCUUCAACACAAAAGCUUCACCUACAAAGCUUCAACACCAAAGCUUCCCCUACAAAGCUUCAACUCCAAAGCUUCACCUACAAAGCUUCAACACAAAAGCUUCACCUACAAAGCUUCAAUACAAAAACUUCACCUACAAAACUUCAACACCAAAACUUCAACUACAAAUGUCAAAAGCUACACACACUCUUGAUCAAGAUAGUGUGAAGCAAAAUCAAUUUAUGGUACCCAACAAAGCUUCAACCUCAAAGUUUCACCUACAAAGCUUCAACACCAAAGCUUCACCUAUAAAGCUUAAUAUAUAUAUAUAUAUAUAUAUAUAAUAUUAUAUAUAUAUAUAUAUAUAUUUUUCGAAAUUUCGGAAAUUCGGAAAUUCAAAAAUUCGGAAAUUCGAAAAGAAAAAAAAAGAAAAAAAAAAGCCUAUGCCUUCUCUUCUUUGGGCCUAACAAAUAUAUAUGAAGGAGGAGUUUUGGGCUACCACUUAGAAAGGAAAAUGGUGAAGUUUUGUUACUUUGGAAACUUGACUACUAGCAAGACACCUCCUUCAUCAACUCCCUCGACCGGAGACUUGGGGGACUCUUACCAUAUGCUACUACACCUCGGUACUUGGAAGGUUCACGACUACUCAGUGACUUGGAUCUUUCAAGUCUCCAACAUAGAAGUUUUCCUCACUCGGGAAAUUAAGGGAGCACUACCUCAACCUACAUGCUUCACUCACAAAGCUUCAACAUACAAACUUCAACAAAAGAAAAAAAUUCAAAGAACUUAGUAAAAAAGGCUUUGGUGUAUGUAACACAAUACGUUGAAAGAAGUAAAGCUUAUUUAUUGAUAUCUCCGAUAAGUUACAAAUAUGUACAUAUACAUGAAUCAAAAUAAACAAACAAGAGGAAGCCUUCACAAAGGUUGCUCAUGAAAAGUCUCAACAGUCAGCAGAGCUUCAGAAAGAGAAGACACUGGAGGGUGAUCAUUCGGAGCCUUUGUACUGGGCAGAACCCCAAAAUAAGGAGGCACCGGAGGUUGAUCAUUUAGAGUUUCAUUAACCGUUAUAACCCUAGAAGACGAAGGCAAUAAAUGCCUUUGGAACAAACCCACAAACCUCUGAUGAUCAAGUAAAAUCUGACCAUCAGAUCCCUGCAGCUGGUCAAGCUUCCUCUUUAUGUUUGUAGCAUAGUCAUGUGCGAGCAUGUGCAACUAUUUAUUCUCAUGCUUAAGCCCUCUAAUCUCCUGCUUGAGACUUAUCACUUCAGCCGCCAAUGAUUCAACUUGGCGGGUUCGAGCAAAUAGGCAUUGAGCCAUAUCAGACAUAAAACCUGCACACUGAACAUUGAGAGCCAGAGAAUCCUUAACAGCUAACUCAUCAGACCAUUUGGAAAGUAGUCUGUUAUCUUUGGGAGUGAGAAGGUUUCUGGCCACCACCGCAGCGGUCAUAUCAUUCUUCAUCACAGAGUCCUCAACGGUAAGAGAACCAGUAGGGGAUAAGAAGGAUGGGCGCCAUAUGUUGUCUUGAGGAGGCAUGGCAACUUCUUCACCAAAGUUCAAGUCAAAACGACGGUCGAAUGGGCCAGACAUUUUCAGAAAUGAUGAAGGAGAAAUGAAGUCCAAUAAAUCUCUGAAGUACAAAAACAAGGGGAAAAUUUCUACAAGCAAUAACUCUCUGAACAUACUUCUUACACACAAUUGGUGCCCCUAUAAAAGAAAUGGCAACUUGGCCGUUUGUUCAAAAAUCGAAGAGGCACCACUCUCCAGAUUUCGAGAAGCAAAUUUUCCUGAGUAAAAUAUGUCGACAAUCCCCACAUGCAACAUCAGCUCCUUGGGUACCACAGAUAACUUUGCCAAAGAUCUCUGACAAAGUUUAGACACAUAAAUUUUGAAGGUCCAGCAACCCUACCAUUACCGACAAGGGUAAAGGAACAACACCACUGCUUGAUAACUGGAAAGUCUUUAUGUGUGUCAACCUUCGUGCACCGUGGCAAAGCAGACUAGCAAAAAUGCUCAACCUUUACUCAUAUCGAGAAAACACUCCCAACAGGAUUACAUUCUUAAAAAUCGAAGAGGCACCGUUCUCCGAAUCUUGAGAGCCAGACUCCCACCAUGAUUGCUUUCUCAAAAAUCGAAGGGGCACCGCUUUCCGAAUCUCGAAAGCCAGACUCCCAACAGGAUUGCUUUCUCAAAAAUCGAAGGGGCACCGCUCUCCAAAUCUCGAGAGCCAGAUCCCCGACAUGAUUGCUUGUUCGAAAACCGAAGAGGCACUGCUCUUCGAACUUCGAGAGCCAGAUUUCCUUGGAUAAAACUUGUCUGCAAUCUUCACACGCAACAUCAACUUUCCAGAUACCACAGACCACUUUUUCAAAGUGCUAUGACAAAGUUAAAACAUAUGAAUCUUGCAGCUCCCACUACAAAGCUAUGACCGAGAAGGGUAAAGGAACAGCGUUACUACUCGCUGUUGGGAAAAUUCCUAUAUAUGUCGACCUUCAUCCUUCACACCCAGGCAGACCUGCAAAUAAAAAAAAUGCACAACUUUUCUUCACAUCCGAUGGGGCAUUCUCAGCAGAGUCUCUCGAAAUACUCAGCUUAUUUCCCCCUCCCCCCCCCCGGCGAUAAUACCUUUGCAAACAAGCCACACUAGAGCAAGAGUAUCUCAUAUCAUCAGGGUUAAAAGCAAGAGUAUCCCAUAUCAUGUUUUUUCCCUGUCUUUUCCUUUGCCAUUAUUCUUACCUGCAAAACAAGGAGAAAGAGAGCAAUCAGUCAGCACUUGGAAUCAAGUUUCGAGUCAGGAACUGACUACCUGGAACUCCUUGCCUAAUUACUUACCUGGCAUUACUCUCGAGUACUCAUCUUCAACAUCUUAUGCUUCCAGAAAAGAUACCACAUCUGCCUGAGGAACAGAUAUGGCAAGUGAGAAGGAUACAAGGAAGCAUGUGAAGACAAGCGCAACAUAACACGUGCCGAUUCAUCUAUUACUUUGUCAACAACAAAAGUAUCUCAUAUCAUCAAGGUCGAACACACUCUUGAUUUGAUGGACUUGUUUUGACCCUCAAAUUCUUGAGUCGGCUUUAUACUUUGGAGGAAACCAGAAAACCCUCCAGCCCAGUUCAAGAAUAAGCUUGUGGAAAGUUACUUUUUCAAAAGCAAAAGUAUCUCAUAUCAUCUAUUCUCAUUUUUCUUCUCUUUAUCCUUCUUGCUGCCUUCAAGAUAGGGAGAAUGAGAACAAUCAGCCGGAACUCGAAAUCAAAUUGUUGAUUUGAGACUGAUUGCUUGGAACUCAGAUUGCUUACCCUAUCUGUCACCUCUUUCGACAUAUCUCCUCGCUCAGAGACUUGGGGGACUCCUACUAUAGGGUUUGUAUCGCGCUUGACCAAGCCCGAAACUACAAGUAAGCUUCAAGUGAAAAUGAUACAUUACAUUGUGCAUCUCCAUUGGUUAAAGAUACCACCCUUGGAUGGAGGAAAAAUACUUCCAAAAAAGAUGCCACAUCUACCUAUAAGACAGAUAAGACAAGUGAAAACGAUACCACACUUCGGUACUUAGAAGUUUCGUGAUUGCUCAGUGGCUUGGAUCUUGCAAGUCCCCAACCGAGGAGCUUCCCUCACUUGAGAACUUAGGGGAGCACUGUUUGUACCAUACUUGACCAAUCCCGAAACUAUCAAGCACCGGUCAACGUUAUACCAUCAAGGACCCAAAAGAGUUUCCCUCCAACCAGAAGGCCAAUCACAACACGACACGUGUCAAUGUCAGAACAAAGCUAGAAACUCUCUUCUAUGAAAGGAGAUCAUUCUCCCACAAUAAUUCCUAAUGUUAUUUGUACUAAAUCAUUCACUAGUACUCACUAAAGGAGAGCUUGAACCUAUGUACUUGUGUAAACCCUUCAAUUAAUGAGAACUCAUCUACUCUGUGGACGUAGCCAAUCUGGUUGAACCACGUACAUCUUAUGUUUGCUUCCCUGUCUCUAUCCAUUUACAUACUUUUCCACACUAGUGACGGAGCAAUCUAGUGAAGGUCACAAACUUGACACUUUAUGUUGUCCCAAAGUCCUCACUGAUUUUGUGCAUCAACACAUAUAUUUUCUCCCUAAAUGUAGAUUAGGACGGUUGGUAAGGCAUUACAUUUGUCGCGUUCUUAUAUUCAAGUUUAAAUUCUUCUCUCAUAAGUUAUAGCUUAUAAUAUCGUCUUACCAAAACUAAAGAUACUUAUUUUUAGUGGGAAAUAUUUUGCUUAAGUAUGCAUGUUUGCAAGAUUAAAUAAAAACCUCCAAAAUGUAUGGGGUUUAAUUGAAUUCUAACCACCACCACAACCCUCAUAGAAUUAGGGCAAAAGGCGAAUUUAGGAAGGCUCCUUUCAAUCAUUUUGUACCCCUGCAUAUUAUUGUGAUUCAAUGAAGCUCCCCGUUAAAUGAACUGCACCAAAUAGGGGAGACCUCAUCUGGAUCUCUGUGUCCGAAGCCGACAAACACAUAGAUCCAAAUCACUCAUUUUAAAUCAUAUGGUUCUCAUUAGCUCAUUCUACUGACCUUCCUCACACAAACCACGAGUUCAGAUCUCCCUCUCUUUAACUACCUGGAUAUCCGAGUUCUUGAACUUUGAAAACAAAAAUCCGAAAAGGAUAUCGACUCCAAAUAGGGUAGCAUUUCUACUGUGCAUGUAACUGGCCCAAAAAAUAACGGAAACCCCACCCCACCCCCCAAAAAUAAAACCCACCCACAACAAAAGUACAACUAUAAGUAAAGCUUUAUGAGGGGUCUCUCUAAAAUUCAUCUUAAAAUUAACUAGUCCGUCAUUCCAAAAAUUGUUGUGACAAUGUUGCAUUUAAAAUUGUCUAGCAAUAUAACAUUAUUUCGGACAAAACUUUUUUUAUAAAUUAUAAGUUCAAACAAAAGACAUUAUACAGCUUCUUCCUGACUAUUUUAGGUGUAUACUCCCUUGCUAAAAAUUCUACUAUGCUCAUCGUAAUUCUUGCCAAUCCACUAGGCAAUUGGGUUAAAUUGCCCUUGACCAAAAAAAUAUGGUCCAUCGAUGCCAGAUUGGGCAUGCAAUUGGUGGGCUCCAAGAGGCUCGUUGAACUACCCUUGCAGCCCGUUGGCAAUAAGUAACGAUGGGCCUGAUGUCAAGCAGCAGAAGGCUGUCCCAACCCCGUGCACCAAAGUGAACCAAACGCCUCCAAUUUGGGCGCCCCACAGCUGUUGGAUUUUCAACAGUUUGUUGAUCCGGACCAUUAAAUUUCAAACAAUAAAAGAAAUUUAAAAAGAUGAUGUUGUGCAACGUGGCACUUUGUGGUGCACAUUUGAUAUUAAAAUUUUGAAAAAUUCAACUGCUAGGAUUAAUCCCAUGGUAAAAAAGAAAAAAAAAAGAAAAAACUUACAACAAAAAAUAUCUAAAAACUUACAAAGUUCACAUGUAGGGGGUGUAUUCAAUUGAGAUUUUAAGGGAUUUUAAUUCUUUUAAUGAAUCCAAGGGUAUUCAAUUAGGAUUUUAAGUGAUUAUCUGAAAUUCAAUGUGUAUUCAAUCAGGAUUUUAAGAUAGUUUAUUAAAAUCCUUAGAAAUCCAAGUGUAUUCAAUUAGAAUUUUAAAGAAGUUUAUAACAUUUCAGAUGUAUUCAAUUAGAAUUAAAAUUUAAAGAAUUUAGAAAAGUUGAGUAAUUUGAGGGAAUUUGAGAGAUUUUGUAGUGUAUUUUAAGUAUUCACAAAUCUCACAUAUUCCCAUGAGAUUUCGAGGGAAUUGAAUCAAAAUGUUACAUGGAAUCUCUACAAUUCAGUUAAACCCCAUAAAAAGUCAUGGGAGCUUUAAUAAAAAUGGCUUGAACUAAGACUAUUUUAACCAAAAACCAAUCUAUAGUUUUAUUUAAUAAAAAACACCUCAAAAUUAAUUAUAAGGACAUGCCCCCAAAUUCUUCACGGCUGAAUUACAAAGACCACAAUGUUCCAAAAUAAGGUUCCAAAAUUACCCCUAAUAGAAAGAAAAUGCAAGCCCGUUAAAUACUUCAAUAUAAUUACAACCCUGGCCCCCACGUUGGUUGAGAUUAUAUGACUUUUGGCGGCUCUUCUACUCUCUAGUCUUAGAGAAAUUAUACACCCUCCGAGAGUCUAGAAAUUGGCUGUGACCUUCGAGGACCACCCGACGGUCUGGCAUGUGGUGGAGGAGAGGUAUCGGCGGCUACUGCAAUCAAUACAGCCUGCAGAUGGAGAACGAAGAAGAAGAAGAUUGUUUUUUCAAAGGGCCAAAACGCCUCGUUUUGAGCCAUUACCAUUUAAAAAUUACACGUGACCCACUUAAAAAAUCCACGUGACUCUCCCUUUUAGAUAAUCUCAACCUUAUUUUCUUUCAGACCCCUAAUUAGGUCUGGCAAACGGGUCGUGUCAAUCGUAUUCGUGUCGUUUUCGUGUAACACCUGUUAUCUUAACGUGUCGUGUCGUGUCACACCUGUUAUCUUAACGGGUCCUUAACAGGUCGGGUCACUUUACCUAAUGGGUAAAGUGACCCGACCCGUUAUGACCCGUUAAGAAAAAUAUUUUUUUUUCUUAAAUUUGCACAUUGUCACAUAAAUAUUACUUCAAAACAUUAAAACACAUUUGUCGUUUAAGUACUACAUCUACACUAAAAAAUAAGAGCCUCAUAAAAAAUACAUUCAUACACUACUAAUCUAUUACAAAUAUUAAAUGUCCAAGGAUAUGCAAAAUGAAAGCGUUUUUGUUUUCAAAGUUGUGAAGCCUUUCUCUAAAGUUUAAACCUUGCCAAUGGAACUCAAAGCUUAAUGAAAGUGACCCACUAGUGUGUUUAUUCGUACUUUCAUUAAGUAUAACAUAAGAUUUUGUGGUAUCCACUAGUGUAAAUAUUUUAAAUUGAAUAUCAAAUUCAUUCAUUGUAUUCAUAUAGGGUCAAGGAGUGUAAUUGUAAAAAAUCAUCAAAAUCGGAGUUAAAAUAACCGUUAAAUUGUGAUUUUUCAUUUAUAACCGUCGAAAAGUUUUGUCCCGUUACUUAAUCUUUAAAUGUUUGUUUUUUGCAAUUUUUGGCGUAUGCGAUCUCGAAGUAUAUACCAACAAGUUUGAUGGUUAGAUCGUUGAAACUAGUUUCGUAGAAUGCGUGUCCAAUCAAAACAAUAGAUUCACUAACACUUAAGAGUUUAUUCUUACUUUCAUUAAGUCUAACAUAAGAUUUUGUGGUAUCCACUAGUGUAAAUAUUUUAAAUUGAAGAUCGAAUUCAUUCAUUGUAUUCAUAUAGGGUCAAGGAGUGUAGCUGUAAAAAAUCAUCAAACUCGGAGUUAAAAUAACCGUUAAAUCGUGAUUUUUUGUUUAUAACCGUCGAAAAGUUUUGUCUCGUUACUUGAUCUCUAAAUGUUUGUUUUUUGCAAUUUUUGGCGUAUGCGAUCUCGAAGUAUAUACAAACAAGUUUGACGGUUGGAUCAUUGAAACUAGUUUCGUAGAAUGUGUAUCCCAUCAAAAUAAUAGAUUCACUAACACUCAAGAGUUUAUUCAUACUUUCAUCAAGUAUAACAUAAGAUUUUGUGGUAUCCACUAGUGUAAAUAUUUUAAAUUGAAGAUCGAAUUCAUUCAUUGUAUUCAUAUAGGGUCAAGGAGUGUAGCUGUAAAAAAUCAUCAAAAUCGGAAUUAAAAUAAUCGUUAAAUCGUGAUUUUGCGUUUAUAAUCGUCGAAAAGUUUUGUCUUGUUACUUGAUAUCUGAAUGUUUGAUUUUUGCAAUUUUUGGUGUAUGCGAUCUUGAAGUAUAUAUAAACAUGUUUGAUGGUUGGAUCGUUGAAACUAGUUUCGUAGAAUGCGUAUCCCAUCAAAACAAUAGAUUCACUAACACUUAAGAGUUUAUUCAUACUUUCAUCAAGUAUAACAUAAGAUUUUGCGGUAUCCACUAGUGUAAAUAUUUUAAAUUGAAGAUCGAAUUCAUUCAUUGUAUUCAUAUAGGGUCAAGGAGUGUAGCUGUAAAAAAAAUCAUCAAAAUCGGAAUUAAAAUAAUCAUUAAAUUGUGAUUUUUCGUUUAUAAUCAUCGAAAAGUUUUGUCUCGUUACUUGAUAUCUGAAUGUUUGAUUUUUGCAAUUUUUGGUGUAUGCGAUCUUGAAGUAUAUAUAAACAUGUUUGAUGGUUGGAUCGUUGAAACUAGUUUCGUAGAAUGCAUAUCCCAUUAAAACAAUAGAUUCACUAACACUUAAGAGUUUAUUCAUACUUUCAUCAAGUAUAACAUAAGAUUUUGUGGUAUCCACUAGUGUAAAUAUUUUAAAUGGAAGAUCGAAUUCAUUCAUUGUAUUCAUAUAGGGUCAAGGAGUGUAGAUGUAAAAAAUCAUCAAAAUCGGAGUUAAAAUAGCCGUUAAAUUGUGAUUUUUCGUUUAUAACCGUCGAAAAGUUUUGUCCUGUUACUUGAUCUGUGAAUGUUUGUUUUUUGUAAUUUUUUGCUGAUGCGAUCUCGAAGCAUAUACAAACAAGUUUGACGGUUGGAUCGUUGAAAUUAGUUUCGUAUAAUUCGUAUCUCAUGAAGUUCAAUGGUGUGUGUGUGUGUGUAUAUAUAUUUAUUUAUUUAUUUAUUAAGUAGAUUUAAAUCUAUUUAUUUUGUAUGUAUAAUUAUUAUAGUUUUUAGGGGUAUAAAAUUUAAUUUAAAAUUUAAUAUAUAUAUAUAUAAAUAUAAUUAUUAUAGUUAAUCUUUUGGGGGUAUAAUUAUUAUAGUAUAUAUUAUAGUUAAUUUAAUAUAUAUAUAUAUAUAUAUAAUUAUUAUAGUUUUUGGGGGUAUAAAAUUGUUAAAUUAAUAUAUAUAUAUAUAUAUAAUUAUUAUAGUAUUUUUUAGGGUUAUAAAUUAUUAAAUUAAUAUUCUACUUAUCGUGUAUCGUGUUACCCAUGUGUAUACCCGAACCAACCCGUUAUCUUAACAGGUACUUAUCGGGUUACCUGAUAACGACCCGUUUCGUUAUCGUGUCGACCCGAACAUCUGUUAAUUUCGUGUCGUGUCGUGUCGGGUUAUCGGGUCGUGUCAGGAAUUGCCAGGCCUAUCCCUAAUGCCCAAAGCCCAAAUCCCCAUUUCCUCCAUCCCAAUUCCAUUUCUCCUUCCAUCCCAACUGACCAACCCUCCACCACCACCUAAUUUCUUAAUUUCUGUUCUUUAUUUUUGCAAAUGUCCUAAUUUUUAAAUUUGAUUAAGGGUUUUAUCUUAGCCCAAAUUAACAAUUGAUGUGUAUUUGAUGAAAAUUUUGAAUUUCUUACAAAUUAUAGUUAUUGCUAUGAUUUUGACCCUAAUAUAUCAAUUAUGAUUUUGACCGCCGCAAUUUGCAAUUGGGAACUGGGGAGGCAUCUAUAUAUAAGUUACAAGUAAAUUUACGGUCAUCUUUAUAGCAUCAUCCUCGUAUUCGUACAGUUAAUUUUGAAUUUAUUACAUAUUGUUGUUUCUUUUGGGCCUUGCUUCAUAAGAUUCAAAGACCUACAGGACUGAGCUAAGAUAUUAUAUCAAAUUAUAUCUUUUUUGCAAUUAUUUCAUAAAUAGUGUGUAAUUUUGUACUAGUUCUAGAAAUAUAAUGUGUUAUUUUAGUUAACUUCAGAAAUAGUGAGUUAUUUUGCUAUAUUUCUAGAAAUAGUAUUUAUUUUGUUCCAUUCCAAUUUCCAAAGAUAGUGUGGUUAUUUUGGUUCAAUUUUAGAAAUAAUGUUAGUUAUUUUGCUCUAGUUCUAGAAAUAGUGUGGGGUUAUUUUGGUUCAAUUUUUAAAAAUAGUGUUAGUCAUCGUUUUCGACGCAAUGGGUGCUUUUACAGGACCAAACAAGGUCUAAGUUUCAAACCUUAUGAAACUGAACCAAUAAUUAGACAUUAUUUAUGAAAUUGGACCAAUAAGUAGACACUAUUUAUGAAACGAAACUAAGAAUUGGGCAUUAUUUCUAAACUAAACCAAUAGGUGGAAACUAAUGAAACACUUAUGAAACUGGACUAGACCAAGAACUAUACACUAUUUAUGAAACAUGACCAAGAACUAGGCACUAUUUAUGAAAGUGAACCAAUAACUAGGCACUAUUUAUGAAAACCAGACCAAGAAAAAGAAACUAUUUAUGAAACUGGACUCAAUAACUUAACACUAUUUAUAAAACAUGACCAAGAACUAGGCACCAUAUGUGAAACUGGACCAAGAACUAGACACUAUUUAUGAAAUUGGACCAACAAAUAGUAUAGUACCAUUCAGUUUCAUAAAUAAUGUUCAGUUUCAUAAAUGGUUAUUAGUUUCAUAAACAGUGACUGUGAUGGACGUACGGGUCCCGCACUCCAGGUCUUUUUUUUUUCUUUAUACAUUACAAUUGUGUCCUUUUCAUUAACACAACUAACAUUCUCAAUGAAAAUUGUGAAUCCUACUCUUACCCUACACAUUGCACACUCUUUGACGUCGUAUAAUUUUACGUCUAUAUUUAUACUUUUUAACCAACCAAGUUAUAAGUCUUUAUUAUUUUAGCCAUAUUUAAAAGGACAAAUUUAGUAAAAUUCGGGAUAGGAUGUCUAGAUGCUUAUGUUGUCAAAUUGUCAAACAAUACCAUUAUUGAUCGUAUAUUUUUUUUAUUAGAGUAUGUCAUUCUAAUCCUUCUUAAAAUAAGGAGACAUUUAUGAAACUGGACCCAUAAUUAGACAAUAUUUAUGAAACCAAAUCAAGAAUGAGACACUAUUUUUAAAACUAAACCAAUAAGUGAAAACUAUUUAGGAAACUAGACCAAGAAAGAAACAUUAUUUAUGAAACUAGACCAAAAAAGAGACACUAUUUAUGAAACUAAACAAAAAAUUAGGCAUUAUUUAUGAAAUUGGACCAAGAACAAGGCCACUAUUUAUGAAACUAGACCAAGAACGAGGCAUUAUUUAUGAAAUUGAAUAAAGAACUAGGCCACUAUUUAUGGAAGUGGAACAAGAUCCAUGCACUAUUUAUGAAACUGGAUUAAUAAUGAGACACUAUUUAUGAAACUGGACUAAUAAGUAGACAUUGUUUAUGAAACCCAAUCAAGAAUGAGACACCAUUUCUAAAACUAAACCAAUAGGUGGAAACUAUUGGUGAAACUAGACUAAGAAAGAAACACUGUUUAUGAAAUUGAACAAAAAACUAAGCAUUAUUCAUGAAAUUGGACCAAGAACUAACCACUAUUUAUGAAACUGGAUCAAUAAGUAAACACUAAUUAUGAAACUAGAUCAAUAAGUAAACACUAUUUAUUCAAUUUCAUAAUAAUGUGGGUUAUUUUGCUGUAAUUCCAAAAAUAAUGUUUAUUUUGUUCCCUUCCAGAGAUAGUGUAGAUUAUUUUGGUUUAGUUUUCAUAAAUAGUGUGGGCUAUUUUGUUGUAGUUUUAGAAAUAAUAUGAGUUAUUUUGGUUCUGUUUCAAUAGUGUGGGUUAUUUUUUAAGGAAAACUAAUGAAAAAGACUUCAAAAAUUUGAGUUUUAACCAAAACCCACCUACUAACUUUAUUUAAUGAUAAGGACAAAAGAAAGAAAGAAAAUACAUAACAAAAAUUUGGUGCGGCCUCUACUUACUACGCCAAGUAAGUUUCUAAAGCAUUAUGUCUGUAACAAUAGAUUAUCCUCAAAUACAUACCAAACCGAUAAUCUUUCACCGUGAUAUAAAGUCCAAUAACAUUCUUCUUGACCACAAGUUUGAAUCCCGUGUUGGGGAUUUCGGGUUGGCAAAGGUGAUGGACAUGCCACAGUCUACGACUAUGUCUGUAGUUGCAGUUCAUAUGGAUAUAUUGCUCCUGGUAAGCUAUCUUUUAACUAAUUUUAAUACCAAACAACUUAGAGAUCGAUUUGAUAUAACCCCAUAAUGCUAUCUGUUAUGGUUAGGAUGAUUAAUGCUUUAGAUACUGAUACAUAAUCCUUUCUUCCAAAGUAUGCAUACACUUUGAAUGUCACAUAUUCUUGUGAUUGCAGUACUCAGAGGACGAAUCUGCGGCCAAUAAGUUGAAGAAAUUCUGCUCCGCUUAGCGCGUCUGCCAAGUGUUCGAUGUAAUGCCCGAAAGAUCACGAAGAUAUCCAGGCUGCAAAAUGUGACUAAAGUUAAAAUAAUGGAAAAACCUGAAUUAACUGAGUCAUCAUCUGUGCUAAUAUAUGUGGACUACUUUUGUAAAGUUUUCACAAAACCUAAUGCCAACAUUGAUAAAAGGAAGAAAUAGAGAUUUCUUCAGAGUUCAAAUUGAUUUUGCAUUUAAAAUGUAAGAGAGAAAGGAACGCGUGUGCAUAACUGUAGUGGUUGAAAGGAUGUGCAACACAACAGAACAUCCACCAUCGAAAAGGUGAGGCCCUUGAGGGCUUUGAUGGUGCCCUCUUCUCCAUUGGGCAUGAAUUCGCCACAGCCAUCCGUAUCAAUCCCUCCUCUUCUCCAUUGGGCUUCAAUGGUGCCUUCUUCUUCAUAAAUAGUGUCAUAAAUUUUCAUAAACAAUGUAGUAAAUUUCAUAAACAGUGUCCUAAGUUUCAUAAACAGUGUAGGAAGUUUCAUAAACAGUUUGUUUGUGUGAGGACGCGUACGUCCCCGCGUCAGAUUUUUAAUUUUUUUUUAAUAUUAAAAUUAUAUCUUUUUUCAUUAAAAAUUAAGUUCUUUUGUCCUUUUAUUAAAAUUUAAGGGGUUUUCAUUAAAAUUUAAGUUUUUUUAUUAAAUAAAGUUAUAGCAUGGUUUUUUUUAUUAAAAUAAACUGAGCUCAAGCCAUUUUCAUGAAAGUUCCCUAUUUUUUAAUGUAGUUUCAAAAAUAAUGUGUGUUAUUUUGGUUCAGUUUAAGAAAUAGUAUAGUUUAUUUUUGUUCAAUUUCAGAAAUAAUGUAAGUUAUUUUCCUAUAGUUUUAGAAAUAGUGUGAGUUAUUUUGGUUCAGUUUCAAAAAUAGUGUAGGUUAUGUUGCUAUAGUUUAAGAAAUAGUGUGGGCUAUUUUGCUAUAGUUUCAGAAAUAAUGUUGAUUAUUUUGCUAUAGUUCCAGAAAUAGUGUGGGUUAUUUGCAAAAAAAAAAAAUAGGGUGGGUUAUUUUGGAUCAAUCUGAGAAACAGUGUGAGUUAUUUUGUUGUAGUUCCAGAAACAAUGUGGGUUAUUUUGAUUCAGUUUCUGAAAUAGUGUGACCUAUUUUGCUAUUGUUCCAAAAAUAGUGUGAGUUAUCUUGAUUCAGUUGCAGAAAUAGUGUAGUUAUUUCUUCACCUUCCCAACCAUCUUUUCUCUCUCUUUUCACGUCUCUAGUUGUAGACCACAUCACAGCCGCACCGCAUCACCAUUAAAAUCACCGUGACAAACCAAAAUCAAACCAGCACCCAAACUUGGAUCCCACCAUCUUCUCAUGCUUCAUCUUUACGUCUUCUAGUUGUCUUGGAUUUGACAUCAUCUCCCAAAUCGAAGGCGCUUCGGUGGGAUCUCAAUGAUGGAAAAAUUCUGGUAUUCAACACCACCUACACCAAAUGAGCGCCACCACCUAAAACAUUAUAUAAGCUUAUGUAUCGAUAAGCAAAAUCCAUGGAUGUAGAACUCUGCCAUUUUUAUUAACAAUAUCAAAUUUUGCGACCAAAUGUAUGAGCAACUGACGAUACAUAGAUUACAAAGAGAAACUUCCUCAUGGCGCUUCGAAUGUCGUCUAGGGAUUCCAUCCGGUUUCAGUUCAAGGUCCGACAUUUCCAGUCUCUUUGUUUCUUCGCUGGAUCACAUUCCUCAACUCACAAUAGUUUUAAGUUUAUAUUUUGCUAAUUACAAAAUAAUGUAGUCCUAGACGUAGACAAGUUAACUAGAUGGUGUAAACAUUCAUAUUCAAAUUCUUUUUUAUGUAACAAUAUUAUAUUAAAAUAUCGCUUGAAUGGGAAAUAUUGUUACAAGCAAAUCCCACAUUUCCACUUGUGCAGCAGAGUCAAUGAUGAUAUAUGUAAUCACCAUCAUUAUUAAGCAAGGGUGAUUUGGAUAAUAAAGGCAAAUGUAGUGGGCAAUGUGGUAUUGAAACGUAUUGAGAGUCUGAGACACAUUUGGUAGCAUCUUUCAUUUCACUUUAGUGUAGAAAGACUGACUAGUCACCAAAGGGCCUCAGAGACUCCCCGUUGAACUCUCUUUCUUUGCAUGGUUUGUUGCAGAAGAUAAAAGAAAUUUAAAAAAUAUGGGGAUCAAUCGUUUUCUUCGAUCCAAUCCCAGAACCCAGGUAUCAAAUCUUAAAUCCCAAACACCCAUUUGGUUUUUUUUGGAUUACAUCUUCCUGUUUUUCUGAUUGACAAAGACAGAAGAACAACAGAAUAUUGCAAGGCUGCUUCAUAUCAAAUCAAAACUCUAUUUUAACUUCUUCCGACUUCUUAAUGUCAUCCCAAAAACCAAAAUUGCACUCUUCAUAUGAGGAUAGGUAAGAGAUUUGAACGAACAUCCCAUAUCUUAGCUAGGGGGCCCAAAAAGAUAGCAGUUAUUAGUAAUAGUAAUUAACAAGAAUUGAAGAAUUGUAAGUGAUUUCCGGUUUCUCUGUUUCUUCGCCGGGCCUUCUUGCCCAUUUCUCUGAGAUUGUCGUCGACUAUCAGCAGUUGGUUCCCUCUCGUCAGCUUUGCAUCCUCUUCUCCCUCCAAUGAUUCUGUCGCCAUCUCCUCUUCUUCUAUGCUUGAUUCUUUGAACAGGAACAAGAAGAAAAAAAACCUAAUUUGAUCGAGUUCCUAAAGGCCAAAAAUCCCCAUCUAGAUAACAGAAAGCAAUCAAAGCAAAACCCUAAAUUAAAAAAUCUGCAAAAGUGAAGUGGUUGGCCUUUAUAACUCAGUUCUUCGACAUGACUAAACUAACGGAAAACAAAACUAACAUAACCCAAAAACGUCAGGGGCAAAAUAGAGAAAUCAAUUUGUUAUUUUGGUUAGGCCACUUGUUUAAUAUUAGGAUUUGUAUUAACCAUUAAAUAAAGUUAUAGGGUGGUUUUUCAUUAAAACUCAAAGUUUCUAAGCCUUUUUCAUUAGUUUUCUUAAAAUUCAUGGAUUUAUAAAUCCAUUAAAAUCUUUCAAAUUCCUAAUUGAAUACACCCCCUUAAACAAAAAUCUGAGCUGAUAUUACUAAUGACAUGUGAUGCGAUGAAAGUAGUUGAAAAUGGAAAGGGAUCAUCUCCGGCUCUCUUUCACCAAAUCCAUCAAGUUCAAGAUCCAGACCAUUUAAAUUUGGUUGAAGUUACAAAAAGGAGCAGUUAUAUAAUAGGUUAGAUCAAAUUUUAAGGGUCCGAUCCCUGUCUUAUGGAUUUCGUGGAAGGGAUCCAGAGUCCUUUCCGUUGAAAAUCUCAUCGCCUCUCCUUUCAGCCUUUCAAGGAAAACCCACUUCUUGGGCGUCUUCAACCACGUAAAGCUUCACUCUUUUAUUAGUUUCUGUGUUUAAAAUUGUUGGGGUUUGCAGUUUUGGAUUGAAAUUUGUGUUUUGGGAUUUGUUGGGUGCUCGCAUGUGGAAAUUUGGAAUAUUUUAGUUGUGGAUAGUGGGGAACUGACGCAAUGGCGGUCCUAUUUCAUGUAAGUUGCUUUUGUUUGUGUGUUUUUGAUGAAAUAAUGAUGAGGAGGGUUGGAUAGUUGGACUGGUUUUAUUUUUUUUGUGAAAUUAGAGUGGGAUCAAUCAAGGUCGAUACUUUUUUAGGUAAGAGUAAUGUAAAGUUAUGUCUUUUUGGCAAAUUUAGUGACUUGGUGGAUUUGGAAUUUUGGUUAUAUUAGAUAUAUGUGUAAAGAAAAUAGUUGAACUGCAUGAAGCUUGAUGUAAUUCUGGUUUUAAUCAAUGUUGGACUUGGGAAACCUAGUGAAUAUACAAGCGAAUCUACGAUUAGUUGAGAACCUUAAAGGAGCUUGAGGGGUAAUGAGGGUUUUAGGUAUUUAGUGACAUUCAGGCCAUGCUUGAUUGAUGUCGGCGUAUCGGAAAUGCUUGAACAAAGAAGAAAGGUGCUUGAAGAGCUGCAGUAGUUAACUACGUGGUUUGAUUAGAUUGCUAUGUUAAUCAAAAUGUCCCCUGUAGUAUGUUAUAGGGUUAAAGUUUUACAUAAGUGUUCUUUAGCGACUUGGUUUCAAAAUUUUCAUUUUCGUUCGACUUUCCUGGGUCUGUGAGGCCAAUGGUAGAAUGAUCAUGGAAAUUGUUUUGUCUUAAUAUCUCUGGUAAGAGCGGGUAUGCAUUCUUAUAGGACUUGUUUUCUUUUAAGCUGUUUAAUGUGCUCAUUUCAGUAUGCAUCAUCCAAAGUCUAUAACUGCUAAAACUAGCACUACAAGGGCGAGGGAGCUAUCAUCUGUUUGGAAAUAAGAGCUAUAGACAUGCCCCAUAAGGGUCAAUAGGUCUCAAUUGCAUACUUGUUUCUCAUGUGUUUUCAUCUUGAAGGUUAGAAAAGAUGGGUGCUCUAGACGCGGCGGUGUGCAAAGAGUGGUUCAUCAACACCAGAGAUGGAGGCUGAUCUCAUGUAUGUGGUUACAUGCUGGAGUUUUCCAUAUGCUUGCCAAUAUGCUGAGUCUUGUAUUCAUUGGAAAUUUGCUUGAGCAAGAAUUUGGAUUUGGUGUGCAUCUGGAUUUUUAGCUUCAUGUAUGUUAUCAUGCAUGUAUGGCCACAUCCAUAAGUGUUUGUAGUAAAAGAUAAAGCACACGACAUAAACUGUAGAAUAAUAAAUUAGUUACCAAGUGGAAAACUUCUUUCAUAAAUCUAGAAGAGAAAAACUUUCCGGAUGGCUUUAGCUACCUUGCGAUUUUUCUACAGAGGAUUUCUAUGCAUUUGUUUAUUGAAUUGUAAUCCUAGAGUAGUGGUCAUGUAGUGCUGGUUGCAUUAUAACUUACACCGGUAUGUUGUUUGGUUUGAUGGAAACAAGAGGACAUUUUAUUCAGCGGUGAGCAAAGAAAAGAAUUUAUACACCGAAGAUGGGGUUCAAACUUUAGUUUUAGACAUAGUAUUCCAUUUUACAGAAUAAAAUUGCUUGAAACAGAAGCUGAGAGAUUAUUUCAGUUCCAUCACAUCUGUGGGAACAAAGAUUGUUUUGGAUAUCCUGUACUUGUAGACAUGGCGCCUCAUUUUGAAAUGUUUCAAGAUGCCGUGUAUUUGAAAAAUUGAAAAAAAUAAUAGUUUGAUGCUGAUCUACAUCAUGUACAGUUGUUUUGAUGAACUGUUUUAACUAAUUGGUUUGAAAUUCUGAUGUUUUUCUGAUUUAUUCUUCUGCAGUUCGAAUUGGUUUCCUAUAUCUCAUGUCUGGUUUUGGUGGGAGUUUGCUUUCAGCUCUUUUUAUUCAAUAUGGUAUUUCUGUUGGUGCUUCUAGUGCACUUUUUGGUUUAUUAGGAAGCAUGCUUUCAGAGCUCAUAUCAAAUUGGACAAUGUAUGUAAAUAAGGAAAAUAAAGUUUCUGUAUACUCAAUGAUGUACCUCUUUAUAGUAUGUGCACGACCCUUUGAUCUUACAGUUUCAGAUUUUGAUCCGCAGUUAGCAGCAUUGCUUACUCUCCUUUUCAUCAUCAUAAUAAACUUAGCAGUGGGAAUUCUACCACACGUGGACAACUUUGCUCAUAUUGGAGAAUUUGUCUCCGGAUUUCUUCUUGGAUUUUUGUUUUUGAUCCGCCCCAAUUUAAAUGGCUUACCCAACGGAAUGCUCCCCCUGGACGUGUUACUACUCCAGUUAAAUCUAAACACAAGACGUAUCAAUAUGUAUUGUUGAUCCUCUCUUUGAUACUAUUGGUUGUUGGGUAAGCUCCUCCUCGAUCUGUGAUUUAACUGUUUGACUUCAUGAACCUAAUCGACUCCCUGCAUGAGAAUCUGGUAGCCACAGUUGACGUGUGCACAUUUUUUUUUAUCAUAUCAGGGAACAGGAUUUUGCGUAGAUAUAUAGAUAUCAUGUGUCUUUUCAUUGCGAAUAGGCUCUGUAUCUGCUUGUUUCUCAUCAGAAUGGUUUGGAGAAGGCAUUGUGUUAUCGCUAUUCUCUGUGUAAUACUAAUUGAUCACUUUGUUGAUAGCAGCUUCUACUUCGCUGUUUUGGAUUGCAUAUGUUGGCAGUACUUUGUUGUUUUGUUAUUGGAAAUAAAGGUUCAUUUUCCUCGUAUAUGCAGGCAUUUUCUGACAGAAGUCAUGUUUUUUACAGGUAUACUCUUGGCUUGGUUACUCUUUUUCGAGGGUUUAAUCUAAACGACUUUUCCUGGUGUCAUUAUUUGAGCUAUGUCCCUACAUCAAAAUGGAAUUGCAAGUCACAAAAUAUUUAUUUUCUGAUAAUAUGCCGUACUUUUCUGCGCAUAGUAACUUCCGCCUUAAUAUUUGAUAGACAUAAGUGCUUGCUUAUUAAUAUGAUCAUGGAAAUUGCUUCUGCAACGUACUUUGUUAGUACUAUAAUUUGAUUUUGUACUGACAUAUUUGUUCUUUAUAUGCAUAUAUGCACCAAUCUUGCAAUCGAGCCGGAUAGGGAAUCAGCUGAACUUAACGUGGUAAGCAACAGUAGAAAUGGAACAUAUUCAUUGUCGGAUUCCAGCCCCUCCCGGACUCAGCAGCUAUAUGCUGAGCUUUGCAGUUGACCAUACAUGUACAGAUUUCAGAGUUGAUAGAAUGUUGAUUGAUAUGCUUCAUUCUUGUAGUAAGUAUUCUUUAUUUUUCUUUUGUUUUUUGUUGGGUAAAAUAGUCUUGUGUAUUCACCAAGCAAUGGUUCUCAUUGUCAUUAUUCUUUUCAUUCUUUUACUGCCUUUGUACCUCUUUUCUACUAUUCAUAACAGUUGAAACCCAUACCGAUAACUAUGAAAUUUACUUGCCAUAUAGAACUACUCAAACAUGCAAUUUACUCACCAUACCUAAGUUUGUUGAAUGUGGGAUGUUACAGAUCCUCUCAAUCGGACCUUUGCACUCUACCUUCUUGGCUCUCUCUCUCAUUUUGGAAUGUUGCAAGAUGAUCGGACACAUGUAUACUUUCUAGUUCAUCCUUUAGAGACCAACUUUGACAAAAAAAAUCAACUAAAUAAAAAAUCGUUUAACCAUUUAAUUAACAUUGUCAAAAUUUCAGUAUUUAACUGAAAAACAUAGUUCAUUUAUUUAUUGGAUAACAAUUAGAUGAAAAAACAAGUAUGAAUUACUUUGGUUUUUGGCGAAGUUGGACUUUAAAGGGUGAAUCAGAAAUAGACAAUUUUACGGAGUUGGUGGCAAUCUCUAAAUGCAAGUGCAAGUCCAAUAAGGGAGGAUCAUUUCGAAACUUGACAUUAAAUGAUCCCCUUUAGUGUUUUGUCGUAUUUGUUUCUUUGUUCGUCAAAGGAAAGGAAAGAAAUUUCGUCAAGUACAAUAACAAACACUUAUUUGCAAGUUUCACAUGCUACUCUGCUAAGGGCUACUGAUGGGUUAUCGGAGGCUAAUUUGAUUGGUGCUGGAAGUUUUGGGGUUGUGUACAAGGGAGUUCUCAAUGUUGAUGAUAGAGCUCAAUUGGUUGCCGCCGUAAAGGUGUUUAACUGCCGUAAAGGGAGUUCUCUAAGGGCUACUGAUGGGUUAUCGUCAAGAUUAUAACUGCAUGUUCAAGUGUUGAUUCUCCGGGUAAUGAUUUCAAGGCUUUGGUUUAUGACUACAUGGAAAAAGCAAGCUUAGAGAAGUGAAUGCAUCCACCGACUGAUAUUGAAGAAGCAAGAGAGGCACCCAAGAGUUUAAAUCUUUUGCAAAGGCUCAGCAUUGCCAUUGAUGUUGCUUGUGCUCUUGAUUAGUCGAUUAUCUUAUCAUUGUGAAACACCAAUAGUUCAUUGUGAUCUGAAGCCAAGUACUGUUCUUUUGUACAACAAGUCGAGUAUUGGACAUGUUUCCAGGGCCGGUCUUGAGUUUUUGGUUGCCCAGUGCGAAAACUCAAAAUGUGUCAUUUUUUAAUACGAAAACAUAUGUUUAAAAAAAAAAAAUUUAACGAGAGCUGGAACCCAGUCGAAGCUGGGGGGCUAGGCCCUCACGCCCAAAUUAUAUUACUUGAGAAAAUAUACAACGGGGAGGAACAUAGUACCUAAACCCCGACAAUAAAAAAUACAAUCAUAUACAACCAUUCCUAACGAAGCUCCUUGAAAUUUCAUUAUCCUUUGCCUUUUUUUUCCUUUUCAUAUUACUAGAAAAUUGUUUCCUAAAAGACAUGACUUCGAUAAUUUGUUUGCAAAAAUUACCUACACAUGAUAUAACAAAAAUUUCCUAUCAAAAUUAUCAUUCCAACACAUAUUAUAUAUUAUAAAAACACUAACACAUAGUUUAACAUAUUAUAAAAAUUGAACCUAAAAAUUGGGUUUGAAAUGAAAUGAAAUCAUUCAAUUAGUCAAGAAUUCAAUUCAUCAACAACAACAAUUCUAUACAUUAAUUAUCAUAUAAUUAUAUGUCACUUGCAAAAUUUUAUAUGAAAUUAUGAAUUGAUAAUUCAAAAUUUAAAAAUUAGUUUACCUCAAAACUCAAAAAGAAGGGUUGGUGGUGAGUGAGUGCUCUUGCACAGCAGCCAAUGGGCUUGGCGCUGAGCUGAGGACAGCCGGACAGGGACCUCCUGUGCUGCAACAGCUUGCUGGUGAAAGGGAGUCAGGGGGUCAGGACCGCAGGAAGAAGUUGGGGAAAUGGGGAUUUAUGGGAGUUAGGGUUAGUGGGGACCGAGUGGUCCCUUUAAUGUUGUUUUGUUUUUUUUGUUUUUUUGUUGAUUAUAAUGUGGAUAAUACUUGGUACUCUCCGGGAGUACCCAAUAUACACACUCACUUAUGUGGUACAAUAAAAAAACGACAUCUGUCCUUAUUUAAAUCUCUCAAACACGUAACCAAACAUCCUUUAUUCCUGUAGCCAAACACUCACCUUCUUCCUCGCCAAAGCACACAAUCAGAGAAACACUUUCAUUUUCAAAUCAUGGCAAUCUAACUAUGGUGGAAGAUUCCAUUUCCAGAAGCCCAAUCUGGUAAUCCAAAAAUAUGGGUUCCUUGAUUUUCAUACGGAGAGGACGAUGGCUCGUGGGGUUGGGUGCUCUUCUUUUCACGGUUUUCUACUCUCACGUGAGAUCCAGAUUUUACAACGAUGAAGGUGCCAUGAGUUCCGGCAAGGGACGGUGGCUGAUGGUGGUGGGCGAGGACACUGGUCUGUGGUGGGAGACGACCGUGGCUGGAGGUGGUGGCCUGGUGGGAGAGGACCGUGGUUGGUGGUAGUGGGACCGUUGCAGGUGAUUGUGCGGCGAGGACCGUGGCCACUGGCGGUGGGAGAGGACCGUCGCUGGUGCUGGUGGUUUAGAUCUCUGUGUUGUGAAUGAAGAUGGGUGUUUGGCUAACACAAUAGUGAGUAUUUGGCUAAAGAAUUGGUUAAGUAUUUGAAGAUUAAAUUUGGCUAGGUGUUUUUAUAUUAUUGUGUCACAUAAGAUAGUGUGUAUAUUGGGUAAUCCCUGGAGAGUACCCAAGUAUCAUCCUUAUAAUGCCCAAAACCUGGAUCAUCGAGUGGUCCUCUAAUGUCAAUUUUUUUUUUUGGGGUAACGCCCAAAACCUGGGCCUUUUUUCUUCUUUCCUAGGCUCUUGCCUAGUUGGGCUCUAGACUUUUUUAUUAUUUUUUUAUACCUAGUUAUUUAGGUUAUAUUUUUUUGGUGCCCCUUUCAGUUUUGGGUCUUGGACAGUUGCCCCUGUGGCACUGGGCUUGGGUCGGGCUUGCAUGUUUCUGACCUUGAUUAGCAAGGUUUCUCUCACAACUGAACAGUAUAAAAGCUUCAACAAAACAGACAAGUUCUGCCGAAAUAACAAGAACGAUUGAUUAUGUGGUUUUAGGUAAAUAUUCACAUCCUCUCCACAAUCUCUUUUUUUUUUCUUUUAAAGUUUUUGCAUAAUUCAACUAUUUUGUUCUCAAUUUGCUAACAAUAUUUGGGAAGUGAAGCGUUAAUAACUUGAUAUGUCUACAGUGGUGGAAUUCUCUUGCUAGAGACUUGAGCCCCCAUGAAGUUUAAAAAUUAAGAAAACUUGAUCUCACUAGUAAUUGUUACCAUUUUUAAAAAGGUUGCAUCCACAACAAGCUUUGUUGCAAUGAUACUUUAGGGGAACUAGGAGAAAAUCAGCAAUCUCACAGUCUGGCGCCUCAUAAAACGUACAGACUUCAAAAUUUCCAUUCAUAGCUAGGGUCACCUUGCUAGGGUAACUUUCACAUUAGAUGACACUAACGUGACGUCUGAUGUGAGAAAAUAUUGGGUUCCAUGUAUUUGUUUUUCCAUUUUGGAUGAUUGCCAAAAUGAAUUAUGGAUGAUAAUGCUAUUAUGUAUGGUUGCCAAAAUGUUUCCAGUCAGCUUCUGGACUCAAGGUGCUUUAAUGGUCUUGGUCCCAGUUGUGGAAGUAACCUAGUGAAGUCUUCUAAAAAAACAAGCCGAAGUCGUUAUCAUUUACUUGGACUUAUACCUUCUCAUCUUUGAAUUUGCAAGAACCAGAAACUGUGGUGUAAGUUCCUCCUAUGAUCCUAUCCUUCUAUAAAUUUCCUUGUCGUUUAGUGGCAGUAUUCCUCCUAUGAUCCUAGGGUAACUUUUAUAUUCGGUGACACUAACGUGACGUUUGAUGUGAGAAAAUAUUGGGUUCCAUGUAUUUGGUUUUCCAUUUUGGAUGAUUGCCAAAAUGAAUUAUGGAUGAUAAUGCUAUUAUAUUAUGUAUGUUUGCCAAAAUGUUUCCAGUCCGCUUCUAGAAUCAAGGUGCUUUAAUGGUCUUGGUCCUUGGCGCACCGAAAGUGCCAGACUAUAGUGGAAGUAAGCUAGUGAAGUCGUCUAAAACAAAAGCCGAAGUUAUUAUCAUUUACUUGGACUUAUUCCUUCACAUAUUUGAAUUUUCAAGAACCAUUAACCAGGUCUGGCCCAGGCCCAGUGCAAACGGAGCGGGUGUCCAGGCCCAAUAUUGAAGGGGGCACCAAAAAAUAAAAAUCCAUAUAAUUAGAUAUAUAUAAAAAAUAAAAAUAAAAAUAUGUCCAGCCCAAGUUUGACAAAAGAGUACGGCCCAUCCCCCAAUUUUUUUUUUGUCAAAGCCCAUCCCCUAACAGCCCAUCCAUCCCCCAAUUAAUUAAACCUAGGGAACUUUAACGAAAAGCACCCGGUACUGUUCACUUUAACGAAAAACCACAUUUUUACACUAAAAAGUCAAUCCUGGUACUAUUCACUUUACCCUUUAUUUUGUCCUUAUCAUUAAAACUCAAAGUUUUCAAGCCUUUUCAUUAGUUUUCUUUAAACUUAACCCUAAGUUCCUAAUCCCCCCACCCUCCCCACUUUGUUUCUGACCCUCCCUGCCAUUUCUGUCCGAUUGUCCCUUUGAGCUCUGGCUUUCUCUCACUGCAAGCUGCUGCGAUGCAGCUUCCACAGGUUCUUGUUCUUCUCAUUCAGUGCAUUCACCAACCCUUUUGAGUUUUAAGGUAAAUUAAUUUUUAAAAUUUGAAUUAUUAAUUCAUAAUUUGAUGUAUAGAAUUAUUGUUGUUGUUGAUGAAUUGAAUUCUUGAUUAAUUGAAUUAUUUGUUAUACUAUGUCAGUGGCCCAAUUAUUCACACCCAAGAUCACAAGUUUUUAUGAAGAAUUUUACGGAUUCAAAGGAGUGAAGUUUGUUAAAGGAAUCAUUUUAUCCUCGUUUGACAUUGACUCGGACGGGAAGGUAAAUGUUAAGUUCUUCUUGAAUAAAUGAACUUUGAGUGGUUAUUGAGAUGCUUUCUCAAAACAAAUUAUGUACUUUCUUAAAUAGAGAAAACAUUGGUUCCAUAGUUAAAUGUGUAUAGGAUAUAUUUUCUUUGAAUUGGAUGCGGUUGAGAUGCUAAAUUUUUCUGCUCAAUUCUUGUAGAGGUGACUGCUGUUAAUCUUAGAGAUUUUUUAUGGGUCAAUUUAUUUUUAUUACUUUCAAUUUUGGUUUUUGUUUAGUUGCUUUGAUUAUUUUAAUAAAUAUCAAAUUUGGUACAUUUUUUGGGUUAAAAUUUUGAGGAGGUUGUUUAGUUUGUUUGUCAAUGUGAUUGAUAUGAAACAUUAUAUACUUGUCUUUGUGGAUUUGCAAAUGGAUACCAAUGAAGAUUUCAAAAACGUUUUUCUGGAAAUGUUGCACAGGGAGAUUUGUGUUGGCCACUCUUUGCUUUGUGUUGGCCAAUCCUUACAAGUUCAGGGGUAAAUUGAUGAAUACCUCUAUUUUAUAUGAUUGGAUGAAUAUCUUAUUGGAUUGGGAUGUAUUGGAUGUGUGUUUAAUGCAUUAUGUGAUUGUUUUUUUUUUCUUGCAGCUGCUACACCAAAACAAAUUAGAGAGUUAAUGAAGGUUGAUGGGUUUACUAACGAUGAAGUCAAAAGCCAUUUGCAGGUUUGUAUAUGUGAUUAUCCAUUUGUUUUGAACCAUAAUUUGGUUGAUGUGAAUAAAAUUUUACACAUACAUGACAGAAAUUGGAAGUCAUUUUGCAUGUGAUUAGUGAUGAAUUUUUUUACACAUACAUGUGAUUAUCCUCGUGAAAUAUUUUUUUUUAAAGAUAUGUUUCUGUAUUAAAAAAGGGCACAUUUUGAGCUUUCGCACUGGGCACCAAAAAAACUUAGGACCGGCCCUGCCAUUAACUAUGGUAUCUAAAGUGAGGCGUUAAUAACUGGAUAUGUCUACAGUUUUGGAAUUCUCUUUCUAGAGAUGUUUACUAGAGAGAGACCCACUGACAACGUGUUUAAUGAGAACUUAAACCUUCAUGUUACAAUUUUCAAUCAAUGCUUAGGAGUGUUGAGCCCCCAUGAAAUUUAAAAAUUAAGAAAGCUUGAUCUCACUAGUAACUGUUACAAUUUUUAAAAAGGUGGGAUCCACAACAAGCUUUCUUGCAAUGAUAUACUUCAGGGGAACUAUGAGAAAAUCAGCAGUCUCACAGUCCAGCCACUCAAAAAACGUAGAGACUUCGAAAUUUCCAUUCAUAGCUAGGGUCGUCCUGCAAGGUAACUUUCAUAUUAAGUGACACCAGCGUGACGUCUGAUGUGACCAAAAUAUAGGGUUCUAUGUAUUUGUUUUUUUUUUCAUUUUGGAUGGUUGCCAAAUGUUUCCAGUCAGCUACUGGAAUCAAGGUGCUUUAAUGGUCUUGGUCCUUGGCGUACCGAAAGUGCCAGACAAUAGGUCCUAGUAUUCCUUCUCAUAUUUGAAUUUCAAGAACCAGAAACUGUGGUGUAAGUUCCUCCUAUGAUCCUAUCCUUCUAUAAAUUUCCUUGUCAUGCAACAAAUGGAACUCACCAAAUUCACAACUCAACACCCAUCUCUCUAUUUCUUUCUUAACCAGAUCAGGAAUGGGGGUUUUGGUUUUGAAAUUGAUCUUAAUAUACUUGCUUUUCAGUGAAGUGUUCGUUUGCUGUUGGAGCUCCGUGCAAUCGGGACUCGGAGGGAAUGCGACAGAUAGGCUGGCGCUGCUUGCCAUUAAAGCUCAAAUAAAGCAAGAUCUCCAUAAUUACAACGUGAUGAGCUCCUGGAACGAAUCCAUGCACUUUUGCAUGUGGCAUGGUGUGACGUGCAGUCGACGACAUCGCCAAAGGGUCACUAACCUGGAUCUGCAAUCUCAAAAUCUGGUAGGGAAACUAUCCCCAAACAUUGGAAAUCUAAGUUUUCUAAGGGAGCUGUGGCUGCAAAACAACAGCUUCAGUCAUGAAAUUCCUCCACAAAUUGGGAAUUUGCGUAGAUUGCAGGUAUUGCGUUUAGACGGUAACUCGUUUAAUGGUAGUAUUCCACACAAUAUAUCACAUUGCUUCAACCUUAUCGUUGUGAAUUUCACUCGCAACAAGUUGGUGGGUAAAAUUCC
rnacentral:lncRNA from 1 species